rnacentral:lncRNA from 1 species
AUGAAGCACCAGAAGACAGCGUUUUAUUUGGUGGGGGUGAAGUUUUAGUACAGGAAUUGCUCGGUUUGAAAUAUUUAGAGGUAUUGGAGUUGACCUUGGGAAGUUAUCAGGCUCUCCAAAUCUUUUUGAGCUCAAAUAAGUUAAAAAGUUGUAUUCGAUCUCUUUUCCUCCAGUUGGCCGGAGAUACAAAGUCGAUUAUUGAUGCUGCGGCUUUCGCAGAUCUAAACCACCUCAAUGAAUUAUAUAUUUAUGAAGGUAUUGAGUUGGAAGAAUUGAAGAUUGAUUAUACAGAGAUAGUACGAAAAAGGCGGGAACCUUUUGUUUUCCGCAGCCUUCACCGUGUUACCAUAUUUAGUUGCGGUAAAUUGAAAGAUGUGACAUUCCUCGUUUUUGCUCCAAACCUCAAGUCUCUUGAGCUAUUGCAAUGCGAUGCUAUGGAAGAAAUAAUCAGCGUCGGAGAAAUUGCUGAGACUCCUGAGAUGAUGGGACACAUAAGCCCUUUUGAAAAUCUCCAAAGUCUUCAUUUAUCGUAUUUACCAAUUUUGAGGAGCAUCUACUGGAAGCCAUUGCCUUUCACUCAUCUCAAAAAAAUGGAGGUACGUAGAUGCGAUCAGCUUAGAAGGCUUCCGCUCGAUUCCAACAGUGCAACAGAGCGUAAUGUUGUUAUUCGUGGAUACACACUCUGGUGGAACCGACUUCAAUGGGAGGAUGAAGCCACUCAAAUUGCUUUUCGUUCCUGUUUCCAACCUCGUUCCUGAGCAGUGGUCGCAAAAUUUGAUUUCUGGUGAGUGCGUUUGUCUUUUAAAAAGAAGAAUUUAAAAGAAAUUUAUUCUUGUCGUUUUCUUCACUGUUUUUAUUUGAUUUCUGGUUAGUUUCUUUCUCUCUCUCUCUCUCUUUGUCUUCUGCAAAUCACAAUUAAAUGUUGAAUUAAUGGAAUUGAUGCUCUGGUUUUUUACUUUUUGUUGUCAAAUUUUGCCCUGUUCUAUCUUCUUAGCGAUUUAAUUUCCUGUCAAAAGACGAGCGAGAAGAACAUAUAUAUGACUUAAACCAAUUGAUACUUUAUUUAUGUGCAUUGUAUGUAAUAAAUAUUAAGUAUACUUUAUUUUUGCCCUGUUCUCUGUUUUUAUUUCAGUCUCUCUCUCUCUUUCCUGUCUUCUGCAAAAUAUAAUCAAUUAUUUUCAAAAUAUCAUUGAUGAUUUUUCUGCUCUAAUGCUAUGUAAAUAGUAUGUUAAGUAAAACAUAAUCAAUUAUUUGUGUUUUAUCUCUAAUUAGAACAUCAAUCAGUUCAGUACCUCACAAAUAAUUCGCAAUAUCUACAAAAUACUAUAAUGGCUACAAAACAAAUCCUGCUUGCAAAUUGUCAAGGAUACCUAUCCGUUCGCUUGACAAGUCAUUUGAAUAAAUAUUGUUCACAUUCCUUACUCUAUCAAUUAUCCAAAGCACCAUCAAUGGUCCUCAACUUUAGUUUGAAUAGUAUACAUGCCAUCACCAUUACCAAGAAUCAAGCAUGGAAGAGUCAUUCUAUAGAGUUAAUCGAAGCAAGGAAUGAUGUAUCAGAAAAUAUUUGGUGGAGAAUUCAGCACAAACAUAUUUUGGAUGAUCAGAAUCAAUAAAACCUGGUGGUUGCGCCAUAUAAACAUCUUCGGAAAGCUGACCUUGAAGAAAGGCGUUAUUGAUAUCCAAUUGACGAAGAGGCCAGCCAUGACUAACAUCAAUACUAAGAACAAGCCGUACUGUGGUGGACUUAACAACUGGACUGAAAGUGUCAUAAUAGUCCACACCAGGCCAUUGAUUGAACCCUUUGGCAACAAGAUGAGCUUUAAACCUGUCAACAGAACCGUUGGAAUGUCUUUUAAUACAAAAAUCCAUUUGCAGCCAACAAUAUUGGAAGGGAUGGGAGGUGGAACAAGCUUCCAUGUCCCGUUACGAACAAGAGCAUCAUACUCUUCUGACAUAGCUGGACGCCAGUGAAGAUUUUUGAUAGCUUGCGUCACAGUUGUAGGUUCACAAUCAGAAGAAGGGCUAAAAUGAGCACGGAGGUUAAGUUUUUGUAACGGCUUGUGAAUCUUAUUUUUAGCUCGGGUAGUCAUAUCAUGAUGACUUGUGGGGCAAUGAUCUAGUGGAGUUUAGGAAGAUGAUUGAACAGGAAGUGAAGAAGUGCUUUGUGUAGAGGUAGAAGUAGGUUGGGAGGAUUGCUGCGGAGAUGUUACCGGUAGAGAAGAAGGAGCAGUACACGGUGGCAACUCCAGAGGGCCCACAAUAGAUGGAGUAGGUGCCGACAAUGGAGUACUAGGAAAUGAAACAGGAAGAAUUGGUGGAACACUUGCGUAAUUAGGAGUGGUAGAUGAGCUUGUAAUGAUUUGUAUGGAAAAACAAACUCUACAAAUUUAACGUGACGUGAAAUAAAAAUUCAACCCGAUUGCAUAUUUAAGAACAUCUCAAAUGAAUUGCUUACUGCUAUCAUCAUCAUUAUUGUCUAUAUAAUAAUGGAUCUUUAUUAUAUAUAUGUUUCCACUAAAAUAUAUUUAAUUAUUCUUUAUUUUUCUAUUGUUGCGUGUAAGAUUUAUUUGAGUUCUAAGUUAUAUCAAUACAAAUGUUAUCUUAUCCAUAAAAAGUUAGAUCCAACAAUUAUGAAAAUUACUAUAGAGUUGCUUUCAAUUAUUUUUUUAAAAUACCAGGAGUAAAUAAUAAUUAGUUCAAAUGGUGGAGACUAAAAUGCGUUCACCUUUAUUUUUUAUCUGUUAUUUACUUUUGUCAUUACAUUAAUGCACAUGCUAUACAUUUGAGACAUUCCAUUAAUUGCCAAUUAUGUAUGUGAGAUAGUAAUUUAAAUUAAAAAAUAAAAGUGAAAGUUAAUCCUAUGCAAUGUGAAUAAAUUUCUUUCCUUUUUCCUUUACUCUUUUUAUUUGACAAUAAAGUUUCCAUCUAUCAUCUAUCAUCUAUGUACACAAAAUUUCUGCAACAAGUACAAAACAUAAAAAUAUAUGAAUAUUAAGGGAAACACGCAGAAGUUCAUCAUUUCAAUGUUCAGUAUUACCAAUUUUGGCAUUAAGCUUGUACGAAUAUAUUCUACUUCGAAAGCAAAAUAUUAGACUCGUGAUUUUAAUUCAUUCAUUAUCUCUCAUUUUAAUCCCAAAAUAUUCAAGAGUAUCCAAGUUACCAUAAGACUUCAGAGGCUCGAGCCUUAGCCAGAGAUGGUUAAUUGAUAGACUAUGUGCCUGGGUCGAGCACUGGAAGCCUGCAAUGCAGACUGAUUGAUUUAUCAGUUUAACGUGUGCCAGGAAUGAAGAACUGGAAUAUCACCGUCAAGCAAGCACCCUGUGGAGCAAUACCAAAGAAUGCACAAUCUGGCUUUGCUAGGUGACCCUGGAGGCUUUUUGAAAAGUGCUUCAUGCUCACUUGCACAGAUUGAGCAUCCCCUCUGGAUAUUGCCCUCUCUGAUCGAGUCUGAGCACUCAAAUUUCGGUCCUCAGAUGGAGCUACAGCUUUCUCUCCAAUAACCAACAAUUUUCUAAACUCAGCACCUAGUGUGAUCAGAGUUGUUGAUAUUUGCAAAUGGAGAUCCCCAUAUUUGCAAAUGGAGACAUUUAACAAAUCACCAACAUGCUUCAUCCGGUCCACGAAAUUCUGCAACUGAUUCAAAUCUGGAACCUGAACCAGAGUCGGAGGUAUAUCUUGAGCCAUAUCUAAAGCAGUUUGAAGUUCAAGACCUUGAGCCCUUGACAAUGGUUUUGAAAUUGGAACAUCUUGGAUUACUGCAGACUUGUACCCCUUGGUUUCAAAGGUAAGGAAAGGCAUUGCUUGAGUACAAUUUGGAGGCAGCUUCUUCACCAAUUUUAUUUGGAGGCAAUUGGCAGCGGAUCCAGCUGCACCAAUUUCAGAGCAACUACUGACACUACUUCGAACAGCACACUGACGAAGUGAUAUGUCUACGGCAAAGGCAAUGCAGUCCUCAUUUUGGCUUGAGAUGCAGUAAUCAUCGAAGAGAGUUUCCUUGUGAAACUGGGCAACACAUUGAAUCCCUUCGCCACUGAGAAGGUUGUGGAGGAAGUAAGCUGUCUCUCUAGUGAGGAAGAGGUGGCAUACCUUCCCCAUUUUGUCUAGGGCAGGUAGGAAUCUUUUUUCUAAGAGAUUUACUUCAUUCUCUGUGAGAAAUGCUUUGAACUUCAUCCCUCUGUCUCUAUCCUCACUUAUCAGGAAAUAAGUUGAAAGCACUAUGAAGAGAGAGAGAGAGAGAGAGAGAAUUAAGAUAUAUAGACAAGAAAAUAAUUAGACGUUGAUCUUACAAACUAAUACUUCAAGCAGUAUCCUAGAAAGCUAAAAACUGCAAGAUGGCUUGAAAUUUGAAAAGAGCACAUGGUUUUCCUCCUUAACUUGAGAAAAUGUUUAAUAUAGUGCACCUUACAGAAGCAUUUAAGCAAUUAGAACUUUGCACAAAAACAUCAAGAAGACUAAACAAAUCAGAUGCAGUGUAUUUGUCCAAGCACAAAUUGCAUUUUGUCCUCAACUUUAAUAUUUAUUGAUGAGAAUCAAUACAGGUCCCUCAUUUGUUAUAGAAAGCUUUCUUGUAGUCUCACCAGUUAAUUCACAGGUCUAUAAUCAUCUUGCAAAGUUAAGGGCAUUUCUUUCGAUCUAAAGUCUUUGCAUCACCACCUCAUCACACGCCAAGCCAAUAUUCCAUUUACCUCUACAACAAAAAGUUUUUAAGUAAAUAAUCCUAAUGCACGCAGCCGAAUAAAAUGCAGUAAGAAUAUUCAACUUAAAAAUCUGAAAGCCAACUUGGUGAAUUGCCUCCUUAGGUGAAGUUCCAUGCUUUACUAUAGUUGACAGAACUCAGCAAAAGCUUCCAUACAACAGAUUUUGAAAAUGAUGAUGCCAAUAGAUACUCAUUCAAUCCAUUGAAACUCCAAAGGUUCAUUGUUCAUAGAAGUUUACAGAGUUUUGGUCAUCAAAUAGCUCAGACCUAAUCCCAAACAAAAAACGAGUGAAAAUUAGAUCACGAGCAGCUAAUUGUAAAUUCUAACUUAACUCUUCAUCUCCUUUGUAAACAAGAAACAAAAUGGAGACACGCAAAAUGAAUAUGGAGAAAAUUUGAACUCAAAUGAAAUGAGGGCACGAAAGCAAACAAAUGGCAUGCACAAAAAAACCAAGCCUCGAUAAAAAACUAAUUAACCAUUAAGAAAAAAAUUGGUCAGAGAAUGAACUCCAAAUUCAGGAGUCAAGCAAGAAGCUUUCAUUAUUUCAGAAGCUCCUGUACAAAUUAAUAAGUUAUGCUCUUUGGAAGCAAACCUAAAUUCCAAGAGAAACAGAACCCAAAAAAUUUGCAAUUAUACGCAAAGGAAGUGAAGCACAGGAUUCUAUCACACAUAGGAAUUGUAUAACAAGAGAUCGAUAUAUCGAAUUAGAAAACUCAAUUCGAAUUUGUGUCAAAAAUCAAAAUUAGAAGAUUUCACAUUUCGAGAGGAACAAGCAACAGAUGAAGUUCAAAAUUUCAGCCAUAACAUGCUAAAAAUGCUACACUUAACGGUUCAUUUUCAUGGAUUUUCUCGGGAAACAAACAGAAAAUUACGGUUUAGAGAGUUGACUGACCUUUUGGCUUUUGAAAUUGACCAGAUCGCGCGCCAAAUUGGAAGAGGGAAAGUGAAAGCGCGAGUUUUAAUAUGGGUAUUAGAUAAGGAAAUUUUAUUAGGUUGCGAGGGUAAAAAAGGAAAGAGAUAUCAUUAUUUUAUUAUCGAUAAUUAUUAAAUUUUUUUCCAAAAAAAAGAACAAGCAAGGAUUUUUUAUUGUCAUCACUAAGUUAAAAAAAAUUGUUUCAAAAUUACUUGAGUCAUAUCCAAUGGACCAACAAAGUAAUCGUUUUUAUUUUUAUUGAUUUUUGCAGGAAAUUAAUAACUUAAAAAUACUGAAAGCUACUGUAAAAAUUUUUAUUAUCAACCUCAUAAUUUUUUUUUUUUGGGGAAGAGAAUUCAAACUUUUUUUUUAUGAAUAUCGCUGUUUCGUUUGAGUUGGAUGUGAAUUCAAAUCCAAAUAUUCUUUGUUUUUCAAUUUUGAACUCAAUUUCUUUUUCUCAAGAAUGUUAUGCAGAAAUAAUUUUUACUAAAUCUUUUUUGAUGAAUUGUUUAAAUUAAACAAUUGGAAUAAGAAUUGUAACGAUUUAUCAUAAGCGUGCUAAUAUGAUAACUUGUUUUACGAAGGAUUAAUUAAUCAAUUAAUAUUAAAUUAUAUAUUAGUCAAUUAGAUAUGUGUUACAUUUAUCAUGUUUUGUAGGUGAUAGUACAUCAUUUCUAAAAGAAUAUAGUACGUUAAAAUAUUAUUUUAAUGAAGAAAAUUUUAUUAUUUUAUUAUUAGGUGACACAAUAAUAAAUGGAUUUCUGUAAGAAUUGAGAUUCUUGAUAUAAUUAUUACAUAAGGAGAAGUUUAGUUGGUUCAAUUUUGACGUGAUAAGAAGACAACACAGCACAGAAAACCCAAAUUGCCACUUCCACUAAUAAAAGAUACCUGUUUGAAAAGUAAUUAUAAACUAUCUUCUUUGUGUUAUUUCUCAAAACUUUUGUGGCACAAAUGUUAUUUCCAUUGACAACAGUACGAAAUACCACCCCUUUCACUUGAGCAGGAGCAAAGCAAAGGUAUGAUGAGCUAUCUCUGUAUAAUUGAAACGCCAUUACUAAACGAUUCUUGAUGAUGGGAGCCACCGUGCCAGCUUUGUCGCUGAUUUGCAUGAUUUAUUAGUUGUCCAGAUGGCGGAUUUUGUACUGUUACCUUCGUUUCAUUCUUCAGAGCCAUGUACUGUUCUAGGAUACCAGAGAAACCAAGGUGGCAUUGAAGUUGCCCUGGUGGUUAGUUUUCCGAUCAUUUUUUUAUUCAAUUAUUUAUGUUUUUAGAAAAAUGUAGGAAAUAUGUAGAAAUGUUGACAGCUAUGAUUUUGAAACUUUUGCCUAAAAUUGUUAUCAUUACUUGUUGUUUCUUAUUUAAAGAGAAAUUCUAGAAACAUGAAAUGAUUAUUCUACGCUUGUUUUAAUAUUGUGCUAUGAAGAUUACGAAGGUUUGAUUAUAUGUCACUAUCAAUUGCCUUAAUCGUUUGUCGUAAAUCAAUUAAGCAUUUUGAUGCGAAUGAUUCCCUAUUAAAAAAUUCAAGUCAGAGCUGAAUUGCAAAGUAGUUAGUCGUGCUUGCAAUUCAAAUUAAGUAUUGUAUUUUCUCCCUGAUUUGGUUGAUUCAACUAUGUGCAUUUGCUUAUGAACGUUGCAGUAUAGAAAUCGAAAUAUCUUGUCUUUUGCUAAGCCCAGAAGCAAAUUCUUUGUAUUCUACUCAUCAGUUUUCUUCAUUCUCUUUGUUGAAAUUUUAUCUAAACAGCGGUUUCUUCGAAUUUAUGCCUUCGCUUACUCUUUUAAAUUUUAUCCAAACAACGGUUUUGAAAUUGUUUUCACUACAAUACCUUAGUCUUUCAGAUGCUCCCGUCACUGAGUUGCCAGAAGAGCUAAAAGCCUUGGUAAAUCUUAAGUGUUUGAACCGGAGUACACAAAUUAUCUCUCUACAUUUCCAAAGCAAUUGAUUUGUUACUUUUCGAUGCUACAUGUUCCGCGAAUAUUCAGUUGUGGUUAUCUUGUUCAGAUACCAGAAAAUAGCGUUAUAUUUAGUGGUAAUGAAUUCUUGGUUUGGGAGUUGCUUAGUUUAAAACGUUUAAAUGUAUUAAGCAUCAUCUUGAAAAGUUUUUCUGCUGUCCAAAAACUUAUGAGCUUCCAAAAGUUUCAAAGCUGUACACAAUGCAUGGAGCUUGUAGACUGUGAUGAUCCAAAGUCAUUUGCCGUGGCAGAGUUGAAGCAUCUUGAAAAACUAGGUUUUUCAAGUUGUGGAAAUUUGGAAGAGUUAAAGUUCUGCUGUGUCGAAGUUGCAAAGGCUCGAGAAUGUUUUCGUUUGAACAGCCCUCACUGAGUUAAGAUGAAGGCUUGUCAUAAAUUGUGGGAAGCGACAGGUUAUUCAAAUAGAAAAAUUUAUGGAGAUGGAUGUUAAUCUUAAGGUUAUUCAAUUAGAAAAAUUUGAAUAAAAUUUAUGGUAAGUGCUUUUCCAUUUAUUGCAUAUUUAUAUCUAAUUUUUAUUUUCCUUUAUUGUUAAAUUUUGGUCUCUAUUUGUUGUUGUAUGGUGGCAUUCUUGUACAAUUAUUAGCUUUUCAUUUCUCUUCUCACAUUAACUGCCCUUCUGAUCAUGUAGGAUUUGCUGAUGCAAAGAGUCAUAAUUUGGGAUACAAAUGUAAGAAUUAGACAGAUGACAUGUUGUUUUGAAGCUCUCAAAGAAGGACUAAUUAUGUCAUUGAAAGCCUCCAAUUUUGUGAUUGGUUUCUUUUUAUUUUAUUUGUUGUUUUCUCUAUUUUCAGAUCACUUAAUUGUUAGUUGUUGUAAUGUAAUGUUUUAGUAUAGCAAAUUAUAUUCGGCCAAGACAGUGAUAGGAGGGCACAUUGUGCAUGCACACUAGUGGAUUUGGCAUGCCAAAUCCAAUUAGGAUGGAUAACACUUUAUAAGCAUUAGGCUUCUCUCAUACCUGAGUAAUAUAGAAUAUGUUUAUAAGUUGUGAAUCACCCUUUACAAGUGUUAGGCUUCUGCUAUACUCAGUGAUGUGAAAUAUAUUUAUAAGCACUAAACUUCUCCCAUACACUUUAUGUUAAUAAUAAUAAUAAUAAUAAUAAUAAUAAUAAUAAAAUAAUAAUAAAUAAACCCAUUUUAACAGACUCUUUUUUCUUUUUCUAUAUGAACAAAUGCAUUCUUCAAAGCAACUGUGGGGAGAAGAAGUGAGUAGAGAAGAACUGAGCCCCUGUCAUUCCCCUAAAACCUCACCAAAACCUCUCUUGUAAGCUUCUCGGAUUUUCUUUCUAUAUUUCUUAGGAACUCAUUUUUUAUUGAAUCACUUAUUUUGCAUGCUGCAUUUUUUGGUUGUCGUAUUUGUGUAUUAUCUUAUCUGGAAUGCUGUUAUGAUUGAUGGAACAAGUAAUCGAUUUUUGGUCUAAUGGAAGUUGAUUUAUUUAUUUAUUGUUGUUUUUAUUUGAAAUUAUGUACAAUUGUAUUUCAUUCAUUUCUCUCUCUUUUGCUUUUUUCCCCCCAUAUAUUUGUUAUGUAUAAUUGCGUUUCAUUUAAUAUUGAUCAUACUGUAGGUAACCAUGUGAUUGUAGAUGGGGAUUUCGAGUUUGUUGAAUAUUCAUGUAAGUGAAGUAACCGUCACAAUACUAGUGAAAUUGGGAGCUUUAUUCAUGAGUUUGUGGUUUUGAAAAGUACCACAGUUCAACUGGUGAAGGCUCCGUUUUGGGAUUCUUCUUUUUCUAGGCUGCAAUUAGGAUAUGUACAUGAUAGACAAUCUUUUGUUGGUUUAGCAUAUCUUCGCUGAUUUUGUCUUUUAUUCCCCAAUUUUAUAAUUACACACCAUGAAUGUUGGGUGAUUGUAUAGAAAAUUUGUGUUAUAACAAAAACAUUGUGAAGGAGUUUCCGUGCUAAUAGUUAGUGGCUUCUGUUUUAUUGGCAUUGAUUGGGUAGAUUACGUGUUACAGUGAUUCAAUUUGUGUUCCAAACUUUGCUUUAAUUUUCUGUUUUCCCCAACUAUUUAUGUCAAAUUUAAAUCCAGAAGCAUGUGCUGAUUUUUUCUUUUUGUAUUAAUCUGUGAAGUUUAUUUGGAAUGGAAGUAACUGGGUCGGGUCUAAUGGAUUAAAUUAUGACAUUGAGGGGAAGGCACUAAAAGGGUUUGCUUGACACAUUUGGUUCUGUGUUUACUCUGCAAGAAAUAACUUUUGCUUAUUGCAAUGCAGGGGGAAAUCCCGAUUUGGCUGGUGAAUUUCUCUGCAACAAACAGGCAAACACCUCAACAUCUUCUGUCCAUACUUCUGCUGGGGAGGCAAGGGGUAAAGAGUCUUCAAAAUCAUCAAAUAGUUACAUCUCUGAGAAUUCAUUUUAUGGAAAUGGAAAAUCUAGAGUUUCUAAUACAAAAUGGCAUCUGGUAUCAGGACGUACCGUUUCAAGUUUUCUUGGUAAAGAUUAUGUUAAACCUGCACAGCCAGCUAAUGGCACUUUUCUGGCAUCAAAGCCAUUGAAGUUGGAUCCAAGGGAGUUUCGCAUUUCUGCACUUUCAGAGAAGAAACUAAACCGACAAUCAAAGGAUGACCAUUUGCAGAAGGAUAUGGAAGAUUUUCUUUUUAAAUUGCUAGGAGAAGGGUUCCAGCUGUACAGGGAUGUGAUUCAGGAGGUUCAUGGUAACGUCUUAAAUAUAUUGAUGCCAAUUUAAUACAUAUUGUCCUUUUCAAUGUUCUUUCUUUCUUUCUCCUCUUUUUAUUAUUCUUCUUCUUCUUUUUUCUUUUCAUGUGCAUGUGAUCACUAAUUUGGUAUUAUUCUUGACUUGCAGAUAGUUGUGGAUAUGAAAUGCAAAAGGUAAGGGCUAUAUCUUCUUGAUGGAGGCCUCUGAUUUUUUAAAUCGCAUUUUCCUUUGUGAUUGAUAUAUCAUACCAAAGUCAAGUCUUAAAUACUGCUGUCAUAUGUUAAGGUUCAACUUCCAUUUUGAUUAACGUCGAUUUGCUACUGCUUCCAAAAGUGAGAAUGAGAUACUUUGGUUAAUUUCAGUAGUUGAACUCAAUGGAGUACUUUAUUUAGAUCUUCAUGGUUCAAAGGCCUGAAAAAACUUGCCGGUAUUUGCAAAAUGACAUCUGUGCUUUUAUUUAGACUUAUUAUUAAAGACAACAUUUUAUUUCAGCCAAAAAUGUUUGUUUCAAUUAAAGACUUGAACCAUUUUCAUUUAACCUGAUUGUGAUGCUUUACAUUAUGCAUGUUCCUCUCAAUCAAUAAAAGUUGAGGUCAUGAUUUUAUAUUUCUAUUUUGUAACUUGAAAUAAUUGGUCUGCCUGUUUCUGUUGCUUGAUAACAUGAAUUUUUCCUUCUGAAGUUAAUUUGAUCAAUAAAGUAAUUCUUCGGAGAGGAUAUGCCCAUUCUAUAGUCAUUUUCUUAGCUAACAUGUUUUUUCUUCACUCUUCAAAGCAUGUCUAAACUAAUUGAUCGCUCAGCGGAGACUUUGGGUGAGAAGACAAAAUUUCUUGGUAAAUCCUCUGAAAAGGUAUGCAUAAUUCCCGAGUAUUAAAUAAUCAUUGGUCAUAAUUUUUGUACACGACUCUUGUUUUGGAGAUCGUUAAAAGUGGUUGAUGAUCUAUUUUGUAAUAUCAUAGAGGGAUCAUGAAUUCCUUUUCUUUUCUGUGGCUAGGCAACACUUUCGAGCCAAGCUAAGGAAAUCUAUUUUAGGUAAUGUGAAAACUAGUUGUAGGAUGUAAUAGUUUAUUAUGCCCUGACAAUAACUUUUUGUAUAAUUGUCAGUUUAAUGAAUACAAGAGGAACUCUGUUGGCAAGUUCAUCCAUGAUAGAUGCUAAAAUUAUUUAUGCAUACCAGUUGCCUUAACUAAUUUUUCUCAACACUGGUAUUGAACAGGAAAAUGAAUAUGCAAUUUGUAUAUUGUGCCAUUGUGGAGAAUUUGGAUAUUCUUAUUUAAGUAACAAGGAGAGUAUUUGCCUCAUCUUUAAACAAUGAAUCUUUGAGAAAUGAGGAGUGGGUGAUUGACAGUGUCUUCAUGUAAAUGUUCAUUUAUUUGUAUUUUGAACUAUUAUGAGAAUCUUUGUAUGCCAAAUUAGUAAUACAAAUGUUCAGAUGAUUUUUCCUGUUGAUCAUGCGUGUGUAUCUGCACACAACCAUUGUGUACCACUUUAUUCUGAUGCACAAAUAUCUGUAGUUUAGAAGAAAAGAAAUAAUAAUCAUAUAUUAUUGCUUGGUUCAUGAUUAUUAAAUGAUUAUGGCUUUAGAAAAUCCACAAAUCCUUUGUGUUCAUAUAUGAAUGUGCGAAGUUCGCUAUAUCUUAGAUUACCUUCUUCCAAGAUAACAAGUUCAUAUAUUUUUUUUAAUCCUUUUUCAUCACAGUUGAAUUUCAAGUGUAAGUUUUGUUAUUAAUAGCUGGUUUCCUGUUAUUAUGAUUUCAUAAACAAUGAGAGGAUAUGUGCUCUACUUUUGGAUGGCCUCCACAUAAAAGAAAAUUGCAACAAUUGAAUUCUUCUGGAGGGUAUGGUAUUUAAUUUAUUUUCUCAGCUUGUUGUAAGACUAAUAUAUUUCCUUCAGUACGCACGGCAUGGUGGGAAGGGUUUUUAUUGAAAGAAUUAUGAUAUUUCUUAGACUUUGUUUUGGAAGGGGGUGGAGGGAUUUCUCAUCCAUGUAUGGUUACUUGAUUAGCUUUUGACUGUACUGUCUCCGUCGUGCAAAGGAAAAUCCAAAUACUAACGAAGGGGAAUUGCUUAGGCACCCAAAGGACAGAAAUGAAUUACGGAAGGAGGUUUUUGCUGCUUUAUUUAGUGCUGCUGAGAAAUCUGAUGAAUUUCCUGAAAUUACGGUGAAGACGGAGUGGAGGUCCAACGCAUUAGGAAAGGUGGUGAGUGAACCGCCAGAGGAAUUAGUACCAGAAUACAAGGCUAAUGUGGUGCACUGGCAGCAAGAUGACCAGACCUGUAUGUGCUCUUAUAUUAACUAUAUUGGCUGGAUUUGUGAGUGUGUUCAUUUUUGUGUGUAUACUCACUUUUGUAUUUAUGCAUAUUCACGUGUGUAGGAUUCUCGAUUUCUGCCACUUACUGGAGAACUAGUGGAAAGCUUUAUACUGAUAUAUGUGCUAUAUAACUAAUGGAAACUACAAUAUGAAUAUUUUCUCUCACCUGGAGAGCAGUGUAACUAAUAUAAUUUGUGGCUCUGGAAUACUGAAGAUUCUGCAAUAACUAAUGGAAAAUAUGAUAUGAAUAUUUUUUCUCACCUGGAGAACUUUGUAACAGAUACAUUUUGUGCUGGAAUGUCUAAAGAAUGCUUCAGUUUAUAUCAAAUAUCUUUUAGUUAGAAAAGAUAAAAUUCUCUGAAUCUGAAAGACUGAAACAUUUUGCAUAUUUCGUGAAAGGCAAGUAUCUGUAGAUACUAGCUCAUGCAUUGAGGUAAUAUCAAUGUUAAAGAAAAACAGCAAUAAUUUAUUAUACAGAAUUAGGUUCACUUGCUUUAAAUGCUGGUCUGAUCAACCAUAUCAACCUGUAAUGGUCCUGCAGAAAUAUAUAUACGGGGAGAAACUAGCUAAUUUUCCUUUCACUUAUGGGUUUGGUCUUUUUUUCCCCAAUUUUUCAGCUUUCCUUCUCCUGAAGUAUGUUAAUAAUUGCAGAUAAUGGCGAAGAGGACUGCUUCCAGGCUACCGGCAAAAACUUUGUGAAAGCUUUGGAGUUAAACAGGGAAUUCACUUACUGCUAAGGACAAUUGGUGGCGAGCUAUUUCAUUCAUUUUAUGUCCAUACAUCUAUUUAAUUAUUAAAGAUAAUGUACGCAUUUGUAAAUUUCAGAUUGUGUGUCUCUGAAAAUAACAAUAUUUAAAAUGUCUCUUAAAUUAUUAUAAAUUUUAAUUUACUCUCGAUUUAAAAUGGAACAUGUUGGUGAAAUAUUUUUUCUUCUUAAUAAAAUUGAAAUAAAUUAUGUUAGCAGUAGUUUGAAAUAUUUUAAAGAUGAUUAUUUUAUAAGGGAGUAAUAUGAAAUGAAAUUUACUUUUCAUGCGUGAAAUGUUGAAAAAGGACAAAGCAAGUGUCCCUGCUUUUAUUUUAUUUCAAAGUGGAGUCAUCUCACAUACUUUAGCUCUAUCAUUAGGAGCCGGCUAAGUUACGUUAAACGUAAUUUACGCCAGGCACAGCAAUAAUGACAAGUCCCAUGACUAGUAUUGUUGCUGUGUCUGACGUAAGUUACGUUUAACGUAACUUAGCCAAAGCCCUAUCAUUAAUAUAUAUUUAAAUUUAACACAUGCAUGUGGGUUACUUUUCCGUAAGUUCCUUAAUAUAUAUUUAACACAAAUCAUGGAAGAGAUGGGAGUAUAUCAAGAUGAUCAAAGCAUGAAACAAAAAUAUUUAAGAAGUAAAACACUGAAAAUGGAGAAGAGAUGCAAGCAAAAGAUAUUCUAAAGAAAAGCAAUCUAUCCCCUUUCGAGGGCAAACUUAUCAGGUUUAAGAAAAGUACAUGCUUUGGAUUGGUAGUUGCAGCCUUGCAGGAUAAUUGUUUUUGCCACUAUAUUAGUUGGAGGAGUUGAACCCAGUGAAGAAUGUUAUGGAAGAGCAAAUGAUAUUUCUGAUAGACUCUAUUUGAUUAUGUAGCCUGAAUAGAUGUCUUGUUGAAAGAUAUAUCAGUGCAUUAGUUCAUCCUUGUCUGUCAAUGUGUUUUUAAUGGUUUUUCCAAUUGUUUUUUUUUUUUUUGAAACUGAUUAAGCAUCAGGUUACUGCAUUACACAGAUAUAUAUACAACUGCUAUGACAGCAGGUCAUUACACUGAUAUUUACAAUCAGAUAUAUAUACAUGGGACUUAUAUUAUUACAUUUUUAUUCUAUGAAGUACAUGCCCAUCCCAAAUACCCCUCACGGAGGAGGGAUGUCUCUACUCCACUCGCAUUUCGCAAGGGAGAAAGACGUUUAUAGAAAUCUCCACACAAUUAUGUUUAAUUGGAGGAGGUUGAGUCCGUGGGGACUCGAACCAUUGCCCUCAAAGUCAUGCUUAACUUUGAGGGCAAUGGUCCACCACUGGGCUACAAGCCCAAGUGGCGGUUUUUCCAAUUGUUUAUUGCUAUAGAUUGAUUGUAAAUUGAUGUGAACUUAAUGUUGAAAUAUUUUCUCUUUAGUGGAAUGAAAGUUAAACAUUCAAGAUUAGAUUAUUCAAGGUCCACAUAGUAUGUGUUCCGUUGUGUUGUCUGUAAUUUUGCAUUUAAAUAAAUUUGAGUGCUGCCGUUUCGCUCCCACAAUCUCUCGCCUUUUUUUAAUUUUAAAAAUUAAAAUAUUAAUAAAAAACAAUAAAGAAAAUCGAAUCCUUUAUGUCAUUCCAUCUUUACAACUCUCUCUCACAAACUCCAUCUAACAGACUUCUCUCUUACUAUCUCGGUCGAACAAGACCAGUGACAAUGAUGACACGACCGCCGACGAUGAGAUGGUCAUCGCUAAAGAAUCGGGCCGUGUAUUUUACAAUUUCUUGGUUUGUGACAACAAUGGAAAACUCCUGAAAAUUUUGAAUUUGUAGUCGAGCAAAGGAAGAAGCAAGUUAUCUUCAAAGCAUUUUCCAGUAAUAGCUGAUGAAAUUUAAUACUUCAAGCUGGCCCUUUGCUGUCACAACUAGAUGCAUUUGCACUGUCAUUACAAUUUAUGGAAAUUAAAGUAAUUAAUGGUUCUAAUUAAUAGCUUCCCAAAAAACCAAUCUGCCCUUGUGAGAACCAAAGCAUUAAUUUCUUGUAAGAGCUGCAGAAGGCCAGAGAAUUUCAGAUCGUGAAAAGGAGUGUGUGAGUGAGAGAGAGAUCGUGAAAUAGUGAGAGACAAUGAGAGAGAGAGCCGCUCGACUGAGAUGGUGAGAGAGUUGCAAAAAUGGAGUAAGGAGCAGAUAAGAUUAUGUUUUCUUUAUUAUUUUUUAUUAAUAUUUUAAUUUUUUUAAUUAAAAAAGGGCGAGAGAUUUUGGGAGUGAAACGGCAGCAUGUUCCAAUAAAUUUUUACCAAAGUUUCUCUCGUGUUUCUCUCACCUUUCUAGAUACCAAGCAUUUUCCAAUAAAUUUUUACUAAAAACUUAGCAAGCCCUUGAAACUUUGGUCAAAAUUAUUGUUAUUAUUACUUUUAGAGGAAAAACUUUUAUUAAAACCUCAUUAACACAAUUCUUAAUUAAAAUUAUAAGUUUGUGUUGGUGUAAGGAUUUGCAGGAGCAAUUACUGCCUAGCCAAGUGUCAAAAGCACAAAAUAAAUCAAGAGAAAGUAGACAUGAAUUAGGAUCCAAUGAAAUUUAAAUCCCGGAGAAAAGAAAUAAUCAUGCAGAUUAUCAAGAUUUCAAUAAGGGAUAUUGAUAUCCUAUUUUGAUUAAUAAUAUCCUUUUACUGUGUUAACUCAAAAAAUAUGUAUAUUCUAAUAUUUUACAAUAAAUAGAAAUCUAAUAUUAAAAUAAAUGUGAUAUAUAUAUAUAUAUAUUAAAUAAUUUAAAUAUAAAAAAUAUUUUAAUGUUUUACAAUCUACUACACAUAUUUUAUUAAGUUAAUAUAAUUUUUCAAAUAAAUAGGGACAUAAUAUUAAAAUAAAUUUAUAAAAAUUUAAAUUAUUUUGAAUUUAAAAUAAUUUUAAUAUUAUUAAUAUGUUAGAUAUGUUUGAUUAAUUAUAAAAAUUAUUUACGCAAAUUUUUUUAAUAUUUUCAGUAGAUAUAAAUAUAUUACUUACAUUUUGAUUAUUUAACUAUUAUUAUUCUACAAUUAUUUAUAUAAUGUUUGCACUUAUUAGAAUAUAUUUAAAGUCAAAUCUUUUGCACUUCUACCUAGCUAGAAUUAUUGGACGCAGAGAAAUAAGCAUAUAUGCUUUAUAACUUUAGAAAUCGAAUUAUCUAUACAAAUUGAUUUUAGCUGGAAAAAAAGUGAGCUGAAUGAUAUAGGCGAUUAGUGUGGUAAUAUUUCAUAGAGUUAGACUAUUGAAUUUGGCACCCCUCCAAUCUUCUCAUGAUUACCUUUUUGAGUUAUUAAUACACUUCUAAUUUUUCGUUUAAUUUUUUUUAUUGUUAUACUCAAAGUAGUAUUGUGAUAUUUUAUAUUUCUUUUGCAAUCUUAUUAUUAUUUUACACAAAAUUAAAAAGUUUUCUAGGUGAUGAACUUUUGAGUUUUGAACAUUAAUCAUUGGCUUAAAUUUCAUAUAUUUUACAUUAUAAUUUGAAAUUAAGUACGAAAAUAUUUAAUAAAUUAUGAAAAGAUUAACAGAUUAUUCUAAAUUGAUACAACUUAUUUUAGUUAAAUAAAAAGUAACAGGUAAAAAAAAAAAGGAUUGGUUAUGAAAUUUGUUGGAAAAAAAUCUGUGUGUGUUUAAUUUUUAUUUGUCCUUAAUUGUAAUUUAUUUGAAGUGAGGUUUUAUAAGGAUAAUGAAGGGGUGCCAUAGUUUCACUCUAUUUCAUAUGGAGAGAGAAGUAAAAGGUACACCUGAGGUUAAUGGAAAGGACUUCGAAAGUUUCUUUUGAUUAUAAUACUGUUUGUUCUAAUUAACUUAAAAAAUUUUACUUUAAUAUUUUAUAAUAAAUUAAAUUUUAAUCUUAAAAUAAGUAUAAUCAUAUAUUUUAAAAUAAUCUUAAAAUAAAUACAAUCAUAUAUUUUAAAAUAAUCUUAAAAUAAAUACAAUCAUAUAUUUUAAAAUAAUCUUAAAAUAAAUACAAUCAUAUAUUUUAAAAUAAUCUUUAUAUUUAAAAUUUAUUUAUUUGUACAUAUUUUAUAAUAAAUAUAACACAUACUAUUAAAAUAAUAUAUAAAAAAUUAAAGUAUUUUGAAUAUUAUAUAAAAUAACUUUAAGAUUCUUAAUAUGUAAGAUAUAUUUUAUUAAUUUAAAAUUCUAUUUAAAAUUUUAUUAAUUUAAAAUUCUAUUUAACCCAAAGAUUUAUUUAAGAUAAAUUAAUAAUCAUAUUUUUUAAAUCAUUUCAAAUAUUAAAAAAUAUUUUGAUAUUACUAGUCUAUUAAAUAGAUUAAAUAUUUUUAUUAUUUUGUACUAAUCAAAAGUUACAGCUCGAAUGAUAUUAUGAGAACAGAAUUUUUAUGUCUUUAUUAAAAAUUUGGGUUUGUAUAAUUAUUUUUUCAAAUGUUAGGGGCAUAGCUGUCUUUUUACUUUUAUAUAUGUGAACCGCGGUGGUGAAAAAGUGUGAUUUAAUAUUAGUUAUUUAAAUAAUAUCUGAAUUAAAGAUGUACAGAGAAGAAAUUUCGGUGGGCAUUUUAGUCUUUUAACGAUUAUCAUGAUUAGGGAUUAGGUCCUGCUCUUGAAACGUUGGUCAGAAAAGUUCUAAAAUGCGUACAUUAUCUUUACUUUAAAAAAGUUAUUUUAUUUUAUUACAAAUUAAUGCCGACAAGAAAAAGCAAGAUCUUAAANNNNNNNNNNNNNNNNNNNNNNNNNNNNNNNNNNNNNNNNNNNNNNNNNNNNNNNNNNNNNNNNNNNNNNNNNNNNNNNNNNNNNNNNNNNNNNNNNNNNAUAAAGAUGAAGAAAAGGGCAAAAAAAUAUUAAUGAUUAACGAAAUCUCUAUCCAAAUUGAUUUUAGCAGGAAAAAAGUGAGCUAAAUGAUGUAGACGAUUAGUGGUAAUAUUUCAUAGAGUUAGACUAUUGGCACCCUUCCAAUCUUCUCACGAAUCCUCUUUUUGAGUUAUAUUUAUUUUAUUUUUAAAAUAUCUUUUUUCUCUUUUACUACACUUCUAAUUUUUCAUUUAAUUUUUUUAUUGUUAAACUCAAAGUAGUAUUGUGAUAUUUUUAAUUUCUUUUGCAAUCUUAUUAUUACUCUGCAUAUAAAUUAAAAAGUUUUUUAGGUGAUGAAUUUUUGAAUGUUAAUCAUUAGCUUAAAUUUCACAUAUUUUACAUUACAAUUUGAAAUUUAAUAUGAAAAUAUUUAAUCAAUAAGAAUUAUGAAAAGAUUAAUAAAUUAUUCUAAAUUUAUACAACUUAUUUUAGUUAGAUCAGAAGUAGCAGGUUAACAAAAGAAAGGAUUGGUUAUGAAAUUUGUUGGAAAAAAAUCUAUGUGUGUUUAAUUUUUAUUCGUUGUUAACUCUAAUUAAGUAGGUUAAAUAUUUUUGUUAUUUUUUACUUAUCAAAAAAUUUAAGAUCAAUAUUUUUAGUUACCAUUCGAAGGAUAUUAUGACAAAAACAGAAUUUUCACUUCUUUGUUAAAAAUUUGGGGGUUUGUGUAACUAUUUUUUCAAAUGUUAGGGGCAUAUCUGUCUUUUUACUCUAUAUAUAUGAACCAUGGUGGUGAAAAAGCGUGAUUUAAUGUUAUUUAUUUAAAUAAUAUCUCAAUUAAAAAUGUAAGGAGAAGAAAUUUCGGUGGGCAUUUUAGUCUUUUAACGAUUAUCAUGGUUAGGCCCUGGUCUUGAAACGUUGGUCAGAAAAGUUCUAAAAUGCGUUCAUUUGUCUUUACGCCAACAAUAAAAAGCAAGAUCUUAGUGUCCCACAAAAGCAAAUCGUAAUAUUCCGCAAUGGAGUUAGAUCCGCAAAAGCAAACAAAUUCUUUUAUUAAACUACAAAUUAAAGUGGAAUCAUUUACUAAACAACAAAUUAAAUUUGAAAUAUUUAAAUAGUCGUGCGUUAGACGAUUAGAGACUCUUAUUAAAGGCAAGUACAAAGUAGUGAAGAAUCGAAUAUUUCUAUUGUCUAGUCUUUUUUUAAAAAAAAUUUUCUUUUAUUAUUUUUCAGAAUAUGUUUUGGUGAUUACUAUUGGGUUAUUAUUCAGAGUUAUUGUUAUCUUCCGGGGCAGUUUCUGUUCAUCGAAUUCGUUAAUAAAAUUUUAAAACUCUUAUUGAAAGAAUGUUUUUCCGUUAUCUUUUUUAUAAUCUAAUUUUAAGUGUAAGAAGUAGUCAUUUUAGAAUUUGGGUCUUGAAUCGAAUUUCAAUGCAUGAAUUAAUAUUUAAAAAAAAUUUACUACAUGCAGUUUAGGUUACAAACUAUUUUUUGCAAAGUUGACUAUGAAAUUGGAGAAAUUAAGUAAUUUAUAAUGUUUGCAAAGAAAGAGACCAACAUACUUCCAAUUACACUAUAUCUCAAUUAUCAUAAUGUUAAGAUUAAACUAACUUAAAAUAAAAUUUAUUUAAAAAGUUUAUCAAACGCAGUCUAAUUUUAUUAACUUGAAGAGAUAAUAGUUAUAGAAAUUAUUAUUCUAACUUAAUUAGUAAAAGUGGUAUAAAGGUUAAGUGUGCACUAAAUCUAUUUAAAUUUUUUUCCAGUAUAACUAACAGAGGUCAUUACUAGAAUUAUAUUACUAGUCUAUUAGAUAGAAAAAAUUAUUUAUAUUGUUUUAUAUUUAUUAAAAAAAUUUAAAGUCAAUCUUUUUAAUUACUAUUUAAAGGAUAUUAUAAUUAAAAAAAUUUUAAUGUCUUCAUUAAAAAUUUAAAAUUUUAUAUGACCGUUAUCUAAAUAUUUAAAGUGUAACUGUCAUUUUCUCAUAUAUAUAUAUAAUUUCAUCAACCCCUUAUACUUUAUGUUAUUUAUAUUUUAUUCAUGAAUAUUAUAAAUUUUUUGAAAUAUAAAAUUUCGUUUAACCCUUUAUACUCAAUUUUAUUUUAUUAAAACCCUAGAGUAUGAAUUCGUCCCUAUAAUAUUAAAUUCUCAAAAUAACUUCCAUUUAAUUAAAAAAUAUAAUUAUUAUUAAAUGAAUUAUAAUUAUUAUUAUUAUGUUAUUAUAAUCAUAAAAAGCGAGAUCAUAUUCCACAAAAGCAUAAGUGACAAAACAACCAACUGGAUUCUUUUAUUAAUCAACAAAUUGUAUAGUCUUUUUCAAAUUGUUAUAAAUUGGUGGCCCCUACAAUCCUCAAUAAUUGUACCGAAAUUCACAAGUUGGUGGGCCCUACAAUUCUGUUCCGAUAAUUUAACUGUGCAAGUGCUCAUUCACAAUCUUCCAGGUCAUGCUCUUAACAAUUGUUUUUUCUUUUCUGCACGCCCUUUCAUGCUCUUAAUAAUUGAAGAGCAUACUUUUCAAAUGUGAAGCCGCAUCUAAUGUCGCUAAUUUAAUUUGGGAUUAAAUUACGGGACUAUUAUAUUGCAGUGUGCACUAAUUUUUAUGUUUAUCUAAACUCUUCAAAUUUAAAACAUAUUAUGGCAUAAAUAAGAAUGUAACAAUAACAAAAGAGUAAGAAAGUGUAGAGAAAAUCUUGCAGAAAUAUAAAUAAUAUUUAUUUUUAAAAUAAUAUUAAUAUUUAAAAUAAUUUUUAAUAUUUUAUGGUCCAUUAGAUAUAUUUUAUUAUAUUAAAAUAAAUUUUAUAAUAAAUAAAAACAUACUAUUAAAAUGAAUAUAUAUAGAAAAUUUAGAGUAUUUUAAGUAUUAUAUAAAAUAAUUUUAAUAAAAUAUGUGAGAUAUUCAUAUUUUAUUAAUUUAAGAUACCAUUUAACCUAAAGAUUUAUUUAUGAUAAAUUAAUAAUUAUAUUUUUGAAAUUACUUCAAAUAUUAAAAAAAUUAAUAUUACUAAUAUAUUAGAUAGAUUAAAUUAUAUAUAUUAUUUUUACUUAUUAAAAAAAUUUUAAAAUUAUUUUUAAUUACUAUUCAAAAAACGUAUUCAAAAAACAUAAUGAUAAAAAAAUCUUAACAUCUUUAUUAAAAAAUUAAAAACUUAUAUGAUAAAUUCUCUAAAUAUUUACGGUAUAUGUGAACCACGGUGGAUAAGCUUUAUUUAAUAUUAUUGAUUUAAAUAAUAUGUCAAUUAAAAAUGUACAGAGAAGAAAUUUCGGUGGGUAUUUUAGUCUUUUAAGCAAUUAUCAUGAUCAGAUCAGCCUUUAGCCUUCAAACGUCGGUCAGAAAAGUUUUAAAAUUAAUGCUAAAUUGUUUUUCACUUUUAACGUUGGUGGCCUUGAAAUUGCUUGUAUUUUAUUAAAAAUUAAUGCUAACAAGAAAAAGCUAGGUCAUAUUCCACAAAAUCAAAAGUGACAAAACAACCAGCUGGUUUCUUUUACUAAACUACAAAUUAAAAUAAAUUUUUUCGAUAAAUUACAAAUUAAAGUGGAUUCUUUUGAAUACAAAUGGGACAGACGAUUAGGCUCUUUUUAUUAGAGGCAAGUAAAAACUAGUCAAGAAUCGAACAGUCUUUUUCCAAUUCUUGUUUUAUUAUUUUUCAAAACUAGUUUUUGGUAAUUACAACCGGGUCAUUAAUCAUUAUUCAGAGUUAUCUUCCGGGGCAGUUUCUGUUCAUCGAAUUCGUUAAUAAAAUGUUAAAACUCUUAUUGAAAGAAUGUUUUUCCGUUAUCUUUUUUAUAAUCUAAUUUUAAGUGUAAGAAGUAGUCAUUUUAGAAUUUGGGUCUUGAAUCGAAUUUCAAUGCAUGAAUUAAUAUUUAAAAAAAAUUUACUACAUGCAGUUUAGGUUACAAACUAUUUUUUGCAAAGUUGACUAUGAAAUUGGAGAAAUUAAGUAAUUUAUAAUGUUUGCAAAGAAAGAGACCAACAUACUUCCAAUUACACUAUAUCUCAAUUAUCAUAAUGUUAAGAUUAAACUAACUUAAAAUAAAAUUUAUUUAAAAAGUUUAUCAAACGCAGUCUAAUUUUAUUAACUUGAAGAGAUAAUAGUUAUAGAAAUUAUUAUUCUAACUUAAUUAGUAAAAGUGGUAUAAAGGUUAAGUGUGCACUAAAUCUAUUUAAAUUUUUUUCCAGUAUAACUAACAGAGGUCAUUACUAGAAUUAUAUUACUAGUCUAUUAGAUAGAAAAAAUUAUUUAUAUUGUUUUAUAUUUAUUAAAAAAAUUUAAAGUCAAUCUUUUUAAUUACUAUUAAAGGAUAUUAUAAUUAAAAAAANNNNNNNNNNNNNNNNNNNNNNNNNNNNNNNNNNNNNNNNNNNNNNNNNNNNNNNNNNNNNNNNNNNNNNNNNNNNNNNNNNNNNNNNNNNNNNNNNNNNNNNNNNNNNNNNNNNNNNNNNNNNNNNNNNNNNNNNNNNNNNNNNNNNNNNNNNNNNNNNNNNNNNNNNNNNNNNNNNNNNNNNNNNNNNNNNNNNNNNNNNNNNNNNNNNNNNNNNNNNNNNNNNNNNNNNNNNNNNNNNNNNNNNNNNNNNNNNNNNNNNNNNNNNNNNNNNNNNNNNNNNNNNNNNNNNNNNNNNNNNNNNNNNNNNNNNNNNNNNNNNNNNNNNNNNNNNNNNNNNNNNNNNNNNNNNNNNNNNNNNNNNNNNNNNNNNNNNNNNNNNNNNNNNNNNNNNNNNNNNNNNNNNNNNNNNNNNNNNNNNNNNNNNNNNNNNNNNNNNNNNNNNNNNAUUGUGGGCACUCUUGUUCGUGCAUGUUUGCUAGAAGAGAUGGAAGAUGAUAAAGUAAAAAUGCAUGACGUUGUUCGUGAUAUGGCUUUAUGGAUAGCUUGUGAAAUUGAGAAGGAGAAGAGAAACUUUUUGGUUUGUGCAGGUGCUCGAUUAGAAGAGGCACCGGGUGUUAAAGAAUGGGAAAAUGUGAGAAGAUUGUCAUUGAUGCAAAACCAAAUUGAAACUGUGUCAGAGAUUCCCGCAUGCCCUCAUCUCCAUACUCUAUUUCUUGCCUCUAAUAGGAAUUUCAGGAUGAUCACGGAUGGCUUCUUUCAAUUUAUGCCUUCUCUCAAAGUUUUGAAGAUGUCACGCUGUGGGCAAUUCGAAGGUUUUCAAUUACCUGUUGGGAUGUCAGAGUUGGGUUCAUCACUAGAACUUCUUGAUAUUUCACAUACCACCAUAAGAGAGUUACCCGAAGAGUUAAAGUUGCUGGUAAAUCUGAAAUGUUUGAAUUUGAGGUGGACAGGUGCGUUAAUUAGAAUUCCACGGGGACUAAUAUCAAAAUUUUCAAGGUUACGUGUGUUGAGAAUGUUGGGUACUGGCGGGUUCAUUUUUUAUGAAGCACCAGAAGACAGCGUUUUAUUUGGUGGGGGUGAAGUUUUGAUACAGGAAUUGCUCGGUUUGAAAUAUUUAGAGGUAUUGGAGUUGACCUUGGGAAGUUAUCAUGCUCUCCAAAUUCUUUUGAGCUCAAAUAAGUUAAAAAGUUGUAUUCGAUCUCUUUACCUCUAUUUGACCGGAGAUAAAAAGUCGAUUAUUGAUGCUACGGCUUUCACAGACCUAAACCACCUCAAUGAAUUAUGGAUUGAUAAUGGAAUUGAGUUGGAAGAAUUGAAGAUUGAUUAUACGGAGAUAGUACGAAAAAGGCGGGAACCUUUUGUUUUCCACAGCCUUCACCUUGUUACGAUAUAUAGUUGCCAUAAAUUGAAAGAUUCGACAUUCCUCGCUUUUGCUCCAAACCUCAAGUCUCUUUCGCUAUUCAAAUGCCGUGCUAUGGAAGAAAUAAUCAGCGUCGGAAAAAUUGCUGAGAAUCCUGAGAUGAUGGGACAUAUAAGCCCUUUUGAAAAUCUCAAAAGUCUUGAUCUAUCAUAUUUGCCGGAGUUGAAGAGCAUUUUCUGGAAGCCAUUGCCUUUCACUCAUCUCAAAGAAAUGGGGGUAAGAGCAUGUGAUCAGCUUAGAAAGCUUCCACUCGAUUCCAACAGUGCAAAAGAGCGUAAAUUUGUAAUUCGUGGAGAAGAAGACUGGUGGAACCGACUUCAAUGGGAGGAUGAAGCCACUCAAAUUGCUUUUCGUUCCUGUUUCCAACCUGAUUCCUGAGCGGUGGUCGCAAAAUUUGAUUUCUGGUGAGUGCGUUUGUCUUUUAAAAGAAGAAUUUAAAAGAAAUUUAUUCUUGACGUUUUCUUCACUGUUUUUAUUUCAGUCUCUCUCUCUCUCUUUUUGUCUUCUGCUAAUCACAAUUAAAUGUUGAAUUAAUGGAAUUAAUGCUUCAUAAAUUUGCCGGCACUGCCAUUACUUUUUUUUUUUUUAAUACAAAUUGAUACUUUAUUUAUAUCUUCUUAGCGAUUUAAUUUCCUGUCAAUUGACGAACGAGAAGAACAUAUGACUUGAACCAAUGCUCGCAUAAACUUGCUGUAAAAAGAUAUAAUCUCACUGAAAUGCACACGCCUAGAAUGAAUAGAAUUAAAACAGGGAAAAUAUUAAGUAUAUUAGCCCUCUUUACCGAAAAUCAAAUGACAAUAAAUUUUUUGAAGUUUUGAUUUUCUAUGGUCAAUUCCACCUUUUGCAAUUUCUUCUGUUCUAACAAAAACCAAUUUCUUUGUUCAAGUAUUUUCGUUUGGGUAUUAAUAAUUCUCCACCGAAAGAGUGAACUCUUGCUCAAGGGAUCUCUAAUCAAUAGCCGGAAGGGCGCCGAGACCUGAUCGGACCUAGGCCCAAGUUUGGUCUUAAAGCCUGGGCUUGAGCCUGGCAAUUAAAUUAAAACAGUAAUUGAUUUCUUGAAUGAAUUGUCGUGUAAUUGAUUUAUGGGGGAUGACACAUCAACAUACUUGAAAAUACACUAAUCUCAGCAUCAUCCGUUAAUAACUUUUAGAUUUAUGGGCAAUCAAUAGUUAAAUUAGUUGUCAUUAAUACUAAAUAAUUUUUACUUUUUUUGUCUCUUCUAGAGGAUCUUCUAGAAAAAUGCAUCCACAAUUAAAUUUAAUACUUUACAUAAUAAAGAAAGCAUAAAUGUUAAAUUUAAGAAACUGCAUUGUAUUUCAGCUGAAGUUGACUUUAAUAUUUAGGGUAGAAAAAAAUUAAAUCCUUAAUGUGUUUAAUUUCUAUCACUUGUGUCAUUAAAAUUUUCUAGUCACCCUAACCAAUUACAUCUCAACCCACUUUUUUUUGGAUGAUUUUAUUUUUACACUAUUAUUUUCAACAUUUUUUUUUCCUUUUAACACCAACAUUAGUGUAUGUUACGUAACAUAAUCCAUAUUUGGAUAAUUUGAAAUUUGUUUGUGUUUUAUCUCAAAAUAGAGCUUCAAUCAAUUUGUACCUCAUAAAUUCACAAUAUCUGGCAUAUUGUCAAAUGUGCUUAUCCUUUUGCUUGACAUGUCAUUUUAAAAUUGUCAUUCAAUGUCAAAAAAUCACAUCAACUAAUGGCCGACUACUUUAAUUUGAAAGCAUGCGUGCGAUCGCCAAUAAUUAUAACUUAAUUGUUAUAUUGAAAUUUUUUUCUUUAUAAUUUAAGUUUAAUACUGCUACAUGUGUGGCACAUAAGUUGGAAAAUAUAACAUAAAAUUUGAAAAAUGUGUAGUUUUCGUUCCUUUUUUUUCUAAAAAAAUGGGAAAAAAGAAUGUAAUUUUGUUUAAAUUACUGUUGUCAUAACAAUUAUUAUUUUAUUGAUUAAUUGGCAGAGAAUCGUAAUGGUUUCGCAUGGUUGUUAAAACAUUGGAAAGUCCACUACAUCAUCGGUUAAUAACUUUCAGAUUUAUGGUUAAUUAAUAGCUGAGAUUUAUUAUCAUUAAUGCUAAAUAUUUUUUCUCUCUCCUGGAGGAUCAUCCACAGGCAGGUGCUUCCUGACGAUGACAAAAUUUUGGGCAGGCAGGUGCUUCCUGACUUUCACACGGUAAUUCUCAAAUUCUGAUUUCACCAUAUUUUAAUUACUGAUUAGCAUAUAUUCAAGUGCUCUCCAUUAUAAUGGAAGCCGCCGCCUCACUCGUAAUUCCAAACUUUAUCUUUUUUUCCUUUUUUAAAUUAAUGCAAGUAGCCGCUGUCCUUUCUAUUAAUUAAUUAAUUCGGCCGCCCACAUUUCUUUUCCUAAUGUCUUCUACUGUCGAGUUUAUUUUAUUUUCUCUUUAUUAUUAAAAUAUACUUAUAAUAAUAAAAAAAUAAAAAUUAACAUAUCAAAAUAUAAUUUAACAGAAAAUUAAGAUAAAAAAUUAAAAAUAAAUAAAUUAUGAGCAUAUCAAUCAAUAAAUGAAAAAUAAUAAUUUUUAUUUUUAUUAAAUAUAAAUUUUUCAGUAUUAAUCAAUUAUCUGAAUAAAUAAAAUCAUUUAAAAAUAAAUAAAUAAAUUAUUCUUAAAAAAAAAAAAAAAACUUUUUAUAACACUCACUAUGCUGGUUGUAGGGUUGACGCUUUGGGUACUGAAGCUAGUAACUUCUACAAGUAGUCUUAAGUUGACUGGCAACAACUAUAUUGGCAUUUAGAAAUAAUGUACUGCAACCAUAUUGGCAUGUUCAAAUGUUCUUAUUAUUGUAUUGGUGUGUCAAUAUUAUCUCUAACGGUUUUAUAAAUAAAAAAAUAAUCUAAAUUUAUAAUUUAACAUAAAAUAAAAUAAUUGGUAGAAAAACAAUUAUGGUUCAUUUACUUAUCAGUAAUCAGAAUAGACUGAAAUCGAAAUGAGUUGUAUUACUGUUGAUGUGUUUAUGUUGUACUCGAAUCGAAAUGAAUUAUUUUAAAUUACUAAAAUAUCCUUGGUCUGUUAUUCUAAUUAUUAUUAUUAUUUAAUAUUUAUUAUAAUAUUUUUCAUAUCAUUAAAAAAAAAUAAUAAUGAUGAUAAUAUUCUCAUUAUUGUUUGUUACAUUAUUAUUAUUCAAAAAAAUUAUUGUUAAUAACAAUAAUUACUUUAUUUCAAUAAUAAUAAUGAUAAAAUUAAUAAUAAUAAACAUGACAACAACAAUAAUUAUUUAUUAUGCCAAAAAAUAACAAUAAUAAUAAGAAUAAUAAUCAUCAUCAUUUUUUUGCCAAAGAAGCAUUAUCAUCAUCAUUUCAAAAAAAAAAUCAUCAUCAUCAUCAUCAUUUUUGUAGUGGCUACCUAUCGGCUGCUGCUUUCAUGUGAGAUUGACUUGCGACGCUUCAACGGCUAUUAUUUCUGACAAUGUCAGGUGUUGCUAUUUCAAUUUAGGAAGAAGUUGUUUCGGUGUGCUAGCGAUGGGAGAUGUUGUGGCUGCGAUUCGGGGAGCUACUAGUUUAUUGCACUAAUAACGGCAGGUGCUGUUGCUUGAUGCGAGGUCCAUGGCCAGUUGUCAGCAGUUCGACUUUGGUAUGGGUGCUGCUGGUUCGAUUUUAGGUGUUGUCCAAUUUCAUUUUCAGGAUUUUAAUUUUAUUUUUCUUUUAUAUUUUCAUUAAUUAAUCAGGGUAAAAUUGGAUUUUAGAAUUUAGAAUGAAGGUAAUUUUGUUAAUAAUGGAAAUGAGAUUCUGAUUGUCGAGAAUGAGCUUACACAAACAACUAUAAAUUAAGUGAAAACAAAACACUUUUUCUCUUUGUGUGAUUAAAACAUGAUAUGUACCAUAAAUAAAUAAGUAAAAAAUAAAUCAACACAAUCUAAAACAGUAAACAAAUUACAAGAGGCACAGAUUUUUAUGUGAAACACCGAAAAUGGAAAAAACCACAGCAUCUUAGUUUGAUAUAAUCUUCUACUAUAUUAAUGGGAUUAUAGCACAAAUUCUUUCCUAUAUAACACUAGAGAUUAACAACAUCAAGAAUCUCAAUAAUCUUGACUUACAAUACAGCCUAAUAUUUGUCUCUCUAAUAAGUAGAUAUCUAAAAUAACAGUCUCUAAUAAGUAUGUAUCUAAAAUAAUAGUCAACAAGAGGAUAAAACAAAAAUUAAGAUUAGUAGGAUGUGUAUAAGGUGAUGCUAUCAAUUUAUCUUCUAAAUUUGAGAAAAAUAGUUAAAUUCACUUUUUCGAUUGUCCGACCAAAAAUGGAAACCCUUGCCCCAAAACCAAAGGAAUCACCAUUAUGUUUUUCUCUCUCUCUCUCUCUAUCUCGUUCUUUUCUUCUUCUUUUCUUAAUGUUAGCCAUCACUUGCUUUUAUUCUUUAUAGCAUUCAAAAAGCUACUUUUAAUGGUAAAUUUCAUUUAAGUCUGCAACUUAGUGAUAAUUGCACACCAAACAAUCCUUACAUAGUGUUUUGGGCCCUCAAAUGAGAUGAAUACAACAAAUCUCCCCCUUUAAAUCAUGUGGGGGGCACCGCAAGCCCGCUAUUUGCAUAUAGCUUUUCAGCUUCUCCUUGAAUAAUGACUUUGUCAUCAUACAUAAUCCAUUCUUCGUUGUGUAAAUCUUCUCAAGCUGUAACUGUUCCUUCUCAAGCUGUAAUUAUUCCUUCUCAAGCACGUCUCGUAUCUAAUGAUACCUUACAUCAAUAUGCUUAGAUUUCGAAUAGUAUAACAGCACUCUGACUAUCGUAGUACAUAACAUAGCUGUCUUGUUUUACACCCAGCUCUUGUAGGAAAUUCUUCGUCCACAAUAUUUUUUUGCAACCUUCAAUAAUUGUAAUAUCAUUUGCUUUAGUGGUAGAAAAGGCAACUUAUUACUAAAGUUUAGAUUGCGAUGAGACUGUUCCCCCUGCAAAAGUGAGCAAACAUCCUAGUAGGAAUUUUUCGGAAUCAACAGCUCCUGCCAUAUCUACACACUUGUAACACAGGUUUGUCACCACCAAAAUAUAAACAUGCUCUGGAAAUGCAUCUAAGAUAUCUGAGAAUUUUUCACUGUUGUCCAGUGCUCUUUACCGAGGUUGAAGAGAAACCACUGACUACACUAACUGUAUAGGCAAUAUUUGGUCUUGUACAAAUUAUGGCGUACAAUAAACUGCCAACUGCUGAAGCAUAAGGAACUCCUCUCAUGGAGAAAUGGGUUUUACUCUUGAGAUUUUUGGGACCAUGAAGAAUAAAGAUGUAAUUUCUUAUACUGCCAUUGUUUCGGGAUAUAUAAAUAGAGAACAAGUCGAUAUAGCUCGACAGUGUUUUGAUCAGAUGCCAGAACGAGAUUAUGUCUUAUGGACUACCAUGAUUGAUGGGUACCUUCGAGUGAAUAGGUUCAGAGAGGCUUUGACACUUUUUCAGGAGAUACAAACUUCAAAUAUAAUGGGAGACGAGUUUACCAUUGUUAGCAUUCUUACAGCUCGUGCGAAUCUGGGGGCACUAGAACUGGGAGAAUGGAUAAAGACUUAUAUUGACAAAAACAAAGUCAAGAAUGAUAUAUUUGCGGGGAAUGCUUUGAUAGACAUGUACUGUAAAUGUACUGUAAAUGCGGAGAUGUUGAGAAAGCUCAAAAGGUAUUCAGGAAGAUGCUUUGAAAGGUCAAAUUCACAUGGACGACCAUGAUUGUUGGCCUUGCCAUCAGUGGAAAUGGUGAUAAAGCUCUUGAUAUGUUUUCCCAAAUGCUCAGGGCUUCGAUCAAACCAGAUGAGGUAGCUUAUGUUGGUGUUCUGUCUGCCCGUACUCACAAUGGUAACGAAACUUUUGUGAUAAAUAGUUGCAACUUAAGGUGAGAACUGGAGGAAGGGAAAUAGAUUGAAGUUGUUCAAUCAUCAGUAGUUGCUACUUGGUUUUAAGUUGUUCAAUCAUCGGUCGUCUCUAUUUGGUUUUCUCCAAUAUCUCAUCUUCAAUUUUGACUCAGAUUGUAUCUUACCACUAGUAAUUACAUAGACUUGCUGCCAAAGGUAAGAAUGGGAAUAAAUUAAAUAGAUUAUGUCGAAAACGAAAUAAAUUUACUAUUGUUCUGUUCAUUCUAUUUGUUUCCUACAAAAUAUUUCUCCUGCCUAAAAUUUUUUGAAUCAGUAAGUUUUUACCUUAUGGAUGAAUUGUGUUGAGAGUAAUUCCAUUUCUCAGUCUCUUUAUGUUUCAAUGAAGACGUAAAACUUGUGUUCUAGUGCACCAACGUUUAUGCUUCUUACAAUUUGACUUUAAUUUACUUUGUAAAAUUUUUGUCAAAAAGUACUAAAAAGUAGUGCACCAAACACCAACUUUAUUACAGAGAGGACUUUAGUUAAAUUUUAAGAAAACACUCAAAAGAAAGAGUUGUAAAUUAUUAUAAAAAUAUUUCACAUAAAUAAAAGCCAUCCCAUGCUGCAAAGAUCUUGCUAUAAUCACCAAAAACUAUCGGGAGCUUUUAGGGUUUCCAUAAAAAUGCCAUUUCGUUCCAUGUAUAUGAUUCUAUAGUCUCACUGGCAAGUAAACCACAGCCCAACAGCACUGACUGUCCAUGAUGAUUCACCCCAAUGAACGAAACCAGCGUUGCAUCAUAUCUUUCUGUCAAGCAUGUAAUAUCAAUUGAUUUGAGCUAUUAACAUCAUUUCCAAAUACUCCAUUGGCAUCUACAUUACCAUUUCCCUCGGCAUCAAUGAUAAGAGUUCGAAACAGUCUAAUCUUUUGAACUUCUUCAGCACCAUCUAAGAGCAAUGUUCUUUUGGUUCCAAUACCCAUGUGCUUAUGAUAUUUGUAAAAUAAUUAUUUGUAAAAUAAUUAGUUCAAUUUUGACAUAAUACGGAAUAAACACAACCUGCCAAUCUAAGUUACUAUCUUUUCCCGUCAUCAGGUACCUGUUUGAAAAAUAAUUAUAUACAAUUUUAUUUGCGUCGUCCCUCUAAAAAUUUGGGACUCAAAUGUUAUUUCUAAUUGCUAAAAGUACGAAAUUGCCCCCUUUCUCUUCAGCUAAAGGAGUGCAAAGUCAUCUGUAUAAUUGAAUCUGCAUCAUCAGUUUCUAUUGCUGGCUGGUGUUACUGCAUGCUUACAGUUGCUUGACAAAGUGAGCCAGUUUUUUGUUUAUUAAUUUUUUUUCUUGUCGAGACAGUCACAAAGUAUUACUUGUUCUAUUUGAGAAUGAUGUGAAUCAAUUUUUCAAUUAUGCAUUCUGUGGUAAUUAUUGUGAAUUUAGUUUCAUUUGUCUUGUCUCCUGCAAAUUUUGAAGAAAAUGCAGACAUACAAAUUUACAAUAUGUAUUUGCGUUAGUAUAAAAACAAUUGUUAGAUGAUUAAAGCGAUUUAUUUUUUUUUUUACAGCAUUUGAUUGUAUUAGUUAAAAUCAUUUUUUAAGGAUAAAAAUAAAUAGAAAAUUAUUCUCAUGUAGUGUGGAAAUCUUUUCUAAUUUCUUGUUGACUUGUACAUUUAUUUCAGAAUUUCCAUUCAUUAAUUCUACUGUUUUAAUCUUUGACUUAGCUACCGUAGUUGACUUUUUAUAUCAAAGGCUUAAACAGCAUGCAUUUUUGAAUUGACUGAGAAUAAUUUGGUGGACAAAUUACUAGUAAAGGACUUCAAAUGGUUGAAUUGACUGUGGGUUUUUCAUGCCCAAGUCACUCGUCACGUCGUUUCAUCGAAACAAAGUGCCCGGUGCAAAUGGUGUGAUGUAAAACACCUUUUUAAAUUGUCAUUUUUUUUCCUUUGCUUUUGCUUUAAUUUUCUAAAUGCUCAACGCCAUAAAUCCAUGUAUUCUUAAUUUUCGUUUGCUGUAUUGAUUCCCAACCCUCUAUGUCACAAGGUUUUGAAUGCCAGUAAUUAAGUUAAAUUAAACAUAUUUUAAGUCCUACUUUAAAUUAUUGAAAAAUGUAUUAUGGUUGAACUGAAUUUUAACUAAAAAAUAUAUACAAAAUAAAAGAUUAAUCAUAUCUUUUUAUGAGGAAGGUCAGUCAUCAUUCUGACCACAGACACUUAAAAUUAAUUGAGUGGAAUAUUGCAAAAUAUAUAUAAACCAUGCCAAAACUAGAUGUUUGAGUAAUGAAAACGAGAAUUCAUAUGACUCAGAAAUAUGGUCGCUUUCCUUUUUCUGAAAGGCAAAAAAAAAGGGGGAACCAAAAAGGACCAAAAUGAACAAAAAUGGAAGGCGAAGGUAAGCAGACAUGUUAUAUGUUUUACCUAAGAUGCCAAAUGCAACUCCCCAUUGAUGGUGAUCGAACAUUAUGGCCAUUUUCUUAGUAAACAAAAAAUGAAUUUUGAACACUCAACAACGAAACUUGAGCAGAAGAUCAAGCAAGGGCCUCGAUCUCAAAGAAGAUACUAUGAAACCCUACUUAAUGGUUAAAUAACUUUCAUUCAGCUUUGGACCCUAUUUCGUGAUACGGAAAGACAAACCUUUCUUGGCCGGCAGUGUCCCAGAUCUGGGCUUUGAUGAUCUAGAGGUUGAUGGUGACAGUUCUGGUUUGGAACUCGACGCCAAUGGUUUAUUUCGAUUCAAAGCAAAACUCAUUCUUGGUGAAUCUCGAAAGAAUCUGAGACUUGCCCACGGCCGAGUCACCGAUCACCACUACCUUGAAUACAUAGUCUAUUUUGUCAGGAAUCAUAUUCUCUCGUUGUUGAUGACGAUGAUCGGUGCCAUCACCACUCAUUUCUUCGUUCAUUCAUUCUAUGUCCAUUGAUCUUUUUGAAUUAUUGAAGACAAGUGGCUCACCGCUUUUAGUAUUGGUAAAAUUCAGAUAAUCUCUAUUCCGAAAUAAUAAUAUUAAAAAUAUCUCUUAAAUCAUUAUAAACUUCAAAUCUAUUUUAAUUUUAUUUAAAAGAUAAAAGAAAAAUAAGUUAUGUUGGUGAUUUUUUAUUAUCUUUUUAAUAAAAAUAGAAUAAAUUGAUGUUUAUAAUUAUUUAAAGUAUUUUAAAGAUUGCUAUUUUAUGAGAGAAUAAUAUUUCAUUUUUUUUUUCGUGUGAAAGACCGAAAAAGGACAAAGCAAGUUUCCCUAAUUUUUAUUUUAUGUGAAAUUGGUCAUCUCAUAUACUUUACCCUUCAACACUCUAAUUUUUUUGGUUAUAAUUUUAUUAUUUUUUCUCUUUUACACAUGCAUGUGAAUUACUUUUCUUUAAGCUCCUGAAUAUUUAAGACAAAUCAUGGAAGAGAUGAGAGUAUAACAAGAUGAUCAAAAUAUGUAACAAAAAAAUUUUAGAAGUGAAAAAUAUGUUAGAGUCGAAGUAAAACUCUGAGGUGAUGUUUGAUUUGAAGAAAAUGGAGGAGAGAAAAAGAGUGGAAUGGAGAGGAAAAGAGAGAAAAGGAGAGGAGAGGAGAGGAGAGUGAACUUUUUUUCUAAUGUUUGGUUUGUCACAUAAAUAUACAAAGAAAGGAAAUCUCCAAUUUUUUAUUUAGACAAUUUUAACCUUAAUAAGUAUUAAGCUUUCAAUAUUUAUCAUGUGUAUAAUUUAAAAAAAGUAAAUGGUAGAAAGCGGUUUCUGAUUCCGGCCACAUCGCCGGCAAUGGAAGGUACUUAUCAGAACAUCAAGAACCGGCCAUCAUUCCCUAGCCAUCACUGCUGUAGGAACACUGCUAAAAAGCUGCCGAUUGAACCGCGAAAAGUCGUGGAAAUCGUUGCCUCAAAUCGGUGAGUUUCGCCUUUUUCUGGUCAUGCCGUCGCCUUGGCUUUGUCCAUCAACGCUGCCACUUCCAUUUCAACCAUCCAUAGCCACUAUUAACCGCCAAAUCGCCGCCGAUCAGCGGGAUCUGUGGAAGUUAAAAAGUUUCUAAAAUUUUUUAAUUGGAUUUGAACAACAUACAACCAUUUUUUGAUCUCAAUAACGACAUAGUAAUGUUGAUCGUUGGUCGGCAAGUCGAAUGGUAGUGGCGGUGAGUAACACGCGCCAAUGACAUCGGCGGCGGCGGCGGCACUAUCCGGCUACUGUUAAAAUUAAUAUUUUAUAUUUGUAGAUUAAAUAAAUUUAUUUUAUUAAACUUUUUAAAUCAUUAUUUAAAUUUAAUUAAUUUAAAAUUAUCUAUGAUGUUGAAUUGAUAAAAUAAAUUUAUAAAUAAUAAUUAUGUGAUUACAUUAAAUAAGUUAAAAAGUUGAAGGGUUAUUUUUGGAAGAUUUAGUUUCCAACACAAAGGGAAUUUGAAUUCUUCACUUCUUAGUGUGGAAUUCAAAUUCUAUAUUGUAAUGGAUAUUAAAUUCCAAUAGAAAUUAAAUUCUUAUAAGUUAUGUCAAACCAAACAACGGAAAUAAAAAAAAAGAAUUUAAAUUACUUUCCUUUCCUCCACCCUCUCCUUCCAACCAAAUACAUCCUGAAAAUAGAGAUAUUGAUUAAUUUAGAAGAGAUGCAAGCAAAAGAUAUUCCACAAAAAAAAAAAAGCAAUAUGUCCCUUUGGAGGGCAAACUUGUCAGUUUUAAAAAAGUACAUGCUUUGGAUUGAUAGUUGUAGGAUAUUUGUUUUGUCACUAUGUGUUAGUUGGAGAAGUCAAGCCUUGUGAAGAAUGUUAUGAAAGAGCAAAGGAUAUUCCUGAUAGCUGAUAGAGCUCUAUUUGAUUAUGUAUCCAAUGAAUGGAUGUGUUGUUGGAAGAUAUUUGAGUGCAUUAGUUCAUAUGUGUCUAUCAAUGUGAUUUUAAUGAUUUUUCCACUUGUUUGUUGUAAAAGAUUAUUGUAAAUUGAAAUGAACUUGAUGUUGUAAUAUUUUCUCCUUAGUAGAAUUUCACCUAGUAUGUAUUUAGUUGUGUUGUCUAUAAUUUUGCAUUCGAAUAAGUUUCACCUAAAAUAUUAGCAUGAGUAGUGGCCCUUGAAACUUUGGUCAAAAUUAUUGUUAUUAUUUCCGACUAGAUGUAAAUUUUUUAUUAAAUCUCGCUAACACAAUUCUUAAUUAAAAGUAUAGGUUAGUGUUGGUGCAAGACUUGCCACACCAAAUUCUGCCUAACUGUCAAAAGUGCAAAAUAAAUGAAGAGAAAGCACAAAUACACGACUUGAAUAAGGAUACAACGAAACUUAAAUUCAAGAGAAAAUGAUAGCUAUAUCUCAAGAUUUGAAAAAACGGUCAUGUAGAUUUUUAAGAUUUCAAUAAGCGACUGAGAUUCAAAUAAUAUCCUUUAAUUCUAUUAACAAAAAACAAAGACUCAAAUAUUUUAUGAUAAAUAAAAAUAUAAUAUUAAAAUAUAUGUGAUAAUAUACACAUUUUAAAUACUUUCAAUCCAAAAAAAUAGUUAUGUUUUACAAUCUAUUAGACAUAUUUUAUUAAAUUAAUAUAAAUUUUCUAUAAAAUAAGAAUAUAAUAUUAAAAUAAAUUCACAAAAAUUUAAAGAAUUUUGAAUGUAAAAUAAUUUUAAUAUAUCAAUACGUGAGUUUUUUUAUUAAUAUAAAAUUUAUUUAACUUUAAGAUUUUUUAAAAUCUUUACAAUAAGUAUAACUAUAUUAUUUACAUUUAAAAAUAUUUAAAUAUUAUUAACCUACAAUUAUAUUUGCAUUUGUUAGAAAUUUUUUAAGUCAAAUAUUUUGCACUUCUAUAUUAUUAGAAUUAUUGCACAAAAAGAAAGAAACAUACACCUUUAGAAAUUGUUUUCUUUUAAAAUAGAGAUGAUGAUUAGUAUAAGGAUGAAAAAAAGGAUAAAGAAUAUUAAUGAUUAACGAAAUCUCUAUACAAAUUGAUUUUAGUAGGAAAAGAGUGAGAUGAAUGAUUUCUUUUACAGUUAGAAACAUAGAUGAUGAUUAUUAUAACGAAGAAAAAAAGAUAAAGAAUAUUAAUUAUUAAUGGAAUCUCUAUACAAAUUGAUUUUAGUAGGAAAAAAAUGAUUAAAUGAUUUAGAGUGCGUUUGGAAUUGAGAUUGGGCAGCCAUAGAUUUUAAGUUACAACACUGAAGUGUUUAGUAAAUACUAGUUGCUGCAGAUUGAAAGUUAUGUUGAUAUGAUUUUUCACAUGUAUCAUAGAAAAUAUAUUACAUCUUUAAUAUUUUUUAAAAAUUUAUAUUUGCUAUAUAUUAUUAAUUUUUUUUUAUAGUUAUAACUUUUUUUCCACAACAGUUGUAGCUUAAAAGUCACAGCACCUCAAUCUCAAACAAAUCCUUAGACAUUCAUAGUGUGUUUAUUUUUUGGAUUGGUGAAUCAAAAUUAUUGACAACGCUAACUUCAUCUUCACUGUUCGCAAUCCAACAGCAGCAAUUGUCGCCAAUAAUGAUAUCUCCAAUGAUGAUGACAAUUAUUAUUAUUAUUUUUAUUAUUAUUAUUAUUAUUAUUAUUAUUAUUAUUAAUUAAUUAAUUAAUUAAUUAAUUAAUUAAUUAAUAUAUUAAUGUUGAUAUUAUUAUUAUUAAGAUUAACAAUAAUUAUUAGUAAUACAAUUUUUUGAAUAAAAAUAAUCACAAUAAUUAAAAUACAAAUUAAUAAUUAUGACAAUAAUUAAUUAAUGUCUUUUUAGUAAUUUGUAAUAAUCUAACUCAUUUUGGUUCUGAUUAUUACAGCUUAAGUAAACAAAUUAUUAUGAUUCCUAUUCUCCUUUCCCAUUUUAACUCACUUUGAUUCCAGUCUAUUCCGAUUUCUAUUUAAUAAAUGCACCAUUAGUGCUAAAGUAAUAUUUCAUACAUAGAAAAAUAAAAACUACGCCUAAGGUUAAGGGAAAAGACUUCAAAAUUCUCUUUUGAUCAUAAUACAUUUUGUCCUAAUUAACUUAAAGAUUUUGAAUCUAAUAUUUUAUAAUAAAUAAAAAUAUAUUCCUAAAAUAAAUAUAAUAUCAAUAUUUAAAAUAUGUUUUAAUAUUUUACAAUCUAUCAUACACAUUUUAUUAUAUUAAAGUAGAUUUAUAAUAAAUAUAUAAAAAUUUAGAAUAUUUAGAAUAUUAUAUAAAAUAAUUUUAAUAUAAUGCGUGAUAUAUAUUUUAUUAAUUUAAAAUGUCAUUUUACCUAAAAAAUAUGAUAAAUUAAUAAUUACAUAUUUGAAGUUAUUUCAAAUAUUAAAAAAAUUUAAUAUUAUUAAUCUUUUAGAUAGAUUAAAUUAUUUUUUAUAAGAGAGAUUAAAUUAUUUUAAAAUGCCUUAAUUGUUUUUACUUUUAACGUUACGGGCCUUUCUUUUAUUUUAUUGCAAAUUAAUGCUAACUAGAAAAACAAAAACAAAAGUGACAAACACAACCAGCUGGAAUCUUUUAUAAAACUACAAAUUAAAAUGGAUUUUUUUUUUUUGUUGAUAAAUUACACAUGAAAGUGGAUUCUUUUGAAUAUAAGUGGGGUAGGCUCUUUUAUUUUUUUUUUAAUACCGUAUAACAGGACUGUAGACUCUUUUAUUAAGCACAAAUAUAGAGUUGUCGAGACAAUUAGGGUCUUUUAUUAAACUACAAAUUGUAUAGUCUUUUUUAAAUUGUUCAGAUAUUUAUAAAUUGGUGGCCCCUACAAUCCUCAAUAAUUGUACCGAUAUUCACAAGCUGGUGGCCCCUACAAUCCUUAAUAAUUGUUUUUUUUUUUUUCUGCAUUCCCUUUCAUGCUCUUAAUAAUUAAAGAGCAUACUUUUCAAAUGUGGAGCCGCGGCUAAUGUCGCUAAUUUAAUUUGGGAUUAAAUUAGGGGACUAUUAUAUUGCAGUGUGCACUAAUUUUUAUGUUUAUCUAAACUCCUUAAAUUUAAGAUAUAUUAUGGCAUAAAUAAGAAUAUAACAAUAGCAAAAGAGUUAGAAAGUGUAGAGAAGAUCUUGCAGAAAUAUAAAUAAUAUUUAUUUUAAAAUAAUAUCAAUAUUUAAAAUAAUUUUUAUUAUUUUAUGAUCCAUUAGAUAUAUUUUAUUAUAUUAAAGUAAAUUUUAUAAUAAAUAAAAACAUACUAUUAAAAUGAAUAUAUAGAAAAUUUAGAGUAUUUUAAGUAUUAUAUAAAAUAAUUUUAAUAAAAUAUGUGAGAUAUUCAUAUUUUAUUAAUUUAAAAUACCAUUUAACCUAAAGAUUUAUUUAUGAUAAAUUAAUAAUUAUAUUUUUGAAAUUACUUCAAAUAUUAAAAAAAUUAAUAUUACUAAUCUAUUAGAUAGAUUAAAUUAUAUAUAUUAUUUUCUAUUUAUUAAAAAAUUUCAAAUUAUUUUUAAUUACUAUUCAAAAAAUAUGAUGAUAAAAAAAUCUUAACAUCUUUAUUAAAAAAUUAAAAACUUACAUGAUCAAUUCUCUAAAUAUUUAGGGUAUAUGUGAACCACGGUGGACAGAGGUCAUUACUAAAAUUUCUCUUCCACAGGCAAUUACAGCAGCUCCAGUUUAUCAAACUCAACCAAUUUUCUUUCUUAACAAAAUUCCAAAGAUGUGUAGCUUUUUUCAGAUCACAUGCGAUGGUGCUUUUUUCAAUCGUUGCUUGGAUUGCUUUCUUGGAAAAGCAGCAUACAUACGUAACCUCCAAGAUAAUCUUGAUGCCUUGGACACUGAACUGGGAAGACUAAUCGCAGCAAAGAACGAUGUGAUGAUUAGGGUUGUCAAUGCUGAACGGCAAUAAAUGAGAAGGCUGGACGGAGUGCAAGUGUGGGUUUCGAGUGUGGAUGCUGUUAAAACUGGAGCCGAUGAACUUAUCACAGACGGCUCUGAAGAAAUUGGCAAAUUAUGUGUUGGAGGCUACUGUUCCAAGAACUGCAGGUCAAGCUACAAAUUCGGAAAACAAGUGGCUAGAAAGCUACGAGAUGUGGAGACUUUAAUCGCCGAAGGAGUUUUUGAGGCGGUGGCUACUGAGGUGGUGCCUGAGAGAGCUCCAGAGCCUGUAGCAGAUGAAAGACCUACCGAGCGAAAAGUAGUAGGCUUGCAAUCACAACUUGAACAAGUCUGGACGUGUCUUGUGGAAGAAUCAGCGGGAAUCAUUGGCCUAUACGGUAUGGGCGGUGUUGGUAAAACCACACUAUUGACCCAUAUCAACAAUAAAUUUCUCGAGAGUCCAACCAACUUUGAUUGUGUGAUUUGGGUAGUAGUUUCAAAAGACCUGCGACUUGAAAAACUUCAAGAAGAUAUUGGGAAAAAGAUAGGUUUGGUUGGUGAUUCAUGGAAGAGUAGAAGUGCAGAGGAGAAAGCUCUCGACAUCUUCCGGAGUCUAAGAGGGAAGAGAAUUGUAUUGUUGUUAGAUGAUAUAUGGGAGCGGGUUGAUUUAACAAAAGUGGGCGUUCCACUUCCUGGACCACAAAAUACUACCUCAAAAGUCGUAUUCACAACNNNNNNNNNNNNNNNNNNNNNNNNNNNNNNNNNNNNNNNNNNNNNNNNNNNNNNNNNNNNNNNNNNNNNNNNNNNNNNNNNNNNNNNNNNNNNNNNNNNNNNNNNNNNNNNNNNNNNNNNNNNNNNNNNNNNNNNNNNNNNNNNNNNNNNNNNNNNNNNNNNNNNNNNNNNNNNNNNNNNNNNNNNNNNNNNNNNNNNNNNNNNNNNNNNNNNNNNNNNNNNNNNNNNNNNNNNNNNNNNNNNNNNNNNNNNNNNNNNNNNNNNNNNNNNNNNNNNNNNNNNNNNNNNNNNNNNNNNNNNNNNNNNNNNNNNNNNNNNNNNNNNNNNNNNNNNNNNNNNNNNNNNNNNNNNNNNNNNNNNNNNNNNNNNNNNNNNNNNNNNNNNNNNNNNNNNNNNNNNNNNNNNNNNNNNNNNNNNNNNNNNNNNNNNNNNNNNNNNNNNNNNNNNNNNNNNNNNNNNNNNNNCAGGAAGUCCUAGUGCGUGCUAUCAGAAAAGAUGCUGGGAACUGUUUCGCGAAAAUGUUGGGGAAGAAACUCUUGAGAGUGAUCAUGAGAUCGUUGAGCUAGCCCAAACUGUGGCCAAAGAGUGUGGUGGUUUGCCACUCGCACUUAUUACUAUUGGUCGAGCUAUGGCCUACAGAAAGAAAGCGGAGCAGUGGAGACGUGCAAUUGAAGAGUUAAGAAGAUCAGCUUCAGAGUUUGCAGGUUUGGGAAAAGAGGUGUAUCCUCUUUUAAAGUUUAGCUAUGAUAGUUUGCAGAAUGAUACAAUUAGAUCUUGUUUCUUGUAUUGUUGUUUAUAUUCUGAAGAUUAUGGCAUUCUUAAAUGGGACUUGAUUGAUUGUUGGAUUGGUGAGGGAUUUUUGGGGGAAUCUGACAGGUUUGGUGCAGAAAACCAAGGAUAUGACAUUUUGGACACUCUUGUUCGUGCAUGUUUAUUAGAAGAGGUGGAAGAAGAUGAAGUAAAAAUGCAUGACGUUAUUCGUGAUAUGGCUAUAUGGAUAACCAGUGAAAUUGAGAAGGAGAAGAGAAACUUUUUGGUUUGUGCAGGUGCUGGAUUAGAAGAGGCACCGGAUGUUAAAGAAUGGGAAAAUGUGAGAAGAUUGUCAUUGAUGCAAAACCAAAUUGAAACUCUGUUUGGGGUUCCCACAUGCCCUCAUCUCAUCACUUUAUUUAUUGACUUUAAUAGGGAGUUGAAGACUAUCGCGGAUGGCUUCUUCCGAUGUGUGCCUUCUCUCAAAGUUUUGAAGAUGUCAAACUGUGGAAAGCCUUAGAAAGGUUUGGAAUUACCUUUGGGGAUGUCAAAGUUGGGUUCACUACAACUUCUUGAUAUUUCACACACCUGCAUACAAGAAUUACCACAAGAAUUAAAGUUGUUGGUAAAUCUGAAAUGUUUGAAUUUGAGGCGGACAAUUUGGUUAAAUAAAAUUUCAUGGCAACUAAUAUCAAAAUUUUCAAGGUUACGUGUGUUGAGAAUGUUCGCUACUGGCUGGUUCAGUUUUCAUGAAGCACCAGAAGACAGCGUUUUAUUUGGUGGGGGUGAAGUUUUGAUACAGGAAUUGCUCGGUUUGAAAUAUUUAGAGGUAUUGGAGUUGACCUUGGGAAGUUAUCAUGCUCUCCAAAUUCUUUUGAGCUCAAAUAAGUUAAAAAGUUGUAUUCGAUCUCUUUUCCUACAGUUGUUCAGAGAUACAACGUCGAUUAUUGAUGCUACGGCUUUCGCAGAUCUAAACCACCUCAAUCAAUUAUGUAUUAGUAACGGUUCUGAGUUGGAAGAAUUGAAGAUUGAUUAUACGGAGAUAGUACGAAAAAGGCGGGAACCUUUUGUUUUCCGCAGCCUUCAACGUGUUACCAUAGAGGAGUGCCAUAAAUUGAAAGAUUUGACAUUCCUCGUUUUUGCUCCAAACCUCAAGUCUCUUUCGCUAUACGAUUGCGGUGCUAUGGAAGAAAUAAUCAGCGUCGGAAAAUUUGCUGAGACUCCUGAGAUGAUGGGACAUAUAAGCCCUUUUGAAAAUCUCCAAAUGCUUUAUUUAAUGGCAUUGCCGGAGUUGAAGAGCGUCUACUGGAAGCCAUUGCCUUUCACUCAUCUGAAAGAAAUGGAGGUACUUGGGUGUGAUCAGCUUAAAAAGCUUCCACUCGAUUCCAACAGUGCAAAAGAGCGUAAAUUUGUAAUUCUUGGAGACACACAGUGGUGGAACCGUCUUCAAUGGGAGGAUGAAGCCACUCAAAUUGCUUUUCGUUCCUAUUUCCAAACCUGAUUCCUGAGCGGUGGUCGCAAAAUUUGAUUUCUGGUGAGUGCGUUUGUCUUUUAAAAGAAGAAUUUAAAAGAAAUUUAUUCUUGUCGUUUUCUUCUCUGUUUUUAUUUCAGUUUGUUUCUCUCUCUCUCUUUUUGUCUUCUGCAAAUCACAAUUAAAUGUUGAAUUAAUGGAAUUAAUGCUUCAUAAAUUUGCCGGCACUGCCAGUACUUUUUUUUUUUUUUAAUACGAAUUGAUGCUUUAUUUAUUUCUUCUUAGCGAUUUAAUUUCCUGUCAAAAGACGAGCGAGAAGAACAUAUGACUUAAACCAAUUGAUACUUUAUUUAUGUGCAUUGUAUGUAAUAAAAUUUUCUCUGUUUUUUUCAAAUUGAGGCUUUAUUUAUAUUUUCUUCGUGAAGAGUGAUUUAAUUUCCUGCCAAAAGACAAACGAGAAGAACAUUAGAGUCAAACUAAUGCUCACAUAAAUUUCCCGUAAGAAUAUAUAUAUAAUUAGACUGGAAUGCACACCUCUAGAUUGAACAGAAUUAAAGCUGAGAAAAUAUUGAGUAUAGUAGCCCUCUUUACAGAAAAUGACGCGAAAGUUAAUUUAGAAAGAUAUAUUCUUGAUUAAUCCAUUUUCUGAAGUUUUUUAUUUUGUAUGGUCAAUUAUACCUUCAUACUAAAAAAAAAAAAAAAAAAGAGAAAAUAUGUAAUCCAUGAAUGGUUAAUUUUGUUUGUUUGUUUUUUUUUCUUAAAUAUCAUUCUUUUUCGGCCACCCAAGGACAUUUUCACAAAUACCUUUUGUGUGCAGAAGUCUUCCAAACCAUCAAUGGAAAAAUAAAAAAUAAAAAAAACACGGUCCAGUAUACCUCAAAAUAUCAUUGAUGACUUUUCUGGUCUAAUGCUAUGUAAAUAGUAUGUUAAGUAAAACAUAAUCAGUUCAGUACCUCACAAAUAAUUCGCAAUAUCUACAAAAUACUAUAAUGGCUACAAAACAAAUCCUGCUUGCAAAUUGUCAAGGAUACCUAUCCGUUCGCUUGACAAGUCAUUUGAAUAAAUAUUGUUCACAUUCCUUACUCUGUCAAUUAUCCAAAGCACCAUCAACUUUAGUUUGAAUAGUAUACAUGCCAUCACCGUUACCAAGAAUCAAGCAUGGAAGGGUCAUUCUAUAGAGUGCAGAACAUGACUCUAUGCGGUAGUCAAUUUGACACACGACGAACACCAUAUGCUGCAUAACAUACAAAUUAAUUUCCCAUAUGUGAUGCAAUUUUCUCCUCAACAUAUGCGCAAUUCUUUCCAUUCCGGCAUUUACACUCAAAUUUUCCUUCCUUUCUCUUUGUGGUUGAAUCUUACACCACAACUCAUGUGAUGCAAUCUCCUCUCGCUGCCUAAAUUGCACUCUCAGCAAAGCAGCAUAUGUAAGCAAGCUUGAAGAUAAUCUUGCUGCUCUGCAGAAGAACGGCAAAAGUUAAUCGAAGCAAGGAAUGAUGUAUCAGAAAAUAUUUGGUGGAGAAUUCAGCACAAACAUAUUUCGGAUGAUCAGAAUCAAUAAAACCUGGUGGUUGUGCCAUAUAAACAUCUUUGGAAAGCUGACCUUGAAGAAAGGCGUUAUUGAUAUCCAAUUGAUGAAGAGGCCAGCCAUGACUAACAUCAAUACUAAGAACAAGCCGUACUGUGGUGGACUUAACAACUGGACUGAAAGUGUCAUAAUAGUCCACACCAGGCCAUUGAUUGAACCCUUUGGCAACAAGAUGAGCUUUAAACCUGUCAACAGAACCGUUGGAAUGUCUUUUAAUACAAAAAUCCAUUUGCAGCCAACAAUAUUGGAAGGGAUGGGAGGUGGAACAAGCUUCCAUGUCCCGUUACGAACAAGAGCAUCAUACUCUUCUGACAUAGCUGGACGCCAGUGAAGAUUUUUGAUAGCUUGCGUCACAGUUGUAGGUUCACAAUCAGAAGAAGGGCUAAAAUGAGCACGGAGGUUAAGUUUUUGUAACGGCUUGUGAAUCUUAUUUUUAGCUCGGGUAGUCAUAUCAUGAUGACUUGUGGGGCAAUGAUCUAGUGGAGUUUAGGAAGAUGAUUGAACAGGAAGUGAAGAAGUGCUUUGUGUAGAGGUAGAAGUAGGUUGGGAGGAUUGCUGCGGAGAUGUUACCGGUAGAGAAGAAGGAGCAGUACACGGUGGCAACUCCAGAGGGCCCACAAUAGAUGGAGUAGGUGCCGACAAUGGAGUACUAGGAAAUGAAACAGGAAGAAUUGGUGGAACACUUGCAUAAUUAGGAGUGGUAGAUGAGCUUGUAAUGAUUUGCAUGGAAAAACAAACUCUACAAAUUUAACGUGACGUGAAAUAAAAAUUUGAAAGGUGGAUGGGUCAAAACAUAAAUAAGCACUUUGAGAUAAAGGAAUAUCCUAGAAAAACACAAGGCUUAGAGGGUGGUUCGAGUUUAUGUGAUGAAACACAAACAUUCAAAAAAUUUUAAGUUUAUAUUAAUUAGGAGUGGUACCAAAAAUUAAUUAGCUAUGGGGUUGUUGGAUGUGUUUUGGAUAUUUACAGUUAAGUUUGAGUAUCUCAACUUAAAAUUUGUAGUUUUCACUUGAAAAAAUUCAGUUAAAUUUUGCAAUGCAGACUGAUUGAUUUAUCAGUUUAACGUGUGCCAGGAAUGAAGAACUGGAAUAUCACCGUCAAGCAAGCACCCUGUGGAGCAAUACCAAAGAAUGCACAAUCUGGCUUUGCUAGGUAACACUGGAGGCUUUUUGAAAAGUGCUUCACGCUCACUUGCACAGAUUGAGCAUCCCCUCUGGAUAUUGCCCUCUCUGAUCGAGUCUGAGCACUCAAAUUUUGGUCCUCAGAGGGAGCUACAGUUUUCUCUCCACUAACCAACAAUAUUCUAAACUCAGCACCUAGUGUGAUCAGAGUUGUUGAUAUUUGCAAAUGGAGAUCCCCAUAUUUGCAAAUGGAGACAUUUAACAAAUCACCAACAUGCUUCAUCCGGUCCACGAAAUUCUGCAACUGAUGCAAAUCUGGAACCUGAACCAGAGUCGGAGGUAUAUCUUGAGCCAUAUCUAAAGCAGUUUGAAGUUCAAGACCUUGAGCCCUUGACAAUGGUUUUGAAAUUGGAACAUCUUGGAUUACUGCAGACUUGUACCCCUUGGUUUCAAAGGUAAGGAAAGGCAUUGCUUGAGUACAAUUUGGAGGCAGCUUCUUCACCAAUUUUAUUUGGAGGCGAUUGGCAGCGGAUCCAGCUGCACCAAUUUCAGAGCAACUACUGACACUACUUCGAACAGCACACUGAAGAAGUGAUAUGUCUACGGCGAAGGCAAUGCAGUCCUCAUUUUGGCUUGAGACACAGUAAUCAUCGAAGAGAGUUUCCUUGUGAAACUGGGCAACACAUUGAAUCCCUUCGGCACUGAGAAGGUUGUGGAGGAAGUAAGCUUUCUCUCUAGUAAGGAAGAGGUGGCAUACAUUCCCCAUUUUGUCUAGGGCAGGUAGGAAUCUUUUUUCUAAGAGAUUUACUUCAUUCUCUGUGAGAAAUGCUUUGAACUUCAUCCCUCUGUCUCUAUCCUCACUUAUCAGUAAAAUAGUUGAAAGCGCUACAAGGAGAGAAAAGAAGAGUAUUAAGAUAUAUAUAUUAUAUAGACAAGAAAAACAUUAGAUGUCGAUCUUACAAGCUAAUACUUCAAACAAUAUCCUAGAAAGCUAAAAACUGCAAGAUGGCUUGAAAUUUGAAAAGAGCACGUGCUUUUCCUCCUUAACUUGAGAAAAUGUUUAAUAUAGUGCACCUUACAGAAGCAUUUAAGCAAUUAGAACUUUGCACAAAAACAUCAAGAAGACUAAACAAGUCAGAUGCAGUGUAUUUGUCCAAGCACAAAUUGCAUUUUGUCCUCAACUUUAAUAUUUAUUGAUGAGAAUCAAUACAGGUCCCUCAUUUGUUAUAGAAAGCUUUCUUGUAGUCUCACCAGUUAAUAUGGAUAUUAGAUAAGGAAACUUUAUUAGGUUGCGAGGGUAAAAAAGGAAAGAGAUAUCAUUAUUUUAUUAUCGAUAAUUAUUAAAUUUUUUUCCAAAAAAAAGAACAAGCAAGGAUAUUUUAUUGUCAAUUGCAACCUUUAAUUUUUUUAAAUGCUAUUAGAAACACAAGAUAACAAAAAUGUAGUGAGAUGGGAUCUCCUGCAUGCCACUCUGGUUUAGAACACAAAGAAUGUGUCUGCAUAAAUAUCCUCUGAAAUUGAACAACCCACAAACACAAAGCACCUCCAAGUCGGAGGCAUUGUACAAAACAUCAAAAGCCCUUGAAUCCUUCUCGUUGCCACCAACCUCGAAUUCUUCCUUCACUAUGUAUGUUAUAGGUCCAUCAGAACUAAUAUGUUUUGUGCUAUAGUAAGAGUACAUAGCCUCCACCUCCAUCUGAAACUUCCUUAACAUUUCAUUUGUGUACAGUUUUGAGAGUUGAAAUUCAUAGUAACAUCUUGGUUUCCGGAUACAACUUGAAUUUCUUGAAUCCAUAUCUGCCAAGGCUACCAGUUGAUAAUUCGCCUGCAGUGCUUGAUCAUACUUGUCUAAGAAUUCUUUCAAAGGAGUAUUCUUAUCAAGAUAUCCUUCAAAGUAUGAAGUAGAAACCUCAUUCUGCAGGAACGAAAACACUCCUGAUAAAAAAGCUUCCUUCAAAUAAAUAGGAGCCCACCUUUUAUGAUCUUCAUAUAAAGUUUGAAUCCAUCCGUGAUCCUUUAUUCCAUGACAUUGAAUCAUGUCUUCCCAAGCUGCUUCAAAUUUCUCAGGCCUGAGAGAGUGAUAAAUUGCUCUAUGUAAUGCAGCUUUAAUAGCUUCAUAUUCAAACAAUCCUUGGAGUUUCUCUGGAAUUUUUUUGCAUGAUGCAUGACAAUGAAAAGAAAUGAUAAGCUCUUGGGAAAACAUCACCAACAGCAAUUUGCAAGAUUCUACAUUGGUCAGUGAUGAUUGUUUGUGGAGAGCGCCCUAACAUACAUGUAAGCCACGCCGUAAACAACCAUGUAUAUGAUUCUAUGGUCUCACUGGCAAGUAAACCACAACCCAACAACACUGAUUGUCCAUGAUGAUUCACCCCAAUGAAUGAAACCAGUGGUACAUCAUAUCUUUCAGUCAGGCACGUAGUAUCAAUUAAGACCACAUCACCAAAGUACCUAUAUGCAACUCUUGACCUGGUAUCAGUCCAGAAUAGGUUUUUCAAGCAUCCCUUUUCAUUUAGAUCCACUACAUUAAAAAAGUUUGGAUCUGUCAACUGCAAAUGACAAAAGAAACUCUGGACAGCUUGUGCAUCUCCUGGUUUAAGCUUCAAUUGAUUUGAGCUAUUAACAUUAUUUCCAAAUACUCCAUUAACAUCUACCAUUUCCCUUGGUAUCAAUGAUAAGAGUUCGAAACAGUUUAAUUUUUUGAACUUCUUCAGCACUAUCUAAAUGCAAUGUUCUUUUGGUUCCAAUACCUAUGUGCUUAUGUGACUUGUAAAACUUUCCGCUUCUUGGGCUUAACAAGUGGUUAUGCUCAAGCUCGACUUCAAUGAUUCUCCACCUUUUGGUUUCCAUCAACCUAAACUUUAUCAUUGCUGGACAGCCAGUUCUUGUUUCUGGUCUUGGGCGGUUUGCCUCGCUUUUCUUCUUGAAGCCUGCACUACUACAGCUCAGCUUUCCUCUAUACUUUUCUCUACUCUUUCGGUACCAUGGAUUGCUAACUCUAACACCAAAACCCUGUUCCUUGGCAUAGCAAUUGUAAAAGUAAUAUACAUCAUCAUACAUCUCAAACUCCAUUCCAACAGUAGGAGGCAAGGGAUUUUGGAUUAUCCCAGUUUGUCCAACAUAUUCAGUCAUCGCACAAUCUCCUACAACCUCAAAAUCAUCAGUGUCAUCAUCACCUACUGGUUCGGUGUUGAGAGAAACUUCAUCCAUCUACAAUGGAUGUUCAAUGAAGUGAGCUUUAAGGAGAAAAAGCAAAAUCUGUUCAAGGAAUGAUAAUAUAAUCAUACAGUUACUUUCACAAAGCUUCAUAUUUCAUCACUGCUUUACCAACAUGCAACUGCCAGAGAACAAACAGACAUGUCAUAGACGCUUGAAUUAAGUAUUGGUACAAAUGAGCACACAUCAUGUGGGACAAAAUUUCAGUCACUAAACCCAAUACCACUUUUUACAUCAUACCAAGGAACAGAUUAAACCCGACACCUUCUUUUAAACCAUACCAAGGAACAGAUUAAAUCAUCAAUGAAAAAUUAAUCACAUAAUAACUUAACCAGACAAAUGAAGAGCCUGAAACAGCACAAAACUUGAAUCUGAUUAUGAUAAUUGUUGAGUCCUUGUAUCUACAGCUUUCCUUCAAUGAUAAGACAAUGAACAUAAACGAGACACAAAAAAAUUAUUUUAAACUGACAGCCCAUGAUAUAAAUCAAACAAAAUCAACUCCUUUUUUUACACAUUACAUCUCAUAUUCAUUUACAUUGAAACACAAAAAGGAAGCAGGAGUGGGAAAAAAACAACAGCAGAGGAACUUAUUUCCAUAAGGUUUACGAAAUAAGGAAUCUAUUAAAACCCAAAACUUGAGGUCACCACUAAGAAUUUGGUUCUCAUUAUUUUUUUCUUCAUUUUUCACCAAUUGAUGAACUUAAAAUACAAUCAUAAAUGAUAAAACCCCAUCUCCAUCUUUUUGAACUAGAGCUAAAGCAAAGCAUUUUAAGAUGUUUCAUCAUUUUUUUUUUUAAAAAAAACUCAAUAGUACAAUGUUUUUCAAUGCUAAAUGCACAAUUCAAUCUUCUCCUAAUUUACUCUAAUAAUCUCUUAAUUAAGGAAGAUUAAGCUUCAGUUGUAAGCUAAAACAAAUUUCUUAAAUCAAGCCCCAAUGCUUUAUGCUAUUCAACAAGGGCUCAUAAAUGAUAAAACUACUUCUAUAAAGAUACCCAUUUUCUAAAUUAAUUUCACAAACUGAAAUCAAACUCCUGAAACGUAACGAGCAUUAAUAUAAUCAAGCCCGAACAAGAAUUGAAAAAUGAUACAUAAACUCGUUUACACAUUUCGACAGACACUUUGCAAUCAAUGAGCAAAAAAUUAAUGGAGAAGAUAAAAUUCAAACGAAACAUGCCUUACAUUGAUAAAUUAGAAGGGCAAAAGAAAUUUUAGUACGAUAUGCGAUCAGGGUCUUGCCACGGUGAUGUUAUUUGUGAAGUUCGAGCGACUCAGCAGCCUUCGAGGUUGAAAAUUUGAUUGACCAAAAGCUUCCCGUUCGUUGAUUCUCUAAUAGUAGAAACGAGACUGGCAGUAUACACAAGAAGUUCGCCGAUUUUAAAUUCCGUUGUUUGAGAUGGAAAAUUUUUUGAAAAAAUUAAUGUGUUCGAUGAAAAUCAAAAUCUCAAAAACCUCUUGUUUUUCAUUUUUUUGGAAAAAACCAUUGAGAUCCUUACUAUUUUUUCUUAUAUCAUCUUCCUUAAUAAUUUGCAAAGUCUAUCGCAUAGCACCCAUGUAUGAUGUAUGCUGCGUUGUAAUUUACAAAAUUGCACAUGAAUAAAUCCAGCUAAAAUUUGUUAAAAGAAAAUAAUAAUAACAUGUUAAAACUUUAAAAUUUGAUUAUUCGAAGAAAUUUUAAUUUAGUUAAGUAGGUGACAUGAUAAUAAAUAGAUACGUAUAAUGUCCGAGAUUUUUUAUAAGAUUAAUAAAUAUGAUAAAUUUGGAUUAGUUCAAUUUUGACAUAAUUCAUAAUAAACACAGCUUGCUAAUCUAAAUUGCCACCGUUACUCAUCAUCAGGUACCUGUUUGAAAAAUAAUUACAAACAAUUUUAUUUGUGUUGUUUCUCUAAAAGUUUGAGACACAAAUGUUAUUUCAAAUUGAUAAAAGUACGAAAAUUCCCCCUUGCUCUUCAACUAAAAAUGAAACAUGCAAAUAUACACACUAAUUUAGAUGUGUGAAUAACAAAUAUGGAACGACACAUGCAAAGUCAUCUGUAUAAUUGAAACGCCAUGCACUAGUAGUAGGUAAGAGAAACCAAGGUUGAAGUUGCUCCAAUGGUUACUGUUAAUUUAUUUUUAUUUAUGAUUUUUUUUGUAAAAUGUAAGAAAUAUGUAGAAAUGUUGCCAGCAAUGAUUUUGGAACUUUGCAUAAAAUUUUUAUCAUUAUUGUUUUUGGUAUUAAGAAAUCCGAGGCGGUGAUUAGACGUAUGUUGCAACAAUUAAGAAAUUUCUUAUUGGAGAUAAUUUGGUAGGUUUGCAGCAAUUAGAGAAUAAUUUUCCUGCCAGUUAAUCAAUCAAUAAUAAAUUUCAAAUUGCAGAAAAUAAAAUAAUACAGCCUCACUUAGAAUCAUCUUUUCUAUCUCUUUCAAUUGUGGCAAUCAUUUGCAACAAAUAAAUCAAUUUGAUGCACAUCAUUUCCCCAAUUCAAAGUUCAAGUCACUGCUCAAUUACAGAGUAGUUAGUGGACAUGCAUGCAUGUUUAAUUAAGUACUGCAUUGUAGUAUCGAAAAUCAUAACAUCUCACCAAUAUCAGAUUAUUAACCAUGGAAAUCAUAUCACAAUAUCAUAUAGAAUUCACAAAUCUGAAAAUCAUCACCAAACAAGUACCCAGAGAAAUAAUCUCGUCAUAUCCAGACCUCAACGGACGGGCAAUGACGUACUAUUUGGGUAACGUCACACCCUGGAGCUACACGGAUAAAUAGGAAAAUACCAUCUCAUAUCUCAUCAUAUUUGUGCAUGCAUAAUCUAGUCCCCAAGGGACAAAAGCGCCCAAGCACACGGCCCAAAGCCUCUAUGUGUACUCAGACGGGCCCCAAAGGCCUGUAUCUCAUAUGUAUCAUAUGUAUCAUUUGUAUCUCAAUAUCUGUUUGUAUCUCAUUUCCGUAUAUCUAUAAUCAUCAUACCGCAUGCAUAUGCCCCCAAAAGACAAAAGCGCCCAAACACAUGGCCCAAAGCCUUUAUAUGUGUUUAGACGGGUCCCAAAAGCCUCUUAUCUCAUCUUAUCUGUAUCACUGUAUCUGGAGAGAAGGGUACUGUCUAAUGAUUUAAAAAACAAUCAUUAUACUCAUAUUUACAUACCUCUUAAUCAUAUUUGAAAUCAUAUCACAUUUGAAUCCACUUUUCUAAUCUUUAAAAUAUUAUCAUGCUUUAUUCAAAGUCGAUACGCAAAAUCAAUAACCAAACAUUUUAAAUCAAAUUAUUAACCAUGGAAAUCAUAUCACAAUAUCAUAUAGAAUUCACAAAUCUGAAAAUCAUCACCAAAUAAGUACCCAAAGAAAUAAUCUCGUCAUAUCCGGACCUCAACGGACGGGCAAUGACGUACUAUCUGGGUAACGUCACACCUUGGAGCUACACGGAUAAAUAGAGAAAUACCAUCUCAUAUCUCAUCAUAUCUGUGCAUGCAUAAUCUAGUCCCCAAGGGACAAAAGCGCCCAAGCACACAGCCCAAAGCCUCUAUGUGUACUCAGACGGGCUCCAAAGGCCUGUAUCUCAUAUGUAUCAUAUGUAUCAUUUGUAUCUCAAUAUCUGUCUGUAUCUCAUAUCCGUAUAUCUAUAAUCAUCAUACCGCAUGCAUAUGCCCCCAAAAGACAAAAGCGCCCAAACACAUGGCCCAAAGCCUUUAUAUGUGUUCAGACGGACCCCAAAAGCCUCUCAUCUCAUCUUAUCUGUAUCACUGUAUCUGGAGGGAAGGGUACUGUCUAAUGAUUUAAAAAAUAAUCAUUAUACUCAUAUUUACAUACCUCUUAUCAUAUUUGAAAUCAUAUCACAUUUGAAUCCACUUUUCUAAUCUUUAAAAUAUUAUCAUGCUUUAUUCAAAGUCGAUACGCAAAAUCAAUAACCAAACAUUUUAAUAAAAUACCAAUGCAUAAAUAAAAUUCAUUUCGAGAAAUCAUUAAAUCAGAACAUUUAAAAUACUUAUUUCGCAAACAUGCUUUACUAUCAUCGCUAACUAUGAAAAUAAGUUUUGUAUAUUCCACUUUCAGUGAUGGUGUUCACGGUCGGUUAUCGUCCAUAUCUGCAGACCGAUUCUCGCUCGCGAAUCCUCCUAAAUCAAGGAAACGACAUAAUUAUUUUUUGUAAAUCGGAAUUAUGACUAAAUUUUAUGCAAUAAACUCAAAACGAACAUCUAUUCAUAAUUGACAACUCCUAUAUCCAUAAAAUUACUAAAAUAUCCUUGAGUCCGUAGAUCAUUAACAUGCUCCGAAAUCGUAAAUCACUGAAUUACCCUCGGAAUCGUAAUUACACCCGAUCCUCAAUUAUAGGAAUUACUAACAGAUCCACAGGCUUAGAAAUUACAAAAUUGCCCUCGUAGUGUGAAAUUACCAAAAGCCGGAAGUUGGUCAACAAUGGCUAGGAAGCUCAAAUCGUAAAGUUCCAAUCACGCUGAGUUCAAUGGUACCGGCGGUGAGCUCCAACGCGCGACAACGAUGCCAGAAUCUAGCUCGGCAGCCGUGAAUUCCACCAAUCGACCGGCGGCACAACAGUGACUCUCGGUGCCUAUGGAUGGUCGAAAAUGGAAGAGGGAGCCGUGGGGAACAAAAUCCAACCGGUGGUGUCACCAAAACCGGUGAAAAUCCCGGCGGAGCAAAGUGAAACAGUCGCGGGUUUCAUGCUUCGAUCGCCGGUGUUCCGAUUGGUUUUUGGCGAGGAGGAUGGCAAGGGAACGACAGCCGGCUUCUAAGCUUCAGAUUGGUACCAAGCUCGGCCGAAACGAUGGCCGGAAAUGGGAGAUAUGACCGGGUCAAGGUCGCGGGUUCCGGGUCGGGUUUUUUGGUCUGUAGUUGGGUCGGUUUGGUAGCUUCUCUCUCACUCUCUGUUACACGUGCAUAUGUUUCCUCUGUUUCCAGCUUAUUCUUUUGCUUUUACUAACUUCUUAACCGCCUCAUACUUAUUCAUUUUUAAUUCACAUAUGUUACAAUAAUUCCCGAGUAUUAAAUAACCAGUGGUCAUAAUUUUUGUACAAGAUUCUUUUUUUUUUUUGGAGAUCGUUAAAAGUGGUUGACGAUCCAUUUCGUAAUAUCAUAGAGGGAUCAUCAAUUCCUUUUCUUUUCUGUGGCUAGGCAACACUUUUUGGCCAAAGUAAGGAAAUCUAUUUUAGGUAAUGUAAAAACCAGUUGUAGGAUGUAAUAGUUUAUUAUGCACUGACAAUAACUUUUUGUAUAAUUGUCAGUUUAAUGAAUGCAAGAGGAACUCUGUUGGCAAAUUCAUCCAAGAUAGAUGCUAAAAUUAUUUAUGCAUGCCAGUUGCCUUAACUAAGUUUUCUCAGCACUGGUUUUGAACAGGAAAAUGAAUAUGCAAUUUGUAUAUUGUGCCAUAGUGGAGAAUUUGGAUAUUCUUAUUUAAGUAACAAGGAGAUUAUUUGCCUCAUCUUUAAACAAUGAAUCUUUGAGAGAUGAGGAGUGGGUGAUUGGAUGUGUCUUCAUGUAAUUGUUCAUUUAUUUGUAUUUUGAACUGUUAUGAAAAUCUUUAUAUGCCAAAUUAGUAAUACAAGUAUUCAGAUGAUUUUUCCUAUUGAUCAUGCAUUUGUAUCUGCCCACAACCAUUGUAUAUCACUUUAUUCUGAUGCGCAAGCAUCUGUAAUUUAGAAGAAAAGAAAUAAUAAUCAUAUUUUAUUGCUUGGUUCAUGAUUAUUAACGAUUAUGGCUUUAAAAAUCUACAAAUUUCUUGUGUUCAUGUAUGAAUGUGCCAAGUUUGCUGUAUCUUAGAUUACCUUCUUCCAAGGUAACAAGUUCAUAUAUAUAUAUUUUUUAAAUCAUUUUCCAUUACAGUUGAAUUUCAAGUGUUAGUUUUGUUAUUAGUACCUGGUUUCCUGUUAUAAGGAUCUAAUAAACAGUGUACGGAUAUGUGCUCUACUUUUGGAGGGCUUCCACGUGAAAGAAAAUUACAACAAUUGAAUUCUUCCGGAGGAUAUGGUAAUUAAUUUAUUUUCUCAACUUCUUGUAAGACUAAUAUAUUUCCUUCAGUAGGCACAGCAUGGUGGGAAGGGUUUUUAUUGAAAGAAUUCUGAUAUUUCUUAGACUUUGUUUUGGAAGGGGGUGGAGGAAUUUCUCAUCCAUAUAUGGUUACUUGAUUAGCUUUUGACUGUAUUGUCUCUGUCGUGCAAAGGAAAAUCUAAAUACUAACGAUGGGGAAUUGCUUAGGCACCCAAAAGGCAGAAAUGAAUUACAGAAGGAAGUUUUUGCUGCUUUAUUUAGUGCUGCUGAGAAAUCUGAUGAAUUUCCUGAAAUUACGGUGAAGACCGAGUGGAGGUCCAAAGCAUUAGGAAAGGUGGUGAGUGAACUGCCGGAGGAAUUUGUACCAAAAUACAAGGCUAAUGUGGUGCACUUGCAGCAAGAUAACCAGACCGGUAUGUGCUCUUAUAUUAACUAUAUUGACUGGAUUUGUGAGUGUGUGCAUUUUUUUGUGUAUACUCACUUUUGUAUUUAUGCAUAUUAACAUGUGUAGGAUUCUUGAUUUCUGCCACUUACUGGAGAACUAGUGGAAAGCUUUAUAUUGAUAUAUCUGCAAUAACUAAUGGAAACUAUGAUAUGAAUAUUUUCUCUCACCUGGGGAGCUGUGUAACAGAUAUACUUUGUGGCUCUGGAAUGCUGAAGAUUCUGCAAUAACUAAUGGAAAAUAUGAUAUGAAUAUUUUGUCUCACCUGGAGAACUUUGUUACAGAUACCCUUUGUGGCUCUGGAAUGUCUAAAGAAUGCUUUAGUUAGAUCAAAUAUCUUUUAGUUAGAAAAGAUAAAAUUCUCUGAGUCUGAAAGACUGAAACAUUUUGCAUAUUUUGUGAAAGGGAAAUAUCUGUUGAUACUAGCUCAUGCAUUGAGGUAAUAUCGAUGUUAAAGAAAAACAGCAAUGAUUUAUGAUAUAGAAUUGGGUUCACUUGCUUCAAAUGCUGGUCUGAUCAACCAUAUCAACCUGUAAUGAUUCUGCAGAAAUAUAUAUACAUGGAGAAAGUAGCUAAAUUUUUCUUUCAUUUAUGGGUUCGGUCUUUUUUCCCCUUAUUUUUCAGCUUUCCUUCUCCUGAAGUAUGUUAACAAUUGCAGAUAAUGAUGAAGACGACAGCUUCCGGGCUCUCCUUAGAGCCGUGAUGGAAUAUAGGGGCACAAUGAAGGAAUAUUGUAAAGCUGUAGGUACUUUUUCUCCUUUCAUUUAUGUUUUCUCACACAUUUUGUAUAUGCCCUGAACAUGCACCUUUGUAUGUAUCAAUUGACUUUUAAAUUUUAAAAGCCAUAAAGUAAGAAUACGGUUCCUUGUCAGGCUACUGAUGACAUUCGCUCAGGGGGAUCAUGUUCGAGCAGGAAAAUUUCUAGAACAGGUAAGGUUUCCAUCUACAGCCAUCCAUUGACAGCAGAUACAUUUUCAUUCAGCAGACUCUGUUAGCAUUCAAGAUGCUGGCAGAUUCACUUGAUUCUUAUUAGCUUGUUUAGUGGCAAAGCCUAUAACCUGUAUUUCAAAGCCAAGUUGUGCUAUUGAUUAUGUUAACUUUUUUGUUAACAUAAAAUGAUAUGGAGGAAAUAAUCAGUGUUGGAAAAUUAGGUGAAAAGAUGAUGUCAAAUCUUGAACCUCUUACGAAACUCUAAGUUCUUUACUUGAAGAGGCUACGAAAUUUGAACAGCGUCUACUCGAAGGCCUUGCCAUUCCCUGAUGCAUGCAGAAUUUUUGUAUUUAAAUGCCCAGAGCUUAAGAAGCUGCCACUGGAUCUUGAAGGGGCAGACCAAGGUAAAAAUCUUAUCAAGGGAAAGGAAGAUUGGUGGAAACAACUUAAUGGGAGGAUCAAGUAACUCAGAAUGCAUUGCUUCCAUUUUUUAAAUUGACUGACAAGUGAUUGAACGGGGCAUCAUCAACAUCAUCAACAGGGAUGGAGAGAUACCGGAGCAGAUCAGCAGGGUUUGAAUAUGACCUUUGGCGGUUGCUUUUUUUUUGUGAUUUUUUUUUCAUUUUUUCCUUCCUGUCAUUUUAUCAUUUCUUUCUCUGUUUCUAUUGCGGGUGUUACUGCAUGCUUACUGUUGCUUGACAAAGUUUGCUAGCUUUUUGUUUGCAGUGUUGCUAUACACUCCGAGUCAAGCCUCGAAAAUUUAUUAAACGAAGCCGUUUCGACAGUAACAAUUCUUUUCUUUUCCCUUUGCAUGUCUCUUUCAUCUGCUGUUUCUCUAUCACUUUUCAUUUUUGAUUUCCUUGCUUCUCAGCUGCCCCUAAAUUGUUAUUCUAGCAAUAUACUUUCUCAUCUUUGAAUUUUCAUCCUUGAGUACUCCCACAGCCGUAAUUUCAUCAUCAUAGACUUCACUUGGAAUGCUGUAUUUUUUCGAUUCUUGAGCUACUUCAAUUACAUCUUAGUAUAGGAUCCUCAUCUUCCUUUAUUUCUUCAUCUUAUGAGGUAAUAAAUGGAUUUCACAACUCAUCUACUUUUAAGCAAUUACAUAUUAUACCUUGAAUGAUUCAACUGUUCUGACAGUUAAAGAUUUUAUGCUCAACCUGCAGUGCUACGAACAUUGUCCAUGAAAGAUGAGUUUCAGCAUAUAAAAUGAAAUAUAGAUGUUUAAUCUAAAAUAACCCUUCACUGCCAGAAACCUAGGUCACAAAAUUCACAGAUAAUGAUAAAGAGCUAAAAAAUUUGAAAAACUCUACAGAUCACACAUCAAGCAAGAUAUCAUGUUUUUUUCCCUCAUUCAGUGGUGAUUGAUUCGCUUUUUGAUGAUGGAUAUGGUAUAAAAGUGUUGACCCAAUUUCAAGCAAACACAAAUAGAAACACAAACACAAUCGGGACUAGAGUUGUGGGCGAUUAUCUUAGGUGUACAAGUGAAACGGUGGUGGCUGUCGAUGGUGGUAGUGGGGUGGUUGGGUAUGCGUGAUGGCUAGAUUUUAGGACAAUAAUGAUUGGAGUUGACCUCAAUCAACGAAGGAAAGUGACAACAAUUUUGACAUCAAACGGUGCAUUUUUUAGCUUAGUAAAAUGGAGCCGUUUCGAUUUUGGGGUUUAAUCCGGGGUUUGACUCGGUGCAAGUAUCAUUUUCCUUUUGUUUAUUAAAUUUUUUUAUGGUCACAAAGUAUCACUCGUUCUAUUUGAGAGUCAUGUGAAUCAAUUUUUCAAAUUUUCAAUUUUAAAUUUUGUGGUCAAUGUGAAUUCAAUUUCAUUUGUCUCCUGCAAUUAUGAAAAAAUUAAAUAGUCAUAAUAUGGAAAAAUACACCGGUAAAAACUUUGUAAAAGCUUCGGAGUGAUACGGGGAAUUCACUUACUACUAAGGACAAUUGGUGGCAAGCUAUUCCAUUCAUUUUAUGUCCAUCCAUCUAUUUAGUUAUUGAAGAUAAGUGGUCCAUUUGUAAAUUUCAGAUUGUCUCUCUCUCCCUCUUGAAAUAACAAUAUUUAAUAUAUCUCAUAAAUUAUUAUAAAUUUUAAUUUACUCUCGAUUUAAAAUGGAGCAUGUCGAUAAAUUUUUUUUCUUCUUAAUAAAAUUGACGUAAGUUGUGUUUACAGUAGUUUGAAGUUUGAAAUAUUUUAAAGAUUAUUAUUCUAUAAGGGAGUAAUAUGAAAUGAUAUUUACUUUUCAUGUGUGAAAUGAAAAAGGACGAAGCAAGUGUCCCUGCUUUUAUUUUAUUUCAAGGAGGAGUCAUCUCACAUACUUUAGCUCUUAACAUUACAUUUUUUCUGGUUACAUUUUUUAUUUAUUUAUUUUUUUUUUUUUACACAUGCGUGUGGGUUGCUUUUCUGUAAGCUCCUUAAUAUAUAUUUAAGACAAAUCAUGGAAGAGAUGGGAUUAUAUCAAGAUGAUCAAAGAAUGUUAAAAAAGAAAAAAGAAAAAAAAAAGAAGUAAGACACUGAAAAUGGAGAAGAGAUGGAAGCAAAAGAUAUUCCAAAACAAAGCAAUCUAUCCCCUUUCGAGGGCAGACUUAUCAGGUUUAAAAAAGUACACGCUUUGGAUUGGUAGUUGCAAUCAAGGGAAAAUAAAUAGGAUCCAAUGAAAUUUAAAUCUCGGAGAAAAUAAAUAAUCAUGCAGAUUUUCAAGAUUUUAAUAAGGGAUACUAAUAUCUUAUUUUGAUUAAUAAUAUCCUUUCAUUGUGUUAACUCAAAAAAUAUAUAUUUUAAUGUUUUGCAAUAAACAGAAACGUACUAUUAAAAUGAAUAUAUAAAGAAUUUAGAAAAUUUUGAAUGUUAUAUAAAAUAAUUUUAAGAUAAUGCGUGAGAUAUAUUUUAUUAAUUUAAAAUGUUAUUUUACCUAAAAAAUAUGAUAAAUUAAUAAUUACAUAUUUGAAGUUAUUUUAAAUAUUAAAAAAAUUUAAUAUUAUUAAUCUUUUAGAUAGAUUAAAUUAUUUUUUAUAAGAGAUAGAUUAAAUUAUUUUAAAAUACGUUAAUUGUUUUUACUUUUAACGUUACCGGCCUUUCUUUUAUUUUAUUGCAAAUUAAUGCUAACAAGAAAAAGCUAGAUCAUAUUCCACAAAAGCAAAAGUGACAAACACAACCAGCUGGAAUCUUUUAAUUACUAUUCAAUAAUUCGAGACGAUUAGGGUCUUUUAUUAAACUACAAAUUGUAUAGUCUUUUUAAAAUUGUUAUAAAUUGGUGGCACCUACAAUCCUCAAUAAUUGUACCGAUAUUCACAAGUUGGUGGCCCCUACAAUUCUGUUCGGAUAAUUUAACUGUGCAAGUGCUCAUUCACAAUAAUUGUUUUGUUUUUUUUUUCUGCAUUCCCUUUCAUGCUCUUAAUAAUUGAAGAGCAUACUUUUCAUUUUCAAAUGUGGAGCCGCAGCUAAUGUCGCUAAUUUAAUUUGGGAUUAAAUUAGGGGACCAUUAUAUUGCAGUGUGCACUAAUUUUUGUGUUUAUCUAAACUCCUUAAAUUUAAGACAUAUUAUGGCAUAAAUAAGAAUAUAACAAUAGCAAAAGAGUUAAAAAGUGUAGAGAAGAUCUUGCAGAAAUAUAAAUAAUAUCUAUUUUAAAAUAAUAUCAAUAUUUAAAAUAAUUUUUAAUAUUUUAUGAUUCAUUAGAUAUAUUUUAUUAUAUUAAAGUAAAUUUUAUAAUAAAUAAAAACAUACUAUUAAAAUGAAUAUAUAGAAAAUUUAGAGUAUUUUAAGUAUUAUAUAAAAUAAUUUUAAUAAAAUAUGUGAGAUAUUCAUAUUUUAUUAAUUUAAAAUACCAUUUAACCUAAAGAUUUAUUUAUGAUAAAUUAAUAAUUAUAUUUUUGAAGUUACUUCAAAUAUUAAAAAUAUUAAUAUUACUAAUCUAUUAGAUAGAUUAAAUUAUAUAUAUUAUUUUCUAUUUAUUAAAAAAUUUAAAAUUAUUUUUAAUUACUAUUCAAAAAAUAUAAUGAUAAAAAAGAAUCUUAACAUCUUUAUUAAAAAUUUAAAAAUUUACAUGAUCAAUUCUCUAAAUAUUUAGGGUUAUAUGUGAACAACGGUGGAGAAGCUUUAUUUAAUAUUAUUGAUUUAAAUAAUAUGUCAAUUAAAAAUGUACAGAGAAGGAAAUUUCGGUGGGUAUUUUAGUCUUUUCAGCAAUUAUCAUGAUCAGAUCAGCCUUUAGCCUUGAAUCGUCGGUCAGAAAAGUUUUAAAAUUAACGCUAACAAGAAAAAGCUAGGUCAUAUUCCACAAAAGCAAAACUGACAAAACAACCAGCUGGUUUCUUUUACUAAACUACAAAUUAAAAGUGGAUUCUUUUGAAUGCAAGUGGGACAGACGAUUAGGCUCUUUUUAUUAAAGGCAAGUAAAAACUAGUCGAAUAGUCUUUUUCAAAUUGUUGUUUUAUUAUUUUUCCUUCAAAAGUUAGUGUGGCUCAUGUUUGCAGGUGCGAAUGUGGGUCCCGAAUCAUUACUAAAAUUUCUAUUCCACAGCCCACCGCAGCUUCAGUUAAUCAAACUCAAAUCAAUUUUCUUUCUUAACAAAAUAUUCCAAAGAUGUGUAGCAUUUUUCAGAUCACAUGCGAUGGUGCUCUUUUCAAUCGUUGCUUGGAUUGCUUUCUUGGAAAAGCAGCAUACAUACGUAACCUCCAAGAUAAUGUUGAUACCUUGGGCACUGAAUUGGGAAAUCUGAUCGCUAGAAAGAACGAUCUGAUGAGGAGGGUUGUCGAUGCUGAACGGCAACAAAUGAGAAGGCUGGACGGAGUGCAAGUGUGGGUUUCGAGGGUGGAUUCUGUUAAAACUGAAGCUGAUCAAUUUAUAAGAGACGGCUCUCGAGAAAUUGAAAAAUUAUGUGUUGGAGGCUACUGUUCCAAGAAUUGCAUGUCAAGCUACAAGUUCGGGAAAAAAGUGGCUAAAAAGCUACGGGAUGUGCGGACUUUAAUCAGUGAAGGAGUUUUUGAGGUGGUGGCUGACAGAGCUCCAGAGUCUGUAGCAGAUGAAAGACCUACUGAGCGAACAGUAGUAGGCUUGCAAUCACAACUUGAACAAGUCUGGAGAUGUCUUGUAGAAGAAUCAGCGGGAAUCAUUGGCCUAUAUGGUAUGGGCGGUGUUGGUAAAACUACACUACUGACCCAUAUCAACAAUAAAUUUCUCGAGAGUCCAACCAACUUUGAUUGUGCGAUUUGGGUUGUAGUUUCAAAAGACCUGCGACUCGAAAAAAUUCAAGAAGAUAUUGGGAAAAAGAUAGGUUUGGUUGGUGAUUCAUGGAAGAGUAAAAGUGUAGAGGAGAAAGCUGUCGACAUCUUCCGGAGUUUAAGAGAGAAGAGAUUUGUAUUGUUGUUAGAUGAUAUAUGGGAGCGGGUUGAUUUAACAAAGGUGGGCAUUCCACUUCCCGGACCAAAAAAUACUACCUCAAAAGUCGUAUUCACAACCCGUUUCAUCGAUGUUUGUGGUAGCAUGGAAGUUGACAGGAAGUUUCAAGUAGCAUGCUUAUCAGAAAAGGAUGCUUGGGAACUGUUUCGAGAAAAAGUUGGGGAGGAAACUCUUCAGAGUCAUCAUGAUAUCGAUGAGCUAGCCCAAAUUGUGGUCAAAGAGUGUGGUGGUUUGCCACUCGCACUUAUUACUAUUGGUCGAGCUAUGGCCUACAGAAAGAAAGCGGAGCAGUGGAGACGUGCAAUUGAAGAGUUAAGGAGAUCAGCUUCAGAGUUUGCAGGUUUGGGAAAAGAGGUUUAUCCUCUUUUAAAAUUCAGCUAUGAUAGUUUGCAGAAUGAUACGGUUAGAUCUUGUUUCUUGUACUGUUGUUUAUAUCCUGAAGAUUAUGGCAUUCUUAAAUGGGACUUGAUUGAUUGUUGGUUUGGCGAGGGAUUUUUUGGGGAAUCUGACAGGUCUGGUGCAGAAAACCAAGGAUAUGACAUUUUGGACACUCUUGUUCGUGCGUGUUUAUUAGAAGAGGUGGAAGAUGAUGAAGUAAAAAUGCAUGACGUUAUUCGUGAUAUGGCUAUAUGGAUAACUUGUGAAAUUGAGAAGGAGAAGAGAAACUUUUUGGUUCGUGCAGGUGCUGGAUUAAAAGAUGCACCGGGUGUUAAAGGAUGGGAAAAUGUGAGAAGAUUGUCAUUGAUGCAAAACCAAAUUGAAACUCUGGCAGAGGUUCCCACAUGCCCUCAUCUCCAUACUCUAUUUCUUGACUUUAAUAGGGGGUUGGAUAUGAUCGCGGAUGGCUUCUUUCAAUUUAUGCCUUCUCUCAAAGUUUUGAAGAUGUCAAACUGUUCGAAUUUGAAAUUACCUGUUGGGAUGUCAGAGUUGGGUUCAUCACUAGAACUUCUUGAUAUUUCAGAAAACAGCACAAGAGAGUUACCGGAAGAGUUAAAGAAGUUGGUAAAUCUGAAAUGUUUGAAUUUGAGGUGGACAGAGCAUUUAAAUAAAAUUCCACGGCAACUAAUAUCAAAUUCUUCAAGGUUACGUGUGUUGAGAAUGUUCGCUACUGGCCGGUUCAAUUUUCAUGAAGCACCAGAAGACAGCGUUUUAUUUGGUGGGGGUGAAGUUUUGAUACAGGAAUUGCUCGGUUUGAAAUAUUUAGAGGUAUUGGAGUUGACCUUGGGAAGUUAUCAUGCUCUCCAAAUUCUUUUGAGCUCAAAUAAGUUAAAAAGUUGUAUUCGAUCUCUUUACCUCGAGUUGACCGGAGAUACAACGUCAAUUAUUGAUGCUACGGCUUUCGCAGAUCUAAACCACCUCAAUGAAUUACGGAUUGAUAAUGGUAUUGAGUUGGAAGAGUUGAAGAUUGAUUAUACGGAGAUAGUACGAAAAAGGCGGGAACCUUUUGUUUUCCGCAGCCUUCAACGUGUUACCAUAGCGGAGUGCCAUAAAUUGAAAGAUGUGACAUUCCUCGUUUUUGCUCCAAACCUCAAGUCUCUUCGGCUAUUCUAUUGCGGUGCUAUGGAAGAAAUAAUCAGCGUCGGAAAAUUUGCUGAGACUCCUGAGAUGAUGGGACAUAUAAGCCCUUUUGAAAAUCUCCAAAUGCUUGAUUUACAAGGUUUGCCACAUUUGAAGAGCAUCUUCUGGAAGCCAUUGCCUUUCACUCAUCUGAAAGAAAUGGAGGUACUUAGGUGCGAUCGGCUUGAAAAGCUUCCACUCGAUUCCAACAGUGCAAAGGAGCGCAAAUUUGUUAUUCGUGGAGAAGAAGACUGGUGGAACCGACUUCAAUGGGAGGAUGAAGCCACUCAAAUUGCUUUUCGUUCCUGUUUUAAAAGUGAUGCUUUAUUUAUAUCUUAUUCGUGAAAAGUGAUUUAAUUUCCUGCCAAAAGACGAACGAGAAGAACAAUAGAGUCAAACUAAUGCUCACAUAAAUUUCCCGUAAGAAUAUAUAAUUAGAUUGGAAUGCACACCUCUAGAUUGAACAGAAUUAAAGCUGAGAAAAUAUUGAGUAUAGUAGCCCUCUUUACAGAAAAUGACGUGAAAGUUAAUUUAGAAAGAUAUAUUCUUGAUUAAUCCAUUUUCUGAAGUUUUUAUUUUGUAUGGUCAAUUAUACCUUCAUACUAAAAAUUUCUGAAGUUAUAAAUUAGUGCAACUUGACAAUUUUUACUGAUGAUAUCUUCUAUUUUUCCCUUUUUUUUUUUUUCACUUUCAUAGACUGGCAGCGGAUCCUGCGGCACCAAUUUGAGAGAAUAUACUGACACUACUUCGAACAGCAAGCAGAAGAAGUAAUAUGUCUACGGCAAAGGCAAUGGAGUCCUCAUUUUGGCUCGAGAUGCAGUAAUCAUCGAAGAGAGUUUCCUUGUGAAACUGGGCAACACAUUGAAUCCCUUCACCACUGAGAAGGUUGUGGAGGAAGUAAGCUUUCUCUCCAGUGAGGAAGAGGUGGCAUAUACCUUCCCCAUUUUGUUGAGGGCAGGUAGGAAUCUUUUUUCUAAGAGAUUUACUUCGUUCUCUGUAAGAAAUGCUUUGAACUUCAUCCCUCUGUCUCUAUCCUCACUUAUCAGGAAAUAAGUUGAAAGCACUAUGAAGAGAGAGAGAGAGAGAGAGAGAGAGAGAGAGAGAGAGAAUUAAGAUAUAUAGACAAGAAAAAUAUUUGACGUUGAUCUUACAAACUAAUACUUCAAGCAGUAUCCUAGAAAGCUAAAAACUGCAAGAUGGCUUGAAAUUUGAAAAGAGCACAUGCUUUUCCUCCUUAACUUGAGAAAAUGUUUAAUAUAGUGCACCUUACAGAAGCAUUUAAGCAAUUAGAACUUUGCACAAAAACAUCAAGAAGACUAAACAAGUCAGAUGCAGUGUAUUUGUCCAAGCACAAAUUGCAUUUUUUCCUCAACUUUAAUAUUUAUUGAUGAGAAUCAAUACAGGUCCCUCAUUUGUUAUAGAAAGCUUUCUUUCUUGUAGUCUCACCAGUUAAUUCAGAGGUCUAUAAUCAUCUUGCAAAGUUAAGGGCAUUUCUUUUGAUCUAAAGUCUUUGCAUCACCACCUCAUCACACGCCAAGCCAAUAUUCCAUUUACCUCUACAACAAAAAGUUUUAAUUAAACAAUCCUAAUGCACGCAGCCAAAUAAAAUGCAGUAAGAAUAUUCAACUUAAAAAUCUGAAAGCCAACUUGGUGAAUUGCCUCCUUAGGUGAAGUUCCAUGCUUUACUAUAGUUGACAGAACUCAGCAAAAGCUUCCAUACAACAGAUUUUGAAAAUGAUGAUGCCAACAGAUACUCAUUCAAUGCAUUGAAACUCCAAAGGUUCAUUGUUCAUAGAAGUUUACAGAGUUUUGGUCAUCAAAUAGCUCAGACCUAAUCCCAAACAAAAAAUGAGUGAAAAUUAGAUCACGAGCAGCUAAUUGUAAAUUCUAACUUAACUCUUCAUCUCCUUUGUAAACAAGAAACAAAAUGGAGACACGCAAAAUGAAUAUGGAGAAAAUUUGAACUCAAAUGAAAUGAGGGCAUGAAAGCAAACAAAUGGCAUGCACCAAAAAACCAAGCCUCAAUCAAAAACUAAUUAACCAUUAAGAAAAAAAUUGGUCAGAGAAUGAACUCCAAAUUCAGGAGUCAAGCAAGAAGCUUUCAUUAUUAUCAAAGUCAAUUAUCUUUGUUAGUAUGCGAGUGUGACGACUAUAGGUUGUUCUUUUUCUAAUGUCAUAUGAUUCCAAUUUUAGGUACAGGGCAUCUCUCUCUCUCUCUCUCAUCGCUAAGUGGAUAUUUUUCUCUUUUGUCAUAUACUUUAGUUAUUCUUCAAUUUACUAACUAAAAUGAAGGCCGCUUUAUUAAGAAGUUAUAUCCAGUUAUAUAAUUUGUUGUAUUUAAUAUAUGUUUGGGCUCAUAAUUUUUUUUAAAAAUAUAUAUUUCAUUCUCCAUAAUUUUUUCCCAUCAUAGCUACGAAACGUCUUAGUUUCGACUAAAAUCCUAAAAUUGGUCCUUAAUUGAAUAUGCAUUGCAAUUUGCAAAUGUAAUAUUGUGAAUGGGACACUGGAGAUACCAAAAUGGUCAAAUGCGAAAUAAGUUAGGAUUGUACGAUGUAGUUUGUAUUCAUAUUCAAUGCCUUUUUUUUCAAAAAACAAAUUGAAAUGCCAUUACUAAACGAUUCUUGAUGAUGGGAGCCACCGUGCCAGCUUUGUCGCUGAUUUGGUAUUAUUCUUAACUUGCAGAUAGUUGUGGAUAUGAUAUGCAAAAAGGUAAGGACUAUAUCUUCUUGAUGGAGGCCUCUGAUUUUUUCCCUUCUAUGUAAUUUAGUAAAUCGCAUUUUCCCUUGUGAUUGAUAUAUCAUACCAAAGUCAAGUCUUAAAUACUGCUGUCAUAUGUUAAGGUUCAACUUCCAUUUUGAUUAACGUCCAUUUGCUGCUGCUUCCAAAAGUGAGAAUGAGAUACUUUGGUUAAUUUCAGUAGUUGAACCCAAUAGAGUACUUUAUUUAGAUCUUCAUGGUUCAAAGGCCUGAAAAAACUUGCCGGUAUUUGCAAAAUGACAUUCUGUGCUUUUAUUUAGGCUUAUUAUUUAAGUGAUAAAAACUCCCGUAACCUGCUGUCAAGAAAAUUUCAGAUUGUUAAAAGACAACAUUUUGUUUCAGCCAAAAAUGUUUGUUUCGAUUAAAGACUUGAACCAUUUUCAUUUAACCUUGAUUGUGAUGCUUUACAUUAUGCAUGUUCCUCUCAAUCAAUAAAAGUUGAGGUCAUGAUUUUAUAUUUCUAUUUUGUAACUUGAAAUAAUUGGUCUGCCUGUUUCUGUAGCUUGAUAACAUGAAUUUUUCCUUCUGAAGUUAAUUUGAUCAAUAAAGUAAUUCUUCGGAGAUGAUAUGCCCAUUCUAUAGUCAUUUUCUUAGGUAACAUGUUUUUUCUUCACUCUUCAGAGCAUGUCUAAACUAAUUGAUCGCUCAGCGGAGACUUUGGGUGAGAAGACAAAAUUUCUUGGUAAAUCCUCUAAAAAGGUAUGCAUAAUUCCCGAGUAUUAAAUAAUCAUUGGUCAUAAUUUUUGUACACAACUCUUUUUUUGGAGAUCGUUAAAAGUGGUUGAUGAUCUAUUUUGUAAUAUCAUAGAGGGAUCAUGAAUUCCUGUUCUUUUCUGUGGCUAGGCAACACUUUCGGGCCAAGCUAAGGAAAUCUAUUUUAGGUAAUGUGAAAACCAGUUGUAGGAUGUAAUAGUUUAUUAUGCCCUGACAAUAACUUUUUGUAUAAUUGUCAGUUUAAUGAAUACAAGAGGAACUCUGUUGGCAAAUUCAUCCAUGAUAGAUGCUAAAAGUAUUUAUGCAUACCAGUUGCCUUAACUAAUUUUUCUCAACACUGGUAUUGAACAGGAAAAUGAAUAUGCAAUUUGUAUAUUGUGCCAUUGUGGAGAAUUUGGAUAUUCUUAUUUAAGUAACAAGGAGAGUAUUUGCCUCAUCUUUAAACAAUGAAUCUUUGAGAAAUGAGGAGUGGGUGAUUGGCAGUGUCUUCAUGUAAAUGUUCAUUUAUUUGUAUUUUGAACUAUUAUGAGAAUCUUUGUAUGCCAAAUUAGUAAUACAAAUGUUCAGAUGAUUUUUCCUGUUGAUCAUGCGUGUGUAUCUGCACACAACCAUUGUGUCCCACUUUAUUCUGAUGCACAAAUAUCUGUAGUUUAGAAGAAAAGAAAUAAUAAUCAUAUAUUAUUGCUUGGUUCAUGAUUAUUAAACGAUUAUGGCUUUAGAAAAUCCACAAAUCCUUUGUGUUCAUAUAUGAAUGUGCGAAGUUUGCUAUCUCUUAGAUUACCUUCUUCCAAGAUAACAAGUUCAUAUAUUUUUUUUAAUCCUUUUUCAUCACAGUUGAAUUUCAAGUGUAAGUUUUGUUAUUAAUAGCUGGUUUCCUGUUAUUAUGAUUUCAUAAACAGUGAGAGGAUAUGUGCUCUACUUUUGGAGGGCCUCCACAUGAAAGAAAAUUGCAACAAUUGAAUUCUUCCGGAGGGUAUGGUAUUUAAUUUAUUUUCUCAGCUUGUUGUAAGACUAAUAUAUUUCCUUCAGUACCCAAAAGGACAGAAAUGAAUUACGGAAGGAAGUUUUUGCUGCUUUAUUUAGUGCUGCUGAGAAAUCUGAUGGAUUUCCUGAAAUUACGGUGAAGACGGAGUGGAGGUCCAACGCAUUAGGAAAGGUGGUGAGUGAACCGCCGGAGGAAUUAGUACCAGAAUACAAGGCUAAUGUGGUGCACUUGCAGCAAGAUGACCAGACCUGUAUGUGCUCUUAUAUUAACUAUAUUGGUUGGAUUUGUGAGUGUGUACAUUUUUGUGUGUAUACUCACAUUUGUAUUUAUGCAUAUUAACGUGUGUAGGAUUCUUGAUUUCUGCCACUUACUGGAGAACUAGUGGAAAGCUUUAUACUGAUAUAUGUGCUAUAACUAAUGGAAACUACAAUAUGAAUAUUUUCUCUCACCUGGAGAACUGUGUAACAGAUAUAAUUUGUGGCUCUGGAAUACUGAAGAUUCUGCAAUAACUAAUGGAAAAUAUGAUAUGAAUAUUUUUUCUCACCUGGAGAACUUUGUAACAGAUACAUUUUGUGGCUCUGGAAUGUCUAAAGAAUGCUUCAGUUUAGAUCAAAUAUCUUUUAGUUAGAAAAGAUAAAAUUCUCUGAAUCUGAAAGACUGAAACAUUUUGCAUAUUUUGUGAAAGGGAAGUAUCUGUAGAUACUAGCUCAUGCAUUGAGGUAAUAUCAAUGUUAAAGAAAAACAGCAAUAAUUUAUUAUACAGAAUUAGGUUCACUUGCUUUAAAUGCUGGUCUGAUCAACCAUAACAACCUGUAAUGGUCCUGCAGAAAUAUAUAUACGGGGAGAAACUAGCUAAAUUUUCCUUUCACUUAUGGGUUUGGUCUUUUUUUCCCCUAUUUUUCAGCUUUCCUUCUCCUGAAGUAUGUUAACAAUUGCAGAUAAUGACGAAGAGGACCGCUUCCAGGCUCUUUGUAGAGCUGUGAUGGAAUAUAGGGGCACAAUGAAAGAAUAUUGUAAGGUUGUAUGUACUUUCUCUCUUGUCAUUUAUGUUUUCUCACACAUUUUGUUUAUGCCCUGAACAUGCAGCUUUGUAUGUGUCAAUUGCCUUUUACGUUUUAAAAGCCAUAAAGUAAGAAUACAGUUCCUUGUCAGGCUAUUGAUGCGUUCGCUCAGAAGGGUCAUGUUCAAGCAGGAAAACUUCUAGAACAGGUAAGGUUUCCAUCUACAGCCAUCCAUUGACAGCAGAUAUAUUUUCAUUAAGCAGACACUGUUAGCAUUCAAGAUGCUGGCAGAUUCACUUGAUUCUUAUUAGUUUGUUUAGUGGCAAGGCAUAUAACCUGUAUUUCAAAGCCAAGUUGUGCUAUUGAUUAUGUUAACUUUAUUGUUAACAUAAAGUGAUAUGGAGGACAUAAUCAAUGUAGGAAAAUUAGGUGAAGAGAUGAUGUCAAAUCUUGAACCUCUUACAAAGCUCCAAGUUCUUUACUUGAAGAAGCUGCCAAAUUUGAAGAGCGUCUACUGGAAGGCAUUUCCAUUCCCAGAUGUAUGCAGAAUUUUUGUAUUAAUGCCCAGUUCUUAAGAACCUGCCACUGGAUUUUCAAGGGGUGGGCCAAGGUAAAAUUCUUAUCAAGGGAAAGGAAGAUUGGUGGAAAGAACUUCAAUGGGAGGAUCAAGCAACUCAGAAUGCAUUGCUUCCAUUUUUCAAAUCAACUGACAAGUGAUUGAAGGGGGCAUCAUCAACAUCAUCAACAGAGAUGGAGAGAUUCUGGAGCAGAUCAGCAGGGUUUGUAUAUGAUCUUUGGUGGUUGCUUUCUUUUGUGAUUUUUUUUUUCUUCCUGUCAUUUUAUCAUUUCUUUGUCUCUUUUUUUAUUGCUGAUGUUAGUGUAUGCUUACUGUUGCUUGACAAAGUUCGCUUGCUUCUUGUUUAUUAAAUUUUUUAUCGUCACAAAAUAUUACUUGUUCUAUUUGAGAGUGAUGUGAAUCAAUUUUCAAUUAUAUAUUUUGUGGUCAAUGUGAAUUCAAUUUCAUUUGUCUCCUGCAAUUAUGAGAAAACUGCAGAGUCAUAAUAUGGAAAAGUACACCAGCAAAAACUUUGUAAAAGCUUCGGAGUGAAACAGGGAAUUCACUUACUACUAAGAACAAUUGAUGGCGAGUUAUUCCAUUCAUUUUAUGUCCAUCUAUCUAUUUAAUUAUUAAAGAUAAAUGGUCCAUUUAUAAAUUUCAGAUUGUCUCUCUCUGAAAAUAACAAUAUUUAAAAUAUCUCUUAAAUUAUUAUAAAUUUUAAUACACUCUCGAUUUAAAAUGGAACAUGCUGAUGAAAUUGUUUUCUUCUUAAUAAAAUUGAAAUAAAUUGUGUUUGCAGUAGUUUGAAAUAUUUUAAAGAUUAUUAUUUUAUAAGGGAGUAAUAUGAAAUGAAAUUUACUUUUCAUGCGUGAAAUGUUGAAAAAGGACAAAGCAAGUGUCCCUGCUUUUAUUUUUAUUUUAAAGUGGAGUCAUCUCACAUACUUUAGCUCUAUCAUUACAAUUUUUCAGGUUACAUUUUUAUUAUUUAUUUAUUUUCUUUUUUACACAUGCAUGUGGGUUACUUUUCCGUAAGCUCCUCAAUAUAUAUUGAACCCAGCGAAGAAUGUUAUGGAAGAGCAAAUUAAUGAUAUUUCUGAUAGAGUCUAUUUGAUUAUGUAGCCUGAAUGGAUGUCUUGUUGAAAGAUAUCUCAGUGCAUUAGUUCAUCCUUGUCUGUCAAUGUGUUUUUAAUGGUUUUUCCAAUUGUUUAUUAUUAUAGAUUGAUUGUAAAUUGAUAUGAAAAUUUGAUAUGAAUUUAAUGUUGAAAUGUUUUCUCUUUAGUGGAAUGAAUUUAAAAGUGCAAAAGAUUAUUGCACACAGAGAAAUAAACAUAUAUGCUUUAUAACUUUAGCAAUCGAUUCUUUUACAGCUGGAAACAGAGAUGAUGAUUAUCAUAAGGAUGAAGAAAAGUAGUGCGUUAGACGAUUAGACUCUCUUAUUAAAGGCAAGUAUAAAGUAGUGAAGAAUCCAAUAUCUCUAUUGUCUAGUCUUUUGUUUAAUUCUUCUUUUAUUAUUUUUCAGAAUAAUUUUUGGUGAUUACAAUCGGGUUAUUAUUCAGAGUUAUUGUUAUCUUCUGGGGCAGUUUCUGUUCAUCGAAUUCAUUAAUUAAAAUUUUAGAACUCUUAUCAGAAGAAUAUUUUUCGGUUAUCUUUUUUAUGUUCUAAUUCCAAUUGUAAGAAGUAGCCAUUUUAGAAUUUGGGUCUUGAAUCGAAUUUCAAUGCAUGAAUUAAUAUUAAAAAAAAAAAAUUCACUACUCGCAGUUUAGGUUACAAAUUACUUUUUGGAAAGUUGACUUUGGAAUGUUUGCAAAGAAAGAGACUAACAUAUUUCCAAUUACACUAAAUCUCUAUUAUGAUAAUGUUAAGACUAAAUUAAUUUAAAUAAUUUUUAUUUGAAAAUUAUAUCAAACGCAGUCUAAUUUUAUUAAUUUUAAGAAAUAAUAAUUAUAAAAAUUAUUGUUCUGACUUAAUUAAUACAAGUGAUAUAAAAGUUAAGUGUGCACUAAAUCUGUUUUAAUUUUUUCCAGUAUAACUAACAGAGGUCAUUACUAGAAUUAUAUUACUAGUCUAUUAGAUAGAAAAAAUUACUUAUAUUGUUUUAUAUUUAUUAAAAAAUUUAAAGCCAAUUUUUUUAAUUACUAUUUAAAGAAUAUUAUAAUUUGAAAAAUUUUAAUAUCUUUAUUAAAAAUUUAGAAAUUUACAGUCCUCUAAAUAUUUAAGGCGUAACUGUCAUUUUCUCAAGAAGCUUUAUUUAAUAUUAUUGAUUUAAAUAAUAUCUUAUUAAAAAUGUACUGAGGAGAAAUUUUGGUGGGUAUUUUAGUCUUUUCAGCAAUCAUCAUGAUUAACCUUUGGUUGGCCUUGAAACGUCGGUCAGAAAAGUUUUAAAAUGCUUAAUUGUUUUUCACUGUUAACGUUAGUGGCCUUGAAAUUGCUUAUAUUUUAUUAAAAAUUAAUGCUAACAAGAAAAAACUAGAUCGUAUUCCACCCCCAAAGCAAAAGUGAUAAAACAACCGGCUGUAUUCUUUUAUUAAACUACAAAUUAAAAUGGAUUUCUUUAAUUAAAGUGGAUAUCAUUUAAUUAAUGUUUGAACAUUAAAGUUCUGAUAUAUAACCACUAUGCCGACCACCUAAUUGCUGCUAUUUAAUUUCGUUCCAGUUCUCUCUCUCUCUCUUUUUCUUUUUUUUUUGGGCCAAGCAAUAAAUAGUAAAAAUUCAAUAAAAGCAAUAUUAAUGCUGCAAGUGAGUCAUGUUAUUUAUUGUCAAUUAGGAAAUGUGAACCUAAUUUGAUUGCAUCCCUUUAAUCAUUUAAUAAUUAUGUAAGCACCAUCCCUUUAAUUAUUUAAUAACUAGAAAAUAGAACACUGCGUUUCACGCGGCUUUGAAAAAAGAAUUUAGUAUUAUCUUUUUUUCUUACUUUACACUUGAUGAAACUGAUAAAAAAUAUGAAUUGAUUUUUUUUAAAGAUGAGGCAGCCUUAUAAAAAAUAAAAAAAGCUAUUAGCCAGCAAUACAAAUAAAGAAGGAAUGCAAGAUAAAGAAUAAAAUGAGAGAAUAUAUUAUAGAGUGAUCUUAUUCAUUCUAAUUGUGUGUGUACAAAACAAAAAGAUGAGCUCUCCUUUUAUAACUACAUAAUUACUUCAUGAAAUUAAUGAAAAAUUAUGAAUCAUAAUUUCUUGUGAGAUAGUGGGAGUUAUUGGGAAGCUAAAAGUUGCUAAUGGGAGAUAGUGGGGAGACUAAGAGAUAUAUAUUAUGAACAUCUACAUUUAUUUUAAUAAAUUCAUAACACUCCCCCUUAAAUGUUCAUUACAAAGAAUAUGCCUCAUUAAAAUCUUUACAUAAUUGUUAUUGUGUAAUAACAAUCAAAUUAAUUAUAAGAAGAUGAAAAGCCAAAUCUAACAGAAAAUUUCUCUAUUUAUUAGAUAAUAGAGAAUAUAGCAAGAUGAGAAAUGGUAAUGCCACAUCAUCUCCUCACGUCCCAACUUUAUAUAUAUAUAUAUAGAUAAUAUAUAUUAUUCCUGUCCUACAUUCACAUAUUUAAUUGUCCUUUUGAAAAUAUUCAUGAGUUAGGCCAAGUAAAGUCAAAGAAAUUGGGAAAAAGGAACAAAAGGACAAACCUAAAUUAAUUGAACCUAAUUCAUGAAAAUGCACACUUUUGUGUUGCGGACGGCGGACCCUAAAGCUUCGUUGUUUGCAGCUGCAAUUAAUUCUUUUCCUUCAAAAGUUAGAGGCUCGUGUUUACAGUGGGUCCCGAAUCGGACGUACCUAAUAAAUCUUUUAAAAAAAUUUGCCGUAUAAAGGACAGAGGUCAUUACUGAAAUUUCUCUUCCACGGGCAAUUACAGCAGCUUCAGUUAAUCAAACUCAAAUCAAUUUUCUUUCUUAACAAAAUAUUCCAAAGAUGUGUAGCAUUUUUCAGAUCACAUGCGAUGGUGCUUUUUUCAAUCGUUGCUUGGAUUGCUUUCUUGGAAAAGCAGCAUACAUACGUAACCUCCAAGAUAAUCUUGUAGCCUUGGACACUGAAUUGGGAAAUCUGAUCGCUAAAAAGAACGAUGUGAUGAGGAGGGUUGUCGAUGCUGAACGGCAACAAAUGAGAAGGCUGGACGGAGUGCAAGUGUGGGUUUCGAGGCUCGAUGCUGUUAAAACUGAAGCCGAUGAACUUAUCACAGACGGCUCUCGAGAAAUUGAAAAAUUAUGUGUUGGAGGCUACUGUUCCAAGAACUGCAGGUCAAGCUACAAAUUCGGAAAACAAGUGGCAAGAAAGCUACGAGAUGUGGAGACUUUAAUCGCCGAGGGAGUUUUUGAGUCGGUGGCUGAGAGAGCUCCGGAACCUGUGGCAGAUAAAAGACCCACUGAGCCAACAAUAGUAGGCUUGCAAUCACAGCUUGAACAAGUUUGGAGAUGUCUUCUUGUAGAAGAAUCAGCGGGAAUCAUUGGCCUAUAUGGUAUGGGCGGUGUUGGUAAAACCACACUGUUGACCCAUAUCAACAAUAAAUUUCUUGAGAGUCCCACCAACUUUGAUUGUGUGAUUUGGGUCGUAGUUUCAAAAGACCUGCGACUUGAAAAAAUUCAAGAAGAUAUUGGGAAGAAGAUAGGUCUGUUUGAUGGUUCGUGGAAGAAUAAAAGUGUUGAGGAGAAAGCCGUAGACAUCUUGCGGAGAUUAGGAGAGAAGAGGUUUGUAUUGUUGUUAGAUGAUUUAUGGGAGCGGGUUGAUUUAACAGAAGUGGGCGUUCCACUUCCCAGCCCACAAAAAUACUACAUCAAAGUCGUAUUCACGACCCGUUUCAUUGAUGUGUGUGGUAGCAUGGAAAGUCACAGGAAGUUUAAAGUGGCAUGCUUAUCAGAAGAGGAUGCUUGGGAGCUGUUUCGAGGAAAAGUAAGGCAAGAAACUCUUGAGAGUCAUCAUGAUAUCGUUGAGCUAGCCCAAACUGUGGCCAGAGAGUGUGGCGGUUUGCCACUCGCGCUUAAAACUAUAGGUCGAUCUAUGGCCUACAGAAAGACAGCUAAGGAGUGGAGACAUGCAAUUGAAAUGUUAAGGAGAUCAGCUUCAGAGUUUGCAGGUUUGGGAGAAAAGGUGUAUCGUCUUUUAAAGUUUAGCUAUGAUAGUUUGCAGAAUGAUACGAUUAGAUCUUGUUUCUUAUAUUGUUGUUUGUAUCCUGAAGAUUAUGGCAUUCUUAAAUGGGAUUUGAUUGAUUGUUGGAUUGGUGAGGGAUUCUUAGAGGAAUCUGACAGGUUUAGUGCAGAAAACCAAGGAUACUACAUUGUGGGCACUCUUGUUCAUGCAUGUUUAUUAGAAGAGGUGGAAGAUGAUAAAGUAAAAAUGCAUGACGUUGUUCGUGAUAUGGCUAUAUGGAUAACCGGUGAAAUUGAGAAGGAGAAGCGAAACUUUUUGGUUUGUGCAGGUGCUGGAUUAAAAGAGGCACCGGAUGUUGAAGUAUGGGAAAAUGUGAGAAGAUUGUCAUUGAUGCAAAACCAAAUUGAAACUCUGUCAGAGGUUCCCACAUGCCCUCAUCUUCUCACUUUAUUUCUUGACUUUAAUAGGGAGUUGAAGACUAUUGCGGAUGGCUUCUUCCGAUGUAUGCCUUCUCUCAAAGUUUUGAAGAUGUCAAACUCUGGAAAGCCUUGGAAAGGUUUGGAAUUAAAUUUGGGGAUGCCAAAGUUGGGUUCACUACAGCUUCUUGAUAUUUCACACACCUGCAUACAAGAUUUACCGCAAGAAUUAAAGUUGUUGGUAAAUCUGAAAUGUUUGAAUUUGAGGCGGACAAUUUGGUUAAAUAAAAUUUCAUGGCAACUAAUAUCAAAUUUUUCAAGGUUACGUGUGUUGAGAAUGUUCGCUACUGGCUGGUUCAAUUUUCAUGAAGCACCAGAAGACAGCGUUUUAUUUGGUGGGGGUGAAGUUUUGAUACAGGAAUUGCUCGGUUUGAAAUAUUUAGAGGUAUUGGAGUUGACCUUGGGAAGUUAUCAUGCUCUCCAAAUUCUUUUCAGCUCAAAUAAGCUAAAAAGUUGUAUUCGAUCUCUUUACCUCCAGUUGACCGGAGAUACAGCGUUAAUUAUUGAUGCUACGGCUUUCGCAGAUCUAAAACACCUCAAUGAAUUACGCAUUGAGUCGGCUACAAAGCUGAAAGAAUUGACGGCUGAUUAUACAGAGAUAGUUCGAAAAAGGCGGGAACCUUUUGUUUUCCGCAGCCUUCACCAUGUUACUAUACAAAGCUGCCAGAAGUUGAAAGAUUCGACAUUCCUCGUUUUUGCUCCAAACCUCAAGUCUCUUUCGAUAGUCAAAUGCAAUGCUAUGGAAGAAAUAAUCAGCGUCGGAAAAUUUGCUGAGACUCCUGAGAUGAUGGGACAUAUAAGUCCUUUUGAAAAUCUCCAAAUGAUUGAUUUACUAGGUUUGCCACAUUUGAAGAGCAUCUUCUGGAAGCCAUUGCCUUUCACUCAUCUGAAAGAAAUAUCUGUGCGUUAUUGCCCUAAUCUUAAAAAGCUUCCACUCGAUUCCAACAGUGCAAAGGAGCGUAAAUUUGUUAUUCGUGGAGAAGAAGACUGGUGGAACCCACUUCAAUGGGAGGAUGAAGCCACUCAAAUUGCUUUUCGUUCCUGUUUCCAACCCUUGUUCCUGAACAGUGGUCGCAAAAUUUGAUUUCUGGUGAGUGCGUUUGUCUUUUAAAAAGAAUAAUUUAAAAGAAAUUUAUUCUUGUCGGUUUCUUCACUGUUUUUAUUUCAGUUUCUCUCUCUCUCUCUCUCUCUCUCUCUUUUUGUCUUCUGCAAAUCACAAUUACAUUUUUAUUCUUGUCGUUUUCUUCACUGUUUUUAUUUCAGUUUCUCUCUCUCUCUCUCUCUCUCUUUUUGUCUUCUGCAAAUCACAAUCAAAUGUUGAAUUAAUGGAAUUAAUGCUUCAUAAAUUUGCCGGCACUGCCAUUACUUUUUUUUGGGGGAUCGAAUUGAUACUUUAUUUAUAUCUUCUUAGCGAUUUAAUUUCCUGUCAAAAGACGAACGAGAAGAACAUAUGACUUAAACCAAUGCUCGCAUAAACUUGCUGUAAAAAGAUAUAAUCUCACUGAAAUGCACACGCCUAGAAUGAAUAGAAUUAAAACAGGGAAAAUAUUAAGUAUAUUAGCCCUCUUUACUGAAAAUCAAAUGACAGUAAAUUUUUUGAAGUUUUGAUUUUCUAUGGUCAAUUCCACCUUUUGCAAUUUCUUCUGUUCUAACAAAAACCAAUUUCUUUGUUCAAGUAUUUUCGUUUGGAUAUUAAUAAUUCUCCACCGAAAGAGUGAACUCUUGCUCAAAGGGAUCUCUAAUAAUACAUAACAUGAUUAUUUUCGUUUGAAUAAUUGAUUUCUUGAUUGAAUUGUCGUGUAAUUGAUUUAUGGGGGAUGACACAUCAACAUACUUGAAAAUACACUAAUCUCAGCAUCAUCGGUUAAUAACUUUUAGAUUUAUGGGUAAUCAAUAGUUAAGAUUAGUUGUCAUUAAUACUAAAUAAUUUUUACUUUUUUUGUCUCUUCUAGAGGAUCUUCUAGAAAAAUGCAUCCACAAUUAAAUUUAAUACUUUACAUAAUAAACAAAGCCUAAAUGUUAAAUUUAAGAAACUGCAUUGUAUUUCAGUUGAAGUUGACUUUAAUAUUUAGGGUAGAAAAACAAUUAAUUUUAUUUUUUGAAAUGUCCAUAUUCAGAGCACAUUUCAAAAAGACUCAAUAAUUUCUCAUAAAUUUCAAUUAAAAAUAUUCAAUUUGUUGUUUCAGUUCUUUUAUUUUUUAUUUUUUCCGACAUGAAAGCGACUUAAUGUUACUAAAUUGGGUGGUCUUUGGAUUUUCAUGACCCAAUAAUUGGAACAAAACAAUUUUCUCAAGCGCUCUCCCGCAACAUUUUAUAAUUGAAGCCGCUGCCCCGCCCGUGGUUUCAAACUUUUUUCUUUCUCCUUGUUUAAAUUAAUGGGAGCAGCCUCCGUCCUUGACUAGUUGACUGCUUGUCUUCUUUUUUUUAUUAAUUAAUUAAUUCAGCCGCCCCCCUUUCUUGUCCCAAUAUCUUCUACUUUCGGUUUCCUUUUAUUAUCUCUUUAUUUUUAAAAAAUGCUUAUAAUAAUAAUAAAAUAUAAAAUAUAAAAAUAAAAAUAUAAUUUAUCAGAAAAUUAAGAUAAAGAAAUAUUAUAAGCACAUCAAUCAACAAGUGAAAAAAAAACAAUUUUAAUUUACAUUAAAUAUAAACUUUCAGUGUUAAUCAACUUUUCUAAAUAACUAAAUUAAAAAAUUAAUUGAUUUAAUUGUGGUGUAAUUGAUUUGUAGGGGAUGAAUCAGCAGCAUCAUCGGUUAACGCUUUCAGAUUUAUAGUUAAUCAAUAGUUGAGAGUUGUUAUCACUAACGCCGUGUAUUUUUUAAUGUUUUUUCUCUCUCCUACAGCAUCUUCUAGGAAAGUGCAUCCGUUGCUAAAAUUUAGUAUCGUAAAUAAUAAACCAAGAAUAAAUAUUAAAUCUAAGAAACUGUAUUGCAUUUAAUAUUUAAGGGAGAAAAAUAAUUAUAGUGUCUUUAUUAAUCAGUAAAAAAAAAAAUUAGAAUCAUAAUAAAUUGUAUUGUUAUUGAUGUAUUUAUUUUAUUUUAUACUCAAAAUAAAUUAUUUUAAAUUAUUAAAAUAAUUUAAAAUUAGUAUUUUAUUUUAUACUCAAAAUAAAUAAUUUAAAAUUUUCAUUUCUUGUUUAUUUCGCAAGUUGUUAUUGCCUAAUGCUAUGUCAACUCGAACAUUAGCAUUUUUUUUUUUGGUCCUCUUUUAACGCAAAAUUAGUGUAGGUUAAGUAACAUAAUCAAUAUUAGGACAAUUUGAAAUCCCUAUGGGUGCGUUUGGUACACUGUAUUGUAUUAUACUGUAUUGCAUUAUUUUAAUGCUGAUGUAUUGUAUUAUGUUGUAUUGCAUUAGCACUGUAUUAUAACAAUGCUAUACAAUAUUUGGUGUUACAUUGUACUGUAUUAGAUUUUAAUUAUAUUAUAUUUAGUGUUACAAUUGUUGUAACAUAAACACGACCAAAAUAAAUUGUACUAAAUAAUCUAAGUAAGAGUUCUGUAGUAUAUGUAAUAAUACUAUUUAUAUUAUUAUUAUUAAUAAUUCUAAAUUAAUAUUAUUUAAUUUUAUUCAUAUUUAAAUAUGUAUUAUUAGUUUAUUAAAUUAUUUAAAAUAAUUAAUUUAUAUAUAUUAAUUAUUGUAACUUAAUUAAAUAAUGUAAUGCUAUAUUAUAUUUUUAUAUACUAUUUAAGUAUUUAUUAUUAAUUAUAUUUAAUUAUAAAUUUAUUAAUAAAUUAUAAUAUAAAAAUAAAAAAUAAAAAUUAAUAUUGUAUAAUAUUAUAUUAAAUUAAAGUUUUAUUUUUAUUACUAUUAUUAUAAAGUAAAAAAAAAAAAAAGGGAAGCUACUGACUUUUGAAACACAAAAGUCAGUAAUACAACCUAAUCACGAGGGGGGGCGCGGGUUUUGAUAAUGCGGCAAAAGCUGCAUUGUAAUGCUGCUCAAUGCAAUCCAUUUGAUCACCAAACACAGGUAUAUUUUAACUAAUGCUGGGCCCACAAAAUAAUACAAUGCAAUUCCGCAUGCCAAACAUACCCUAUGGGUGCGUUUGGUACACUGUAUUGUAUUAUACUGUAUUGUAUUAUUUUAAUGCUGGUGUAUUGUAUUAUGCUGUAUUGCGUUAGCAUUGUAUUAUAAUAAUGUUGUACAAUGUUUGGUGUUACACUGUACUGUAUUAAUUUUUAAUUAAACUAUAUUUGGUGUUAUAUUGUAUUGUAUUAAUUUUUAUAAUUAAUUAAAUUAAAUAAUUAAAAAAUAAUAUUUAUUAAUACUUAGAAAAAUAAUAAAUAUAGAAAUCUUAAUUGUAGAAAUUUAACAAAUUUUUUAGUAAAUAUUAAAAAUUAAUGAUUAAAUUUCUAAAAUUUGUAUUAUAAUUAUGAUAAAAUAAAUUUAUAAAAUUUAAUAUUAUAUGUAAAUAAUAAAUUUAGAUUAUAAUUAAUAUUAUAAUUGUUAAUAUAAAUUAAUAAAUUAUUAUUCAAUAAUAUUCAAUUAUAUUUUAAUUUACAAUAUAUUAUUAUUUUUACAUUUUAAUAUAUUAAUAAAUUUAUAAUUUAACAUAAAUAAUUAUAAAUUUAAAUAAUAUUAAUUUUAAAAUUAAUAUUAAUGUAAAUAAUAUUAUAAUAUUAAUAUAUUAUUUUUAUAUGAAUCAUUAAUAAAUAAAAUAAUAUUAUCAUAUAAUUUAUUUUUAUAUUUUAUUCAUUAUAUUAAUAUUUAAUAAUAAAAUAAUUUAUUUUUAUAAUAUUUUAAUAAAAUAAAUUUGCCUCAAUUGAGGCAUUAACUGUUGCCUCAAUUGAGGCAAAAAGCUUCCGCAUCCCUCGGGUUUGCGUAAUGCGGCCCCAUGCCUCAUUAUGCUGCAUUAUAAUGCAGCAUAAUGAGGUGUCAAAUUUUGCCAAACAUGUUCUUGGUAAUAAACUAAUGUGAAUAGUAGUAUAAUACCACAUAAUCUCAUGCACCAAACACGCCCUAUGUGUAUUAUUCACGGUAUCUAUGAGGGCUUAUCCUUUUGCUAGAACAAACUCUAGCAAAUUGUCAAAUGUGCUUAUCCUUUCCCUUGACGACUCAUUUUAAAAUUGUCACUCAUUUUAAAAUUGUCUUUCAAUGCACAAACACAGACAUAACCGCCGACAUCGAGCACCAAGUUUGGAAUUUAAUUGAUAAGCAUACAUUUGAUAAAUUAAUGAAAAGUUUGGAGAGUAGUUUUGAUCACCCUUGAUUAGGACGGUAUUACAAAAAAGAUCAAAAAGAAAACAUCGUCUCUCUUCACAAAAAUAAAUAUUUUCCGUUAGAAUUUAAUACAAUAAUAUUUUUUUUGAUUAAAAUUUAAUUAAAUACACAAAUAAAUUAUAUAUUUUUUAAAAAAAUUUACACCCAGUCACAAGGCUGGCUAUUAAACUUAAAGGGUGGAAGCUUCGGAGACUAAAGUUGGUAACUUCUCCAAGUGGUCUUAAGUUGACCGGAACUACCCAGACUUUAUGUUUGGUAGCCUAGACCUGAUCGGACCUAGGCCCAAGUUUGGUCUUAAAGUCCACAAUUAAAUUAAAAAAAAAUUAUUUGAUUUGUAAUUGAUUUAUGGGGAAUGAAUCCGCAGCCCUAAAAUUACACCAAUCUUGACAUAAUGACAUCAUCGGUUAAAAACGUUCAGAUUUAUGGUUAAUCAAUGGUUUGAGAUUUGUUAUCAUUAAUGCUAGAUAUUUUUUAACAUUUUUUUCUAUCUCUCUUCUCCUGAAGGAUUUUCUAGGAAAAUGCAUCCACAACAAAAAUUUUAAAUUGUAAACAAUAAACAGAGUAUAAACGUUAAAUCUAAGGAACAUCGCUGCAUUUCAGCUGAAGCGAACUUUAAUAUUUUACGGAGAAAAAUAAUUAAGUCUUUAAUGUGAUUUAUUGAUUAAUAUAUAUGACUAAUUUUUUAAAAGAAGAUGAAGGAUGAAGCUUAAAAAUAUAAAUUAUAGAAUUAAUUUAUCUCUUCAAUAAAUCUAAAGUUUAUUUUUUUUAUUACAUGCUUCUAUUUUAUUUUUAUUCCAUGUUAAUGAAUGGAGAUUUAAAUCCAUUUUGGAUUUAUAAAGAUGUUUAGAUAUUUAAAUCCACGUGUGAUUCCAAACUUGAACCUUUUUUUUUUUUUUUUCUAAUUAAUGCAAACAGCCGCCUCUUUGACUGCUUUUCUUCUUUGUUUAUUAAUUAAUUAAUUCAGCUGCCCACCUUUCUUUUCCUAAUGUUUUCUACUCCCAAAUUUUUUUAAGGACAAGGCUACGUUGCAGACGCUGUACCUAACAGCUGCACCUUCGCCAGCUUAAAAAAGGGUGCAUUUGGUAAGCAACUUUUCUUUCGUGUGCAUAUGUGUCCUGCCACCAUUGGGUGUGUACGUAACAGAUAAUGUACCGUAACAAGCUCCUAUUUUUAAAUUUGUUUAUAAUGAUAAAAUAUAAAAAUUAAGAUUAAAAUGUAAUGUAAUGUAAAAUUAAAGGUGGAAGAGUAUUAAAAUAAGGCUAAACCUAUGUUACGUUUAACGUAACAUACAUUUAAAUAUAUAAAAUAUCAAUGGAAACCCUCAAAUUUUAUGGAAACUAUAUUAAUAAAAUUAAAAGAAAUAUUUUUAAAUCUGAAAGAAGAAAUAAAAGAUAUAAAGCAAGAGAUAGGAAAACUAAAAAUAGAAAUAUCUGUAAAAGAAAAAGGAAAAGAAAAAUUAGAAAUAAAAGAAACAACUCCAACUGAAUCGAAUUCAGACUAAUGGAAGAUGUAUUAGAAACUUUAACUGAAAAAUUCAGUGACAUAAAUCUUAGUGAUUUAGAAGACUUUGAAAAAGAAUAUUAGAUAAAAAUGAAUACUGCUGGAGGACCAGAAAUGAAACCUAAUGUAGCAUAACCAAGUCAUAGAUAUGGUAUAAAUAAAAUGAAAAAUAAACCUUUUUACGAGUAUAUACCUCCUAUUAAAAAUACUCCUUGGAAAAAAGAAUACAAACCAAAUCAAGAUACAUUAACCCCAAUAAAUAAUGCUGGAACAUUUUUAAAUCUAGAUUGUAAGAUAGACAUUCGAAAGGCGUUAGCAGAAUGGGUGUUACAAAUGAAAUUAUUUUUUAUAUUUAACGGGUCAAAGGAUGACUAGAAUGUAGAGACUGAAGAAGAAAAAAUAGAUAUAUUUGUUGAAAUCUUAAUAGCCAGUUUUUCAGGAAAUGUGUUUAAUUGGUGGAGAGGAUUAAGCGAUGAUACACAAAACUUAAUAAAAGAUUCAACCAAAUAGCAUUUAGAAAAAAUAAAGCCUUAGGAAUGGAAAGGAUAACUGAAUACAUAGCUAGUGAAUUUUUAGGAGAAGAUUGGCUAGAAAAAUCGGGCAUAUAUGAAAAUUUAAAAAUUUAUGAUAAAAAGAUCUUAGUGUUUUUAUUAAAAAAUUAAAAUUUACAUGACUAUUUCUUUAAAUAUUUAGGGCAUAUAUGAACCACGGAGGAGAAAAGCUUUAUUUAAUAUUUUAGAAUAGUUUUUGAUCAGUACAAUUGGGUCCUUAUUCAGAAUUAUUGUUCUCUUCCGCAACAGUUUUUGUUUAUCAAAGUCGUCAAUUAAAAUUUUAGAAUUCUUAUCAGAAGAAGUAGUCGUUUUAGAAGUUGGGUCUUGGAUCAAAUUUCUACGAGUGCAUGAAUUAACAAUAAAAAAAUUUCAUUACACACGGUUUAAGCUACAAACUACUAUUUGCACAGUUGACUAUAAAACUUACCUCCAAUUACACUAAACCUCUCUAUUUGGUAACGUUGAGACUAAAUUAAUUUUAUUAGCAUGAAAAGAUGAUAGAAAUAUAAUUAUAAAUAUUAUUGUUGUUAAUCAAUUAGUACAUGUGAUAUAAAGGUUAAAUGUGCACUAUAUUUAAUAAUUAAUUAGUGGAGCAUGUUAAACAAAAUGUUAAUGUAUAUUUAUAUAGUGUUAGGAAUAUGCAAAGUCAAGUCCUCAAUUUGCAUUAUCCUGUAUAGAAUAUUACUCUAAAAAUGUUUUACUAUAAUUGGCUUAGAACAUUUGUAAAGAAAAAUAAUAAUAAAAUAAUAAAUAACAUACACCGUCACAUAGCACCUAGACAAUGAUAGAAAAUUAUUAAAGAGAGUGCAAACAAUUAAUUAGAGAUUUUUAUGAUGACUUUUAAUAUUCAUGAUAAUAACAAAUAAAUACAUGUAUCACUUUUUUAAAAUAUUAAAUUUGACUGCUCCAUUAAUAAAUUAUUAUUGUAAUUCAGACUCUAUCUAUAUAUCCUUGCACUAAGAAUAAUUAAGGUAACGUUUGUUUUUUAACUUAAUGACUUAAAGUGACUUAACUUAAUUAAUUAAGUUAAUUAGAGGUGUUUGUUUUAUAACUUAAUGAGACUUUUUAGAUAAUUUUGACUUAAUAAAAUAAGCUAAUUUUUUUUGGCUUUUUACUUAAUGGAGAAAUCUGAAUUAAGUCAAUUACUUGCUAAUGUCAAAAAUAUCCUUGUUUUAUAAUUUAUUUUUCAUGUCUAUCCCAAAACUCGCCCGUAGAUAUUUACCCCACAUAAAAAUAUCCCUGUUUUUUUCUUUCUUAUAUUAUAUACGAUAAAAUUUGAAAUUUAUAGUAUUUUAUAUAUUAAAAUUCUAAAAUAAUUAUGUAUUCACUUGAAUAUAGUUUUACUUAUAAAUGUUAAAAUAUGAUGGUAUUUAAUAUAUUAUUUAUUUGACAUUCAAAUUUAAUAAGGAUACAAAUGUAAAAGUACAUAUUUUCAGCUUUUUAAAUUGAAAAAAAAUAACUUAAUAUUUAUUUUCUGAGAUUCAGACGAAAAAAUAAACAUAUUAUUCAGAUUCAUACAUUCAGAUCUAUUCAGAAUUCAAACUAAUUCAAGUCUAUUCAAAUUUUAGACAAAAAAAUAAACGCCACCUAAGUCAUAAUAAAAAUUUUCGUAACUACAUCUCGUUUCUUCCUCAUAAUAAUAAUUAGAUUGGUUCGAAUAUUAUAACUAUAUAGAUUUAGUGUAUAGCCACAUCCAAUUUAAAUAUUGACCCAAUUGGGAUGGUCCCCAAAAAAAAAGAUUCGUUAAAGGAUAAUUCUAAUUAUUUUUACUUCUCAAACGUUAGUGGGACGUUUCUAUUAGCGCACUCGUAAGCCAAGUUGUCAAAUAUUUAUACUAAACUACAAUUGCUAACAAGAAAAAUCAAGAUCGUGUUAAGCAAGUGGGUCCCGAAUAGGACGUGCAAAUCUCUCGUAAGUCAAGUUGUCAAAUGUUUAUAUAAAACUAACAAUUACUGACAAGAAAAAUCAAGAUCGUAUUAAAAAUGGGUCCCGAAUAGGAUUAUCUUUUUAAGAAUAUUAUUAUUUUAUUAUUAAAAUUUUAUUAAUAUAACAGUAUUAAAAUUUAUUAAAAAAUAUAUUUUAUUAUUAAAAUUUUAUACCGUUAUCAAUUUAUUAUUAUUUUAUUAAAAAAAUUAAUAUUUAACAAAAAUUGAGAUAAAAAUUAAUUUUUGUUCUCUGUCUUUAUUUAUUUAUUUAUUUUUUUGGGUCUUCUGCAAAUCACAAUCAAAUGUUGAAUUAUAAAUUUGCCGGCAUUGCUUUUUUUUUUUUUUUUGGGCCGGGGGGUGGUGUUGAAUUGAUGCUCUGGGUUUUUGACUUUUGUUGUCAAAUUUUACUCUGUUUUUCCCAAAUUGAUGCUANNNNNNNNNNNNNNNNNNNNNNNNNNNNNNNNNNNNNNNNNNNNNNNNNNNNNNNNNNNNNNNNNNNNNNNNNNNNNNNNNNNNNNNNNNNNNNNNNNNNNNNNNNNNNNNNNNNNNNNNNNNNNNNNNNNNNNNNNNNNNNNNNNNNNNNNNNNNNNNNNNNNNNNNNNNNNNNNNNNNNNNNNNNNNNNNNNNNNNNNNNNNNNNNNNNNNNNNNNNNNNNNNNNNNNNNNNNNNNNNNNNNNNNNNNNNNNNNNNNNNNNNNNNNNNNNNNNNNNNNNNNNNNNNNNNNNNNNNNNNNNNNNNNNNNNNNNNNNNNNNNNNNNNNNNNNNNNNNNNNNNNNNNNNNNNNNNNNNNNNNNNNNNNNNNNNNNNNNNNNNNNNNNNNNNNNNNNNNNNNNNNNNNNNNNNNNNNNNNNNNNNNNNNNNNNNNNNNNNNNNNNNNNNNNNNNNNNNNNNNNNNNNNNNNNNNNNNNNNNNNNNNNNNNNNNNNNNNNNNNNNNNNNNNNNNNNNNNNNNNNNNNNNNNNNNNNNNNNNNNNNNNNNNNNNNNNNNNNNNNNNNNNNNNNNNNNNNNNNNNNNNNNNNNNNNNNNNNNNNNNNNNNNNNNNNNNNNNNNNNNNNNNNNNNNNNNNNNNNNNNNNNNNNNNNNNNNNNNNNNNNNNNNNNNNNNNNNNNNNNNNNNNNNNNNNNNNNNNNNNNNNNNNNNNNNNNNNNNNNNNNNNNNNNNNNNNNNNNNNNNNNNNNNNNNNNNNNNNNNNNNNNNNNNNNNNNNNNNNNNNNNNNNNNNNNNNNNNNNNNNNNNNNNNNNNNNNNNNNNNNNNNNNNNNNNNNNNNNNNNNNNNNNNNNNNNNNNNNNNNNNNNNNNNNNNNNNNNNNNNNNNNNNNNNNNNNNNNNNNNNNNNNNNNNNNNNNNNNNNNNNNNNNNNNNNNNNNNNNNNNNNNNNNNNNNNNNNNNNNNNNNNNNNNNNNNNNNNNNNNNNNNNNNNNNNNNNNNNNNNNNNNNNNNNNNNNNNNNNNNNNNNNNNNNNNNNNNNNNNNNNNNNNNNNNNNNNNNNNNNNNNNNNNNNNNNNNNNNNNNNNNNNNNNNNNNNNNNNNNNNNNNNNNNNNNNNNNNNNNNNNNNNNNNNNNNNNNNNNNNNNNNNNNNNNNNNNNNNNNNNNNNNNNNNNNNNNNNNNNNNNNNNNNNNNNNNNNNNNNNNNNNNNNNNNNNNNNNNNNNNNNNNNNNNNNNNNNNNNNNNNNNNNNNNNNNNNNNNNNNNNNNNNNNNNNNNNNNNNNNNNNNNNNNNNGAAGGGUCUCUAAUCAAUAGCUGGAAGCAAUUGAGAAGGCGGUUGCUACAGUGAAUUCAAAUGUAAAAUGUUUGCUAUUCUUCGAUUUGGUUAAUGAUUUCGUAUGAAUAUUGUUGUUCCGUUGAGUUGCAUGCGAAUUCAAAUGCAAAAUAUUCUUCGAUUUUCAAUUUUGAAAUCAAAUUUUUUUUUCCUUCUCAAGCAUGUUAUGCAGAAACGAUUGUCAUGUUAUGCAGAAACGAUUUUUACUAAAUCAUUUUUAACAAACUAUUGAAAUUAAACCACUGGAAUAAGAAUUGUAAGGAUUUAUCGUAAGCUUACUAAUACGAUAAUUCUGAAACUAUCACCUUUUUUUUUUUAUUUGUUGCAGGGAAACCCAAAUUUUGUAUUUUGUCAAUUUCAUCUGAUAUGGAAUUUAUUUCCUCCCUAAAGAUUUAUCAAACUGCUUCUCUUCCCUGCUUCAAUAUCUUUAUGCAAUUACGAUCUCAUAGGAAAAGAGAGUUUGGGUUGUAUAUCUUAUAGUAUUUAUUUAUUUUUUGUUAAAAGAAAUUUAUUUUAAAAUAGUUUAUAGCAACAGUUUUUAUUUAACAAUAAUGAGGAAGGAUUAUUAUAGGUUCAAAUAGUUGUUAGAACAUUAUAAAAAAGUCCAUUUACUAUCAAAUGUUUUAAAUUGGUGCAACGUGAUAAUUGUCUCAUAUAAUUUUUUAAGGGUAAAAACUCGUUUCAUUCCCAUAUUUUAAGAUUAUUACUCAUUUAGUCUUUAUAUUUUUAAAAAUGUUUCAAAACAUUCAUACCCUUAAAUUAUUAACAUCUCUGCUGUUACUUUUUAUUUUUUUUUGACUUGUUUUUACAAUAUUGCCCUCUUACAAUAAUGUUUCUUUUUAUAAAAUUAAUAAAAAGAAAAAAAAUUAAAUUAUCAAUUUAACCCCAAAAAUAAAAUAAAAAUAAAAAGAAUAAAUAUUAAUUUUUGUGAAAGUUUACAUGUGUCCAAAAUAAAUUUUAUUGUAAAAAUAAUUAAAUUGCCUUUUUUUUGGACAUUAGUAAUAAAAAAAUUAAUAUAUUAAUUCCUCAGCAGUGUGUUACAAAAAAGUAAAAUAUAUUAAUUUUGUUUUUAUUUUAGACAAUGAGAUAGAGAAAAGUACAAGAUAAAGGAAAGGACUUCAAAACUCACUGUUCAUCAUAAUGCCCUUUGCCUUUAAAAAAAAAUCAUUCUAAUAUUUUAUAACACAUAAAAUAUAAUCCUAAGAUAAAUAUAAUAAUACAUAUUUUAAACUAAUCUCGAUAUUUAAAAUAUGUUUUAAUAUUUUAUAAUCUAUCAGACAUAUUUUAUUAUAUUAAUGUAAAAUUUAUAAUAAAUACAAACAUAUUAUUAAAAUAAAUAUAUAAAAAAUAUUUAUUUUUUAUAUGUUUACACUGAGGACUCUCUUUAAUUCAUUUAUUUUCUCUCUCUCCAAACAGGUACUGUCUUCAGUUAGCAAUGCUAUGAUAGUAAUCCAAUUCUCUUCUCCCCCACCUGAGCGAGAUUUGAAUUUGAAUCCCUUGUUUUUCACCCACUCUGUUUUUUUUCACGCAAGAUUUGACAAUUUGAGUUAAAAAAUAUGGUCCAAAACUUGAACACGUAUCUUUUAAUUGUAAUAAAAGUUCUUUAAGCUUUGGAGAUGGCAUAUAUAUGGCUGGAAGUGUCCUUUUCUUUGACCUAGAGGCAGCACCAAGCUAUCCAGCAUCAUCAUUUUUCAAGUGGGUCUUAAAUGCCUAGAAACGUUGGUGUUUCUUGAUUUAAAGAUGACACAUGCUAUAAGUGUGAAUGGUUUGGCUAAGCCUAAAUUUAAAGUCUACUCAAGUCGCAUUCAGGAUCAUGGAAAUUGGAAAGGGAGAGAUGAUAGCAAGAUUUAUAAUAAACAAUUAACUUGGGUCCUCAGUGUACAAAGCAAAUGCCACGCAAGCGAUAGCCGGCCCAGCCCAGAAAACCCAGUGGCGAUCCCAGAGAUGGCCUCCUCUAACGAGUGCUGGGCCCAAAAAUCUUUGCGGGUUGAGCCCAGCUCCGGCAUAGCCCUUUUGAGCAGUAACAGUUGUCGAGACAAAAACCAGAAGACCCAACACUGUUCCAAUGACAAUGCAUACGGUAAACUCUGCCAAGAGCCUUGGCUUGUCUGGAGUCAAAAGCCAUCCACACAGAAGCAAAAAGGAACACAAACGAGCAAAUUAUCUCAAGCCAAAGGGCCUGCCUAGUCCCCAAGCCGAUCUCAACAGGCCCAUCUGGCCCAGGUACGACAACAUUCAGGGUGCAGCCUCCAAGUUGUCAAAUAUUUAUAUUAAACUACAAUUGCUGACUAGAAAAAUCAAGAUCGUAUUACAAGUGGGUCCCGAAUUGGACGUGCCUAAAUCUUUUUAUAAUUUUCCCAGUGUAGCGGACAGAGGUCAUUACUAAAUUUCUCUUCCACACGCCACAGCAGCUUCGGUUAAUCAAACUCAAUCAAUUUUCUUGGCUUCUCCGCUUAUCAAUAUUACAAGGUAUGGGUAGCAUUUUUCAAAUCACAUGCGAUGGUACUAUUUUCAAUCGUUGCUUAGAUUGCUUUCUUGGAAAAGCAGCAUACAUAAGUAACCUCCAAGAUAAUCUUGUUGCCUUGGAGACUGAACUAAGGAAACUAAUCGCAGCAAAGAACGAUGUGAUGACGGCGGUUGUCAAUGCUGAACGGCAACAAAUGAGAAGGCUGGACCAAGUGCAAGUGUGGGUUUCGAGGGCGGAUGCUGUUAAAAAUGAAGCUGAUGAACUUAUCAGAGGCGGCUCUCAAGAAAUUGAAAAAUUAUGUCUUAGAGGGUUCUGUUCCAGGAACUGCACGUCAAGCUACAAGUUCGGAAAACAAGUGGCUAAAAAGCUACGAGCUGUGGAGACUUUAAUCGCCGAAGGAGUUUUUGAGGCGGUGGCUGCCGAGGUGGUGCCUGAGAGAGCUCCAGAGCCUGUAGCAGAUGAAAGACCUACCGAGCGAACAGUAGUAGGCUUGCAAUCACAACUUGAACAAGUCUGGAGAUGUCUUGCAGAAGAAUCAGCGGGAAUCAUUGGCCUAUAUGGUAUGGGCGGUGUUGGUAAAACUACACUAUUGACCUAUAUCAACAAUAAAUUUCUCGAGAGUCCAACCAACUUUGAUUGUGUGAUUUGGGUAGUAGUUUCAAAAGACCUGCGACUUGAAAAACUUCAAGAAAAUAUUGGGAAAAAGAUAGGUUUGGUUGAUGAUUCAUGGAAGAGUAAAAGUGUAGAGGAGAAAGCUCUCGACAUCUUCCGGAGUUUAAGAGAGAAGAGAAUUGUAUUGCUGUUAGAUGAUAUAUGGGAGCGGGUUGAUUUAACAAAAGUGGGCGUUCCACUUCCAGGACCACAAAAUACUACCUCAAAAGUCGUAUUCACAACCCGUUUGAUCGAUGUUUGUGGUAGCAUGGAAGCUGACAGGAAGUUCAAAGUAGCAUGCUUAUCAGAAAAGGAUGCUUGGGAACUGUUUCGAAAAAAAGUUGGGGAAGAAACUCUUGGAAGUCAUCAUGAUAUCGUUGAGCUAGCCCAAACUGUGGCCAAAGAGUGUGGUGGUUUGCCACUCGCACUUAUUACUAUCGGUCGAGCUAUGGCCUACAAAAAGACAGCCGAAGAGUGGAGACACGCAGUUGAAGUUCUAAGAAGAUCAGCUUCGGAAUUUGCAGGUUUGGGAAAAGAGGUGUAUCCUCUUUUAAAGUUUAGCUAUGAUAGUUUGCAGAAUAAGACGAUUAGAUCUUGUUUCUUAUAUUGUUGUUUAUAUCCUGAAGAUUAUGGCAUUCUUAAAUGGGACUUGAUUGACUGUUGGAUUGGUGAGGGAUUCUUAGAGGAAUCUGACAGGUUUGGUGCAGAAAACCAAGGAUACUACAUUGUGGGCACUCUUGUUCAUGCGUGUUUACUAGAAGAGAUAGAAGAUGAUAAAGUAAAAAUGCAUGACGUUGUUCGUGAUAUGGCUCUAUGGAUAGCUUGUGAAAUUGAGAAGGAGAAGAGAAACUUUUUGGUUUGUGCAGGUGCGGGACUAAAGGAGGCACCUGAUGUUAAAAGAUGGGAAAAUGUGAGAAGAUUGUCAUUGAUGCAAAACCAAAUUGAAACUUUGUCAGAGGUUCCUGCAUGCCCUCAUCUCCAUACUCUAUUUCUUGCCUCUAAUAAUAGUUUGCAGAGGAUCACCGAUGGCUUCUUCCAAUUUAUGCCUUCUCUCAAAGUUUUCAAGAUGUCAAACUGCGGGAAUUUAAUUUUGGAAUUACCUUUUGGGAUGUCAAAGUUGGGUUCAUUGGAACUUCUCGAUAUUUCACAUACCUACAUACAAGAGUUACCACAAGAGUUAAAGUUGUUGGUAAAUCUGAAAUGUUUGAAUUUGAGGUGGACAAGCGAGUUAAAUAAAAUUCCACGGCAGCUAAUAUCAAAUUCUUCAAGGUUACGUGUGUUGAGAAUGUUGGGUACUGGCUGGUUCAAUUUUCAUGAAGCAUCAGAAGACAGCGUUUUAUUUGGCGGGGGUGAAGUUUUAGUACGGGAAUUGCUCGGUUUGAAAUAUUUAGAGGUAUUGGAGUUGACCUUGCGAAGUUAUCAUGCUCUCCAAAUUGUUUUGAGCUCAAAUAAGUUAAAAAGUUGUAUUCGAUCUCUUUACCUCCAGUUGACCGGAGAUAGAAAGUCGAUUAUUGAUGCUACGGCUUUCGCAGAUCUAAACCACCUCAAUGAAUGAUUGAUUUUUAAAGGUUUUGAGUUGGAAGAAUUGAAGAUUGAUUAUACAGAGAUAGUACGAAAAAGGCGGGAACCUUUUGUUUUCCGCAGCCUUCACCGUGUUACCAUAGAUUCGUGCCUUAAAUUGAAAGAUUUGACAUUCCUCGUUUUUGCUCCAAACCUCAAGUCUCUUUCGCUAUUCAAUUGCCGUGCUAUGGAAGAAAUAAUCAGCGUUGGAAAAUUUGCUGAGGUUCCUGAGAUGAUGGGACAUAUAAGCCCUUUUGAAAAUCUCCGAAGUCUUCGUUUGUCACAUUUGCCAAAUUUGAAGAGCAUCUACUGGAAGCCAUUGCCUUUCACUCAUCUGAAAGAAAUGGUGGUACAUGGGUGUGAUCAGCUUAAAAAGCUUCCACUCGAUUCCAACAGUGCAAAAGAGCGUAAAUUUGUUAUUCGUGGACAAGCAGACUGGUGGGACCGACUUCAAUGGGAGGAUGAAGCCACUCAAAUUGCUUUUAGUUCCUGUUUCCAACCUUAACUUGAUUUCUGGUUAGUGCUGUUUCCUUAACUUUUACAUAUAUUCUCGUCGUUUGCUUCGUGCAAAAUACUAGGUCUUUUGUUCUCUGUUUUUAUUUCGCCCAUUUUUUUUUUUUUUUUUUGUCUUCUGCAAAUGACAGACAAAUGUUGAACUAAAAGGAAUUAAUGCUUUAUAACUUUGCCGGCAUUGCUUUUUUCUUUUUCUUUUUUGAUUUUUUGGGGCGAGGGGGGAUCGAAUAGAUGCUCUGGUUUUUGACUUUUUGUUGUCAAAUUUUACUCUGUUUUUUUCAAAUUGAUGCUUGAAUAUUUGAAUCAAAUUAAUGCUCACGUAAAUUUGUUCAGUUGCCGUAAAAGGAUAUAAUUACACUGAAAUACACAAACUCUAGAAUGAAUAGAAUUAAACAGAGAAAAUCUUGAGUAUAUUAGCCGUCUUCACAUAAAAUCAUAUGAAAAUUAAAUUUUGAAGUUUUUAUUUUCUAUUUUUAAUCAUACCCUUUAUAAUUUCUUCUGUUCUAACUACAAUAAAAUUUUUGGUUCAAGGAUUUUUAUGAGGGGUAUUAAUAAUAGUCCACCAAAAGAGUGAACAGUUGGAUGCUGCCCUAAGGGUCUCUAAUCAAUAGCUGGAAGCAAUUGAGAAGGCGGUCGUUACUGUGUACAAAGCCAUGCAGUAUUUGCUAUUCAUCUUAGUAAUUAUGAAGCUUUGGUAAAAUUUUCAAACAAAGUUGACAUGUUAUUUUGAGAUUUGGUUCAUGAUUUUGUAUGAAUAUCGUUGUUCCAUUGAGUUGUAUAUGAAUUCAAAUGUAAAAUAUUCUUUGGUUUUCAAUUUUGAAUUCAAUUUCUUUUCUUAAGCAUGUUGUGCAGAAAUGAUUUCUACUAAAUCAUUUUUGAUAAACUACUUAAAUUAAACAACUGCAAUAAGAACUGUUAAGGAUUUAUCGUAAGCAGACUAAUAUGAUAAUUCUGAAACUAUCAUUUUUUUUUUCAAUUUGUUGCAGGGAAAGCCAAAUUUUGUAUUUUUCAGUUUUAUCUGAUAUGGAAUUUAUUUCCUCUACACUAGCUACCUAAAGAUUUAUCAAAUUGCUUCUCUUCCCUGCUUCAAAUUAAUAUCUUUAUGCAACUACAAUCUCAUAGGAAAAGACAGUUUGGGUUGUAUUUAUUAUAGUUUUUUUUUUCGUUAAGAGCAAUUUAUUUUAAAAUCGUUUAGUAGUAACAGUUUUUAUUGAAUAAUAAUGGGGUAGGAUUAUUAUAGGUUCAACUAGUUGUUAGAACAUUAUAAAAAGUCCAUUUACUAUCAAAUGCUUUAAAUUGGUGCAACAUGAUAAUUGUCCCACAUAAUUUUUAAUAAUAUAUAUGGCCCAUAAAUUUAAUAUGAAUAAAUGAGUUUCGAUAGUUAAAUUUGAUACGAUUAUUAAAUAAGUUAUAUCCAUGUCAAUUCGACUUAAAAUCUGGUAAAUUUAGAUUUAGAGUUUAUAACAUGAUAACUUGUUUUAUGACAUGAUUUACUAAUCAAUUAAUAUUAAAUUAUAUUUUAGCCAAUCAGAUAUGUGGUACAUUUGUCAAAUUUUAAAAAUUAUUUAUUUAUAUAUGAAAUAAAUUUGACUAGACUGUGUGUAGGUAAUAGUGCAUAAUUUCUAAAAAAAUGUAAUAAUAACACGUUAAAAUGUUAUUUUUAUGAAGAAAAAUUGAAAUUUUAUUAAAUAGGCGACACAAUAAUAAAUGGGUUGAGAUUAUUUACAUUUUAAGAAUUACUCUGAACAUUAUUUUAUUUUAUAAAUUUUAUAUUACAAAAACACCCAUAGUUUAAUUUACCAUUAAGAACAAUUUUGUGCGAUUAAAUAAAAUACAUUACUCUUUACCCUUUCACUACAUCGACAUAAAUCCUAAUUGUUAUGUUUCUAAUUUCUUUGAUAUGCUUAUUGAAGUCCACAUUAUAAUCAAUUUUAAACUAUUAUACCACUUAAAUACAUUUUAGAAUGAGAAGUUUGGUUUUCUUCAUGGGCUGCCUUGCUGAUGCUGUUAUUGAAACUAUCGAACUUAAUAAUUUUAUGGCCAAAAUGAUAUAUGUUGAACCAGCUUUUACAUCGAAUUCUACCACCAUAAAAAAUCGUACUUGUAACAUCUCAAGGUUCCAAUUUAUCAAAAGUUAAUCAUUCAUAUUUGUUAGUUCCUAACAGUCACAAGAGCGUACAAGCCAAUUUUUGUAGCUCCUUUUUCUGCAGUAGAUUCAAGUAUAUUAUUAUCAAGCAUUUUUGUUACACCCUUAAUUCCUUAUCAUCAUCCCUUCAUUCAGAGCAACUAAACAGAGGUCAAUGUCAUUAUGUUAGAGUUACGAGGAAGAGUACUGCCAAAAAAGUUCUUUGUAUGGGAUUUAAUUUUCUGGGUUUGUAGUGAUGAACAAAUUGAGGGUUGUUUUGGUAUUUUCAAGAGUGUAUUGAGUGAAAAUUAUUUUUAAAAAAUUUAACAAAUGAGUGUAAUGAGUAAAAAAGUGUUUAAAGUAUUUUUUAGAGUACAAAUAGCUCCACCUUAAUAAAUGAGUUCUUGUAAAAAUUGAGAUUAUUGAUAUAAUUAUUAAAUAGGUUGGAUUGAAGUUAGUUUAAUUUUGACAAGAUAAUAAGACGACGCGACACAAAUACAACCAACCAGUCAACCCAAAUUGCAACCUUUUACUAAUAAAAGAUACCUGUUUGAAAAGUAAUUAUAAGCUAUCUUCUUUGUGUUAUUUCUCUAAAAAUUUGCGGCACAAAUAUUAUUUCCAUGGAGAAAAGUACGAAAUACCCGCUUUCACUUCAGCAGAAGCAAAGCAAAGCUAUGAGCCAUCUCUGUAUAAUUGAAACGCCAUUGCUAAACGGUUCUUGAUGAUGGGUGCCACCGUGCCAGCGUUGUCGCUGAUUUGCAUGAUUUAUUAGUUGUUCAGAUGGCGGAUUUUGUACUGUCACUUUCAUUUCAUUCUUGAGAGCCACGUACAAUACUAGGUGGCAUUGAAGUUGCCCCAGUGGUUAGUUUUCUGAUUUUUUUUAAUUCAAAUUUUUAUGUUUUAGAAAAAUGUAAGAAAUAUGUAGAAAUGUUGACAGCUACAAUUUUGAAACUUUGCCUAAAAUUAUUAUCGUUGCUUAUUGUUUCUUAGCUAAAGAGAAAUCCUAGAAACAUGAAAUUAUUAUUCUAUGCUUGUUUUAAUAUUAUACAUUAGCAGGUUAAUUAAAAAUUAGACGUGAAUACAACAAGAGAUAAGUGGAGAGAAUUUGGUAGUCGACCGCAUUUAGAAUUUAAUUUUUCUUUUAGCUGCCGAUCAUUAAAUUUUAUAUUUCAGAAAAUUAUACCUAGAAUAUUUCAAGGAUAUACUACGAAGAUUAUGAAGGUUUGAUUACAUGUCACUAUCAAUUGCCUCAAUCAUUUGUAGUAAAUUAAUUAAUCAUUUUGCUGCAAAUGAUUUCCUAUUAAAAAAUUCAAGUCAGAGCUGAAUUGCACAGUAGUUAGUCGUGCUUGCAAUUCAAAUCAAGUAUUGUAUUUUCUGCCUGAUUUGGUUGAUUCAACUAUGUGCAUUUGCAUAAUGGAGAUGCUUAUGAACGUUGUAGUAUAGAAAUCGAAACGUCUUGUCUUUUGCUAAGCCCAGAAGCAAAGUUCUUUGUAUUAUACUCAUCAGUUUUCUUCGUUCUCUUCGUUGAAAUUUUAUCCAAACAGCGGUUUCUUCGAAUUUUUGCCCUCUCUUACAUUUUUAAAUCUAUCAAAGAACGGUUACCUGAGAAGAUUGCCAUCAGGUAUUUCGAAAUUGAUUUCACUACAAUACCUUAAUCUAUCAGAUUUUAAUCUAUCAGAUGCUCCCGUCACUCAGUUGCCAAAAGUGACAAAAGCCUUAGUAAAUUUUUAGAGUAAAAACUCAUUUAUUCCUUAUAUUUUAAGAUUAGUAUCUAUUUAGUCCUUAUAUUUUGAAAAAUACCUUGAAACAUCACUGCCAUUAAAGUAUUGAUACCCUUACCGUUACUUUUUAUUUAUUUUGGCUUAUUUUUACAAUAUUACCCUUUAAUAAUAAUUUUUUUGUUUAGACAUUAAUAAAAAUAAAAUAAUUAAAUUACCAAUUUAAUCCUAAAAAAUAAAAAUAAAAAUUUAUAUUAAUUUUUAAUUGUAAAAAAUUGUAUGCAAACUACCAAAUGUGCAAACGGUGCUUGCAAAAAAAUUAAUAUAAAUUUUUUAUUUUUAGGGUUAAAUUAGUAAUUUAAUUAUUUUAUUUUUAUUAAUGUCCAAAAAAUUAGUAAUUUAAUUAUUUUCUUUUUAUUAAUGUCCAAAAAUUAUUAUAAAAGGGUAAUAUUAUAAAAGUAAGCUAAAAGAAAUGAAAAGUAACGGUAGGGGUAUCAAUACUUUAACGGUAGGGAUGUUUCGAGGUAUUUUUAAAAAUAUAAAGAGUAAAUGGACACUAAUAUUAAAAUACAGGGACUAAAUAAGUUUUUAUCCUAAAUCUUUAAGUGUUUGAAUUGGAGUACAUAAAUUAUCUCUCUACAAUUCAAAAACAACAGAUUUGUUACUUUUCAACGCUACAGGUUCCGCGAAUAUUCAGUUGUGGUUAUCUUGUUGAAACACCAGAAAAUAGCGUUCUAUUUGGUGGUAAUGAAUUCUUGGUUGGGGAGUUACUUAGUUUAAAACAUUUAAAUGUAUUAAGCAUCGCCUUAAAAGGUUUUUCUACCGUCCAAAAAUUUAUGAGCUCCCAAAAGUUUCAAAGUUGUACAAAAUGUUUGGAGCUUAUAGACAGUGAUGAUUCAAAGUCGUUUGCCAUGGCAGAGUUGAAGCAUCUUGAAAAACUAGGUAUUUCAAAUUGUGGAAAUUUGGAAGAGUUUAAGUUCUGCUGUGUCGAAGUUGGAAAAACUUGAGAAGAUUUUUGUUUGAACAGCCUUCACCAAGUUAAGAGAAAGGCUUGUCAUAAAUUGAGGGAAGUGACAUGGCUUGUGUUUGUACCAAAUCUUAAGGUUAUUCAGAUAGAAAAAUGUAUGGAGAUGGAGGUUGUUGGGAAAGAGACUACCACAAGCAGCUAAAAAUUAAGCGAAUACAAAAUUCUUUCUCUCUUUGUGUGAUUAAAAUAGGAUGUGCACCACAAACAAAUAAGCAGAAAAAUAAACCAAUAAAUGCAAAGCAAAAACCAACCACAAGAGACACCGAUUUUUAAGUAGAAAAUUUAAAUUGGGAAAAAUCACAGGAUAGUAGUCUGAUAUAAACUUCUACUAUAUUAAUGAGAUUACAACACAAAUUCUUCUCCAGAUAAUACUAGAUGCUAACAAUAUUAAAAUUCUCAACAAUCUUAGUUUAUAAUAAUAGAUCUAAAAUCUAUUUCUUCAAUAAGUGAGUAUCUCAAAUAAUAGCUACUGAGAGAAUAAAAUACAGAUCAACACCAGUAGAAAUAUAGAGGGCAAUGUCAGGAACUUACCCUCCAAAUUUAGGACUAAUCAGAGCUAAAAUAACCUUUUGAUUGUUGAAUCAAAGAUUGAAAACCAAAAAAAAAAAAAAUAUCUCUUUCUCUCGCAGUGUCUUCUCACUUUCGCAAAAUGUCUACAGCUCUCGCGAUUCUUUACUUAUUUCCUUAGUUAAUUUCAUCCAAGUCCAAAAUUUUACAAUAAUUACACAUCAAGCAAAUUAUUUUGGACUUUGAACUUUUUGGUCCACUGAAGUGAAAUGGACCUUACAAAUCUCCCCCUCCAUCUCAUCUAAGGGGCACCACCAAGCCCGCUCUCUACUUACAGCUUUCCAGCUUCUCCUUGGGUAAUGACUUUAUCAUCAUAUCUGAUGCAUUCUUCGUUGUGUGAAUUUCUCCAAGCUGCAACUGUUUCUACUCAAGCACGUCUUGUAUCCAAUGAUACUUCAUAUCAAUAUGCUUCGAUUUCAAAUGAUAUGUUGAAUUCUUUGCCAAGUGGAUGACACUUUAACUGUCACAGUACACAACAUAACUAUCUUGAUUAACACCUAGUUCUUGUAGAAAAUUCUUCAUCCACAAGGUUUCUUUGUAACUUUCAGUGAUUGUAAUAUACUCUACUUCUGUAGUAGACAAAGCAACACACUACUAAAGUCUAGACUGCCAUGAAACUGCUCCUCCUACAUAGGUGAGCAAAUAUCUUGAUAGAGACUUUCUAGAAUCAACAUCUCCUGCCAUAUAUGCAUCCGUAUCUACUUGUAAUAUAGGUUUGUCACCACCAAAACAUAAACAUGCCUUGGAAGUGCCUCUGAGAUAUAUGACAAUCUACUUUACUGCUGUCCAGUGUUUUUUACCCAGAUUAGAGGAAAACCAGUUGACUACCAACUGUUGAAGCGUACCUCAAACUACCAACUGUUGAAGCAUAAAAAACUCUUUUUAUCUCUUGCUUCUCUUUCUCACUUAUGGGACAAUGCUUGAAACUAAGCUUGAAAUGACCUGCAAGUGGAAAAUAAACAUAUUUUGCUUUGUCCAUAUUAUAUCUUUUAAGAACUUUUUCAACAUAUGCUUCCUGAGAUAACCAUAAAUUCCCAGUUUUUCUGUCACGAGAAAUCUUCAUGCCAAGAAUUUGUUUCGCCGAUCCCAAGUCCUUCAUUACAAAAGACUUGCUAAGCUCUCUCUUCAAAUUGUCAAUCUUACUAGUAUCCUUGCCAACAAUCAACAUGUCAUCCACAAAAAGUAAAAGAAUAAUAAAAUCAUUAUCACUAAACUUUUUCACAAACAUACAAUGAUCACACAUUGUCUUGCAAAAGCCAUGAUUCUCCAUAAAAGAAUCAAACUUCUUAUACCACUGUCUUGGUGCAUGUUUCAGCCCAUAUAAAGUUUUUUUCAAUUUGUACACAAGUUCUUCUUUACCUUUGACACUGAACUCUUCAGGUUGUUAUAUGUAUAUUUCCUCCUUUAAGUCAUCGUGUAAGAAAGCAGUCUUUACAUUGAAUUGUUCAAUUUCCAAAUCCAAGCUAGCUACUAAUCCCAGAGGUGCUUGCUCAAUUGGUUCUGCUGGACCAUUAUUAUUAUCCUCUCCAGCUCCCCUAUGAUCAUCAUGAACAACAUGUGGAGAAACCGAAGUUGGAAUAAUAAGAAUCUCUGGAGAUGGCUGAGACUUAUCAUUUUUUUUUCAUCACCAACUAUCUAAUUUUUAAGAAACACAACAUCUCUAAUUCUGAUUACUUUUCUUGUCACUGGAUCCCAUAAUCUGUACCCAAAUUCUUCAUGUCCAUAGCUUAAGAAAAUACAUUUCUUGGCUUUAUCAUCAAGUUUUGAUCUCUCAUCUUUAGGGAUAUGAACAUACACUCUGCACUUAAACACCCUCAAGUGUUUAUAAGAAACAUCUUUCCCAAUCCAAACUCUUUUAGGUACAUCGUCAUCUAAUGGAGCUUAAGGAGAAAGAUUAAUCAAAUCAACUACAGUACGCAUAGCCUCCGCUCAGAAGGAUUUAUAAAGCUUGGCAUCAGAAAACAUACAUCUGACUAUCUUUUCAAUUGUUCUGUUCAUUAUUUCUGCAACACCACUCUGCUGAGGGGAUUUUGGUACAGUUUUCUUAAGUUUGAUUCCAUGAGAUCUGCAAUACUGCUCAAAUGGUCCUCUGUACCCACCAUCAUUUUCUGCCCUGACACAUUUCAAUUUUUUUCUUGUCCCUCUCUCAACAUAAGCACGAAAGAAUUUAAACAUAGUAAGCACGAAAGAAUUUAAACAUAUCAAGCACUUAAUCUUUAGAUUUUAAAGCAAAAGUCCAUACUUUUCUAGAACAAUCAUUAAUAAAAGUCAUAAAAUAAAGUGCACCUCCUAUUGAUCUAUUUUGCAUCAUGCAAAUAUCAAUGUGAAUCAAAUCAAGGAUUUGUGACUUUCUAGAUGGAGAAAAGCUUUUAAAAGUUACUUUAUGUGCCUUUCCAGCUAAACACUAAACACAAGUCUUGAGGGACGUACCUACAAAGCUUGGUAGAAAUCCUUUUUUGGCAAGAGUUCCUAACCCUUUCUCACCAAUGUGACCAAGCCUUUUAUGCCAUGUCUCAAUGUCAGAAUUGUUUACAGCCAUAUUCAUAUAUUCUUUCUUGAUUUUGGCUUCUAUUACGUAGAGGGUGUUCAUUUUCUUUCCUUUAGCCAACACUAGAGAGCCUUUGGUGAGCUUUCAUUUUCCUUCACCAAAUUAGUUAGUAUAACUAUCAUCAUCAAUUUUUCUUGUGGAGAUCAAAUUAAGACGAAUAUCUAGUACAUGCAAGCUUUUUUGUGGAGAUCAAAUUAAGGCGAAUAUCUAGUACAUGUCUGACAUCUUUAAGGAGUAGCUUAUAGCCAACACUGGUUUGAAGCAAAUAUCUCCUAUGCCCACAAUCUUGGAUGCCCCCUCAUUUCCCAUCCGAACAUGGUCAUAAUUACCAUUAACAUAGGAUGUGAAGUAAUCAUGAUGUGCAGUUGUUGUGCAAAUUUUAAUGUACUCGCAAGCGCACGAAUCUAUUGUAGUAUAGAUCAAUGGUGACGAGUGUCGAUCCCACGAGGAGGUGGAUUUUAAUUGUGUAUAGAAUUAAUUUUGCAAAUGGUUGAUUGGAUUUGUGGUGGAAAUGAUUUGGAAUAUGCUAAAACUUAAAUUAAAAUGGCGAGAAUAAAUUCUAAAAUUGGAAUUGAAAUUGCGAGAAUAAAGUUGAAGAGAAUUCUAUUGAAAUGACGUACUUGGGUAUCUGGAUCCGUAUCAACAUGCAUCAUGGGCUAAAUAAUGCGUAUUAAUGCCAAUUAAAUCAUGAGGGGGGAAUCCACACCUCAUGAACCACGCUCUAAUCAAUAUGGUGCUAAGGGCUUAUCGUGCCAAAUAAUAAUAACCUUGUACUAGAGAGCCGGUGUAACCAAGGCGGUACUAGACAAGAUUAGUAUUAUUUGUCGACGAGAAGUCAAAACAUCCACAAAAACUAGAGGGGAAGAGAAAAUAAAUUUACCAAAUAAAGCCCAUGACACAUGUUGAGACUUCACCUUCAACCCAAGCUUAAAAGAAAAUUAGCUACUCAUAAUUGAACUAAGGGCAAAAUGGGAAUUUAUUAAAAUACGAAGAAAAUACAAGAUAGAGAGGGAAUUACAGAAAAUGGAUCCCAAAAAUGGAUUCAGAGAUAUCAAAUUAGGGGGGGAGGCCCCCUUUUUAUAGAUACAUGGAGUAAAUCAUGGCAAUCGGAUUAAAAACAGUUUGGACGCUCAGGAUUGCGCCACGUCAUCAGUCAACAGUCCACGGUUUGACCACGCGGAUGAACAGUAAUACGGUUUGACCCAUAUGAACAGUACGCGGUUUGACCCGGAUGAACAGUAACGCGGUUUGGUUGAAAAUAAUCCUGUGUGAUGCAUGCACCGUACGCGAGAUUUUUUGUCCACUGAUAUGCUGCCACGUCACCAUCAACAGUACAUAAGAAUUUUAGUCCAACAGGAUCGUGACACCUCAUCAGUCAAUGCCACAUCAUCGAUCCGUCUAUGUGAGCAGUGCCGUGAACAGUAACAUAUACAGUACCGUAUACGUGAAUAGUACCGUACAUGUGAAUAGUGCUAUUUUUCCUUUUAUGCUCCUCCUAAGGUUUUCGACCGUCCUGAGUUCAAAAGUGAUGUCCGUUUUACCGUCUGAUCUCUCCUUUAUUGUGAAAUCACUAUAAUACCACUAAAAUACAUAAAAUACUUAAUUAAAAUAAAACACAUGUAAUUAAAUCACAAGAAGGUUAAAUACAUAAAAGUAAGGGUUGUUAGUAAGACUUGAAAUGUAAAAUGAUGGUUUUCUCCUUUAUAAAUAUGCAUUUUCUAACACUCAACAGCAGUAACCACGAUGUGCAGUAACAUCAAACGAAGCACCCGAAUCAAUCACCCAAUUACUGGUAUGGCAAGUAAGAUUUAUAGAGCUAUCAUUAUAAGCAAUGCCCAUAUCACCAUUAAUUACGGCUGUAACAUUCUCUUUGUCAUUUUUCUGACCAUCGCCUUUUUCUUUCGCAUGUUCUCUUUUCCACAAUUUACACUACCUUUUUACAUGGCCCAUUUUCUGACAAUGAAAGCACUUAGCUUCUCCUAUGGGACUUAGAUCUUCCUCCAGGGUUAUCAUUAUUCUGAUGACGGAAAUUUCUGCUUCGACUUCUCCCCCGUCUUUUUUGGUUUUCUGAAACAAGUGUAGCUGACUCAGAGGGAACUACUUCAGCAUUCUUUCUUCGAGAUUCUUCAUUCCGCAGUCUAUCUGUAACCAUAUCCAAGUUUAAUUUACCAUUCGGUGCCGAAUUAUUCACUGACACCACUAAUGUCUCCCAACUAUCAGGUAAAGAACUAAGCAACAACAAUGCUUGUAACUCGUCAUCUAGAAUAAUCUUCAUAGUAGUCAACUGAUCAACCAAACCCUGAAACUCACUAGUGUGUUCAGUAAUACUGUGGCCUUUUUUAUAUUUCAAGUUAACAAGCCUUUUCAUUAGAUUGACUUUAUUUUGUGCUGUUGGCUGCUCAUAAAUUAUUUCUAAUUUUCUCCAAAGAACAUCAGCCUUGGAUUCCUUCGCGACAUGAUGGUACACACUCUGAUCAAUCCAUGACCUAAUAGUGCCCACGGCUUUCUGGUUCAAUUGAGCCCAUUUCUUAUCAUCUAUAUCAACAAGUUUAACUUCAUCACCUUCAAUAGGUUCAUGUAAGUCUUUCAUGUAGAGCAAAUCUUUCAUUCUAGACUUCCAAAUAUCAUAAUUCCACGACUCAAUUUAAUCAUGAACGCCAAAGACUCCUCUAUUUCAACCACAUAAGUAAUAAAAACACACAACCUGGCUCUGAUACCACUCUAUUGGGAAAACGACUACCACAAACAGCUACAAAUUAAGCGAAAAUAAAAUUCUUUUCCUCUUUGUGUGAUUAAAAUAGGAUGUGCACCAUAAACAAAUAAGCAGAAAAAUUAAUCAAUAAAUUCAAAGCAAAAAUCAACCACAAGAGACACCGAUUUUAACGUGGAAAAUUCAAAUCGGGAAAAACCAUGGGACAAUAGUCCGAUAUAAAUUUCCACUAUAUUAAUGGGAUUACAGUACAAAUUCUUCUCCAGAUAACACUAGAGGUUAACAACAUCAAGAUUUUCAACAAUCUUGGCUUACAAUAAUAGAUCUAAAAUCUAUUUCUUCAAUAAGUGAGUAUCUCCAAUAACAGCUAAUGAGAGAAUAAAAUAUAGAUCAACACGAGUAGAAAUGUAAAGGGCGAUGUCAGGAACUUAUCCUCCAAAUUUGGGAGAAAUCAAAGCUAAAAUUAUUUUUCGAUCGUUGAAUCAAAGAUUGAAAACCCAAAGAAAAAAAAUAUCUUUUUCUCUCGCAACGUCUUCUCACUUGCGCGAAAUGGCUACAUCUCUCGCGAUUAUUCACUUAUUUCCUUUAUAUUUUUUUUGGUUAAUUUCAUCCAAGUCUAAAAUUUUACAAUAAUUACACAUCAAGCAAAUUAUUUUGGACUUUGGGCUUUUGGUCCACUGAAGUGAGAUGGACCCUACAGAAGCAAUAAUCAGUGCAAGAAAAUUAAGUGAAGUUCCAGAGAUGAUGGCAGAUCUAAACCCUUUUGUAAAACUCCAAUAUCUUGGCCUCCGAAUUCUACCAAAAUUAAAAAAGCGUCUAUUGGAAUGUGUUGCCCUCUCCACAUGUCAGGGAAAUUUUUGUAUCUGAAUGCCCAAUUCUCAUUAGAGGAGAGGAACACUGGUGGAAUAAGUUGCAAUGGGAGGAUGAAGCAACCUAUAAUGCUUUUCUUCCUUGUUUUGGAUCCAUUUGAUGGGCAUCAACAUGGAUUAAUAUUUUGCAGCGAACCAAUUUGAAUAAAACUUACGGUAAGUGCUUUUCCAUUUAUUGCAUAUUUAUAUCUAAUUUUUGUUUUCCUUUAUGGUUAAAUUUUGCCCUGUAUAUGUUGUUGUACGGUGACAUUCUUGAAUCAAUUAUUAAUUUUUUUAAUUCUCGUCUCACAACCACCCUUUUGAUCAUGAGGAUAUGCCGAUAUCAAAGAGUCAUAAUUUGGGAUACAAAUGUAAGAAUUAGGCAGAUGACAUGUUGUUUCAAAGCUUUCGAAGAAGGACUAAAUAUGUCAUUGAAAGCCUCCAAUUUUGCGACUGAUUUUUUUUUAAUUUGUUAUUUUUAUAGGUGGCAAAAAUACCCGUCUGAUUUGGACUCGGCUGAUUUGGGCCGGGUACGGAGUAUGAAGCCGGGUUGGUCCUGGGCAUCACUUGAAACUCGGAACCUGGAUUUUAUUAAAAAAUAUUAUAAAUAUAUAUUAUUUUAAAUAUCUAUAUUUAUUAGACUCAUCUAUUACAUAUAUCUAAUUUCAUUGAAAUAAAUUUAAAAAUUAUAAAAUUACCAAUAUAUAUAUAUAUAUAUAAUAUUAAAAAAGUAUAAAAUCUGAGUCCUCAGAUUAAAACCCAGUUCAAGUGUCUAAAAAAUACAUGUGGACCGAGUUUGAACAUUGCGAUACCCAGACCCAAACUUGGGUUUUGCCAACCCUAGUCUUUUAAAUUGCUUGAUUGUAAUGUUUUAGUAUAGAAAAAUGAUAGCCAAGACAACAAUAAGAGGGCACAUUGUGCAUGCACAAUAGUGGAUAAUUUCGGCAUUCCAAAUCCAAUUAGGGUGGAUAACCUUUUAUUAGUAUUAACCUUCUCUCGUAUUCAAGUAAUGUAAAAUAUGCUUAGAAGCUGUGGAUCCCCCUUUAUAAGUGUUGGGCUUAUGCCAAACUCGAUUGAUGUGGGAUGCCUUUAUAGGCAUCAAGUUUUCUCCCAUACACUUUAUGUUAAAAAUAAUAAUGAUAAAAUAAAUCCAUUUUAAAAUAGACUUCUUUUUCUUUUCUAUAUAAACAAACUCAUUCUUCAAAUCAGUUGUGGGUGGAAGGAGUGAGUAGAGAAGAACUGGGCCCCUUUCGUUCCUCUAAAAACCUCACCAAACCUCUCUUGUAAGCUUCUCAGUGUCCCUCUCAAUAUUUCUUAUGAUCUCGUUUUUUAUUGAAUCACUUCUUUUGUGUGCUGCAUUUUUGUGUGUCGUAUUUGGGUUUAUCUUAUCUGGAAUCCUGUUAUGAUUGAUGGAACAAGUAAUCGAUUUUUGGUUUAUUUGGAAUGGAAUUAUGGUUUAUUUGGAAUGGAAUUAUCUGGGUGUAACGGAUUAAAUUAUGACAUUGGGGAGAAGGCACUAAGGGGUUUGCUUGACACAUUUGGUUCUGUGUUUACUCUGAAAGAAAUAGCUUUUGCUUAUCGUAAUGCAAGGCGAAAUCCCGAUUUGGGUGGUGAAUUUCUCUAUCCCAAUUGGGCUGGUGAAUUUCUCUGUGACAAAUAGGCAAACAGCUCAACCUCUUUUAUCUAUCUUCUACUAGUGAGGCAAGGGAUAAAAAGUCUUCAAAAUCAUCAAAUAGUAACAUCUUCGAGAAUUCAUUUUAUGCAAAUGGAAAAUCUAGACCUUCUAAGACAAAAUGGCGUCCAGUAUCAAGAGGUACCGUUUCAAGUUUUCUUGGUAAAAAUUAUGUAAACUUGCACAGCCAGCUAAUGGCACUUUUCUAGUUUUCUGGCAUCAAAGCCAUUGAAGUCGUAUCCAAAGGAGUUUCCCAUGUCUGCACUUUGUGGAGAAGGAACUAAACAAAAACAAUCAAAGGAUGACCAUUUGCAGAAGGAUGUGGAAGAUUUUCUGUUUAAAUUGCUAGGAGAAGUGUUCCAGCUGAAUAGGGAUGUGAUUCGGGAAGUUCCAGUAAUGUCUUAAAUAUGUUGAUGCCAAUUUAAUAUAUAUUGUCAUUUUCAAUGUUCUUUCUUUCUUUCUUUAUCUUCUUUUCUUCUACUUCUUCUUCUUUUUCUUUUCGUGUGCAUGUGAUCACUAAUUUGUUAUUAUACUUAACUUGCAGGUAGUUGUGGAUAUGAUAUGCAAAAGGUAAGGACUAUAUCUUCCUGAUAGAGGCCUCUGCUUUUUCCCUUUUAUGUAAUUUAGUAAAUCUCAUCUCCCUUUGUGAUUGUUAUAUCAUAUCAAAGUCAAGUCUUAAAUACUGCUGUCAUAUGUUAAGGUUCAACUUGCAUUUUGACUAACAUCCAUUUGUUGUCGCUUCCAAAAGUGAGAAUGAGAUACUUCGGUUAAUUUCAGUAGUUGAACCCAAUCGAGUACUUUAUCUAGAUCUUCAUGGUUCAAAGGCCUGAAACUUGCCCGUGAUUGUAAAAUGAUAUUAUGUGCUUUUAAUGCAAUAGGGGGAACAAGGUGUCAAAGGAAUUAGCAGAUUCUAUGGCAGAUUCUAUGCCUGUACAACUGUAACAAUUAUCCUUAUGAUUGUAAAUCUUAUAUGUUUUCCUUAUUUAGGAUAUACUAGCUGUAGGCUAUUUUAGAUAGUUAUGUAUAUGAUAGUUUAGCUAUGUUUAGGGCUAAACAUAAGCUUGUAUUCAUAGUAUAUAAAGGGAAUUCUCUUCUAAGAGAAAGCAUAACUUUUGCUCAAAAUUCUCUGAGUUUAUCAUGGUAUCAGAGCCUCAGUUCUGAAUUCUCUUCUUCCUAGUUCAUUCCCUUGUUCUUAGUUAUUCUUUUUUUUAUCAAGUUAUCUCAGCCUCAUGUCUUCAGACAAGUAUGAUGCUUUUUUGAUCCGUUUUAAUGGCACAAACUACUCAGCCUGGGCAUUUCAUUUCGAGAUAUUUGUCAAAGGCAAAGAUCUAUGGGGACAAGUUGAUGGCAGGAAACCUGCCCCUGAUAAAGAGAUAGACCAGGAUGGGUACGCCAAGUGGGAAGUCAAGGAUGCUCAAAUCAUGGCAUGGAUUCUAGGAUCUGUGGAAUCCAACUUCAUCUUGAAUCUUCGACCCUUCAAGACUGCAGCAGGAAUGUGGAAUCAUCUAAAGAAACUCUACAGUCACACCAACACUGCUCGUUGAUUUCAGCUUGAACAUGAGCUAGCCAAUCUCCAACAAGGCAGUCUCUCUAUUUCUGAUUUUUAUUCUAUCUUUAUGAUUAUUUGGGCUGAAUAUACUGAUAUAAUCUAUGCUACCUUACCUCCGAAGGUCUUAGUUUUGUUCAAUCUGUACAUGAAACUACUAAGAGAGAUCAAUUUAUGAUAAAACUGAUAUAUGAAUUUGAAAGCACUAGGUCCAAUCUUAUGAAUUGAGAAUCUGUCCCUUCCUUGGAUACAUGCCUCAAUGACUUAUUUCAUGAGGAGCAACGACUUCUUACUCAAAAUACCAUGAAACAAAAAAAAUCUACUUCUGUUCCUAUGGCUUAUGCAGCUCAAGGCAAGCCAAAAGGUAAGGACAUCAGUAUAGUUCAAUGUUUUUGUUGCAAAGGAUUUGGACAUUACGCUUCAAAUUGUUCAAAAAAAUUAUGCAACUAUUGCAAAAAAGAUGGACAUAUCAUUAAGGAAUGCCUUACUCGACCCCCCAAGAAAUCUGAAACAACAUAUGCUACCUCAGUUGGUUCUUCUAGUGAUGGUAGUUCUGUGGAUACAGCACAUUUGACCCAAAGUGCUCCUGUUCCUGUUCAAUCUGUGACCCCAUAAAUGAUUCAACAAAUGAUCAUUAUUGUAUUCUCCUCAUUAGGACUCUCAGGUAAAUCACCCACUAGAUCUCCUUGGUACUUUGAUUCUGGGGCUUCCCAUCACAUGACAAACAAUGCUAAAUUCUUCACCAAUGUAAGUAAAUACCUUAGAAAUCUAAAAAUUCAUACAGCUGAUGGCAACUCUUUACCUAUCACAGCCACUAGUGAUGUUUCUUUUUCUAUAACCAAUGUCUUUGUCUCUCCUGGUCUUCCUACUAAUCUUGUUUCAAUCGGUCAGUUAGUUGACAAUAAUUGUAAAGUAGAAUUCUCUAAAUCUAGUUGUGUUGUGCAGGAUCAGCAGUCAGGGAAGAUGAUUGCCAGGGGGCCUAAAAUAUGACGUCUUUUCCCUCUCCAAUUUGCUAAGUCUCCAUGUUUCUCUUUGCCUAUCAUCACUUGCAAUUUUACUAAGGUUAAUUAUCGAGCAUGGCAUAAACGUCUAGGACACCUAAACUCUAAUGUAUUUUAUGCUUUGCUAAAUUCUGGUUUACUUGGGAAUAAAAGAUCACCAUCCCUUAGUGUUGUUCAAUUUGAUUGCAAUUCUUGCAAGCUUGGAAAAAGUAAAAUUCUGCCAUUUCCCACUCACACACCGAAUGUUGUCCAGCCUUUUGAUUUGAUACAUAGUGAUGUGUGGGGUAUGGCGCCUGUUACAUCUCAUGCUAAUUACAAGUACUUUGUCACUUUUAUUGAUGACUAUAGUCGCUUCACAUGGAUUUAUUUUCUACAUUCUAAAGAUGAAGUGUUCUCUGUUUUCAAGCUUUUUCAUGCAUAUAUUCAGACCCAAUUUUCUACUAAUAUCAAAAUUCUUUGCUUUGAUAAUGGGGGUGAGUAUAUGUCUCAUUUAUUUUAAGAAUUUUUGCACACCAAUGGUAUAAUUUCUCAAAGAUCUUGUCCUUCAACCCCUCAACAAAAUGGGGUGGCUGAAAGAAAGAACUAUCACCUUCUCGAUGUUGUCUUCAUUUGUACCCUCUCGUUUUUGGUGUGAAGCUUUCUCCACUGUUGUCUAUCUCAUCAACAGAUUGUCCUCUCAUUCCUUGAACCAUGUCUCCCAUUUCUUUCAGUUAUUUGGCCAUACACUAAGUUACUCUCAUCUCCAUACCUUCAGUUGUGUGUGCUAUGUUCAUCUUCCUCCAUAUGAGCGUACAAAACUCACAGCCCAAGCUGUGAAAUGUGCUUUUCUAGGAUAUUUUAUGCACUAAAAAUGUUUUCUUUGUUAUGAUCCAAAUUUGCAUCAUAUAAGGGUUUCUCGAAAUGUGAUUUUCUUUGAAAAUCAGUAUUUCUUUUCCGCAUACCACGACGAUUCUUCGCCUUCAUUUUCUGUUUUGCCAAAGUUUACUAACCCUUCUGCAGAUUCUGCACCUUCUAAACCUAUCAUAGUCUAUCAGCGACGCAAGAAUUUAGUACCUCUCGGGCCCCCUCCAGCAACUUCCCUGAAUGUUGAUCCAGUUCCAGCAACUGCACCUGAACCUUUCAGACAUAGUACUCGGGUUCGUAGACCACCAGAUAGGUAUGGUUUCACCUCUCCAUUAUUUUUGACAGCCACUUUGUCUUCUAUUCUUAUUCCUUCAUCAUAUAAACAGGCAAUAGAGCAUGAAUUUUGGUGAAAAUCUAUUGAAUCAGAACUUCUUGCACUUGAAGAAAACCAAACUUGGGAUAUUGUUUCAUGUCCUCCAUCCGUGAAACCCCUUAGUAGUAAGCUAGUGUUUUCUAUCAAGCUGCGUUUUAAUGAAUCCAUAGAUCGUUACAAGGCUCGGUUGGUGGUUCUUGGCAACAAGCAAGAAUAUGGCCUAGACUACGAUGAGACCUUCGCGCCGGUAGCCAAAAUGACCACUGUUCGAACAAUAUUAGCCCUUGCUGCAUCACAAUCAUGUUCUUUACAUUAAAUGGAUGUAAAGAACGCUUUCCUACAUAGUGAUCUCAAGGAGGAAAUUUACAUGAAACUUCCCCACGGUAUGACUACUUCCUCUCCUAAUGAUGUUUGCAAACUAAAAUGUUCGUUGUAUGGGUUGAAGCAAGCACCGCGAGUAUGGUUUGAGAAGUUUCGAUCAACUCUUUUCAGUUUUUCAUUCACUCAAAGUCAGUAUGACUCCUCCUUUUUUUUUUCCAACAGACAUCUAAGGGCAUCAUUGUUCUCCUUAUUUAUGUGGAUGACAUCGUUAUCACUGGUUCUGAUAUGGAGGCAAUUUCUAAACUUCAGAAUUUGUUGCACUCUAUUUUUCACAUGAAAGACCUCGGUCAACUCACCUAUUUUUUGGGGUUAGAGGUGCAUUAUCUGCCUCAAGGUAUCUUCUUGAAUCAACACAAGUAUAUUCAGGAUUUAAUUUAAUUAGCUGGACUUAUGGACAAAAAUUCUGUUGACACCCCAGUGGAACUUAAUGUGAAAUAUCGACAAGACGAAAGGGAACUACUUCAAGAUCCUACUUAUCUAUCUAACUAUCACCCGCCCAGACAUCUCUUAUGCUGUCCACACCGUUAGCAAGUUCAUGCAAGCCCUUCGACAUCUCCACGUAUCCACAGUCCGCCGCAUCAUUAGAUAUAUUCUUGGCACUCUUAACUGCAGUUUAUUCUUCCCUACUGGUUCUUCACUCCAACUACAAGCCUACAAUGACGCAGAUUGGGCUAGCUGCCCGGACACGAGAAAAUCUACUUUGGGAUGGUGCAUGUUUCUUGGUGAUGCCCUUAGCUCUUGGAAAUGCAAAAAGCAAGACUCAGUCUCCAAAUAAUCCACUGAGGCAGAAUACCGCGCCAUGUCUGUAGCCUGCUCCAAGAUCAUUUGGUCGCGUGGUCUCUUAACAGAGCUUGGUUUCUCACAACAUCAACCUACUCCCCUACAUGCUGACAACACAAGUGCCAUCCAAAUUGUAGCCAACCCUGUCUACCAUGAGCGCAUGAAACACAUAGAGGUUGACUGCCACUCUAUUCGAGAGGCCUAUGACCACCAAGUUAUCACCCUCCUGCAUAUCUCCACUACUCUACUGAUUACGAAUAUCUUCACCAAAUCCAUGACAUGUCAGCGACAUAACGUUCUUGUUAGCAAAUUGAUGCUUGUAGAUUUACCAGCAUCAAUUUGAGGGGGGAUGUCAAAGGAAUUAGUAGAUCUUAUGGCAAAUUCUAUGCCUGUACAGCUGUAACAAUUAUCUUUAUGGUUGUAAAUCUUAUAUUUUUUCCUUAUUUAAGAUAUACUAGCUGUAGGCUAUUUUAGAUAGUUAUGUAUAUGGUAGUUUAGCCAUGUUUAUGGCUAAACAUAAGCUCGUAUUCAUAGUAUAUAAAGGGAAUUCUCCUCCAAGAGAAAGCAUAUGAAAGAAACUUAGUUCUAUAUUGUUUGGUAGGCUAGAAAAUGAAAGAAAAUAAAAGAAAAGCUUUGCAAAGAAAACUGUUAGAUCCUUUUAUUAUACCAAACUUACAGUUUAAUGACUAAAAAUUGAUAUUUAUAUUGAGCUACAAACUCUUCACACACACACACGAGAUUGUUGCAACACAUAACCAAUUGCUGUAUAACUAACUUGACACAUCAGCUCAACCAGCUAACUAACUUUGACAGGUCAGCUUAAUGAUUUGAUCUGAUACAACCAGCUACACAGCAACAUCAUGCUCUGCUCCAGCUUCAUCUAAUUCACUAACAACUUUUGCUCAAAAUUCUCUUAGUUUAUCACAGGGAAGUAUAGCUUUGGAAAAGGCCGGAUCAAUAACUAUGGAGAGAUUUAUAAGUGAUAAAAAUUCCCGUAACCCGCUGUCAAGAAAAUUUCACAUAGUUAAAGACGCCAUUUUGUUUCAGCCAAAAAUGUUUGUUUAAUCUGCCAAAAAUGUUUGUUUCGAUUAAAGACUUGAACCGUUUUCAUUUAACCUGAUUGUGAUGCUUUAUGUUAUGUAUGUUCCUCUCAAUCAAGAAAAGUUGAGGUUCAUGAUUUUAUAUUUCUAUCUUGUAACUUGCAAUAAUAACUGGUCUUCUUGUUUUUGUAGCUUGAUAACAUGAAUUUUCCUUCUCAAGUUAAUUUGAUCAAUAAAGUAAUUCUUCAAAGAAAAUAUGCCCAUUCUAUAAUCAUUUUCUUAGCUAAUAUGUUUUUUUUUUGUUUACUCUUCAGAGUGUGUCGAAACUAAUUGAUUGCUCGGCAGAGACUUUGGGUGACAAGUCAAAAUUUCAUGGUAAAUCCUCUGAAAAGGUAUGCAUAAUUCCUGAAUAUUAAAUAACCAAUGGUCAUAGUUUUUGUACACGACUCUUUUUGUGGAGAUCGUUAAAAGUGGUUGAUGAUCCAUUUGUAAUUUCAUAGAGGGAUCAUCAAUUCCUUUUCUUUUCUGUGGCUAGGCAUCACUUUCGUGCCAAAGUAAGGAAAUCUAUUUUAGGUAAUGUAAAAAACAAUGGUAGGAUGUAAUAGCUUAUUAUGCACUGACAAUAACUUUUUGUAUAAUUGUCAGUUUAAGGAAUACAAGAGGAACUCUGUUGACAAAUUCAUCCAAGAUAGAUGCUAAAAUUAUUUAUGCAUGCCAGUUGCCUUAACUAAUUUUUCUUAACACUUGUAUUGAACAGGAAAUGAGUAUGCAAUUUGUGUACGUGCCAUUGUGGAGAAUUUGGAUAUUCUUAUUUAAGUAAGAAGAAGAGUAUUUGCCUCAUCUUUAAACAAUGAAUCUUUGAGAAAUGAGGAGUGGGUGAUUGGAAGUGUCUUCAUGUAAAUGUUCAUUUACUUGUAUUUUGAACUAUUAUGAGAAUCUUUUAUAUGCCAAAUUAGUAAUACAAAUGUUCAGAUGAUUUUUCCUGUUGAUCACGCGUUUGUGUCUGCAGACAACCAUUGUAUAUCACUUUAUUCUGAUGUGCAAUUAUGUAUAGAUUAGAAGAAAAGAAAUAAUAGUCUUAUAUUAUUGUUUGGUUCAUGAUUAUUAAACGAUUAUGGCUUCAAAAAAUCUACAAAUUCCUUCUGUUCAUAUAUGAAUGUGCCAAGUUUGCUAUAUCUUAGAUUGCCUUCUUCCAAGAUAACAAGUUCAUAUGUUUUUUAAUCCUCUUCAAUCACAGUUGAAUUUUAAGUGUUAAGAUUUGUUAUUAAUACCUGGUUCCCUGUUAUUAUGAUUUUUAUUAUGAUUUCAUAAACAGUGUACGGACAUGUGCUCUACUUUUAAAGGGCCUCCACGUGAAAGAAAAUUGCAACAAUUGAAUUCUUCCGGAGGGUAUGGCAUUUAAUUUAUUUUCUCAACUUCUUGUAAGACUAAUAUAUUUCCUUCAGUAGGCAGGGCAUGUUGGGAAGGGCUUUUAUUGAAAGAAUUCUGAUAUUUCUUAGACUUUGUUUUGGAAGGGAGGUGGAGGGAUUUCUCAUCCAUAUAUGGUUACUUGAUUAGCUUUUGACUGUAUUGCCUCAGUCGUGCAAAGGAAGAUCCAAAUACUAAUGAAUGAGAAUUGGUUAGAGACCCAAAAGACAGAAAUGAACUACAGAAGGAAGUUUUUGCUGCUUUAUUUAGUGUUCCUGAGAACUCUGAUGAAGAUGGAGUGGAGGUCCAAAGCAUUAAGAAAGGUGGUGAGUGAACCGCCAGAGGAAUUGGUACCAGAAUACAAAGCUAAUGUGGUGCAUUUGCAGCAAGAUAACCAGACUAGUAUGUGCUCUUGUAUUAACUAUAUUGACUGGAUUUGUGAGCAUGUUCAUUUUUGUGUGUAUAAUCACUUUUGUAUUUAUGCAUAUUAAUGUUAGUAGGAUUCUUGAUUUCCUCCACUUACUGGAGAACUAGUGGAAAGCUUUAUAGUGAAAUAUCUGCAAUAACUAAUGGAAACCAUGAUUUGAAUAUUUUCUCUCACCUGGAGAGCUUUGUAACAGAUGUACUUUGUGGCUAUGGAAUACUAGAGAUUCUGCAAUAACUAAUGGAAACUCUGAUAUGAAUAUUUUCUCUCACCUGCAGAACUUUGUAACAGAUACACUUUGUGGCUCUGGAAUGUCUAAAGAUUUUGUCUGCUUCAGUUAGAUCAAAUAUCUUUUAGUUACCUACAUUAUGGAAAAGAUAGAGUUCUCUGAAUCUGAAAGACUGAAACAUUUUGCAUAUUUCGUGAAAGGAAAAUAUCUGUAGAUACUAGUUCAUGCAUUGAGGUAACAUCAAUGUUAAAGAAAAACAGCAAUAACUUAUUAUAUAGAAUUAGGUUCACUUGCUUUAAAUGCUGGUCUGGUCAACCAUAUGAACCUGUAAGUGUAUCUGCAGAAAUAUAUAUGGGGGGACAAACUAGCUAAAUUUUCCUCUCAUUUCUGGCUUUGGUCAUUUUUUCCCCUUAUUUUUCAGCUUUCCUUCUCCUGAAGUAUGUUAACAAUUGCAGAUAAUGACGAAGAGGACAGCUUGCAGGCUCUUCGUGGAGCUGUGAUGGAAUAUAGGGGCACAAUGAAAGAACAUUUUAAAGCUGUAGGUUCUUUUUCUCCUGUCAUUUAUAUUUGCUCACACAUUUUUCAUAUGCUCCAAGCAUGCAAGUUUGUAUGUGUCUUUGCCUUUUAAGUUUUAAAAACCAUAAGGUAAGAAUACAGUUCCUCGUCAGGUUAUUGAUGCAUUCACUCCGGAGGAUCAUGUUCGAGCAGGAAAACUUCUAGAACAGGCAAGGUUUUCCAUCUACAGCCAUCUAUUGACAACAGAUACAUUUUCAUUCAGCAGACACUGUUAGCAUUCAAGAUGCUGGCAGAUUCACUUGAUUCUUAUUAGUUUGUUUAGUGGUAAAGCAUAUAACCUGUUUUUCAAAGCCAAGUUGUGCUAUUGAUUAUGUUAACUUUAUUGUUCACAUAAAGUGAUAUGGAGGAAAUAAUCAUUGUAGGAAAAUUAGGUGAAGAGGUGAUGUCAAAUCUUGAACCUGUUACAAAACUCCAAGUUCUUUACUUGAAGAAGCUACCAAAUUUGAACAGGGUCCACUGGAAGGCCUUGCCAUUCCCUGAUGCCUGCAGAAUUUUUGUAUUUAAAUGCCCAGAGCUUAAGAAGCUGCCACCGGAUCUUGAAAGGGCAGGCCAAGGUAAAAUUCUUAUCAAGGGAAAGGAAGAUUGGUGGAAACAACUUCAAUCGGAGGAUCAAGUAACUCAGAAUGCAUUGCUUCUAUUUUUAAAAUCAACUGACAAGUGAUUGAAGGGGGCAUCAUCAACAUCAUCAACAUGGAUGGAGAGAUUCAGGAGCAGAUCCGCAGGGUUUAUUACGACCUGUGGUGGUUGCUUUUUUGUGACUUGUUCCCUUUCAUUUUUUCACUUCCUGUCAUAUUAUCAUUUCUUUGUCUCUGUUUCUAUUGCUGAUGUUGCUGCAUGCUUGCAGCCCUUGACAAAGUUAGCAAUGCAAUAUAGAUUUUGAAAUUAAAUUUUGUAUGUUCGGGACAGUCACAAAGUACUACUUGUUCUAUAUGGGGGUGAUGUGAAUCAACUUUUCAAUUAUAUAUUCUGUGGUAAUUGUGAAUUCAAUUUCAUUUGUCUCCUGCAAAUUAUGAAGAAAGUGCAGAGUUAGAAUAUCGAAAAGUUCACUGGCAAAUACUUUGUAAAAGCUUCGGAGUGAAACAGGGAAUGCACUUGCAACUAAGGACAAAUUGGUGGCCAGCUAAUGCAUUCAUUUUAUGUACAUUCAUCUUUUUAAUUAUUGAAGAUAAGUGGUUCGUUGCUUUUGUUGUAGAAAAAAUUCAGACGACCUCAAUUGUGAGAUGAAAAUAUUUAAAAUAUCUCUUAAAUUAUUAUAAACUUUAAUUUAUCUUAAUUUUAUUUAAAAGAUAAAAGAAAAAUGUGGUAUAUGGGUAAAAAUUUUUUUAUCUUGUUAAUAAAAUGAAAUAAAUUAAAAUUUACAAUAAUUUAAAGUAUUUUAAAAUUAUUAUUUCAUAAGAGAUUAAUAUGAAAUUAAUCCUUUUUACUUUUUGAAUGUGAAAGGACAAGAAAAGAGAAAGCUAGUGUCACUGCUUUUUAUUUUAUUUGAAAUCGGAGUUAUCCCAUAUACUUUACUACUUUAGCUCUAACAUUACAAUGUUUUUAGGCUACACUUUUAUUUUUCUUUUUCCCCCUUUUUUUAUACAUGCAUGUGGAUUACUUUUCUCUAAGCUCCUUAAUAUUUAAGACAAAUCAUAAAAGCAAUUGAAGCAUAACAAGAUGAUCAAAACAUUUAACCGAAAAAAAAAGAAAUAAAACAUUGAAAAUGGAGAUGUUGAUUAAUUUAGAAGAGAUGCAAGCAAAAAAUAUUCCCAAAAAAAAAAAAAAAAAAAGCAACGUUAGUUCAUCCAUGUCUGUCAAUGCGUUUUUUAUGGUUUUUUUUUUCCAGUUGUUUGUUGUAAUAGAUUAAUUGUAAAUUGAUAUAAACUUGAUGUUGUAAUAUGUUCGCUUUUGUGGAAAUAAAUUUCAAUAUUCAAGAUUAUUCAAGUCUUAUCUAGUAUGUGUUCGGUUGUGUUGUCGAUAAUUUUACAUUCUAAUAAGUUUUCACCUAAAAUAUUAGCAUGAGUAGUAGUCCUUAAACCUUUGGUCAAAAUUAUUGUUAUUGUUUCUUUUAGAGGAAAUUUUUUUAUUAAAGCCUCGUUAACACUAUUCCUUAUUAAGAUUAUAAGUUAGUGUCGGUGCAGGAUUUGCAGCGACAAAUCUUGUCUAGCCACGUGUCAAAAUACAAAUAAAUCAAGGGAAAGCACAUGACAUGGAUUAGGAUCCAAUAAAAUUUAAAUCCCAAGGAAAAGGACAACUGUAUCCUAAAGUUUCAAUAAGAGAUACUGGGAUAUCUUUUGACUAAUGUUAUUUUUUGGCUUUAUUAAUAAAAAGAUCCAAUAGUUUAUAACAAAUAAAAAUAUAGUAUUAAGCUAAAUGUGAUAAUUUACACAUUUUACAUAAUUUCAAUAAAAAUUUUUUUAAUGUUUUACAAUCUAUCAGACAUAUUUUAUUAAAUUAAUAAGAAUUUUCUUAUAAAUAGCAACAUAAUAUUAAAAUAAAUUUAUAAAAAUUUAAAUGUAAAAUAAUUUUAGUAUAAUUAAUACGCGGGAUAUAUUUUGUAAAUUAUAAAAUUACUUAACCCAAUGAUUUUUAAAAAUCUUUAAAAUAAAUAAAAAUAAAUUAUUCACAUUUUGAUGUAAAUAUUUAAAACAUUUUUAUACAUUAGUCCACAAUUAUUUAUGUUAUAUUUGUAUUUAUUAGAAAUUUUGAAAGUCAAAUGUUUUUUACCUCUAUGUUAUUAGAAUUAUUGCACACAGAGAAAGAGCCAUAUAUGCUUUAUAACUUUAAAAUCGAUUUGUUUUAUAGCUGGGAAUAGAGAUGAUCAUUAUUAUAAGGAUUUUUUAAAAAAAGAUAAAGAAUAUUAAUGAUUAGCGAAAUCUCUAUGGAAAUUGAAUUUAGUAAGAAAAAAUUGAGCUGAUUUUAGUGGUAUAGUAAUAUUUUAUAUAGAGAAAAGUAAAAGCUGCACCCAAGGUUAAGGGAAAUGGUCAAAAUUCUUUUUUAAUCAUAAUACCCUUUUUCCUAGAUAAUUUAAAAAUUUUACUCUAAUAGUUUAUAAUAAAUAAAAACAUAUAAUCCUAAAAUAAAUAAAAUGAUAUAUAUUUUAAAAUAAUCUCAAUAUUUAAAAUAUAUUUUAACAUUUUAUAAUCUAUUAGAUAUAUUUUAUUAUAUUAAAGUAAAUUUUAUAAUAAAUACAAAACAUACUAUUAAAAUAGAUAUAAAAAUUUUAAAGUAUUUUGAAUAUUAUAUAAAAUAACUUUAAUAUUGUUAAUGCAUGAGAUGCAUUUUAUUAAUUAAAAAUUCUAUGUAACCCAAAGAUUUAUUUAUAAUAAAUUAAUAAUCAUAUUUUUGAAAUUAUUUUAAAUAUUAAAAAAUAUUUUAAUAUUACUAACUAUUAGAUAGACUAAACUAUUUAUUUUAUUUUCUAUUUAUUAUAAAAUUUCAAAGUUAAUCUUUUUAACUACUAUUCAAAAGAUGUUAUGAUAAAAACAGAAUUUUUGUGUUUUUAUUGAAAAUUUGGAGUUUACAUCUAUUUUUUCAAAUAUUCAGGGUGUAACUGUUUUUUCCCUUUUAUAUAUACGAACGGUGGUGAGAAAGUUUGAUUUAACGUUAUUUAUUUAAAUAAAAUCUCAGUUAAAAAUGUACAGAGAAGAAAUUUCGGUUGGUAUUUUAGUCUUGGUAAUCUCUAUAUUAUAUGCAUAUAAGAUACAUCAUUCUCACAUGAAUAGUAUAUGUGUGAGAUCCAUAUAUUAUUCAUGUGAGGGAGAUGUAUCUUAAUAAGAUAGAGGGAUCCGUUAGUCUUUUACCAAUCAUCACGAUUAGGCCUUGGCCUUGAAACAUUAAUUGUUUCACUUUUAGCGCUAGUGGCGUUGAAAGUUGUCAAGAAAAAGCAAGACCAUAUUCCACAAAAGCAAAAGUAACGUAGGCUCUUUUAUUAAAGGCAAAGUAUAAAGUAGUCAAGAAUCGAAUAUCCUGUCGUCUACUCUUUUUUAAAUUCUUCUUUUAUUAUCGUUUAGAAUAGUUUUUGGUAAUUACAAUCAUUAUUCAGAGUUAUUGUUAUCUUCCGGGGCAGUCUCUGUUCAUCGAAGUCGUUACCUUUUUUUUAAUGGAUCAGUUCCAGUGGUAAGCAGUAAUUUUCUUAGAACUCGGAUCUUUAAUUCGAGUUUCUGUGUGAAUUAAUAAUAAAAAAUUUUCAUUACACGCAAUUUAAGCUACGAAUUACUUUUUGCAAAGUUGAAUAUGGAAUUGGAGAAAUUAAGUAAUUUAGAAUGUUGGUAAAAAUUGACGAACAUAUCUCCAAUUACAGUAAAACCUCUCUACAGUCAUAACAUUAUAACAAAAUUAAUUUUAUUACUAUGUUGAGGUAAUAUAGGUUUAGUUACAAAAUUAUUGUUUUAAUAUGGUUAGUGUCAAGUGAUAUAAAGGUUAAGUAUGCAGUACAUUAAUAAUUAAAUAAUGAAGUGUCAAAUCUAAUGUAUAUAUAUUAAUGAUAUAGAUAGACAUAGUUUUAAAAAACUAAUUAAUGUAUAUUUAUGUAGUGUUAUGAAUAUGGAAAGUCAAGCCUACACUUUACAUUAUCCUUAAUUUUUUCUCUCAGUUAAAUUCUACAAAUAUUGUACAAUGGUUGGGCAAGAACUCUAAAUUAAGAAUAAAUUAUUGUCACAAAUAAUUUUAGAAAAUAUUUUAUUUCGUCUUAAACCUUUAAUAUAAAUAAACAUAUAUAUAUAUAUAUAUAUAUAUAUAUAUAUAUAUAUGUGUGUGUGUGUGUGUGUGUGUGUGUGUGUGUGUGUGUGUGUGUGUGUGUGUGUGCAUAUUUUGCAACGUAUAGAUAAUUGUUAGUAUAUGGAGACAAGUCUUUUAAGGUAGGACCUAGGAAAAUUUAUAACUUACUACACUGUGGAGUUUUUAUUCCUUUUUAUAAUUGGCUCAUAUUGAUACAUUCUUACACAAAAUAUUACCAUUGACAUAUUUUACUACAAUUAGUUUAGAACAUUUGUUAGGAAAAAAAAGAAAAGAAAAGAAAACAUCCCUUGGAUGUAGCUCUCCUGACUAUUUAAAUCUUUUAAGGAAAAAAAGAAAAAAGAAAAACUGGCACAUUCAAAUCUUGAAGCAAUUACAUUAAAAUCUCUCCAUAAUGAUAGGAAUAAUCUCCAUUUAGUAAUAAAAAAUUUUGUUCGCAAUUUAGGCAGAGUUAUAAAUAAGAAUAAAAUCCUCAUUGUAAUAAGUUAUAUUUAUUAUGGAUCCCAUCCUAAGGAAUUCGUCUCUAUAUAGUAAUAAUUAUUUGCAUAUUAUAAAUAUAUAUGUUGCAUUAGAUUAAAUGAACUUGUCUCCACAUACUACUUAGACAACGAGAGAAAAUUAUUAAAGAGAACACAAAUAUUUAGAUAUUUUUAAGAUUACUUUGCAUAUUUAUAACAAUAAUACAUUGAUAUAUGUAUUAGUUUUUUGAUAUAUUAGAUUUAACAUGCUCUAUUAAUAAAUUAUUAAUACGAUGCAUAUUCAUCUCUAUAUCCUUGCAAUAAAAGUAACUAAGUUAUAACAAUAAUUAUUAAUAAAUUAUUAAUACGUUGCGUACUUCAUCUCUAUAUCCUUACAAUAAAAAUAACUAAGUUAUAAUGAUAAUUUUUGUAACUACAUACUUAUUAGGUUUUAACUACUUCAUAAUAAUAAAUUAGUUUCGUCCUAAUAUUAUAAUUAUGUAGAGUUGUAGUGUAUAGACACACCCAAUUUAAAUAGUAUAUCAAAUAAAAUUGUCCCCACGAAAAAGAAAAAAGGGGUAAAGGAUUCUCAUUUCUUCAAACAUUAGGAUCACGUUUGUACAAGUGCGAUGCCUUUCUUUUGAAGGCAACGUCAGUGGGUACCCAAUAGGACGUGUGUAAAUCUUUCCAAAAUUUCUCUGGUAUAACGGACAGAGAUCAUUACUUUUCUCUUCCAUAUACCACAGCAGCUUCAGUUAAUCAGACUCAAUCAAUUUUCUUGGUUUCUUCGCUUAUCAAAAUUCCAAAAUAUGGGUAGCAUAUUUCAAAUCACAUGCGAUGGUGCUUUUUUCAAUCGUUGCUUGGAUUGCUUUCUUGGAAAAGUAGCAAACACAAGUAAGCUCCAAGAUAACCUUGUUGCCUUGGAGACUGAAUUGGGAAAACUAAUCGCAGCAAAGAACGAUGUGAUGAUGAGGGUUGUCAAUGCUGAACGGCAACACCUGAGAACGCUGGACCAAGUGCAAGUGUGGCUUUCGAGGGUGGAAGCUGUUGAAACUGAAGCUGAUGAAUUGAAAAGACACGGCUCUCAAGAAAUUGACAAAUUAUGUGUUGGAGGCUACUGUUCCAAGAACUGCGCGUCAAGCUACAAGUUCGGGAAACAAGUGGCUAAAAAGCUACGGGAUGUGCAGACUUUAAUCGACGAAGGAGUUUUUGCGGCGGUGGCUACCGAGGUGGUGCCUGAGAGAGCUCCAGAACCUGUAGCAGAUGAAAGACCCACUGAGCCAACAAUAGUAGGCUUGCAAUCACAACUUGAACAAGUUUGGAGAUGUCUUGUAGAAGAAUCAGUGGGAAUCAUUGGCCUAUAUGGUAUGGGCGGUGUUGGUAAAACUACACUAUUGACCCAUAUCAACAAUAAAUUUCUUGAGAGUCCAACCAGUUUUGAUUGUGUGAUUUGGGCCGUAGUUUCAAAGGACUUGCGACUCGAAAAAAUUCAAGAAGAUAUUGGGAAAAAGAUCGGUUUGGUUGAUGAUUCAUGGAAGAGUAAAAGUGUAGAGGAGAAAGCUCUCGACAUCUUCCGGAGUUUAAGAGAGAAGAGAAUUGUAUUGCUGUUAGAUGAUAUAUGGGAGCGGGUUGAUUUAACAAAAGUGGGCAUUCCACUUUCCGGACCAAAAAAUACUACAUCAAAAGUCGUAUUCACAACCCGUUUCGUCGAUGUUUGUGGUAGCAUGGAAGCUGACAAGAAGUUCCAGGUGGCAUGCUUAUCAGAAGAGCAUGCUUGGGAACUGUUUCGAAAAAAAGUUGGGGAAGAAACUCUUGAGAGUGAUCAUGAUAUCGUUGAGCUAGCCCAAACUGUGGCCAAAGAGUGUGGUGGUUUGCCACUCGCACUUAUUACUAUUGGUCGAGCUAUGGCCUUCAAAAAGACAGCCGAGGAGUGGAGUCAUGCAAUUGAUGUGCUAAGAACAUCAGCUUCUGAGUUUGCAGGUUUGGGAGAAAAGGUUUAUCGUCUUUUAAAGUUUAGCUAUGAUAGUUUGCAGAAUGAGACGAUUAGAUCUUGUUUCUUAUAUUGUUGUUUAUAUCCCGAGGAUUAUAGCAUUCUUAAAUGGGACUUGAUUGAUUGUUGGAUUGGUGAGGGAUUCUUAGAGGAAUCUGACAGGUUCAGUGCAGAAAACCAAGGAUACUACAUUGUGGGCACUCUUGUUCAUGCAUGUUUAUUGGAAGAGUUAGAAGAUGAUAAAGUAAAAAUGCAUGACGUUGUUCGUGAUAUGGCUCGAUGGAUAGCUUGUGAAAUUGAGAAGGAGAAGAGAAAAUUUUUGGUUUGUGCAGGUGCUGGAGUAGGAGCGGUGUCAGAUGUUGAAGGAUGGGAAAAUGUGGGAAGAUUGUCAUUGAUGCAAAACCAAAUUGAAAUUCUGUCAGAGGUUCCCACAUGCCCUCAUCUCCUCACUUUAUUUCUUGACUUUAAUUAUAAAUUGGAGAUGAUCACCGAUGGCUUCUUCCAAUGUAUGCCUUCUCUCAAAGUUUUGAAGAUGUCAAACUGUGGGCAUGUCAAAGUUUUGAAAUUACCUUUUGGGAUGUCAAAGCUGGGUUCACUACAACUUCUUGAUAUUUCACAUACCGGCAUAAGAGAGUUACCAGAAGAGUUAAAGUUGUUGGUAAAUCUGAAAUGUUUGAAUUUGAGGUGGACACAUAUGUUAAAUAAAAUUCCACGGCAGCUAAUAUCAAAUUCUUCAUGGUUACGUGUGUUGAGAAUGUUCGCUAUUGGCUUUGAAAAUUCUAAAGAACCAUCAGAAGACAGCGUUUUAAUUGGUGGGGGUGAAGUUUUAGUACAUGAAUUGCUCGGUUUGAAAUAUUUAGAGGUAUUGGAGUUGACCUUGCGAAGUUAUGAUGCUCUCCAAUUUUUUUUGAGCUCAAAUAAGUUAAAAAGUUGUAUUCGAUCUCUUUUCCUCAAUAAGCUGGGAGAUACAAAGUCGAUUCAUGCUACGGCUUUCGCAGAUCUAAAGCAUCUCAAUGAACUAUGCAUUCGUUCGGCAGUGGAGUUGGAAGAAUUGAAGGUUGAUUAUACAGAGAUUGCGCCAAAAAGGUCGGAACCUUUUGUUUUCCGCAGCCUUCACCGUGUUACUAUGGAGCGGUGCCAUAAAUUGAAAGAUUUGACAUUCCUCGUUUUUGCUCCAAGCCUCAAGUCUCUUUCGCUAUACGGUUGCAAUGCUAUAGAAGAAAUAAUCAGCGUUGGAAAAUUUGCUGAGACUCCUGAGGUGAUGGGACAUAUAAGCCCUUUUGGAAAUCUCCAAACGCUUUAUUUAACUGAUUUGCCAGAGUUGAAAAGCAUCUACUGGAAGCCAUUGCCUUUCACUCAUCUCAAAGAAAUGACGGUACAUGGGUGUAAUCAGCUUAAAAAGCUUCCAUUCGAUUCCAACAGUGCAACAGAGCGUAAAUUUGUUAUUCGUGGAUACACACUCUGGUGGAACCGUCUUCAAUGGGAGGAUGAAGCCACUCAAAUUGCUUUUCGUUCCUGUUUCCAAUCUCAUGAAAUAUAAAUUCCUGAGCGGUGGUUGCAAAAUUUGAUUUCUAGUGAGUGCUUUUUUCUUAAACUCUUACAUAUAUUCUCGUCGUUUGCUUCGUGCAACGGACUAGGUUUUUAUUUCAGAUUCGUUUUUUGUCUCCUGCAAAUCACAAUUAAAUGUUGAAUUAUAUGGAGUCAAUGCUUUAUAAAAUUUUCAAGGCACUGCCAUUUCCUUUUUCUUUUUCUUUUUUUUUUUGGGUCGAAUUGAUGCUCUGGCUUUUUACUUUUUGUUGUCACAUUUUGCUCUGUUUUUUCAAGUUGAUGCUUGAAUAGUUGAAUUCAAUUGAUGCUCACAUAAAUUUGUUUAGUUGCCGCAAAAGGAUAUAAUUAGACUGAAGUACACACUUCUAGAAUGAAUACAAAAUGUUAAGUAUACUAGCCCUCUUUACAGAAAAUCAAAUGAAAAUCAAUUUUUUGGGGCUUUGAUUUUCUAUGGUCUAUUAUAUACUCUUUUUAAUAUCUUCUGUUCUAACUAUAACCAAAUCCUUUGUUCAAGGAUUUUUAUUUGGGGUAUUGAUAACUGUCCACCAAAAGAGUGAACACUUGGAUGCUGCUCAAGGAUCUCUAAUCAAUAGCUGGAAGCAACUGAGAAGGCGGUCGCUACUGUUUACAAAGCGAUGCAGUAUUUGCCAUUCAUCUUAAUAAUUAUGAAGCUUUGGUAAAAUUUUCAAACAAAGUUGAACACAUGUUGUUUUGAGAUUUGGUUCAUGAUUUUGGAUGAAUAUCGUUGUUCCGUUUGAGUUGGAUGUGAAUUCAAAAUCUAUAUAUUCUUUGGUUUUCAAUUCUGAACUCAAUUUCUUUUUCUCAAGCAUGUUAUGCAGAAAUGAUUUUUUACUAAAUCAUUUUUGAUGAAUUGUUUAAAUUAAACAAUUGGAAUAAGAAUUGAAAAGGUUUAUCAUAAGCAUGCUAAUAUGAUAAGUUGUUUUAUGAACGAUUAAUUAAUUAAUCAAUUAAUAUUAAAUUAUCUAUUAGUCAAUUAGAUAUGCGUUACAUGUCAUGUUUAAAAAUUAUUUAUUUAUAUUUCAAACAAAUUUGACUGGAUGUUGUGUAGGUAAUACUACAUAAUUUCAAAACAAAAAAAGUAAUAAAAACACGUUAAAUUUUGUUUUUAUGAAGAAAAAUUUAAAAUUUUAUUAAAUAGGUGAAAAUAAUAAAUGGAUUCGUGUAUGGUUUGAGAUUCUUGACAUAAUUAUGAAAUAAGCCGGAUUCGACUUAGUUCAAUUUUGACGCGAUAAGAAGACGACACCACACAAACACACGAUAAGAACCGUUACCUGAGAAGAUUGCCAUCAGGAAUUUUGAAAUUGAUUUCACUACAAUACCUUAAUCUUUCAGAUACUACCAUCACUGAGCUGCCAGAAGAGCUAAAAGCCUUGGUAAAUCUUAAGUGUUUGAACUGUACACAAAUUAUCUCUCUACAAUUCAAAAACAACUAAUUUGUUACUUUUUCAAUGCUACAUGUUCUGCGAAUAUUGAGUUGUGGUUAUCUUGUUGAAAUAUCAGACAAUAGAGUUCUAUUUGGUGGUAGUGAAUUGUUGGUUGGGGAGUUGCCUAGUUUAAAACGUUUAAAUGUAUUAAGCAUCACCUUACAAGGUUUUUCUGCUGUCCAAAAACUUAUGAGCUCUCAAAAGUUUCAAAGCUGUACAAAAUGUUUGGAGCUUAUAGACUGUGAUGAUUCAAAGUCUUUUGCCUUGGCAGAGUUGAAGCAUCUCGAAAAACUAGUUUUUUGAAUUGUGGAAGAGUUUAAGUUCUGCUUUGUUGAAGUUGGAAAAGCUCAAGAAUGUUUUCGUUUGAACAGUUUUCACCGAGUUAAUAUAAAGGCUUGUCAUAAAUUGAGGGACGUGACAUGGCUUGUAUUUGCUCCAAAUCUUACAGUUAUUCAAAUAGAAAAAUGUAUGCAGAUGGAAGUAAUAGUCAGUGCAAGGAAAUUGGGUGAAGUUCCAGAGAUGAUGGCAGAUCUAAACCCUUUUGCAAAUAUCUUUGCCAGCGAGUUCUACCAAAAUUAAAAAGCGUCUAUUGGAAUGAGUCACCCUUUCCACAUGUCAGGGAAAUUAUUGUAUCUGAAUGCCCAAUUCUCAAGAAGCUUUCACUCGGUUUUAACAAUGCAAAGGAAUCUAAAAUUGUCAUUAGGGGAGAGGAACACUGGUGGAGUGAGCUGCAAAGGGAGGAUGAAGCGACCGUUAAUGCUUUUCUUCCUUGUUUCGGUUCCAUUUGAUAGGCAUCAACAUGGAUUUAUAUUUUGCGGUGGACAACUUGUGGUAAGUGCUUUUCCAUUUAUUACAUGUUUAUAUCUAACUUUUGUUUUCCUUUAUGGUUAAAUUUUACUGUAUAUAUGUUGUUAUACGGUGACAUUCUCGCAUCAAUUAUUAGCUUUUUAAUUCUCUUCUGGCAUUAAUUGCCCUUCUGAUCAUGUAGGAUAUGCCGAUGUCAAAGAGUAGUAAAUUGGGAUACAAAUGUAAGAAUUAGCCAGAUGACAUGUUGUUUUGAAGCUCUCUCGAAGGACUAGUUAUGUCAUUCAAAGCAUCCAAUUUCGCUACUUUUUUUUUCAUUUGUUGCUUUUUAUAUUUCUAGAUAGCUUGAUAUUCGGCCAAGACAUCGAUAGGAGGGCACAUUGUGCAUGCACACUAGUGGAUGAUUUGGGCAUGCCGAAUCCAAUUAGCGUGGAUGACCCUUUAUAAGCAUCAGGCUUCUCUCAUACCAGAGCAAUGUAGAAUAUGUUUAUAAACUGUGGAUUACCCUUUAUAAGUUUAGACUUCUUCUAUACUCGAGCGAUGUGGAAUACCUGUAUAAGCAUUAAGCUUCUCUCAUACACUUUAUGUUAAAAAUAAUAAUAAUAAUAAUAAAAUAAAUCCAUUUUAAAAUAGGCUCUUUUUUUCUUUUUUUAUAUAAACAAAAUGCAUUCUUCAAAUCAAUAGUGGGUGGAAGAAGUGAGUAGAGAAGGACUAGGCCCCUUCAUUCCGCCUAAAACCUCACCGAAACCUCUCUUGUGAACUUCUCAGAUUCUCUCUCAAUAUUUCUUAUGAUCUCGUUUUUGAUAGAAUCACUUCUAUUGCAUGCUGCAUUUUGUGCGUCGUUUUUGGGUAAUAUCUUAUCUGGAAUGCUGUUAUGAUCAAUAGAACAAGUAAUCAAUUUUUGGUUUGACGGAAGUCGAUUUAUUUAUUUACUAUUGUUUUUUAUUUGAAAUUUUGACAGUUGUGUUUCAUUCAUUUCUUUCCUUCUUUUUUUAUUUUAUAUUUAUUAUGUAUAAUUGUGUUUCAUUUGAUAUUGAUCAUACUGUAGAUAACUAUGUGAUUGUAGCUGGGGAUUUUAAGUUUUGUGAAUUCAAGAAACUGUCAAAAUGCUAGUGAAAUUGGGACCUUUAUUCAUAAGCUUGUGGUUUUCAAAAGUAGCCGGGUUCAACUGAUGAAGUUCCUUUUUGGGAUUCUUUUUUUUCUAGGCUGCAAUUCGGAUAUGUACCUGAUAGACAAUCUUUUGUGAGUUUAGCAUAUCUUCUCCGAUUUUGUCUUUUAUUCCCCAACUUUACAGCUACACACCAUGAAUGCUGGGUGAUUGUACAGAAAAUUUGUGUUAGAACAAAAGCAUUGUGAAGGAGUUUCUGUGCUAUAAGUUAUUGGCUUCAGCUUUAUUGGCAUUAAUUGGGUAGAUUAUGUGUUACAGUGAUUCAAUUUGUGAUCCACACUUUAAUUUUCUCUUUUCCCCAAUUAUUUAUGUCAAAUUCAAAUCCAGAAGCAUGCGCUGAUUUUUUUUUUUUUUUGUGAUAAUCUGUGAAGUUUAUUUGGAAAGGACGUAUCUGGGUUUAAUGGAUUAAAUUAUGACAUUGAGGGAAAGGCACUAAAGGUUUUGCUUGACACAUUUGGUCUGUGUUUACUCUGCAAUAAAUAGCUUCGCUUAUCAGAAAUCCCUAUUUGGCUGGUGAAUUUCUCUGUGACAGACAGGCAAACACCUAAACCGCUUCUAUCCAUUUUUCUGCUGGUGAGGUAAGGGGUAAAAAGUCUUCAAAAUCAUCAAAUAGUAACAUCUCUGAGAAUUGGUUUUAGAAAAAUGGAAAAUCUAGACCUACUAGGACAAAAUGGCGUCCGGUAUCAGGAGGUACCGUUUCAAGUUUUCUUGGUAAAGAAUAUAUUAAACCUGCGCAACCAGCUAAUGGCACUUUUCUGGCAUCAAAGCCAUUGAAGUUGGAUCUAAAGGAGUUUUCCCAUGCCUGCAUUGUGCAGAGAAGAAACUAAACAAAAACAAUCAAAGAAUGACCAUUUGCAGAAGGAUACGGAAGAUUUUCUAUUUAAAUUGUUAGGAGAAGGGUCCCAGCUGAACAGGGAUGUGAUUCAGGAGGUUCUCGGUAAUGUCUUAAAUAUACUGAUGCCAAUUUAAUACAUAUUGUCCUUUUCAAUGUUCUUUCUUUCUUUCUUUUUUUUUUCCUUCUUCUUCUUUUUCUUUUCGUGUGCAUGUGAUCACUGAUUUGGUAUUAUGCUUAAGUUGCAGAUAGCUGUGGAUUUGAUAUGCAAAAGGUAAGGACUAUAUCUUCCUGAUGUAGGCCUCUGCUUUUUCCCCUUCUAUGUAAUUUAGUAAUUCACAUCUUCCUUUGUGAUUGUUAUAUCAUAUCGAAGUCAAGUCUUAAAUACUGCUGUCAUAUGUGAAGGUUCAACUUGCAUUUUGAUUAAGAUCCAUUUGCUGCUGCUUCCAAAAGUGAGAAUGAGAUACUUUGGUUAAUUUCAGUGGUUGAACCCAAUAGAGAACUUUAUUUAGAUCUUCAUGGUUCAAAGGCCUGAAAAAACUUGCCCGUAAUUGUAAAAUGACAUUCUGUGCUUUUUAUGCAAUAGGGAACAGGGAAGUAGAGCUUUGGAAAAGCCUGGAUUGAUAACUAUGGAGAGACUUAUUAUUUAAGUGAUGAAAAAUUCCCAUCGCCCGCAGUCAAGAAAAUUUCAGAUAGUUAAAGACUCCAUUUUGCUUCAGCCAAAAAUGUUUGUUUCAAUUAAAGACUUGAACCAUUUUCAUUGAACCUGAUUGUGAUCCUUUACGUUAUGCAUGUUCCUCUCAAUCAAGAAAAGUUGAGGUCAUGAUUCUAUAUUUCUAUAUUGUAACUUGAAAUAAUAAUUGGUCUACUUGUUUCUGUAUCUUGAUAAUAUGAAUUUUCCUUCUCAAGUUAAUUUGUUCAAUAAAGUAAUUCUUCAAAGAAAAUAUGCCCAUUCUAUAAUCAUUUUCUUAGCUCAGAUGUUUUUUCUUCACUCUUCAGAGCAUGUCAAAACUAAUUGAUCGCUUGGCAGAUACUUUGGGUAAGAAGACAAAAUUUCUUGGUAAAUCCUCGGAAAAGGUAUGCAUAAUUCCCGAGUAUUAAAUAACCAAUAGUCAUAAUUUUUGUACAUGACUCUUUUUUCUCUUUUUUGUGGAGAUCAUUAAAAUUGGUUGAUGAUCCAUUUUGUAACAUCAUAGAGGGAUCAUCAAUUCCUUCUCUUUUCUGUGGCUAGGCAACACUUUCAGGCCAAAGUAAGAAAAUCUAUUUUAGGUAAUGUGAAAACCAACGGUAGGAUGUAAUAGUUUAUUAUGCACUGACAAUAACUUUUUGUAUGGUUGGCAGUUUAAUGAAUACAAGAGGAACUUUGUUGACAAAUUCAUCCAAGAUAGAUGCUAAAAUUAUUUAUGCAUGCCAGUUGCCUUAACUAAUUUUUCUUAACACUUGUAUUGAACAGGAAAAUGAAUAAGCAAUCUGUAUAUUGUGCCAUUGUGGAGUAUUUGGAUAUUCUGAUUUAAAUAACAAGGAGAAUACUUGCCUCAUCUUUAAAUGAGGAGUGGGGGAUUGGAAGUGUCUUCAUGUAAAUGUUCAUUUAUUUGUAUUUUGAACUAUUAUGAGAAUCUUAUAUGCCAAAUCAGUAAUACAAAUCUUCAGAUGAUUUUUGCUGUUGAUCAUGGGUUUGUGUCUGCACACAACCAUUGUAUAUCACUUUAUUCUGAUGUGCAGGUAUGUGUAGCUUAGAAGAAAUGGAAUAAUAAUCAUCUAUUAUUGCUUGGUUCAUGAUUAUUAAACGAUUAUGGCUUUAAAAAGUCUACAAAUUCCUUCUGUUCAUAUAUGAAUGUGCCAAGUUUGCUAUAUCUUAGAUUAUCUUCUUCCAAGAUAACAAGUUCAUAUUCUUUUUAAUCUUUUUCCCUCACAGUUGACUUUUAGGUGUUAAGAUUUGUUAUUAGUCCCCUGUUAUUAUGAUUUCAUAAACAGUGUACGGAUAUGUGCUCUAACUUUGGAGGACCUCCACAUGAAAGAAAAUUGCAACAAUUGAAUUCUUCCGGAGGGUAUGGUCUUUAAUUUAUUUUCUCAACUUCUCGUAAGAUUAAUAUAUUUCAUUCAGUAGGCACAGCAUGGGGGGAAGGGUUUUUAUUGAAAGAAUUCUGAUAUUUCUUAGACUUUGUUUUGGAAGGGGGGUGGAGGGAUUUCUCAUCCAUGUAUGGUUACUUGAUUAGCUUUUGACUGUAUUUCCUCAGUCAUGUAAAGGAAGAUCCAAAUACCAACGAAGGAAUAUUGCCUAGACACCCGAAAGACAGAAAUGAGCUACAGAAGCAAGUUUUACUACUUUAUUUAGUGCUCCUGAGAAAUCUGAUGGAGACCGAAUGGAGGUCCAAAGCAUUGGAAAAGGUAGUGAGUGAACCGCCGGAGGAGUUGGCACCAGAAUGCAAGGCUAAUGUGGUGCACUUGCAGCAAGAUAACCAAACCGGUAUGUGCUCUUAUAUUAACUAGACUGACUGGAUUUGUGAGUGUGUGCAUUUUUUUGUGUAUACUCUUGUAUUUAUGCAUAUUAAUGUGUGUAGGAAUUUCUGCCACUUACUGGAGAACUAGUGGAAAGCUUUAUAUCGAUAUAUCUGCAAUAACUAAUUGGAAACUAUGAUAUUAAUAUUUUCUCUCACCUGAGGAACUGUGUAACAGAUAUACUUUGUGGCUCUGGAGUACUAGAAAUUCUGCAAUAACUAAUGGAAACUAUGAUAUGAAUAUUUUAUCUCAACUGGAGAACUUUGUAACUUGUAGCUCUGGAAUGUCUAAGGAAUUUUGUCUGCUUCAGUUAGAUCAAAUAUCUUUUAGUUGCAUACAUUAUAGAAAAAGAUAAAGUUCUCUGAAUCUGAAAGACUGAAACAUUUUGUAUAUUUUGUGAAAGGGAAAUAUCUGUAGAUACUAGUUCAUGCAUUGAGGUAACAUCAAUGUUAAAGAAAAACAGCAAUAAGUUAUUAUGUGGAACUAGGUUCACUUGCUUUAAAUGCUGGUCUGGUCAACCAUAUGAACCUGUAAGUUCUGCAGAAAUAUAUAUACGGGGAGAAACUAGCUAAAUUUUCCGUUCAUUGAUGGCUUUGGUCAUUUUUUUCCCCUUAUUUUUCAGCUGUCCUUCUCCUGAAGUAUGUUAACAACUGCAGAUAAUGAUGAAGAGGACAGCUUGCAGGCUCUUCUUAGAGCCAUGAUGGAAUAUAGGGGCACAAUGAAGGAACAUUGCAAAGCUGUAGGUUCUUUUUCUCCUGUCAUUUAUGUUUUCUCACACAUUUUUUAUAUGCUCCAAGCAUGCAAUUUUGUAUGUGUCAACUGCUUUCUAAGUUUUAAAAACCAUAAUGUAAGAAUACAGUUUCUUGUCAGGCUAUUGAUGCAUUUGCUCAGGGGGAUCAUGUUCGAGCAGGAAAACUUCUAGAACAGACAAGGUUUUCCAUCUACAGCCAUCUAUUGACAACAGAUAUAUUUUCAUUCAGCAAACACUGUUAGCAUUCAAGAUACUGGCAGAUUCACUUGAUUCUUAUUAGUAAUGUUUAGUAGCAAAGGAUAUAACCUGUAUUUCAAAGCCAAGUUGUGCUAUUGAUUAUGUUAGCUUUAUUGUUCACAUAAAGUGAUAUGGAGGAAAUAAUGUGAAGUGAUAUGGAGGAAAUAAUCAAUGUAGGAAAAUUAGGUGAAGAAAUGAUGUCAAAUCUUGAACCUCUUACAAAACUCCAAGCUCUUUACUUGAAUAAGCUACUAAAUUUGAACAGGGUCCACUGGAAGGCCUUGCCAUUCUCUGAUGCAUGCAGAAUUUUUGCAUUUAAAUGCCCAGAGCUUAAGAAGCUGCCACUGGAUCUUGAAAGGGCAGGCCAAGGUAAAAUUCUUAUCAAGGGAAAGGAAGAUUGGUGGAAACAACUUCAAUGGGAGGAUCAAGUAACUCAGAAUGCAUUGCUUCCAUUUUUAAAACAACCAGCAAGUGAUUGAAGGGGGCAUCAUCAACGUCAUCAACAUGGAUGGAGAGAUUCAGGAGCAGAUCAGCAGGAUUUAGUACGACCUGUGGUGGUUUCUUUUUUGUGACUUUUUUCCCUUUCAUUUUUUCACUUCCUGUCAUAUUAUCAUUUCUUUGUCUCUGUUUCUAUUGCUGGUGUUGCUGCAUGCUUGCUGUCCUUGACAAAGUUAGCUAGUUUUUUUUUUUUUAAUUAAAUUUUGUAUGUUCGGUCGGGACAGUCACAAAGUACUACUUGUUCUAUAUGGGGGUGAUGUGAAUCAACUUUUCAAUUAUAUAUUCUGUGGUAAUUGCGAAUUCAAUUUCAUUUGUCUCCAGCAAAUUAUGAAGAAAGUGCAGAGUUACAAUAUGGAGAAGUUCACUGGCAAAUACUUUGUAAAAGCUUCGGAGUGAAACAGGAAAUGCACUUGCAGCUAAGGACAAAUUGGUGGCCAGCUAAUGCCUUCAUUUUAUGUACAUUCAUCUUUUUAAUUAUUGAAGAUAAGUGGUUCGUUGCUUUUGUUAAGAUUAUAAGUUAGCGUCGGUGCAGGAUUUGCAGCAACAAAUCUUGACUAGCCACGUGUCAAAAGCACAAAUAAAUCAAGGGAAAGCACAUGACAUGGAUUAGGAUCUAAUAAAAUUUAAAUCCCAAGGAAAAUGACAACUGCAUUAUGAAGUUUCAAUAAGGGAUACUGACUAAUGAUAUUUUUUGGCUUUAUUAAUAAAAAAAGAAUAUUUUAUAACAAAUUAAAACAUAAUAUUAAGCUAAAUGUGAUAAUUAUAUACAUUUUAAAUAAUUUCAAUAAAAAAACAUUUUAAUGUUUUACGAUCUAUCAUACAUAUUUUAUUAAAUUAAUAUGAAUUUUUUUUUAUAAAUAGCAACAUAAUAUUACAACAAAUUUAUAAGGAUUUAAAUGUAAAAUAAUUUUAGUAUAAAUAAUACGUGGGAUAUAUUUUGUAAAUUAUAAAAUUAUUUAACACAAAGUUUUUUAAAAAAUAUUUAAAAUAAAUAAAAAUAAAUUAUUCACAUCUUGAUUUAAAUAUUUAAAAUAUUUUUAUAUAUUAGUCUACAAUUAUUUAUGUUAUAUUUUUAUUUAUUAGAAAUUUUGAAAGUCAAAUGUUUUCACCUCUAAGAGAAAGACACAUAUGCUUUAUAGCUUUAAAAUCGGUCUGUUUUAUAUCUGGAAACAAAUAUAUCAUUAUUGGUAAGGAUUAAAAAAAGGGAUAAAGAAUAUUAAUGAUUAAUGAAAUCUCUAUGGAAAUUGAAUUUAGUAGGAAAAAAUUGAGCUAAAUGAUUUAGACAUUUAGUGGUAUAGUAAUAUUUUAUAUAUAGAAAUGUAAAAGCUGCACCCGAGGUUAAGGGAAAUGUUCAAAACUCUUUUUUACUCAUAAUACCCUUUGUCCUAACUAACUUACAAAUUCGACUCUAAUAUUUUAUAAUAAAUAAAAAUGUAAUCCUAAAAUAAAUAAAAUAAGAUAUAUUUUAAAAUAAUCUCAAUAUUUAAAAUAUACUUUAAUAUUUUAUAGUCUAUCAGACAUAUUUAAUUAUAUUAAAGUAAAUUUUGUAAUAAAUACAAACAUACUAUUAAAAUAGAUAUAUAAAAAAUUUAAAGUAUUUUGGAUAUUAUAUAAAAGAACUUUAAUAUUGUUAAUACGUGAGAUAUAUUUUAUUAAUUAAAAAUUCUAUUUAACCCAAAGAUUUAUUUAAGAUAAAUUAACAAUCAUAUUUGUGAAAUUAUUUCAAAUAUUAAAAAAUAUUUUAAUAUUACUAACUAUUAGAUAGACUAAACUAUUUAUAUUAUUUUCUAUUUAUUAUAAAAUUUCAAAAUUAAUCUUUUUAACUACUAUUCAAAAGAUAUUAUGAUAAAAAUAAUUUUUUUGUGUUUUUAUUAAAAAUUUGGAAUUUGCAUAACUCUUUUUUUAAAUAUUGGGGUAUAGCUGUCUUUUCCCUUUUAUAUAUACAAACCACAGUGGUGAAAAAGCUUGAUUUAAUGUUAUUUAUUUAAACAACACCGAUAUUCACACCACAUUGAGCACCAUAGUUUUUUUUUUUUUUUUGAAAAGAAAGUACACCUUUCAUUGAAUUAAGAGAAAAGAAACAAAACAUCCUCUGGAAAUUCAUCCAGCCAAAUACAAGGGUCUGACUUUUUGAAAGCCAACUUUGCCAAAUCAUGCGCUAAAAAGUUACACAUCCUAAGGACGUGCUGAGCUUUAAAAUUCUGAAAGAUUUUCUUAGCUUCUAUAAUAUCAAAAAUCACCCAAAAGGUGUCUGUCAAAGUGCUUCUCUUGUUAUUGAUUAGCUCUAUCACCCCUUUAGAAUCAGACUCUAAGAUAACUGAAGUUGCCCCUGCCUUGGCAGCUGCCUGCAUUCCCCACAAAACAGCUUUUGCCUCACUCAACUCCACAUCUCCUGAGCUCUUAAAAGUGCUAACAGCUGCAGCAACUGUUUCUCCCUUAUGGUUUUUAACUACUGCUCCCAGCCCAGCAAGAUAAUUCACCCUAUCCAUAGCAUCAUCAACAUUUACCUUAAGCCAUCCUUCUUCGGGUGGACUCCAUUGGCUUUGCUGAACAUUGUUUUGUUCUGCUAAGAAAUCCUCUUCUGACAUUGAGCACCAUAGUUAAGUACAAAACGGUGCGUUUUGUUCACGCAUGUUAGUAAACACCCACGCAACUUACACACAUACGCGCGGCUCACAACACGCGCUCUCCUCGCCCUAAAUCUCACCUGAUUGAAGCCACAAAUUUGGCCACGUUCUCCCACAGCUCUCUCCGUUCUGACCGUUUACUCUUCCUCUAGCCCCAUCGAUUACAUCUCUCAUAGCACCUCAUUCAACCGACGUAAUUGCCAGAAAACAACCUACCUGGUAAUAAAAGUCGAUUCUCUUACAAUUUUGGCCCAAAAAAAAAAAUUGCACAACUGAAAAAUCAAAAUGCCACUCUUUAAAACCAAAAAUCAAUUUUGGGCCCCCUUCAUCACCGCCUUCACUCUAGAUUUUUUCAAUCCACUUUGUCGUCAAAACCGUGGUGUUCUUAAACCAUUAUUAUAUUCACCAUCCCCUUAAUCACAUCCAACCAUCCCCAUUAUUCGUUUGUCAAACACGCUGUUCUCUUCCCAAAUUAAUUAAUUAAUUAAUGACAGACAGGAACAAAAGUACUUUAAAUCUCUGCCAAAUCGUAUUGUUAUUACUUCUUCCGAGUCGAGGCCACGUCGUUCUCGAUGGAAACCAUUGCUUUUUAUUACCACUCUUGAGGAGUUCGAAGCAUUCUCGACGGAGACCCGCGCAAGCUGUGGAAAGAGAGAGAGUCAACGGUGAAAAGAGAGCAUGGUGAGAUGUGUGAGCGACGGGGGGAGAGAGAGAGAGAAAGAAAGCCGACGGAGAGAGCACAUAGAGCUGAGAUGCGUGAGUUGGGUGAAGAUUUGGUGAGCGUUGUGUCAGUUGCCCGUGUGUUGUGUGAGCUCUGUGCCAUGUGAUAUGCGUGCUACUUUGAGAAUUUAUAGAUAGCACAAAACUCAAUCUAUAUCCAAUUCAUACCUAGAUAGAUGCGGAUUUGACUCAAUUUAUAUCCAAUUCGUCAUUUGCGAACUAAAAAUUUUUAAUUCUCUCAAAUUCACAAACUAACUAAAUAAAUAAAAAUUUAAUAUAAAAAUAACUGUACUACCGAUCAAAUUUAAAAUUAAAUAAUAUUUAAAUAAAUUAAUUGUUUAAAUAAAGUUAGAAAAUACAUUCAAAAUUUUAAAAUAUAACACAGUAAAAAGAAAAAAUCUCAUUUGUUUAGACCUAUGUAUGAAAAUUAAUUGUUUAGGAAUCUAUAUUUAUUUAUUUUUAUAUUAUUAUCGGAUAAGAUAUAAUAUGGUGUUAAUGUAACUAUAUUUUAACUUAUUUAUUUAUAAGACCAAUGCUAUAUGUACAAGUUUAAUUUUUUAAUUAAAUAAAUAUUUUUUUUUGCGGAAUUGUGGAUUUUUGCGGAUUUACAAAAGUAAAUCUAUAUCCAAUCCACCGACUAUGGAUUUUCAAAUUUUCAAAAUUUCAAAUUUUCAAAUUUUCAAAAUUUCAAAUUUUCAAAUUUUCAAUCCAAUCCAAUCCACCAAUUCACAAAUUCGGAUUUUUACGGAUUAGAUUUCUACAGAUUAAACGAAUUGAGCAGACCAUAUUUGAUUUUGAACAUUGCUAAUUUGUAUGUUAAGUAUAACAUAAUCAAUUAUUUGGAUAAUCCCUUGUGUUUUAUCUCUAAUUAGAGCAUCAAUCUUCACAAUAUCUACAAAGCUACAAUGGCUACAAAACAAACCUGCUUGCAAAUUGUCAAGGAUACUUAUCCUUUCUCUUGACAAGUCAUUUGGAAAAAUACUGUCCCUUGGCGGCUCCAUGACUUCUCUGCUCCUCCUUUUGGUCUUAAUGUACGGUUGCAUAAUGAUAGUUUAGGCCCUUUAGGGACUACUUUCCCUGGGGUUGUUAAGUCUUAGCUUGUGCUAGGCUCGUUUUUCUUACCAAAAAAAAAGGGAAUACUUCUCCUAUAAGAAAUAAUCUCUAUAUAUAGGGUGGUUGGAUUCACUUGUUUACAUAACAGAUCAAUUAGUUCUCUGUAAAUAGAGAGUUUCUAGUAUAAGAGAAACGGUAGAUCUAUUGAGAGAUUAUGUGUUAUUAAAAUUUUAGUUGCGAAGAAAAGUACUAGAGUGAUUGUAUUAAUUUUUUACAUAGUAGAUUUUUCUAUCGUCAUCUUUAUGGCUGUGAUUUUUCUUCCAUAUAGAAGUUUCUCACGUAAAUUUUUAUGUUGUGUGAUUAGUUUUAUUCUCUAUCUAUUUUUUGUUUAAUAUUUUAUUUGUAAGAUGCUGGAUGGGAUUAAAAUUUCUUAACAAAUAACGGAUUAAAAAUCAUGAAGAAAAAGCUCAAGAGAUCUUCAAGAUUUGAAGUGUGCAAAAGUUCAUAUUACUGCUAGAUGAUAUAUGGGAGCGGGUUGAUUUAGUAAAAAUGGGUGUCCCUCUUCCUAGAUCAGAAAACAGCACAUCCAAAGUGAUAUUUACAAACCCGUUCUGAGGAAGUUUGCGGCUUAAUGGAAGUUCGUAGGAGUUUUAAAGUGGCGUGCUUAUCAAAUAAAAAUGCUUGGGAAUUGUUUCUAUACAAAGUUGGGGAAGUGAAAGAAAACAGAGAUGUACUGUUUGGUUGAAUAGAAAAUUACAGAGAAAAUUCUCAAUACUUGUAUUUGAUAAGAUUCAAUUCUUAAGAGCUUUUACAAAUCAGUACAAGUAUUUAUAUUAUUCCUUACACGUGAGAAUUGCUAGUAACUCACUAACUAACUAACUUUCUUUGAGCUGGAUCACUAACACUUGACUAAUCACACUGAGCUGUUAUUCUUCACUAACAACCUUCUGCUGACGUGGCUUCACCAAGCUACUUGAAUAAUGAGCAGCCUUGACAGCCCCCCUCAAACUCAAGGGACAAGACAUGACGUUGAGUUUGGCCCUAAGAUAGUUAAAAUGGAUGAAUGAGAGUGGCUUGGUCAUGAUGUCAGCUACCUGCUCCUCACUUGGUAUAUAUUGAAUGUUUAGUUCUCCAGCAAGAACUUUGUUUCUAACAUAAUGAAUAUCAAUCUCAAUAUGCUUUGUUCUUGAGUGGAAAACUGGAUUGUGAGCUAACUCUGUUGCACUGAGAUUGUCACACCAAAUAACAGGUUUCUCUAUGCAUUGUAAUUUCAACUCAGAAAACAGUGAUUGCAGCCAGCUUAUCUCGGCACUUGCUGAGGCUAGGGACCUAUACUCACUCUCUGCACUGGACCUAGCAAUAACAGGCUGCUUCUUAGACGACCAAGAUAUCAGAUUAUGACCAAGAUAGAUGCAAUAGGCUCCAAUCGAUUUUCUGUCAUCCAGAUCCCCUGCCCAGUCUGCAUCUGUGAAUCCUGUUAGUUUCAGAUCACCAUCCUUAAUAAUUUUGAGUCCAUAGUUCUGUGUAGCCUUUAGAUAUCUGAGCACUCUUUUGCAAGCCAUAAGGUGCUGCAGUGUUGGUGCAGAAACGUAUUGACUCAGCUUGUGAACACUAAAGGCAAUUUCUGGUCUUGUUAAUACCAAAUAUUGCAUCCCACCAACAAUGCUUCUGUAAUGUGUUACAUCUUCAACAUAACAACCAAGAUUACCUUGAGCUUCCUUCUGUAGCUUCAUUCCUGUACUCAUAGGAGUAUCAAUAUCUUUGCAAUUUAUCAUCUCAACUCUUGACAGCAGAUCCCUUAUGUAUUUCCUUUGAGAUAAGAAAAUACAAUCUUUAUCAUACAGUACUUCAAUGCCUAAGAAAUAAGAGAGAACUCCAAGAUCCUUCAAAGCAAACUUUGUACUGAAUUCUGUAAUGAAUUUUUCCAGCUCAAAGCUAUUUGGUCCUGUUAUUAAAAUGUCAUCAACAUAUAUAAGAACUAGAAUCAUAGAUGACUUAUUUAUUUUCAAGAAUAAGGAGGUAUCUGAGCUGGAAUUUGUGAAUCCCCACUGCAACAAACAGCCUUUCAACUUAUCAUACCAAGCUCUUGGAGCUUGUUUAAGUCCAUAAAGAGACUUGUGAAGCUUGCAUACAAAGUCUGGUUUCUCAAAGCUGAUAAAUCCCUCUGGUUGAUCCAUGAACACUUCCUCUGUUAAGUCUCCAUUAAGAAAGGCAUUAUUCACAUCAACUUGCCUUAUCUUCCACUGAUUCAUCACAGCUAAACUCAAGACUACUCUUACAGUUGCUGGUUUUAUGACAGGACUGAAAGUUUCAAAAUAAUUCACUCCUAUAAUUUGUUGAAAUCCCUUUGCAACUAACCUAGCUUUGUAUUUAGCUACACUUCCAUCAGUGUUGUAUUUAACCCUAUACACUCAUUUGUUUCCAACAACUCUUUGAUCAUUUGUUUUUGGCACUAAGGACCAUGUACCACUCUGCAUCAAAGCUGCAUAUUCUUCUUUCAUGGCUGUAAACCAUUUUGGGUUUUGCAUAGCCUCAUAUACAGAAUCAGGUUAUUUGUGAACAAGGGUUGCUGUAUAAAGCUUUGGUUUGAAGAUACCAGUUUUGCUUCUGGUAGUCAUUGGAUGUGUAUUAGGUUGGACUGGAAAAGAUAUAUCAGGUGUAGGUUGAGCUAAUAAGGAUAUGUCAGGUGCAGGUUGUGGUGAAUUUUGAGGCUCUGUAGAUGGUUCAAUAAAUGUGGUAUGUGUUUGUGAAUAGGAAUGUUGAUUGUCAGUAUGAAAUGGAUUAUCUGAAUGUUGUGAACUGCUGCUGGUAGAAAUUGCAGAUAGAGGAUUGCAUGAGCUAUUUCCAUCUGAUACUGGUGUUGUAGAUAAUAUGGUCAGAUGAAACACUGGUUGGGGUGUAAGGGAUUGACUCGAAUAAGAUGAUGAUUCAUUAGAAUGAAAAACUGAGUCUGUAGAAUAAGGAAAUGUUGACUCAUAAAAAACAACAUGUCUGGCUAUGUACAUCUUGCCUGAUGAAUGCAAGCAUUUGUAACCUUUGUGAACUGGACUGUAGCCAAGGAAAAUGCAUUUGCUUGAGUGAUAAUCAAAUUUGUGUUUGUUGUAAUCCCUUAGAUAAGGAUAACAUGUGCAACCGAAACACUUGAGCAUGCUGUAAUCAGGUUUAAGUUUAAAAAUUGUCUCAUAUGGGGUAAGAAGUUUCAGAGCUGUUGAGGGUAAUCUGUUUAUAUGGUAAACAGCUGUAAGAAAAGCAUCCCACCAAAAUUUAAAUGGUAGCUUAGCUUGUGCUAAUAGGGUUAGUCCUAGCUCAACAAUGUGUCUAUGUUUUCUUUCUACCACCCCAUUUUGGUGAUGUGUAUAAGGACAAGAAUGUCUGAAAAUGAUUCCACAUUGGUUUAAGAAUUGAGUAAAUGAUCUGUAUUCUCCCCCCCAAUCAGAUUGCAGGUUUUUAAUGGGGCUGUCAAAUUGGUUUUCAACCUGCAAUUUGAAUAGUUUGAAUACAUCUAAUGCCUCAGAUUUCAACUUAAGAGGAUAAAUCCAAGUGUAUCGGCUAAAAUCAUCAACAAAACUUAUGUAAUAGACAUAGCUAUCUCUAGAAGGUGUAGGUGAGGGUCCCCAUAGGUCUGUAUGUAUAAGCUCAAGGGGUUUUGUUGUUUUGGUUUCUGUGCUGGGAAAAUGCAGCCUAUGGGAUUUGCCCAUUUGACAUGCUUCACAGAUAUGCUCAAGUGUUUGUUUUAUGUUAUUUCUUGAGAGAUUAACUGAAGUAAUUCCUUUUAGCAAAUGCAUUAGAAUUUGAGAAUUAGGAUGGCCAAAACGUUUGUGAAGAAGAAGAAUUUUAUUAUUCAAUGCAUCACAAGAUGAAAUGUAGCUGGAAAAUUUAUUUAUUGAUGCAUUACAAACUGUGACACAACUGGAAUCAUUAUUCUGAGUGUUUUUAAGAACACUUGAAUCAAAAGAACAUGCAGAUAACAUUGACAAAGGUUGAGUGGAUGAAGGUUGACCCAUGUAAGAACAAGGAAGAGACUCAGAUGGUCUUAGAAGUAGCUUAUACAAUCCUUUCUCAGCAAUUCCUGUCAGAAGCACUUGCCUCUUCAGAGAAUCCUUCACAUAGCAAACAUUAUCAACAAAUUCAAUAGAGAUAUUGUUAUCAGCAGUUAAUUUUGAUAUGCUGAGCAGGUUCUUUGUGAUAUCAGGUACUAAUAACAUGUCAUUCAGUAAGAUAUGUGUUGGUUUAUAUGCAGCAUUUGAUCCUUUAUAAGUAAAACAUGGAUUACCAACAUGAGUUAUAGGCAAACCUUGGCCAUUGCCGAUGACAAGUUGAUUAGAUCCUCUGAAUUCCUCUCUGACAUUCAUGUUGGCCAUACUGUUAGUCAAGUGAUGUGUGGCACCAUUGUCAAGGUGCCAUCCUUCAUCAGCAGGCCCUUCAUAGUUGGUAAGAUAGGCUUCAGGAAUUACUGUGUCUGUUGAUGGAUAAGAGGAGAAGGAUAAAGGAUUGUAGCUUGAGUAGGGUGCAGCAUACUGUUCUUCAGUUGAAGGAGCAGCAUAGGUUAGAGAUGGAUCAAAGUUAGCUGUGUAUGCAGCCUUAGAUUCAAAAGAUCUGCCCCUUCCAAAAUGCCUAGGUAAUGGUUGAGGAUUGUCAUCAUAUCUAUGCCAGCAUUCAUCUGCUGCAUGUCCUGUUUUGUGGCAUAUCUGACAUAUGGUUGGUAAUUCAUCAGCAUGCAUGUUAGCUGAAGGAUGAAAGUUUGGCUUCAUAGGUGGCCUAAAAGGUUGCAUCAUCUGGCCCCUGCCAUAACCCCCAACAUUACCAACACCAGGUGAAAAACCUCUGGGAUGUGGAUUGUGAAACAUGCCUCUUCCAACAUUAAAUCCUCUAGUCAUAGGUCGACCAUAAUUUCCAUUUCCAACAACACCUCUUCUAAAAUUUCCUCUCAUAUAAGGAUGAUUCACAUUCAUUGUGCUAUAGUUUGCAUUAAACACAGUUUUGGCACUUUGAUUUUGUUCAAGUCUAGCUUCAUGAGUCAGUAAUAAUGCAUAAGCAUCAUCAUAGCUCAUCUUAUUAGCUGUGAUUAUGGAAGCUAGAUCUAGAUAACCUGAACCUAAGCCAUUCAAAACUCUCAUUAACAGAUCCUUUUCAGUGAUUACAUCACCAGCACAAGCAAGUUUGUUGGCGAGUAAUUUCAUUUUAGCACAAUAUUCCUCAACAUUCAUUGAAUCUUUUCUUAAGAUAUUCAUUUCAUAUCUGAGUUGCAUAAUCUUAGCCUCAGAUUGAACUCCAAACUGUUUUUCAAUAGAUCUCCACACAUCAAAUGAAGUGUCAUAGCUAAGAACAGAACUAAGAAUACCUUCACUUAUAGUUGAGAGCAGCCAGCCAAGGAGUAUUUGAUCUUGUGCUCUCCAGUUGCUGUAGGCUGGAUUUUCAAUGCUCUCACCAGAUCCUUCGAUCAUUGAAUCAACUAGAUACUGUUCUGGAAUAAUUUGCGGCUCUAGAAUGAAUCUUUCAAGGCGAUUUCCUCUGAUUGAAGUUACCACUUGUUUGCGCCAAAGCAAGAAAUUUGAUCGAUCAAGUUUCACAGUUGCAGCAAAAGUAAAUGAUGUUUGUGUAUGUUGAUUUGAGUUUAUGAUUGUUUGAUUUGAGAUUGUAUUGCUUGAGCUGGCCAUUUGUGGCUCUGAUACCAUGAAAGAAAACAGAGAUGUACUAUUUGGUUGAAUAGAAAAUUACAGAGAAAAUUCUCAAUACUUGUAUUUGAUAAGAUUCAAUUCUUAAGAGCUUUUACAAAUCAGUACAAGUAUUUAUAUUAUUCCUUACACGUGAGAAUUACUAGUAACUCACUAACUAACUAACUAACUUUCUUUGAGCUGGAUCACUAACACUUGACUAAUCACGCUGAGCUGUUAUUCUUCACUAACAACCUUCUGCUGACGUGGCUUCACCAAACUGCUUGAAUAAUGAGCAGCCUUGACAGGAAGAAACUUUGAACAAUCAUCCUGAUAUCCUUCAGAAAGCACAAUAGUUGUUAAGGAGUGUGGUGGUUUGCCACUUGCACAUUUUACCAUCGGUCGAUUUAUGGCAUGCAAGAAGACACAGCCGAAGAAUGGAGAUAUGCUAUUCAAGUGUUCAAUUCGUCCGCUUCCCGUUUCCAGGUCUGGAAGAAUGGAUAUAUACUCUUGUAAAAUUCAGUUAUGAUAGUUUACCCAAUGACACAAUUACACCUUGUCUGUUAUAUUGUAGUUUAUAUCCAGAAGAUUGUUGCAUUUCUAAAGAGAAUUUGGUAGAUUGUUAGAUCAGUGAAGGAUUUUUUAAUGAGAGUGAUUGGUUUGGAGAAAAAAUCAAGGAUACUUCAUUUUGGGCAUUCUUCUUCACGUUUUUUUUUGGAAAAGGGAGGAGAUUGUGAAAUGAAAAAUGCAUGCAUGACGUUAUUCGUGAUAUGGCUUUGUGGAUCGCAUGCGACUAUGAGAAGGAGAAGGAGAACUUUUUGGUUUACGCUGGUGUUGGUUUAACUAAGGUACCGGAUAUUAGAGAUUGGGAAAAGGUAAGGAGAUUGUCAUUGAUGAAAAAUAAAAUUGAGAAUCUAUCCGAGGCUCAUACAUGCCCUCAUCUCCUCACUUUCUUUCUUGACGAUAAUGAGUUUCGGAAGAUCCCCGGUGAUUUCUUCCAGUUUAUGCCUUCUCUCACUGUUUUAAACUUGUCAUGUAUUAAACUAAAGUCAGUUCCUUUAGGGACUUCAAGGUUGGUUCCACUACAACAACUCGAUCAUUCAUAUUCAAGCAUAAAAGAGUUGCAAGAAGAGUUAAAUGCCCUGAUUAAAGUUAAAUGCUUGAAUAUAGAUCAUGUAGAGGAGCUAAUUACAGUUCCACAACAACGGAUAUUUAAUUUUUAAGGUUAUAUGUGUUGAGAAUGUUCGAUACUAUUAGUUUAAAUUUUCAAGAAGCAUUAAAUAAAGACAGCAUUUUAUUUGGUGGGGAGGAAGUUUAAGCAGAGGAGUUGCUCGGUUUGGAAUAUUUGGAGGUAUUGAGCUUCACUUGAGAGGUGUUCGUGCUCUCCAAUUUAUUUUGAGCUCACAUAAGCUACGAAGUUGUACUCAAGCGCUGUUCCUCCAAUCCUUCAAUAAUUCGAUAUGGCUUGAUAUUUCACUUUUGGCAGAGUUAAAAGCACCACUGCAGAUUUAAGUAUUUUUGGCUGUAGAAAAUUGGAGGACUUGAAGAUGGAAUAUACAGGGGGAGCGAAAAACAAGCGGCAACCUUGUGUUUUCUAAGGCCUACAUACAGUUCACAUAGAGGUUUGUUCUAAAUUGAAGGACUUAACAUUCCUUGUUUCUGCUCCAAAUCUCAAGAACUUGGAAAUACAAAAUUGCCCUGCUGUGGAAGCAAUCAUCAGUGUGGGAGAAUUUGCGGAAGCUCUAGAGGUGGUGGAAAAUCUAAACCCAUUUGCAAAACUCCAGUAUCUUGGACUAGAAAAUCUGCCAAAUGUGGAGAGCAUCUAUUGCAAGCCUCUGCCCUUUCCAUGUUUGAAAAGAAAUGACUGUGGAUAGUUGCGGUUGUCUUAAAAAGCUUCCACUCUACUCCAACAGUGUAAAAGAGUGUACAAUUGUUAUUUCAUCAUUCGGAGAGUUAAUGGUGCAAUGAGAUUUGGCAGUUAACUCUCGUGGGAAGAGCUUGAAUGGGAAGACGAAGCCACUCGAAUUGCUUUUCAUUCAUGUUUCAAAUCUCUGAUUGGAUUGGAGAUUGCAUUUCGCCUCAGGUUCGUACUUUUCUUGAAUUUUUCUUGUUAACUUCAUUUGUUCAUUUAUCCAUUUUUUUUUAAAGGAAUCAGAAGGGUUAAUAAUUUUGGUUGUGUUAGGUCGACUUCUAAUCACGAGGCAGAAGGAGUUGAGAUGAAGUUUAAUUUUGGUGGAGAAAUUGUUUGAUUUAAAAAAUUUAAAUGAGUUGACCAUCAUUCUUUAGCAUAUUUGUAUGAACAGGAGUGUGUAAAUAUGCAAACUGUCCAGCUGUAUGUGUAUAGCGUAAUAAUUUUGAGGAGUUAAAACAUUGAAGAAUAUUGAUGUUUCCAUUGUCAAACCAAAUAUACUUAAUUACUUGAGGAUAAUGAUUACUGCUAAUACAUUUGCUAAUACAUUUGCAAAGAAAAAAACAUGCCUAUUGAAAAACUCAUCUUAUUAGCAACAGCAUUAUAAGUAGUAUCCAAUCAUAGUUUCAUGCAAGAUUUUGAGAUUUUUCAAAUGCUGAUUCCGGGAAUGGAGAUUAAUAGAUAAUGGAGACAGGUUGACUGCAAUGGCUAAUUGCAAGAGGGAAUUUUAGUCGUAAAAACAGACCAACUAGCAAAGCAAAUUCCAAAUCUUGGAAUGAAGUGGCAAAAAAACGAAACAAACAAAUGGCAAGAGGAAGUGACUAUACAAUAAUAACAUCGACUUGCAAUUCAACAUUUAUACAGUUUUACUCACCAAGAAAAGAGAAAAUUACAAUAGCAAUUUGGCUACUAGAAGAUGUUCAUUCAUGCUUAUGCCUGUCAUAUGGAUUUGAAACAAGGAGUAAAAGCAUUUAGAGUGGCUUCAUCCUUCCACUGCAGCUCAUUCCACCAGUGUUGCUCUCCCCUAAUAACAAGUUUGCGUUCCUUGGCGCUGUUGUAAUCGAGUGGAAGCUUCUUGAGGUUCGGGCAUCCAGAUACAAACAAUUCUAAGAGAUUUGGAAAGUGCACUUAAAUUCUUAUGAAUUGCUUAAGUAUGCAAGCAGCAGAGCAGAAAACAAACAACCUUUUCAUAUAUUAUAAUAACAUGAAUAAUCAGAUAUACACAUCCUUCACAUAUUUAUACUAAACGUGAAAAAUGGUAGCUUGCUCAAAGGGAAAACAGAAAUGAAUAAAACAAAAGAUUACAGCUGCACUAGCCAAUCAUUGGAAACAUUCUAGAAACUCCAGCUUGCAGUAUUCACGUGUAAAUAUUCUCCUGCAUAACAGUUUUGCCAGCUCAUUGAAUACACCUCAACUUCUUCAUCAGCUGGUUGCUGGAUAUGGCUGCUCAGGUGGCAUGCCAGCAUGGCCUUUGGGUCAAUUGUUGACUCAUCUUCAUAAUCUGAAUUCUCAACACCCUCUCUCAAACUUAAGGUCUUGUCGAAGACAUUAAGUUUGCUUCUAAAUUGACUGAACUUGUAAUAAGGCAAUGGCUUGGUUAAUAUGUCUGCAACUUGAUCUCUGCUGGCUACAAAACUGAUUUCCAGCUCUCCUUGAGUGACUUUGUCUCUAAUGAAAUGAAGGUCUAUCUCAAAAUGCUUUGUCUUUGAGUGAUACACUGGAUUUGUGGCUAUUGCUGCUGCACUUGUGCUAUCACUUAAGAUCAUUGGAACUCUUUGCAUCUUGAUUUCCAAUUCACCAAACAGAGAAUUUAUCCAAGUGAUUUCAGUAGUACACAAAGCUAUGGCCCUGUACUCGGACUCAGCUGUCGAUCUUGCUACCAUGCCUUGCUUUAUUGAGCUCCAAGCUACUAAAUUGUCUCCCAAAAACACACAAUAUCCACUUACUGAUCUUCUGUCAUCUGGAUCACUAGCCCAGUCAGCAUCAAUAUAGGCUAUCAAAUCUAGAUGUUCUGACUUCUGGAACUUUAAGCACAUGUUUGCAGUGCUCUUUAGGUACCUCAACACUCGUUUGCAAGCUGUCCAGUGAGAUUGUCUUGGGUCAGACAGGUAUUGGCUAAGCUUGUUCACAGAAUAUGCAAGCUCUGGUCUUGUUAGAACAGCAUAAUGUAGACUUCCUACAACACUCCUAUAAAAUGAAGGAUUGUCAAGUUUGGUGCCUUCACCCUUCUUUAGUUUCUCUGCUGUGCUGAAAGGUGACUCUAUUCCCUUGCAAUUCUCCAUCUCUGUUUUAGCUAAUAGGUCUUGAACAUAUUUAGCUUGAGAGAGCAAAAUGGAGUUCUGAUUUCUUAUAACAUGUAUCCCAAGGAAGUAGCUUAAAUUUCCAAGAUCUUUCCACUUAACUUUCCUAUCACUUCCUCAAUACCCUUGCUGUUAUUUCCAGUCACAAUUAUGUCAUCUACAUACACAAGCACAAUGAUUAUUUCAGCACUGCUUCUUUUGAAGAAUAGAGAAAUAUCACACUUGGAGUUGUUGAAUCCCCAAGAGCACAGAGCAUUCUUUAAUUUGUCAAACCAUGCUCUGGGUGCUUGUCUCAGUCCAUAAAGAGCUUUCUUGAGCUUGCAUAUGUGGUUUGGUCUUCUCCUAUCCUCAAAUCCCUCAGGUUGUGGCAUGUACACUGUCUCUGUCAAAUCUCCAUUCAGAAAUGCAUUAUUUAUGUCAACCUGCCUCAACAGCCAAUCAUUACUUACAGCCAAAGUUAAAAUGAUUCUGAUUGUUGCAGCUUUGACCACAGGGCUGAAAGUCUCAUUAAAGUCAAGUCCUGGUGUCUGCAGAAACCCCUUCAAGACAAGUCUAGCUUUGUAUCUAUUUAUGGUGCCAUCUGGAUUUUCCUUUACUUUGUACACCCAUUUGUUGCCAAUGAGUUUGUAGUUCUGGUCAUGUGGAAUUAAGGUCCAGGUUUGGUUUUUGACAAGAGCAUUAUAUUCAUCCUCCAUUGCUCUUCUCCAUUUAGGAUCUUUCAGUGCCACAGUGGAGUCAGGGGGUAAGGAAGUUUGAGAUUGAGUGGAUAUUUGAUAAACCUUUGGCUUGCAAAUCCCUGCUUUUGACCUUGUGAUCAUGGGAUGUAAGGAGGCUUGAGUGUUUGGUUAUGUUAUGAGAGGCAAGGUGCAAUUUUCUACUGAGGUGUUUGGUGAGAGUUCAACAGGUGAGUGGUUGUCUGAUAUAGAGUUGAAGCUCAAAUUCUAACAAGCUCCAUCUUAACUAAAACUUGGGAGCUGUUCUGAGUUUCCAGCAGUGGCCUGAGAUUAACUAUGAGCUGCAUUUUGCUGUGUUGACUCAGGGGGAACAGUAGUGGAGAAAGAUACAACUUGAAAUUUUUCUAGAACUGUGGGGGAAUCAUUUUGGUCAGUGAGCCUUUGCUUGCAGAAAUUUGAGUCAUUUUGAAAAGGGAAUGAAUGAUCAUUAAAUUGACACUGGCUGAAAUGUAGAUCCUCCCAGAAUGAUGCAUGCAAAUGUAACCUUUGUGACUGAUGCUAAUGCCUAGUAGUGUGCACUUGAAAGUGUGAAAAUCAAACUUAUGCUUGUUGUAGGGUCUUAAGUAUGGAUAGCAUUCACAACCGAAAACUUUAAUUUGGGAAUAAUCUGGUUUGGUGAGAUAUAACAGCUCAAAUGGAGUUUUAUUUUCAAGAAUAGGUGAGGUUAAUCUGUUUAUGAUGUAGGUGGCAUAGCUGAAAGCUUCUUGCCAAUAUCUCAAAGGCAUUUUUGCUUGGGCUAGUAAUGUUAGGCCAGUUUCCACAAUGUGUCUGUGCUUUCUCUCCACCUUUCCAUUUUGUUCAUGUAAAUAAGGGCAUGAGUGUCUUAAGGCUAUUCCUUCUUUCUUGAGAAAGGGUUCGAAAGUUUUAAACUCCCCACCCAUGUCUGUUUGUAAAGCCUUGAUUCUUAAAUUUAGCUGAUUUUCUACUUGGUUUUUAAACACAAUGAAUGUGUCAAGGGCCUGUGAUUUUGUUGUUAAGGGAAACAACCAUGUGUAUCUUGUCUUGUCAUCCACAAAUGAUAUGUAAUAUCUGUGUCCAUGGGUAGAUGGAAUAGGUGCUGGUCCCCAGAGAUCACUAUGUAUUUGUUCUAAGGCUGUGCUGGUCUUGGUUUCAAUGCUUUUAAAGUUUAGUUUUGAUUGCUUUCCAUACUGACAAGCAUUACAGAAUGAGGGAAAUAUAUUUUUAUUUAAGUUGAGCUGAUUACAAGAUAAUAGAGUAUUUUUCAGAACUGACUCAUUUGGAUGCCUCAGCCUAUGGUGCCAGAGAUCUAUUUCAUUUGUUCUAAGAUCCCUACUGCUUGUAUCAGCUCUACUGGACUCGACAACACUGGCACCAACACUGGCACCUAAAGACUCAUUACUACUGAAAUUGAAACAUGCCAUUGACAUUGGAUUGCUAAUGCAACUUAUUGACUUGGGUAUUGGAAAUGAAGAUAACUCAGCAGCAUAAGUAACCUUGUUGCCACUCAAAUGAGUUGGCAUGCAUAGCAGCUCAUAUAGUCCAUCUCUAGCCACUCCUUUCACCAGAAUUCUCCCUUGGCUCUUGUCCUUGAUGAAGCAAACAGAUUUUUGAAACUCAACAUCAAUAUCAUUAUCAUGAAGCAAUUUGGAAACACUAAUGAGAUUUUUGGUAAUAUCAGGUACAAACAAAAUAUGAUUUAAUUUGAUGUGUUUGUGUGGACUGUAAGUGGGCAAUAUAGAAUAACCAAUGUGAGAGAUAUGAAGUUUGUUACCAUUACCAACAGUGAGCUUGUCAUUACCUUGGUACUCUGAGUUCAGGUUCAUGUUUCCAAUAGCAUUGGUCACAUGAUUUGUGGCACCACUGUCAAGGUACCAGGCAUUGCUGUUUUGUCCUUCUGUUGUGGCCAUGUAGGCUCCUCUCCUCCUAUUUAGCUGUGGCACAUAAUUUUUCUUAAACCUAUGCCAGCAUUCAACAGCUGUGUGCCCCAUUUUGAAGCAGAUUUGGCAUGGACCCUUUGAUUCAGAACCUUCACCUUCUGCAGCAGCUUUGCCUUUGCCUUUGUCUUGAAUAUUUUGAUUUCCCUGACCAUGACCACCAUUGCCACCAUUUCCAGUGCCACCACCAGGAUUUCUGAAGACUAUCCCAGGUUGUUGCUGACUGCCAAAUCUUUCACCAUUGCCCCAGUUCCUCCUGCCAUUUCUCAUCUGUGUGAAGUUAGCCUCAAGAAUCCCUGGGCUGAGAUUUUGCUCAGUCCUGGUUUCUUGGCUGAGGAGCAUGCUGUAGACCUCUGACAAUGAAGGAGUUUCUGGCAUAGAGUUAAUGUUAGUGACAACAGAGUCAUAUUCAGAUCAUACUCCAGCUAAGACACACAUAAUAAAGUCCUCAUCACUCAUGUUAUUUCCAGCUGCUCUGAGUGUAUUUAGGAUAGUUUUCAUCAUGGAGUAAUAAUCAUGGAUUGUAAGAGAGCCCUUUUUAGUGGUUUGAAUCUGUGUCCUCAAAUAUAGGAUUCUAGCUCUUGUUCUUGCACCAUACUGAUUGGUAAGAGUUGUCCAAACUUCAUGUGAAGUAGAACAAUCCACCACAGUGCCGAGGACACCCUCACUGAGAGAUGAGAGCAACCAGCUCAAAAGAAUGUGGUCCUGUUUCUUCCAGAUUUGAUAUUCUGGAUUUUGGUGGGUAACGGUAGCUUGGUUAGGUCCAGGACUGGUGAAAUAUCUGGGGGGACAGGUAUAGCUUCCAUUUAUGAAGCCUUCAAGCUCAUUUGCUCGUAUGCUGGAGACCACUUGUGAUCUCCAGAGCAUGAAAUUGUUCUGUGUUAACUUGAUGGGAGUGGUGAACACAUAUGUGUUGCUGGUGAUAUGUUGGGUAGGAGAUGGGUUCAUUAUGGUCACAUUUCUUGUGUUAUUAUCUGGAUUCUGAUUGUCGAUAUUUUCAGGUUGGUUUUGAUUCAAAUCAUUUGGUUGAUCAUCUGGAUUUUCCAGAGUUUGAUUCAUGUUUGUUUGUGAAUUUCUGCUGCUUUCCAUAGCUCAAAAGUUGCUCUGAUACCAACUUAAAUUCUUAUGAAUUGCUUAAGUAUGCAAGCAGAAGAGCAGAAAAAAAAUAACCUUUUCAUAUAUUAUAAUAACAUGAAUAAUCAGAUAUACACAUCCUUCACAUAUUUAUACUAAACGUGAAAAAUGGUAGCUUGCUCAAAGGGAAAACAGAAAUGAAUAAAACAAAAGAUUACAGCUGCACUAGCCAAUCAUUGGAAACAUUCUAGAAACUCCAGCUUGCAGUAUUCACGUGUAAAUAUUCUCCUGCAUAACAGUUUUGCCAGCUCAUUGAAUACACCUCAACUUCUUCAUCAGCUGGCUGCUGGAUAUGGCUGCUCAGGUGGCAUGCCAACAUGGCCUUGGGGUCAAUUGUUGACUCAUCUUCAUAAUCUGAAUUCUCAACAAUGCAUUCAAACAGAUCUUCUUCAAAUUUCUUAGAACUUGCAACCGAAGAUAUUGGAGUUUCGCAAAAGGUUUUAGCCCUGUAACUUCUUCCACUUUCCAAACACUGAUUAUUUCUUCCAUCUCAUAACAACGUUCUACAUGGACCAUCUUCAGAUUUGGGGCAAAAACAAGCCAUGUCAUCUCCCUCAAUUUACUGCAAUAGUCUAUGGUAACACUUUGAAGGCUGUUGAAACCAUAAGUUCUCUUGUUGUUUGAACUUCUGCAUAGUCAACCUUUAGCUCUUCCAAACUUGUACAAUACACAAAAUCUAGUUUGUCAAGAUACUUGAGAUCUGCUAUGGACAAAAUAUUCCAUGACCUUGAAUCCUCACAGCGUCGAAGCUCUAAAGCAUAUUUACAACUCUUGUACUGUUGGCAGCUCAAAAGUCUUCGUAGAGCAUAAAAACUUCUUAACGUGACGCUUAAUACAUUUAAAUGUUCCAAAGUAAUCAACUCCUCUACCAAAAUUUCACUACCACCAAAUAGAACGCUAUCUUCUGGUACUGUAUUAGCAGAGCCACAAUCUAGCAUCCUCAACACCUUUAACCCAGAAAAAUUACAAAGCAGUUGCCGUGGAAUCGUAUGGAGAUAACGCAUGUACUCCAAGUUCAAACACUUUAGAUUUUUCAAGGCUUUUAAUUCAUGUGGUAACUCUUUGAUGAAAGUUUCUGAAAGAUUAAGAUAUUGUAGUGAAACCAAUUUUGAAAUUCCUGAAGGCAAUUGACUCAAGGAGCGAUUCUUUGAUAGGUUUAAAACUUUAAGAGAAGGCAUAAAAUCGAAGAAAUCACUAGGGAUAGUAUCUAACAUAUUAAUGCCGAGGAACAAAGUUAUAAGAUGAGGGCAUAUUGGAGUUAUUGGUAAAAUCACAAUUUUAUUUCUCAUCAACGAUAUCCUUCUCUUAUCUUCCCAUUGUUUAACCUCGGGUGGUUCAGUUAAUUCAAUACCGGCAGAAACCAAAAAGUUUUCAUUCUCCACUUCACAGGCUAUCCACAAGGUCAUAUCACGAAUCACAUCAUGCAAUUUUACAUAAUCUGAUCCUGCUUCUUCCAAUAGGCAUGCAUGAACAAGAACACCAAUAAUGUAGUAUCCUUGGUUAUGUACUCCAUUAAUUCCUUCAUAUUCCUUCAGAAAACCCUCACCAAUCCAACACCCUAUCAAUUCAAUUUUGCUAAUUUGAUAAUCCUCAGGAAAUAAACUACAGUAUAACAGACAAGAUCUAAGGACGUCACUAGACAAACUAUCAUAACUGAAUUUUAAAAGACGAAACACCUCUUUCUCCAUACCUGGAAAUUCAUAAGCUGAUCUCCUUAACAUCUGAAUUGCAUAGCUCCAUUCUUCGGGUGUCUUCUUGCUGCUCAUGGCACGACCGGUGGUAAUAAGUGCAAGUGGCAAACCACUACACUCCUUUGCCACAGUUUUGGCUAACUCCGGAAUAUCGGGAUGACUUUCAAGAGUCUCUUCUCCGACCUUCUUUAGGAACAAUUCCCAAGCAUCUUGAUCUGCCAAACACUCCACCUUGAACUUUUUUUGAGCUUCCAUGAGGCCACAGACGUCCACAAGACGAGUCGUAAAUGUUGAAAGUCAUGGCUGGCGCCGGCCAUCUAGAUGGCCGGUGCCAACCAUUCAACAUUCAACACGGCCCGCCAUUAUUGGUGGUGCCGUGUUGAAUGACUCCAUAAAAAAAAAAAAAAAAAAAAAGAGCCAAAAUUUUGGCUAUAUAAAGAGGGCUUCCCACCCUCAUUUAUAAUCCAAUCUUGAGAGAGCAAUUUAGGGAGUUGAGAGAGAGUUUAAGAGCUUGCAUUUAUAAGCUCUUAUUUUAGUGAUUUGAGAGUUUGGGUGUAUUGGGGUUUUGGGUAGUGAGCUAAAAUACUACAAUACUUGUAACUCCUUUUCACUAGUAAAAUAUUUCCUUCUGUCUUUGCCCAUGGACGUAGGCUAAAAGCCGAACCACGUAAUUUCUGGUGUCCUCUAUUGUGCUUGUUCUUUAUUUUAUUUCCAAUUUCAUUUUAGCUGCGGUCCUGCUUCACCCACCAAUUUCCUAACAGUGGUAUCAGAGCUAUUGGUUGUAUUUUUGGAGUCGGGAACUGUUCACGUAAGGGGUACUAUUCACGUAUACGACACUAUUCACGUAUACUGUACUGUUCACGUAUACGGGUUUGUUCACAUAUACGGUACUGUUCACGUAUACGAUACUAUUCACGUAUACGGUACUAUUCACGUGAAACGGGGAAGCGAUCCAAGAAUUUUCCGGUGCAAAGCAGGGAAUAGUAGUGUGAGAAAAGCAACUGUGGUUUUGUACAUGUCUAGGAAAGUUCUGUCACAAAGGCGAUAAGAGCUUAAGGAGUCUGGGUUUUAAGUGGGACCAUUGUGACCCCUCCAGUCUUUCCUGGGAACUUUCCUGGUGUGCAUUCUCACACAUACUCACAACUAUUCAAGGUGGUAUACUAGCUUGUGUGCAGUAUUUAUCAACAAAAUGGCGGCAAAGUAUGAAAUUGAGAAGUUGAACGGAAAUAAUUUUUCGUUGUGGAAAAUGAAGAUGAAAGCUGUAUUGAGGAAAAAUAAUUGUUUGGCAGCAAUUGGAGAAAGGCCCAUGGAGAUAACUGAUGACAAGUGGAACGAGGUAGACGGUAACGCCAUUUCUGAUCUACACUUGGCACUUGCGGAUGGUGUAUUAUCUAGUGUGGCAGAGAAAAAUACGGCGAAGGAAAUAUGGGAUACUCUCACAAAAUUGUACGAGGCCAAGUCACUACACAACAAAAUCUUCUUGAAGAGAAAACUAUAUACUCUUCGAAUGGCGGAAUCUACAAUGGUGACCGACCACAUCAACACUUUGAAGACUCUAUUUUCACAACUCACAACGUUGGGUCAUAAUAUAGAGGAGAAUGAACGUGCAGAGCUUCUACUUCAAAGUCUACCAGAUUCGUAUGAUCAACUCAUCAUCAACCUGAUGAACAACAAUCCAGUGGAAAGUCUAGUUUUCGACAAUGUUGCAGCCUCCGUAUUAAAUGAGGAGAGCAGACGGAAAAAUAAGGAAAACAGACAAGCAAGUUCGCAGCAAGCAGAGGCGCUAUCGGUGACGAGAGGGAGAUCAACGGAACGUGGCCCCAGUGGGAGUCAAAGUUAUGGUAGAUCAAAAUCCAGAAGUAAGAAAAAUGUUAAAUGCUACAACUGUGGCAAGAAAGGGCACGUCAAGAAAGAGUGUUGGAGUAACCAGAAGAGAAGAGAGGGUAAAGAACCUGAGUCAUCAAAUGCUCAGGGGUGUGUAGCAAGUACCUCGGAUGAUGGCGAAAUUCUCUACAGUGAGGCAACAACUGUUUCAGAAGGCAGAAAACGACUUUCUGAUGUCUGGCUUAUAGACUCAGGAGCUACCUGGCACAUGACCUCUAGGAGAGAAUGGUUCUACACAUAUGAACCUAUCUCAGGAGGAUCUGUAUAUAUGGGUAACGAUCAUGCCUUGGAGAUCGCUGGUAUUGGUACUAUCAAAAUAAAAAUGUUUGAUGGUACAAUUCGCACAAUUGGGGAGGUACGACAUGUCAACGGCCUAAAGAAAAAUCUAUUGUCUUUAGGACAAAUGGAUAGUCAUGGGUACAAAACUCAUGUGGAGAAUGGAAUUAUGAAGAUCGUUAAAGGCGCGCUUGUAUUAAUGAAGGCAGAAAAGAUCAGUGCUAAUCUAUUCAUGCUUAAAGGAGAAACACUACAGGAGGCUGAUGCGUGUGUCGCGUCAAAUGGAGAAGAAUCAACGAUGAUGUGGCAUCUCAAACUCGGCCACAUGUCAGAACAAGGCUUGAAGAUUCUCUCUGAGCGAAAAUUGCUUCCGGGGCUCAAAUCAGUAAGUUUACCAUUUUGCGAGCAUUGUGUUAUAAGUAAGCAGUAUAGAUUAAAAUUCAGUAGAUCUAUUGCUAGAAGUAAAUGCAUUCUAGACUUGAUUCAUUCUGAUGUUUGGGAAUCACCGGAUAUAUCCAUGGGAGGUGCAAAGUACAUGGUGACUUUCAUUGAUGAUUAUUCCAGAAGAUGUUGGGUGUAUCCAAUUAAGAAAAAGUCAGAUGUAUUUCCUGUGUUUAAAGAAUACAAAGCGCGGGUGGAACUUGAAUCUGGUAAAAAGAUCAAGUGCUUAAGGACAGAUAAUGGUGGAGAAUAUACAUACGACGAGUUUCUUGCUUUCUGUAAGCAAGAAGGUAUUCAGAGGCAAUUCACGGUGGCAUACACUCCUCAACAAAACGGAGUAGCAGAGCGGAUGAACAGAACUCUUACAGAAAGAAUAAGAGCUAUGUUGAGGACUGCUGGUUUACCCAAUUCAUUCUGGGCAGAAGCAGCCAAAACCGCCUGUUAUAUAGUAAAUCGGUCGCCAUCUACAGCUAUUGGGUUGAAGACAGCGAUGGAGAUGUGGACUGGAAAGCCAGCUGAUUAUUCCUACCUACAUGCAUUUGGAUGUCCUGUGUACGUGAUGUACAAUGCCCAAGAAAGAACAAAGCUGGAUGCAAAAUCUAGAAGAUGUAUCUUCUUGGGGUAUGCUGAUGGAGUAAAGGGGUAUCGUCUGUGGGACCCCACUGCCCAUAAGAUCGUCAUCAGCAGAGAUGUUAUCUUUGUAGAAGAUCAACUACAAAGAAAAGAUGGAGAUGAUGGCACUGUAAAAGAAAAGUCAGAGACUGUACCAGUAUAUGUCGAAAAUAAUCUAGAAGAUUCAGAUUCUUCUGAAGCAGCACCAGAGCACGAGGAACAAGAACCAGUCGAGUCUGAGGCUCCAGAAGUUCGUCGGUCAACUCGUGAGAGACGACCACCGGCGUGGCACUCGGAGUAUGUCACAGAGAUCAACGUUGCAUACUGUCUUCUAACAGAGGAUGGAGAGCCUUCAACUUUCCAUGAAGCUUUAAACAACUUAGAUGUUGCUUUGUGGAUGACAGCAAUGCAGGAAGAAAUUGAAGCUCUACACAAGAACAAGACAUGGGAACUUGUACCACUACCACACGGAAGAAAAGCCAUUGGAAACAAAUGGGUCUACAAGAUCAAACGUGAUGGCAAUGACCAAGUGGACCGGUAUCGUGCAAGAUUGGUGGUGAAAGGAUAUGCUCAGAAAGAAGGUAUUGACUUCAACGAGAUAUUUUCUCCGGUGGUUCGACUCACAACAGUCAGAAUAGUCUUGGAGAUGUGUGCUACAUUUGAUCUACAUCUUGAGCAGUUAGAUGUUAAAACUGCAUUUCUUCAUGGAGAACUUGAAGAAGAAAUAUAUAUGCUCCAACCAGAAGGUUUUGCAGAAACAGGAAAGGAGAACUUGGUUUGCAGGUUGAACAAAUCUCUAUACGGUCUCAAACAGGCGCCGAGGUGUUGGUAUAAGAGAUUUGAUUCCUUCAUCAUGAGCCUUGGAUACAACAGACUCAGUUCAGACCAUUGUGCAUAUUACAAGAGGUUUGAAGAUAAUGAUUUCAUCAUUUUACUGUUGUACGUGGAUGACAUGUUGGUAGCAGGCCCCAACAAAGAUCAAGUCCAAGAAUUGAAGGCACAAUUGGCUAAGGAGUUUGAAAUGAAGGACUUGGGACCAGCAAACAAGAUUCUAGGGAUGCAAAUUCACCGAGACAAAAAUAACAGGAAGAUUUGGCUUUCACAGAAGAAUUACUUGAAGAAAAUCUUGCGGCGCUUCAACAUGUAAGAUUGUAAGUCAAUUUCUACCCCACUUCCUGUUAAUUUCAAAUUAUCCUCAAGUAUGUGUCCUAGCAAUGAAGUGGAGAGGAAGGAGAUGUCUCGAGUACCGUAUGCAUCAGCAGUGGGAAGUUUAAUGUUCGCUAUGAUAUGUACUAGACCAGACAUUGCACAAGCAGUGGGAGCAGUCAGUCGAUACAUGGCGAAUCCUGGUGGAGAGCAUUGGAUAGCUGUAAAGAGGAUUCUGAGAUACAUCAGAGGAACCUCAGAUGUUGCAUUAUGUUACGGAGGAUCAGAGUUUACUAUCAGGGGCUAUGUGGAUUCAGAUUUUGCAGGAGAUCUUGAUAAAAGAAAAUCCACUACUGGUUAUGUGUUUACACUUGCAGGAGCAGCUGUAAGCUGGGUUUCGAAACUGCAGAUCGUUGUGGCUUUANNNNNNNNNNNNNNNNNNNNNNNNNNNNNNNNNNNNNNNNNNNNNNNNNNNNNNNNNNNNNNNNNNNNNNNNNNNNNNNNNNNNNNNNNNNNNNNNNNNNAUAUUCUUGAUUAAUCCAUUUUCUGAAAUUUUUUAUUUUGUAUGGUCAAUUAUACCUUCAUACUAAAAAUUUCUGAUGUUAUGGGGUUGUUGGAUGUGUUUUGGAUAUUUGCAGCUAAGUUUGAGUUUAUAUCUCAACUUAAAAUUUGUAGUUUUCACUUGAAAAAAUUCAGUUAAAAAUUGAUUGGUAGAAUUGUGAAGAAGUUUAAAUUUUUAGUUCAACCCGAUUGCAUAUUUAAGAACAUCUCAAAUGAAUUGCUUACUGCUAUCAUCAUCAUAAUUGUCAGAGAUGGUUAAUUGAUAGACUAUGUGCCUGGGUCGAGCACUGGAAGCCUGCAAUGCAGACUGAUUGAUUUAUCAGUUUAACGUGUGCCAGGAAUGAAGAACUGGAAUAUCACCGUCAAGCAAGCACCCUGUGGAGCAAUACCAAAGAAUGCACAAUCCGGCUUUGCAAGGUGACACUGGAGGCUUUUUGAAAAGUGCUUCACGCUCACUUGCACAGAUUGAGCAUCCCCUCUGGAUAUUGCCCUCUCUGAUCGAGUCUGAGCACUCAAAUUUUGGUCCUCAGAGGGAGCUACAGUUUUCUCUCCAAUAACCAACAAUUUUCUAAACUCAGCACCUAGUGUGAUCAGAGUUGUUGAUAUUUAUAAAUGGAGAUCCCCAUAUUUGCAAGUGGAGACAUUUAACAAUUCACCAACAUGCUUCAUCCGGUGUACAAAAUUCUGCAGCUGAUUCAAAUCCGGAACCUGAACCAGAGUCGGAGGUAUAUCUUGAGCCAUAUCUAAAGUAGUUUGAAGUUCAAGACCUUGAGCCCUUGACAAUGGUUUUGAAAUUGGAACAUCUUGGAUUACUGCAGACUUGUACCCCUUGGUUUCAAAGGUAAGGAAAGGCAUUGCUUGAGUACAAUUUGGAGGCAGCUUCUUCACCAAUUUUAUUUGGAGGCGAUUGGCAGCGGAUCCAGCAGCACCAAUUUCAGAGCAAAUACUGACACUACUUCGAACAGCACACUGAAGAAGUGAUAUGUCUACGGCAAAGGCAAUGCAGUCCUCAUUUUGGCUUGAGAUGCAGUAAUCAUCGAAGAGAGUUUCCUUGUGAAACUGGGCAACACAUUGAAUCCCUUCGCCACUGAGAAGGUUGUGGAGGAAGUAAGCUUUCUCUCUAGUGAGGCAGAGGUGGCAUACCUUCCCCAUUUUGUCGAGGGCAGGUAGGAAUCUUUUUUCUAAGAGAUUUACUUCAUUCUCUGUGAGAAAUGCUUUGAACUUCAUCCCUCUGUCUCUAUCCUCACUUAUCAGGAAAUAAGUUGAAAGCACUACGAAGAGAGAGAGAGAGAGAGAGAGAGAAUUAAGAUAUAUAGACAAGAAAAAUAUUAGACGUUGAUCUUACAAACUAAUACUUCAAGCAGUAUCCUGGAAAGCUAAAAACUGCAAGAUGGCUUGAAAUUUGAAAAGAGCACGUGCUUUUCCUCCUUAACUUGAGAAAAUGUUUAAUAUAGUGCACCUUAUGGAAGCAUUUAAGCAAUUAGAACUUUGCACAAAAACAUCAAGAAGACUAAACAAGUCAGAUGCAGUGUAUUUGUCCAAGCACAAAUUGCAUUUUGUCCUCAACUUUAAUAUUUAUUGAUGAGAAUCAAUACAGGUCCCUCAUUUGUUAUAGAAAGCUUUCUUUCUUGUAGUCUCACCAGUUAAUUCACAGGUCUAUAAUCAUCUUGCAAAGUUAAGGGCAUUUCUUUUGAUCUAAAGUCUUUGCAUCACCACCUCAUCACACGCCAAGCCAAUAUUCCAUUUACCUCUACAACAAAAAGUUUUAAUUAAACAAUCCUAAUGCACGCAGCCAAAUAAAAUGCAGUAAGAAUAUUCAACUUAAAAAUCUGAAAGCCAACUUGGUGAAUUGCCUCCUUAGGUGAAGUUCCAUGCUUUACUAUAGUUGACAGAACUCAGCAAAAGCUUCCAUACAACAGAUUUUGAAAAUGAUGAUGCCAACAGAUACUCAUUCAAUCCAUUGAAACUCCAAAGGUUCAUUGUUCAUAGAAGUUUACAAAGUUUUGGUCAUCAAAUAGCUCAGACCUAAUCCCAAACAAAAAAAGAGUGAAAAUUAGAUCACGAGCAGCUAAUUGUAAAUUCUAACUUAACUCUUCAUCUCCUUUGUAAACAAGAAACAAAAUGGAGACACGCAAAAUGAAUAUGGAGAAAAUUUGAACUCAAAUGAAAUGAGGGCACGAAAGCAAACAAAUGGCAUGCACAAAAAAACCAAGCCUCAAUCAAAAACUAAUUAACCAUUAAGAAAAAAAUUGGUCAGACAAUGAACUCCAAAUUCAGGAGUCAAGCAAGAAGCUUUCAUUAUUUCAGAAGCUCCUGUACAAAUUAAUAAGUUAUGCUCUUUGGAAGCAAAACCAAAUUCCAAGAGAAACAGAACCCAAAAAAUUUGCAAUUAUUCGCAAAGGAAGUGAAGCACAGGAUUCUAUCACACAUAGGAAUUUUAUAACAAGAGAUCGAUAUAUCGAAUUAGAAAACUCAAUUCGAAUUUGUGUGAAAAAUCAAAAUUAGAAGAUUUCACAUUUCGAGAGGAACAAGCAACAGAUGAGUUUAAUUUCAGCCAUAACAUGCUAAAAAUGCUACACUUAACGGUUCCUUGUCAGCUAUUGAUGCGUUCGCUCANNNNNNNNNNNNNNNNNNNNNNNNNNNNNNNNNNNNNNNNNNNNNNNNNNNNNNNNNNNNNNNNNNNNNNNNNNNNNNNNNNNNNNNNNNNNNNNNNNNNAAGGGUCAUGUUCAAGCAGGAAAACUUCUAGAACAGGUAAGGAUUCCAUCUACAGACAUCCAUUGACAGCAGAUAUAUUUCAUUAAGCAGACACUGUUAGCAUUCAAGAUGCUGGCAGAUUCACUUGAUUCUUAUUAGUUUGUUUAGUGGCAAGGCAUAUAACCUGUAUUUCAAAGCCAAGUUGUGCUAUUGAUUAUGUUAACUUUAUUGUUAACAUUAAGUGAUUUGGAGGACAUAAUCAAUGUAGGAAAAUUAGGUGAAGAGAUGAUGUCAAAUCUUGAACCUCUUACAAAGCUCCAAGUUCUUUACUUGAAGAAGCUGCCAAAUUUGAAGAGCGUCUACUGGAAGGCAUUUCCAUUCCCAGAUGUAUGCAGAAUUUUUGUAUUAAUGCCCAGUUCUUAAGAAGCUGCCACUGGAUUUUCAUGGGGCGGGCCAAGGUAAAAUUCUUAUCAAGGGAAAGGAAGAUUGGUGGAAAGAACUUCAAUGGGAGGAUCAAGCAACUCAGAAUGCAUUGCUUCCAUUUUUCAAAUCAACUGACAAGUGAUUGAAGGGGGCAUCAUCAACAGAGAUGGAGAGAUUCUGGAGCAGAUCAGCAGGGUUUGUAUAUGAUCUUUGGUGGUUGCUUUCUUUUGUGAUUUUUUUUUUCUCAUUUUUUUACCUUCCUGUCAUUUUAUCAUUUCUUUGUCUCUUUUUCUAUUGCUGAUGUUAGUGUAUGCUUACUGUUGCUUGACAAAGUUUGCUUGCUUCUUGUUUAUUAAAUUUUUUAUGGUCACAAAAUAUUACUUGUUCUAUUUGAGAGUGAUGUGAAUCAAUUUUCAAUUAUAUAUUUUUUGGUCAAUGUGAAUUCAAUUUCAUUUGUCUCCUGCAAUUAUUAAAAAAAUGCAGUCUCAUAAUAUGGAAAAGUCGACCGGCAAAAAUUUUGUGAAAGCUUCGGAGUGAAACAGGGAAUUCACUUACUACUAAGGACAAUUGGUGGCGAGCUAUUCCAUUCAUUUUAUGUCCCUACAUCUAUUUAAUUAUUAAAGAUAAGUGGUCCAUUUGUAAAUUUCAGAUUGUGUCUCUCUGAAAAUAACAAUAUUUAAAAUGUCUCUUAAAUUAUUAUAAAUUUUAAUUCACUCUCGAUUUAAAAUGGAACAUGCUGAUGAAAAUUUUUUUCUUCUCAAUAUUCAAUAAAAUUGAAAUAAAUUGUGUUUGCAGUAUUUUGAAAUAUUUUAAAGAUUAUUAUUUUAUAAGAGAGUAAUAUGAAAUGAAAUUUACUCUUCAUGCGUGAAAUGUUGAAAAGGACAAAGGAAAGUGUCACUGCUUUUAUUUUAUUUCAAAGUGGAGUCAUCUCACAUACUUUACCUCUAUCAUUACAAUUUUUCACGUUACAUUUUGAUUUAUUUAUUUCUUUUAACACAUGCAUGUGGGUUACUUUUCCGUAAGCUCCUUAAUAUAUGUUUAACACAAAUCAUGGAAGAGAUGGGAGUAUAUCAAGAUGAUCAAAGCAUGAGACAAAAAUAUUUAAGAAGUAAAACACUGAAAAUAGAGGAGAGAUGCAAGCAAAAGAUAUUCCAAAGAAAAGCAAUCUAUCCCCUUUCGAGGGCAAACUUAAUCAGGUUUAAGAAAAGUACAUGUUUUGGAUUGGUAGUUGCAGCCUUGCAGGAUAAUUGUUUUUGCCAUUAUAUUAGUUGGAGGAGUUGAACCCAGCGAAGAAUGUUAUGGAAGAGCAAAUUAAUGAUAUUUCUGAUAGAGUCUAUUUGAUUAUGUAGCCUGAAUGGAUGUCUUGUUGAAAGAUAUCUCAGUGCAUUAGUUCAUCCUUGUCUGUCAAUGUGUUUUUAAUGGUUUUUCCAAUUGUUUAUUAUUAUAGAUUGAUUGUAAAUUUAUAUGAAAAUUUGAUAUGAAUUUAAUGUUGAAAUGUUUUCUCUUUAGUGGAAUGAAUUUAAAUUGAUUGAUUGUAAAUUGAUAUGAAUUUAAUGUUGCAAUGUUUUCUCUUUAGUGAAAUGAACUUAAAAGUGUAAAAGAUUAUUGCACACAUAGAAAUAAACAUAUAUGCUUUAUAGUAUAACUUUAGCAAUCGAUUCUUUUACGGCUGGAAACAGAGAUGAUGAUUAUCAUAGGGGUGAAGAAAAGGACAAAAAAUAUUAAUAAAUGAUCUUAAUGUUCCACAAAAGCAAAUCGUAAUAUUCCACAAGAAAAAGCAAGAUCUUAAUGUUCCACAAAAGCGUUAUUUAUUUUUUUUGGUGAGCCACGUGGAGCUCAAUUAUCAUUGUCUUUACUUUAAAAACGUUAUUUUAUUUUAUUUUCUUACAAAUUAAUGCUAACAAGAAAAAGCAAGAUAUAAUAUUCCACAAAAGCAAAUCGUAAUAUUCCACAGAGGAAUAAGAUCCACAAAAGCAAACAACUAGCUGGAUUCUUUUAUUAAACUACAAAUUAAAGUGGAAUCGUUUACUAAACAACAAAUUAAAGUUCAAAUAUUUAAAUAGUAGUGCGUUAGACGAUUAGGCUCUUUUAUUAAAGUCAAGUAUAAAGUAGUCCAGAAUCGAACAUCUCUAUUGUCUAGUCUUUUUUUUUUUUAAUUCUUCUUUUAUUAUUUUUCAGAAUAUGUUUUGGUGAUUACUAUUGGGUUAUUAUUCAGAGUUAUUGUUAUCUUCCGGGGCAGUUUCUGUUCAUCGAAAUCGUUAAUUAAAAUUUUAAAACUCUUAUCGGAAGAAUGUUUUUCCGUUAUUUUUUUAUAUUCUAAUUUCAAUUGUAAGAAGUAGUCAUUUUAGAAUUUGGGUCUUGAAUCGAAUUUCAAUGCAUGAAUUAAUAUUUUAAAAAAAUUUACUACAUGCAGUUUAGGUUACAAACUAUUUUUUGCAAAGUUGACUAUGAAAUUGGAGAAAUUAAGUAAUUUAUAAUGUUUGCAAAGAAAGAGACCAACAUACUUCCAAUUACACUAUAUCUCAAUUAUCAUAAUGUUAAGAUUAAACUAACUUAAAAUAAAAUUUAUUUAAAAAGUUUAUCAAACGCAGUCUAAUUUUAUUAACUUGAAGAGAUAAUAGUUAUAGAAAUUAUUAUUCUAACUUAAUUAGUAAAAGUGGUAUAAAGGUUAAGUGUGCACUAAAUCUAUUUAAAUUUUUUUCCAGUAUAACUAACAGAGGUCAUUACUAGAAUUAUAUUACUAGUCUAUUAGAUAGAAAAAAUUAUUUAUAUUGUUUUAUAUUUAUUAAAAAAAUUUAAAGUCAAUCUUUUUAAUUACUAUUUAAAGGAUAUUAUAAUUAAAAAAAUUUUAAUGUCUUCAUUAAAAAUUUAAAAUUUUAUAUGACCGUUAUCUAAAUAUUUAAAGUGUAACUGUCAUUUUCUCAUAUAUAUAUAUAAUUUCAUCAACCCCUUAUACUUUAUGUUAUUUAUAUUUUAUUCAUGAAUAUUAUAAAUUUUUUGAAAUAUAAAAUUUCGUUUAACCCUUUAUACUCAAUUUUAUUUUAUUAAAACCCUAGAGUAUGAAUUCGUCCCUAUAAUAUUAAAUUCUCAAAAUAACUUCCAUUUAAUUAAAAAAUAUAAUUAUUAUUAAAUGAAUUAUAAUUAUUAUUAUUAUGUUAUUAUAAUCAUAAAAAGCGAGAUCAUAUUCCACAAAAGCAUAAGUGACAAAACAACCAACUGGAUUCUUUUAUUAAUCAACAAAUUGUAUAGUCUUUUUCAAAUUGUUAUAAAUUGGUGGCCCCUACAAUCCUCAAUAAUUGUACCGAAAUUCACAAGUUGGUGGGCCCUACAAUUCUGUUCCGAUAAUUUAACUGUGCAAGUGCUCAUUCACAAUCUUCCAGGUCAUGCUCUUAACAAUUGUUUUUUCUUUUCUGCACGCCCUUUCAUGCUCUUAAUAAUUGAAGAGCAUACUUUUCAAAUGUGAAGCCGCAUCUAAUGUCGCUAAUUUAAUUUGGGAUUAAAUUACGGGACUAUUAUAUUGCAGUGUGCACUAAUUUUUAUGUUUAUCUAAACUCUUCAAAUUUAAAACAUAUUAUGGCAUAAAUAAGAAUGUAACAAUAACAAAAGAGUAAGAAAGUGUAGAGAAAAUCUUGCAGAAAUAUAAAUAAUAUUUAUUUUUAAAAUAAUAUUAAUAUUUAAAAUAAUUUUUAAUAUUUUAUGGUCCAUUAGAUAUAUUUUAUUAUAUUAAAAUAAAUUUUAUAAUAAAUAAAAACAUACUAUUAAAAUGAAUAUAUAUAGAAAAUUUAGAGUAUUUUAAGUAUUAUAUAAAAUAAUUUUAAUAAAAUAUGUGAGAUAUUCAUAUUUUAUUAAUUUAAGAUACCAUUUAACCUAAAGAUUUAUUUAUGAUAAAUUAAUAAUUAUAUUUUUGAAAUUACUUCAAAUAUUAAAAAAAUUAAUAUUACUAAUAUAUUAGAUAGAUUAAAUUAUAUAUAUUAUUUUUACUUAUUAAAAAAAUUUUAAAAUUAUUUUUAAUUACUAUUCAAAAAACGUAUUCAAAAAACAUAAUGAUAAAAAAAUCUUAACAUCUUUAUUAAAAAAUUAAAAACUUAUAUGAUAAAUUCUCUAAAUAUUUACGGUAUAUGUGAACCACGGUGGAUAAGCUUUAUUUAAUAUUAUUGAUUUAAAUAAUAUGUCAAUUAAAAAUGUACAGAGAAGAAAUUUCGGUGGGUAUUUUAGUCUUUUAAGCAAUUAUCAUGAUCAGAUCAGCCUUUAGCCUUCAAACGUCGGUCAGAAAAGUUUUAAAAUUAAUGCUAAAUUGUUUUUCACUUUUAACGUUGGUGGCCUUGAAAUUGCUUGUAUUUUAUUAAAAAUUAAUGCUAACAAGAAAAAGCUAGGUCAUAUUCCACAAAAUCAAAAGUGACAAAACAACCAGCUGGUUUCUUUUACUAAACUACAAAUUAAAAUAAAUUUUUUCGAUAAAUUACAAAUUAAAGUGGAUUCUUUUGAAUACAAAUGGGACAGACGAUUAGGCUCUUUUUAUUAGAGGCAAGUAAAAACUAGUCAAGAAUCGAACAGUCUUUUUCCAAUUCUUGUUUUAUUAUUUUUCAAAACUAGUUUUUGGUAAUUACAACCGGGUCAUUAAUCAUUAUUCAGAGUUACUGUUAUCUUCGGGGGCAGUGGGUAAAAGAUAAUUACUAACUGUUUUUCCUUCAAAAGUUAGCGGCUCAUGUUUGCAAGUGUGAAUGUGCGAUGCUCUUUUCUUAAAGGCCAUUACAGUGGGGCCCGAAUCAGACGUGCCUAAAUCUUUUUAAAAUUUUUGCCGUAUAACGAACAGAGGUCAUUACUAAAAUUUCUCUUCCACAGCCUACAGCAGCUUCAGUUUAUCAAACUCCAUCAAUUUUCUUUCUUAACAAAAUUCCAAAGAUGUGUAGCAUUUUUCAGAUCACAUGCGAUGGUGCUCUUUUCAAUCGUUGCUUGGAUUGCUUUCUUGGAAAAGCAGCAUACAUACGUAACCUCCAAGAUAAUCUUGAUGCCUUGGACACUGAACUGGGAAGACUAAUCGCUAAAAAGAACGAUGUGAUGAGGAGGGUUGUCGACGCUGAACGACAACAAAUGAGAAGGCUGGACGGAGUGCAAGUGUGGGUUUCGAGGGUGGAUGCUGUUAAAACUGGAGCCGAUGAACUUAUCACAGACGGCUCUGAAGAAAUUGGCAAAUUAUGUGUUGGAGGCUACUGUUCCAAGAACUGCAGGUCAAGCUACAAGUUCGGAAAACAAGUGGCUAAAAAGCUACAAGAUGUGAAGACUUUAAUCGCCGAGGGAGUUUUUGAGGCGGUGGCUACUGAGGUGGUGCCCGAGAGAGCUCCGGAACCUGUAGCAGAUAAAAGACCCAUUGAGCCAACAAUAGUAGGCUUGCAAUCACAGCUUGAACAAGUUUGGAGAUGUCUUGUAGAAGAAUCAGUGGGAAUCAUUGGCCUAUAUGGUAUGGGCGGUGUUGGUAAAACCACACUAUUGACCCGUAUCAACAAUAAAUUUCUUGAGAGUCAAAACAACUUUGAUUGUGUGAUUUGGGUCGUAGUUUCAAAAGACCUGCGGCUUGAAAAAAUUCAAGACGAUAUUGGGAAGAAGAUAGGUCUGUCUGAUGAUUCAUGGAAGAAUAAAAGUUUUGAAGAGAAAGCUGUGGACAUCCUGCGGAGAUUAGGAGAGAAGAGAUUUGUAUUGUUGUUAGAUGAUUUAUGGGAGCGGGUUGAUUUAACAAAAGUGGGCGUUCCACUUCCCAGCGCACAAAAUACUACCUCAAAAGUCGUAUUCACAACCCGUUCCAUUGGUGUUUGUGGCAGCAUGAGAGCUAGGCCGGUUAAAGUGGCAUGCCUAUCAGAAAAGCAAGCUUGGGAACUGUUCCGCGAAAAUGUUGGGGAAGAAACUCUUGAGAGUGAUCAUGAGAUCGUUGAGCUAGCCCAAACUGUGGCCAAAGAGUGUGGUGGUUUGCCACUCGCACUUAUUACUAUUGGUCGAGCUAUGGCCUUCAAAAAGACAGCCGAGGAGUGGAGUCAUGCAAUUGAUGUGCUAAGAACAUCAGCUUCUGAGUUUGCAGGUUUGGGAGAGAAGGUGUAUCGUCUUUUAAAGUUUAGCUAUGAUAGUUUGCAGAAUGAGACCAUUAGAUCUUGUUUCUUAUAUUGUUGUUUAUAUCCCGAGGAUUAUGGCAUUCUUAAAUGGGACUUGAUUGAUUGUUGGAUUGGUGAGGGAUUCUUGGAGGAAUCUGACAGGUUUAGUGCAGAAAACCAAGGAUACUACAUUGUGGGCACUCUUGUUCAUGCGUGUUUGCUAGAAGAGAUGGAAGAUGAUAAAGUAAAAAUGCAUGACGUUGUUCGUGAUAUGGCUCUAUGGAUAGCUUGUGAAAUUGAGAAGGAGAAGAGAAACUUUUUGGUUUGUGCAGGUGCUGGAUUAAAAGAGGCACCGGAUGUUAAAGGAUGGGAAAAUGUGAGAAGAUUGUCAUUGAUGCAAAACCAAAUUAAAACUCUGUCAGAGGUUCCCACAUGCCCUCAUCUCCAUACUUUAUUUCUUGCCUCUAAUAUGGAGUUGGAGAUGAUCGCGGAUGGCUUCUUCCAAUUUAUGCCUUCUCUCAAAGUUUUGAAGAUGUCACGCUGCUGGAAUUUUCAAUUACCUGUUGGGAUGUCAGAUUUGGGUUCAUCACUAGAACUUCUUGAUAUUUCACAUACCACCAUAAGAGAGUUACCCGAAGAGUUAAAGUUGCUGGUAAAUCUGAAAUGUUUGAAUUUGAGGUGGACAGGUGCGUUAAUUAGAAUUCCACGGGGACUAAUAUCAAAAUUUUCAAGGUUACGUGUGUUGAGAAUGUUGGGUACUGGCGGGUUCAUUUUUUAUGAAGCACCAGAAGACAGCGUUUUAUUUGGUGGGGGUGAAGUUUUGAUACAGGAAUUGCUCGGUUUGAAAUAUUUAGAGGUAUUGGAGUUGACCUUGGGAAGUUAUCAUGCUCUCCAAAUUCUUUUGAGCUCAAAUAAGUUAAAAAGUUGUAUUCGAUCUCUUUACCUCUAUUUGACCGGAGAUAAAAAGUCGAUUAUUGAUGCUACGGCUUUCACAGACCUAAACCACCUCAAUGAAUUAUGGAUUGAUAAUGGAAUUGAGUUGGAAGAAUUGAAGAUUGAUUAUACGGAGAUAGUACGAAAAAGGCGGGAACCUUUUGUUUUCCACAGCCUUCACCUUGUUACGAUAUAUAGUUGCCAUAAAUUGAAAGAUUCGACAUUCCUCGCUUUUGCUCCAAACCUCAAGUCUCUUUCGCUAUUCAAAUGCCGUGCUAUGGAAGAAAUAAUCAGCGUCGGAAAAAUUGCUGAGAAUCCUGAGAUGAUGGGACAUANNNNNNNNNNNNNNNNNNNNNNNNNNNNNNNNNNNNNNNNNNNNNNNNNNNNNNNNNNNNNNNNNNNNNNNNNNNNNNNNNNNNNNNNNNNNNNNNNNNNNNNNNNNNNNNNNNNNNNNNNNNNNNNNNNNNNNNNNNNNNNNNNNNNNNNNNNNNNNNNNNNNNNNNNNNNNNNNNNNNNNNNNNNNNNNNNNNNNNNNNNNNNNNNNNNNNNNNNNNNNNNNNNNNNNNNNNNNNNNNNNNNNNNNNNNNNNNNNNNNNNNNNNNNNNNNNNNNNNNNNNNNNNNNNNNNNNNNNNNNNNNNNNNNNNNNNNNNNNNNNNNNNNNNNNNNNNNNNNNNNNNNNNNNNNNNCACUGUUUUUAUUUCAGUCUCUCUCUCUCUCUUUGUCUCUGCUAAUCACAAUUAAAUGUGAAUUAAUGGAAUUAAUGCUUCAUAAAUUUGCCGGCACUGCCAUUACUUUUUUUUUUUUAAUACAAAUUGAUACUUUAUUUAUAUCUUCUUAGCGAUUUAAUUUCCUGUCAAUUGACGAACGAGAAGAACAUAUGACUUGAACCAAUGCUCGCAUAAACUUGCUGUAAAAAGAUAUAAUCUCACUGAAAUGCACACGCCUAGAAUGAAUAGAAUUAAAACAGGGAAAAUAUUAAGUAUAUUAGCCCUCUUUACCGAAAAUCAAAUGACAAUAAAUUUUUUGAAGUUUUGAUUUUCUAUGGUCAAUUCCACCUUUUGCAAUUUCUUCUGUUCUAACAAAAACCAAUUUCUUUGUUCAAGUAUUUUCGUUUGGGUAUUAAUAAUUCUCCACCGAAAGAGUGAACUCUUGCUCAAGGGAUCUCUAAUCAAUAGCCGGAAGGGCGCCGAGACCUGAUCGGACCUAGGCCCAAGUUUGGUCUUAAAGCCUGGGCUUGAGCCUGGCAAUUAAAUUAAAACAGUAAUUGAUUUCUUGAAUGAAUUGUCGUGUAAUUGAUUUAUGGGGGAUGACACAUCAACAUACUUGAAAAUACACUAAUCUCAGCAUCAUCCGUUAAUAACUUUUAGAUUUAUGGGCAAUCAAUAGUUAAAUUAGUUGUCAUUAAUACUAAAUAAUUUUUACUUUUUUUGUCUCUUCUAGAGGAUCUUCUAGAAAAAUGCAUCCACAAUUAAAUUUAAUACUUUACAUAAUAAAGAAAGCAUAAAUGUUAAAUUUAAGAAACUGCAUUGUAUUUCAGCUGAAGUUGACUUUAAUAUUUAGGGUAGAAAAAAAUUAAAUCCUUAAUGUGUUUAAUUUAUAUCACUUGUGUCAUUAAAAUUUUCUAGUCACCCUAACCAAUUACAUCUCAACCCACUUUUUUUUGGAUGAUUUUAUUUUUAUACUAUUAUUUUCAACAUUUUUUUUUCCUUUUAACACCAACAUUAGUGUAUGUUACGUAACAUAAUCCAUAUUUGGAUAAUUUGAAAUUUGUUUGUGUUUUAUCUCAAAAUAGAGCUUCAAUCAAUUUGUACCUCAUAAAUUCACAAUAUCUGGCAGGGCUAAUAAGACCAAACUCUGGCAUAUUAUCAAAUGUGCUUAUCCUUUUGCUUGACAUGUCAUUUUAAAAUUGUCAUUCAAUGCCAAAAAAAUCACAUCAACUGAUGGCCGACUACUUUAAUUUGAAAGCAUGCAUGCGAUCGCCACCAAUAAUUAUAACUUAAUUGUUAUAUUGAAAUUUUUUUCUUUAUAAUUUUUAAGUUUAAUACUGCUACAUGUGCGGCACAUAAGUUGGAAAAUAUAACAUAAAAUUUGAAAAAUGUGUAGUUUUCGUUCCUUUUUUUUCUUAAAAAUGGGGAAAAAGAAUGUAAUUUUGUUUAAAUUACUGUUGUGAUAACAAUUAUUAUUUUAUUGAUUAAUUGGCAGAGAAUCGUUAUGGUUUCGCAUGGUUGUUAAAACAUUGGAAAAUCCACUACAUCAUCCGAUAAUAACUUUCAGAUUUAUGGUUAAUCAAUAGUUGAGAUUUGUUAUCAUUAAUGUUAAAUAUUUUUUUAAUAUUUUUUCUCUCUCCUAGAGGAUCAUCCACAGUUAAAAUUUAAUAUUAUAAAUAGUAAACAAAGUAUAAACGUUAAAUCGAAGAAACUGCAUUGCAUUUCAGCUGAAGCUAACUUUAAUAUUUAACAGAGAAAAGUAAUUAAGUCCUUAAUGUGCUUUAUUUACCCAUAUAUAUGGCUAAUUUUUUAAGAUAAAGGGGAAGGAUGAUGCUCAAAAAUAUAAAUUAUAGAAUUAAUUGAGCUCUCAAGUAAGUUUAAAGUUCAUUAUUUUUAAUUACAUGUUUAUAAUUUAUUUUUAUUUCGUAUUAAUCUAUAGAUCUAAAUCCACUUUGGAUUCAUAUACAUAUAUAGACAUAAUGUGUAUGUUAAUCUAUAGGUCUAAAUUCACUUUAGGUCUAUAUAGGUAUUUUGACAAAUGUACUCCAAUCAUAUUGGCAAGUUCUAACUACUAUAUUGGUAUGUCAAUAUUAUCUCUAAUUGCCCUAUACAUUCAGAAAUAAUCUAGAUAUACAAAUUAACAUAAAAUAAAAAUAAUUGGUAGAAAAUAUAAAUUAUAAACAUGUAAUUGAAAACGAUAAACUUUAAAUUUACUUAAGAGAGUAAUUAAUUUCAUAGUUAAAAUCUUUAAAUUUUACCCCUCAUCUUAACUUAAGAAAAUUAAUCACUUAUUUUAUUUAACAAAGAAGAGAUUUUUUUCCCCUAUAUUUCCCAAUUAUUUCUCUCCCUCUCGCUCCCGUAAGUUAUACAACUUGAAGUGAAAUAUGAGUGGUCUGAUUCUAGCUUAAAUAAUUUAUUGUGACAUGCUAUCUAAGGACAAUACAUUACCUAGCUCUACAUAUUUUAUUUAACCUCCGGCUCACCCUGUGCAAACUUGCCUUCCCCUACAAGACAAGAUUAAUCAAUCUAUCAAGUCUCAAAUUCAAUUUGGAAUAUGACCAUCGUACGUUCUUGUUCUUCCCUCUUUACGAGUGCAUUCCCCCCAACCUCAAGCUCCCUCUCUCGUCUUCAAUGUCACUGCCUAUAUCCUUGUGUUGUUCUAGUUUGAAAUAGUGGCUUCCACAAUUUCAGGGCCCCCAAAAAUCCAGAAACAUAGUAUUCAUCACGAUGACAAAUUUUUUGGCAGGCAGGUGCUUCCUGACUUUCACACGGUAAUUCUCAAAUUCUGAUUUCACCAUAUUUUAAUUACUGAUUAGCAUAUAUUCAAGUGCUCUCCAUUAUAAUAGAAGCCGCCGCCUCACUCGUGAUUCCAAACUUUAUCUUUUUUCCUUUUUUAAAUUAAUGCAAGUAGCCGCUGUCCUUUUUAUUAAUUAAUUAAUUAAUUCGGCCGCCCACAUUUCUUUUCCUAAUGUCUUCUACUGUCGAUUUUCUUUUAUUUUCUUUUUAUUCUUAAAAUAUGCUUAUAAUAAUAAAAUAUAAAAAUUAAAAUUAACAUAUCAAAAUAUAAUUUAACAGAAAAUUAAGAUAAAAAUAAAAAAAAUAAAUUAUGAGCAUAUCAAUCAAUAAAUGAAAAAUAAUAAUUUUUAUUUUUAUUAAAUAUAUAUUUUUCAGUAUUAAUCAAUUAUUUGAAUAAAUAAAAUCAUUUAAAAAUAAAUAAAUAAAUUAUUCUUAAAAAAAAAGAAACUUUUUAUAACACUCACUAUGCUGGUUGUAGGGUAGACGCUUUGGGAACUGAAGCCGGUAACUUCUACAAGUAGUCUGAAGUUGACUGGCAACAACUAUAUUGACAUUUAGACAUAAUGUACUCCAACCGUAUUGGUAUGUUUAAAUGUUCUUACUAUUGUAUUGGUGUGUCAAUAUUAUCUCUAACUGCCCUAUAGAUAAAAAAAUAAUCUAAAUUUAUAAUUUAACAUAAAAUAAAAUAAUUGGUAGAAAAAUAAUUAUGGUUCAUUUACUUAUCAGUAAUCAGAAUAGACUAAAAUCGAAAUGAGUUGUAUUACCGUUGAUGUGUUUAUGUUGUCCUGGAAUCGGAAUGAAUUAUUUUAAGUUACUAAAAUAUCCUUGGUUUGUUAUUCUAAUUAUUAUUUAAUAUUUAUUAUAAUAUUUGUCAUAUCAUUAAAAAGAAAUAAUAAUGAUGAUAAUAUUAUCAUUAUUGUUUGUUACAUUAUUAUUAUUCAAAAAAAUUAUUGUUAAUAAUAAUAAUUUUUUUAUUUCAAUAAUAAUAAUGAUAAAAUUAAUAAUAAAAAACAUGACAACAACAAUAAUUAUUUAUUAUGCCAAAAAAUAACAAUAAUAAUAAGAAUAAUAAUCAUCAUCAUUUUUUUGCCAAAGAAAUCAUCAAACCAGACAAGAAAUCAUCAAAAAUUGCUAUUUCAAUUUAGGAAGAAGUUCUUUCGGUGUGCUAGCGAUGGGAGAUGUUGUGGCUGCGAUUCGGGGAGCUAAUAGUUUAUUGCACUAAUAACGGCAGGUGCUGCUGCUUGAUGCGAGGUCCAUGGCCAGUUGUCAGCAGUUCGACUUUGGCAUGGGCGCUGCUGGUUCGAUUUUAGGUGUUGUCUAAUUUCAUUUUCAGGAUUUUAAUUUUAUUUUUUUCUUUUAUAUUUUCAUUAAUUAAUCAGGGCAAAGUUUGAUUUUAGAAUUUGGAAUGAAGGUAAUUUUGUUAAUCAUGGAAAUGAGAUUUUGAUUGUCGAGAAUGAACUUACACAAGCAACUGCAAAUUAAGUGAAAACAAAACGCUUUUUCUCUUUGUGUGAUUAAAACAUGAAAUAUACCAUAAAUAAAUAGGUAAAAAUUAAAUCAACACAAUCCAAAACAGUAAACCAAUUAUAAGAGGCACAAAUUUUUAUGUGAAAUACCGAAAACGGAAAAAACCACAACAUGUUAGUAUGAUAUAAUCUUCUACUAUAUUAAUGGGAUUAUAACACAAAUUCUUCCCUAUAUUACACUAGAGAUUAACAACAUCAAGAAUCUCAAUAAUCUUAACUUACAAUACAACCUAAUAUAUGUCUCUCUAAUAAAUAGAUAUCUAAAAUAACAAUCUCUAAUAAGUAAGUAUCUCAAAUAACAGUCUCUAAUAAGUAGGUAUCUCAAAUAAUAGUUAAUAAGAGGAUAAAACAAAAAUUAAGAUUAGUAGGAUGUGUAUAAGGCGAUGCUAUCAACUUAUCUUCUAAAUUUGAGAAAAAUAGUUAAAUUCACUUUUUUGAUUGUCCGACCAAAGAUGGAAACCUUGCCCCAAAACCAAAGGAGUCACCAUUGUGUUUCUCUCUCUCUCUCUCUCUCUCGUUCUUUUCUUCUACUUUUCUUAAUGUUAGCCGCCACUUGCUUUUAUUCUUUAUAGCAUUUAAAAAGUUACUUUUAAUGGUAAAUUUCAUCUAAGUCCAAAACUUAGUGAUAAUUGCACACUAAACAAUCCUUUUUGGACUAUAGACUUUUGGACCUCCAAAUGAGACGAAUACAACAAAUCUCCCCUUUUAGAUCAUGUAGGAGGCACCACAAGCCCACUCUCUGCAUAUAGCUUUUUAACUUCUCCUUGAAUAAUGACUUUGUCAUCAUACAUAACUCAUUCUCCGUUGUGUAAAUCUUCUCAAGCUAUAACCGUUCUUUCUCAAACACGUCUCGUAUCUAAUAAUACUUCACAUCAAUUUGCUUAGAUUUCGAAUGAUAUAUCAAAUUCUUUGAACGACACUCUGAUUUUCGCAGUACAUAAUAUAGUUGUCUCAUUUUAUACCUAGCUCUUGUAGGAAAUUCUUCGUCCACAGUAUUUUUUUGCAACCUUCAAUAAUUGUAAUAUCAUUUGCUUUAGUAGUAGAAAAGACAACUUAUUACUAAAGUUUAGAUUACGAUGAGACUGCUCCUCCUGCAAAAGUGAGCAAACAUUCUAGUAGGAAUUUUUCGGAAUCAACAUCUCCUACCAUAUCUAUACACUUGUAACACAGGUUUGUCACCACCAAAAUAUAAACAUGCUCUGGAAAUGCCUCUAAGAUAUCUGAGAAUUUUUCACUAUUGUCCAGUGCUCUUUACCGGGAUUGAAGAGAAACCACUAACUACACUAGUUGUAUAAGUAAUAUCUGGUCUUGUACAAAUUAUGGCGCACACCAAACUGCCAACUGCUGAAGCAUAAGGAACUCCUCUCAUGGAGAAAUGGGUUUUGCUCUUGAGAUUUUUGGGAACAUGAAGAAUAAAUAUGUAAUUUCUUGGACUGCCAUUGUUUCGAGGUAUAUAAACAGAGGACAAGUCUAUAUAGGUCGACAGUGGUUUGCUCAGAUGCCAGAACGAGAUUAUGUCUUAUGGACUGCCAUGAUUGAUGGGUACCUUCGAGUGAAUAGGUUCAAAGAGGCUUUGACGCUUUUUCAGGAGAUGCAAACUUCAAAUAUAAUGGGAGACGAGUUUACCAUUGUUAGCAUUCUUACAGCUCGUGCGAAUCUGGAAGCACUAGAUCUGGGAGAAUGGAUAAAGACUUAUGUUGAGUGUUAGAAAAUGCAUAUUUAUAAAGGAGAAAACCAUCAUUUUACAUUUCAAGUCUUACUAACAACCCUUACUUUUAUGUAUUUAACCUUCUUGUGAUUUAAUUACAUGUGUUUUAUUUUAAUUAAGUAUUUUAUGUAUUUUAGGGACAUUAUAGUCAUUUCACAAUAAAGGAGAGAUCAGACGGCAAAACAGACAUCACUUUUGAACUCAGGACGGUCAAAAACCUUAGGAGGAGCAUAAAAGGAAAAAUGGCACUAUUCACAUGUACGGUACUAUUCACGUGUACGGUACUGUCCACGUUACUGUUCACGAUACUGUUCACAUAGACAGAUCGAUGACGUGGCAUUGACUGAUGAGGUGUCACGAUCCUGUUGGGCUAAAAUUCUUAUGUACUGUUGAUGGUGACGUGGCAGCAUAUCAAUGGACGAAAAAUCUCGCAUACAGUACAUGCAUCACACAGGAUUAUUGUCAACCAAAUCGCGUUACUGUUCAUCCGGGUCAAACCGUGUUACUGUUCAUCCACGUAGUCAAACCGCGUACUGUUGACUGAUGACGUGGCGCAAUCCUGAGCGUCCAAACUGUUUUUAAUCCGAUGGCCAUGAUUUACUCCAUGUAUCUAUAAAAAGGGGGCCUCCCCCCCUAAUUUGACAACUCUGAAUCUAUUUUGGGAUCCAUUUUCUAUAAUUCCCUCUCCAUCUUGUAUUUUCUACGUAUUUUAAUAAAUUUCCAUUUUACCCUUAGUUCAAUUAUGAGUGGCUAAUUUCCUUUCAAGCUUGGGUUGAAGGUGAAGUCUCAACAUGUGUCAUGGGCUUUAUUUGGUAAAUUUAUUUUCUUUUCCCCUCUAGUUUUUGUGGAUGAUUUGACUUUUCGUCGACAAAUAAUAUUGAUCUUGUCUAGAUACCACCUUGGUUACACCGGCUCUCUAGUACAAGGUUAUUAUUAUUUGGCACGAUAAGCCCUUAGCACCAUAUUGAUUAGAGCGUGGUUCAUGAGGUGUGGAUUCCCCCCUCAUGAUUUAAUUGGCAUUAAUAAGGAUUAUAUAGCCCAUGAUGCAUGUUGAUACGGAUCUGGAUACCCAAGUGCUUCAUUUCAAUAGAUCUAUCUUCAAUUUCUUCUCGCCAUUUUAAUUUAAGUUUUAGAAUAUUCCAAAUCAUUUCCACCACAAAUCCAAUCCCCGAUUCACAAAAUUAAUUCUAUACACAAUUAAAAUCCACAUCCUCGUGGGAUCGACACUCGUCACCAUUAGUCUAUACUACAAUAGAUUCGUGCGCUUGCGAGUACAUUAAAAUUUACACAACAACUUAUAUUGACAAAAACAAAGUCAAGAAUGAUGUAUUUGCGGGGAAUGCUUUGAUAGACAUGUACUGUAAAUGCCGAGAUGUUGAGAAAGCUCAAAAGGUAUUCAGGAAGAUGCUUUGAAAGGACAAAUUCUCAUGGACGACCAUGAUUGUUGGCCUUGCCAUCAGUGGCAAUGGUGAUAAAGCUCUUGAUAUGUUUUCCCAAAUGCUUAGGGCUUCGAUCAAACCGGAUGAGGUAGCUUAUGUUGGUGUUCUGUCUGCCUGUACUAACAAUGGUAACGAAACUUUUGUGAUAAAUAGUUGCAACUUAAGGUGAGAAUUGGAGGAAAGGAAAUAGACUGAAGUUGUUCAAUCAUCGGUCGUCUCUAUUUGGUUUUCUCCGAUAUCUCAUCUUCAGUUUUGACUCAGAUUCUAUCUUACCACUUAGGGGUGGGCAAAAUCGGGUUCGGGUCAACCCGAUCGGGUUUCGGGUUGUUCGGGUUAGACAAGGAACAAUCCGAACAUAACCCGAAUUAAUGACCCGACCCGAACUUAGUUCGGGUCGGGUCAUUAAUUCGGGUUAUGUUCGGGUUGGAUUUAAAAUGGGUAGGAUUGAGUUCGGGUCAAUUUGGGUUAGUUCGGGUCAAUUCGGGUCAGUUCGGGUCAAUUCGGGUCAAUUCGGGUCGGUUGAAAUCGGGUCAGUUCGGGUCAAUUCAGGUCAGUUCGGGUCGGUUGAAAUCAGGUCAAUUCAAGUCAGUACGUUUUUUUUUUUUAAGAACCCGAUCGGGUAUUCGGGUCGGGUCGGGUUUGACCCGAACCGAUCACAACCCGAUCGGGUUUGUAAAUUUCAAACCGAUCGGGUUUCGAUCCCGACCCGAUCCGACCCGAACCCGAAAUUUAUCGGGUCGGGUCGGGUCGGGUAAAAUGCCCACCCCUAUUAAUACCACUAGUAAUUACAUAGACUUGCUGCCAAAGGUAAGAAUGAGAAUAAAUUAAAUAGAUUAUGUCGAAAACGAAAUAAAUUUACCAUUGUUCUGUUCAUUCUAUUUGUUUCCUACAGAAUAUUUCUCCAGCCUAAAAUUUUUUGAAUUAGUAAGUUUUUAUCUUAUGCAAGAAUUGUGCUGAGAGUAAUUCCAUUUCUCAGUCUCUUUAUGUUUCAAUGAAGACGUAAAACUUGUGUUCUAGUGCACCAAUGUUUAUGCUUCUUACAAUUUGACUUUAAUUUAGUUUGUAAAACUUUUGUCAAAAAGUACUAAAAAGUAGUGCACCAAACACAAACUUUAUUACAGAGAGGACUUCAGUUAAAUUUUAAGAAAACACUCAAAAGAACGAGUUAUAAAUUAUUAUCGAAAUAUUUCACAUAAAUAAAAGCCAUCCCAUGCUGCAAAGAUCUUGCUAUAAUCACCAAAAACUAUCGGGAGCUUUUAGGGUUUCCAUAAAAAUGUCAUUUCGUUCCAAAAGUCAAUGGUGGGUAGAAAGUGGUGCAAAUGAGACUCAUUGUUAAUGGUAUAAGUUUUUGCUUAAUUAUGUCUUCCCCAAAAUGAUGAUUUAAUUUCCAUUCUCAAUUAAUUUUCAAGUUUCAACACUUUUCUAUGUAGCAUGACAUUGGAAAGAUCUUGUACAGUUGUACUACUAAAAGCUAGCACCACACGUUAGUUAUUGUUAAGUUCUUUUUCAACGUGAAAUAAAGGAAGUAGUCCUUCGUUAAAACCAUUAUAGCCAAAUUUCACGUAAUUGGACAUUUACAGACUUUUAUUUCAAGUUGGAUUUUGGUCCAACAUUUCAAAGUUGGCCCAAUUAUUUUUGUCUGGUCAAGUCCUUCGCAGCUAAGCCCCUCAAUGAAUGAGGGUGAGAUUGCUAAAAAUUACGACAGGUGAUAUUUUAUUAUUAUUAUUUGUUUGAGGGAAAAAAUAGGAAAAGCAAUAGAGCGCCACGUGUCAACCAAUGGAAUGAUUCCUGCACAAUCUAAGGUACCCCACACAAUCCGAGGUACCCCAUAUAAUAUGAGGUACCCCACACAAAUAGGGGUACCCCGCGUAAUAGGAGGUACCCCAUGUAACUCGAGGUACUCGGCAAAGCGGAUGCAAGAGAAUCCUCCGAAAAUAUCCGCCAUGAGAAACGUCUCCGCCUCCUAAAAGAUAUUAUUCAAUUUUGUCAGAAUUAUGAAUAAAAAACGACGCCCUAAAAGGAGGGACAGUCGCCUGCGACCUCUGCCAAAAGUGAAGGACACUGUCCCAAGGACAGUGGUCCCCAACGCCUACCCGACAGCUACUGCAAAGGUACCCUGGACCACUCUCCAGCGCGCGCCACGUUUCCAAAAGAUGAGAUACGCCGCGAACGUGCAGAUAACUGCCCAAAAAUUAUAAAGAGGUAAAAGGACGUUAGUAAAAAAGGGUAUGCCAUGUGGCAGCUGAGGUACUCCAUAUAUAAAGGCGCCUAGGUUUCAUUCUCCAUCAUGUUCUCACUCACCAUUAACACUCGCACUCCAAAAAAUAGGUUUUCUUCAACCUUAAACCCUAAUUUACAGAGGGUUAGUCAGCUCUCUUUACCAUAAAAGCUUGAGUUUGCUAACUUGAGCGUCGAAGUGUGAACGCCGGGGUACCCCGGCUUCACCUCUAACCUCUAUUUCACUGUUUUGCAGGCGUGAAGCUCAUUUGGAAGGACACAUCUCUUAGUUCUAAACCUUUCACCAUUGUUACCACUCUCUCUCCCUUUCUCACCUCCCCUGGAUUUCAGAUACACCACACCGCACACAAUAAACUAGUGAGGUACCCCGUCUCCCAUAAAAAUACAAAUUCAUUGUUCUAGAUAGAUUUGGCUUUUUUUACCCCAAAAUCUGUUGAAAACACUAUUUUUAAUUUUGGGGGAUAAAUCCUCACCAAAGUGAGGAGAUUUUAUCAAAAUCAAAAUAAAAAUAUAACAAGAACUGAAAGUCGGGCAGCCUAAAAGCUAGAUGAACUAAAAGUCAGGCGCCUAAAAACAACCUUAUGCAAAAGAGAAGCAACAUGAGACCGAUCAAGUAAAAGAAUCCACCGCAACACCUAAAUUGGCCAAAUUAUCUGUUGGUAUUACAAGUUUCUUGUUAUAAAAGUGUAGAAUGAAGUAGGUGACAGUAGUUUUAAGUUACAGCUGCAUGCCUAAUCGCAAUAUCAAAUAAUGAUUAAAUAUCAAAUAAUGCUUAAAGUAGUUGCCUAGGCCCGCCACAAUUUAUAUUAACUCUUAAAUUUAUAAAUAAUUAAAUUUUUAAAAGUUUGGAUUUAUAUUAAAAAAUCUUCAUAUAAAUAAAUAAUAUAUGCACUUUUACAACACAGUCUUUAAAUUUAAAUUUUUCUAGAAAAAUCUUCUGUAUAUCUUUUCUAUUAAAAAAUUUCCAUAUAAAUAAAUAAUAUACCUAAUUUAAUUGGACCCAGCACAUCGCAUAUGCAUAGAACACAUUCCACAAAGCCAUGCUAUUCGGAAAUUGACGAAUGAAAAGUGAGGAGGCAGCAGUCAAUGCUAUUUGGGCUUGGCCCAAAAUUGAUUUAUCAGGUUGACGUUUGCCAGGAAUGAAGAACUGGAAUAUCACCGUCAAGCAAGCAACCUGUGGAGCAAUACCAUAGAAUGCACAAUCCAGCUUUGCAAGGUGACACUGGAGGCUUUUUGAAAAGUGCUUCACGCUCACUUGCACAGAUUGAGCAUCCCCUCUGGAUAUUGCCCUCUCUGAUCGAGUCUGAGCACUCAAAUUUCGGUCCUCAGAUGGAGCUACAGCUUUCUCUCCAAUAACCAACAAUUUUCUAAACUCAGCACCUAGUGUGAUCAGAGUUGUUGAUAUUUGUAAAUGGAGAUCCCUGUAUUUGCAAAUGGAGACAUUUACCAAAUCACCAACAUGCUUCAUCCAGUCUACGAAAUUCUGCAGCUGAUUCAAAUCCGGAACCUGAACCAGAGUCGGAGGUAAAUCUUGAGCCAUGUCUAAAGCAGUCUGAAGUUCAAGUACUUGAGCCCUUGACAAAGGUUUUGAAAUUGGAACAUCUUGGAUUACUGCAGACUUGUACCCCUUGGUUUCAAAGGUAAGGAAAGGCAUUGCUUGAGUACAAUUUGGAGGCAGCUUCUUCACCAAUUUUAUUUGGAGGCAAUUGGCAGCGGAUCCAGCUGCACCAAUUUCAGAGCAAAUACUGACACUACUUCAAACAGCACGCUGAAGAAGAGAUAUGUCUAUGGCAAAGGCAAUGCAGUCCUCAAUUUGACUUGAGAUGCGGUAAUCACCAAAGAGAGUUUCCUUAUGAAACUGGGCAACACAUUGAAUCCCUUCACCACUGAGAAGGUUGGGGAGGAAGUAAGCUUUCUCUCUCGUAAGGAAGAGGUGGCAUACCUUCCCCAUUUUGUCUAGGACAGGUAGGAAUCUUUUUUCUAAGAGAUUUACUCCAUUCUCUGUGAGAAAUGCUUUGAACUUCAUCCCUCUGUCUCUAGCCUCACUUAUCAGUAAAAUAGUUGAAAGCGCUACAAGGAGAGAAAAGAAGAGUAUUAAGAUAUAUAUAGACAAGAAAAACAUUAGAUGUCGAUCUUACAAGCUAAUACUUCAAACAGUAUCCUAGAAAGCUAAAAACUGCAAAAUGGCUUGAAAUUUGAAAAGAACACAUGCUUUUCCUCCUUAACUUGAGAAAAUGUUUAAUAUAGUGCACCUUACAGAAACAUUUAAACAAUUAGAACUUUGCACAAAAACAUUCAAGAAGACUAAACAAAUCAGAUGCAGUGUAUUUCUCCAAGCACAAAUGGCAUUGCAUUUUUUCCUCAACUGUAAUAUUUAUUGAUGAAAAUCAGUACAGGUCCCUCAUUUGUUAUGGAAAGCUUUCUUGUAGUCUGACCGGUUAAUUCACGGGUCUAUAAUCAUCUUGCAAAGUUACAGGCAUUUCUUUCGAUUUAAAGUCUUUGCAUCACCACCUCAUCACACACCAAGCCAAUAUUCCGUCUACCUCUACAACAAAAAGUUUUAAGUAAACGAUCCUAAUGCAUGCAGCCAAAUAAAAUGCAGUAAGAAUAUUCAACUUAAAACUCUGAAAGCCAUCUUGGUGAAUUGCCUCCUUAGGGGAAGUUCCAUGCUUUACUAUACUUGACAGGACUGAGCAAAAGCUUACAUACAACAGAUUUUGAAAAUGAUGAUGCCAAUAGAUACUCAUACAAUCCAUUGAAACUCCUAAGGUCCAUUGUUCACAGAGGUUUACAGAGUUUUGGUCAUCAAAUAGCUCAGACCUUAAUCCCAAACAAAAAACGAGUGAAAAUUAGAUCACCAGCAGCUAAUUGUAAAUUCUAACUUAACUCUUCAUCUCCUUUGUAAACAGGAGACAAAAUGGAGACACGCAAAAUGAAUAAGGAGAACAUUUGAACUCAAAUGAAAUGAGGGCACGAAAGCAAACAAAUGGCAUGCGCAAACAAACCAAGCCUCAAUCAAAAACUAAUUAACCAUUAAAAAAAAAAAAGUGGUCAGAGAAUGAACUCCAAAUUCGGGAGUGAAGCAAGAAGCUUUCAUUAUUUCAGAAGCUCCUGUACAAAUUAAUAAGUUAUGCUCUUUGGAAACAAACCUAAAUUCCAAGAGAAAGAGAACUCAAAAAAUUUGCAAUUAUACGCAAAGGAAGUGAAGCACAGCAUUCUAUCACACGUACAAAUUGUAUAACAAGAGAUCGACACAUCGAAUCAGAAGAACUCAAUUCAAAUUUGUCUCAAAAAUCAAAAUUAGAAGAUUUCACAUUUCGAGAGGAACAAGCGACAGGUCAGAUGCAAAAUUUUCAGCCACAACAUGCCACAAUUAACAGUUUAUUUCCAUGGAUUUAGAGAGCUGACUGACCUUUUGGCUUUUGGAAUUGAGAAGAUCGCGGGCCAAAAUGGAAGAGGGAAAGCGAAAGUGCGGGUUUUAAUAGGGUAUUGGAUUAGCAAAUUUAAUUAGUUUGCGAGGGUAAAAUAGGAAAGAGAUAUCACUAUUAACUUUUUUUUUUAUAAGAAAAAAGAAUAAUAAAGAAUAUUUUAUUGUCAUUUGCAGCCUGCAAAUGACAAUAAAUCAAAUACGUCAUACAGAAGCUUAAAGCUGAAUCUAAAAAAUCUAGAGCUCUCAACUACAAAAAUUACACUUGAUGAUCCUCUACAAGAUGAAGCUUGUUCAAUAUCUUAUCCAAAGUUUAUAAAGUAACCUUGUAACGAUCUUGAGAUUGCCUGCCUUCCUCGACGACCUGCACGAUGCGUUUGUACAAAUCAUCAUACCUGUGCACCGGAUUUUUAAUAUCAACGCCACUGCAGCUGUGAUCAAGAACAUAAGAGCGUUUAACAUCUUUUCUCCAUCGAGAAAGAAUGUAGUGAGAUGGGAUCUCCUGCAUGCCACUCUGGUUUAGAACACAAAGAAUGUGUCUGGAUAAAUAUCCUCUGAAAUUGAACAACCCACAAACACAAAGCACCUCCAAGUCGGAGGCAUUGUACAAAACAUCGAAAGCCCUUGAAUCUUUCUCGUUGCUACCAACCUCAAAUUCUUCCUUCACUAUGUAUGUUAUAGGUCCAUCAGCACUGACAUGUUUUGUGCUAUAGCAAGAGUACAUAGCCUCCACCUCCGUCUGAAACUUCCUUCACAUUUCAUUUGUGUACAGUUUUGAGAGUUGAAAUUCAUAGUCACAUCUUGGUUUCUGGAUACAACUUGAAUUUCUUGAAUCCAUAUCUGCCAAGGCUUCCGGUUGAUAAUUCGCCUGCAGUGCUUGAUCAUACUUGUGUAAGAAUUCUUUCAAAGGAGUACGCUUAUCAAGAUAUCCUUCAAAGUAUGAAGUAGAAACCUCAUUCUGCAGGAAUGAAAACACUCCUGAUAAAAAUGCUUCCUUCAAAUAAACAGGAGCCCACCUUUUACGAUCUUCAUAUAAAGUUUGAAUCCAUCCGUGAUCCUUUAUUCCAUGACGUUGAAUCAUGUCUUCCCAAGCUGCUUCAAAUUCCUCAGGCCUGAGAGAGUGAUAAAUUGCUCUAUGUAAUGCACCUCUAAUAGCUUCAUAUUCAAACAAUCCUUGGAGUUUCUCUGGAAUUUUUUGCAAGAUGCAUGACAAUGAAAAGCAAUGAUAAGCUCUUGGGAAAACAUCGCCAACAGCAAUUUGCAAGAUUCUACAUUGGUCAGUGAUGAUUGUUUGUGGAGAGCGUCCUAACAUACAUGUAAGCCACACCCUAAACAACCAUGUAUAUGAUUCUAUGGUCUCCCUGGCAAGUAAACCACAACCCAACAACACUGAUUGUCCAUGAUGAUUCACCCCAAUGAAUGAAACCAGUGGUACAUCAUAUCUUUCAGUCAAGCACGUAGUAUCAAUUAAGACUACAUCACCAAAGUACCUAUAUGCAACUCUUGACCUGGUAUCAGUCCAGAACAGGUUUCUCAAGCAUCCCUUUUCAUUUAGAUCCACUACAUUAAAAAAGUUUGGAUCUGUCAACUGCAAACGACAAAAGAAACUCUGGACAGCUUGUGCAUCUCCUGGUUUAAGCUUCAAUUGAUUUGAGCUAUUAACAUUAUUUCCAAAUACUCCAUUAACAUCUACAUUACCAUUUCCCUCGGUAUCGAUGAUAAGAGUUCGAAACAGUCUAAUUUUUUGAACGUCUUCAGCACUAUCUAAUUGCAAUGUUCUUUUGGUUCCAAUACCUAUGUGCUUAUGUGACUUGUAAAACUUUCCGCUUCUUGGGCUUAACAAGUGGUUAUGCUCAAGCUCGACUUCAAUGAUUCUCCACCUUUUGGUUUCCAUCAACCUAAACUUUAUCAUUGCUGGACAGCCAGUUCUUGUUUCUGGUCUUGGGCGGUUUGCCUCGCUUUUCUUCUUGAAGCCUGCACUACUACAGCUCAGCUUUCCUCUAUACUUUUCUCUACUCUUUCGGUACCAUGUAUUGCUAACUCUAACACCAAAACCCUGUUCCUUGGCAUAGCAAUUGUAAAAGUAAUAAACAUCAUCAUACGUCUCAAACUCCAUUCCAACAGCAGGAGCCAAUGGAUUUUGGAUUAUCCCAGUUUGUCCAACAUAUUCAGUCAUUGCACAAUCUCCUACGACCUCAAAAUCAUCAGCAUCAUCAUCACCUACUGGUUCAGUAUUCAGAGAAACUUCAUCCAUCUACAAUAGAUGUUUAAUGAAGUGAACUUUAAGGAGAAAAAGCAAAAUCAGUUCAAGGAAUGAUAAUAUAACCAUACAGUUACUUUCACAAAGCUGCGUAUUUCAUCAAUACCUUAACAACAUACAACUGCCUGAGAACGUAUAGACAUGUCAUAGACGCUUGAAUUAAGUAUUGGUACAAAUUCAUGUGGGACACAAUUUCAGUCACUAAACCCAAUGCCUUUUUUUUUCACAUCAUACCAAGGAACGGAUUAAACCCAAUACCUUCUUUUACGCCAUACCAAAGAACAGAUUAAAUCAUCAAUGAAAAAUUAAUCACAUAAUAAUUUAACUAGACAAAUAAAGAGCUCGAAACAGCACAAAACUUGAAUAUGAUUAUGAUAAUUGUUGAGUCAUUGUAUCUACAGCUUUCCUUCAACAAGAAGAUUAUGAACAUAAACUACACACAAAAAAUUUAUUUUAAACUGACAUAAAUUUAUUCAGUUACAUUGAAACCCAAAAAAGGAAGCAGGAGCUGGAGAAAAACAACAGCAGAGAAACUUAUUUCCAGAAGGUUUACGAAAUAAGGAAUUUAUUAAGACACAAAAUUUGAGGUCAACAAUAAGAAUUUGGUUCUCAUUCUCUUUUUCUUCAUUUUUCACUUAUUGAUGGAGUUACCAUACAAUCCUAAAUGAUAAAACCCCAUCUCCAUCUUUUUGAAAUAGAGUUAAAGCAAAGCUUUUUAAGAUGUUUUUCCCUAAAAGACUCAAUAGUACAAUGUUUUUCAAUAUUAAAUACACAACUCAAUCUUCCCCUAAUUUACUCUAAUAAUCUCUUAACUAAGGAAGAUUAAGCUCCACUUGUAAGCUAAAACAAGUUUCUUAAAUCAAGCCCCAAUGCUCUAUGCUAUUCAACAAGGCCUCAUAAAUGAUAAAACUACCUCUACAAAGAUACCCAUUUUAAUUUCGCAAACUAAAAUCGAACUCCUGAAACGUAACGAGCAUUAAAACAAACAAGUCCGAACAAGAACUGAAAAAUGAUACGUAAACCCGUUUCGACAAACAGUUUCCAAUCAAUGAGCAAAAAAGUUAAUGGAAAACAUGAAAUUCAAACGAAACAUACCUUAGGUUGAUAAAUUAGUAGCGCAAAAGAAAUUUUAGCGAGAUAUGGGAUCAGGGAUUUUGCCACGGUGAUGUUAAUUGCGACAUUCGGGUGACUCAGCAGCCUUCGAGGCUGAAACUUUGAUUGACCAAAAGCUUCCCGUUCGUUGAUUCUCUAAUUGCAGAAACGAAACUGGCAGUGUACAGAAGACGUACGCUGAUUUGAUAAUUCUGUGAAAAUCAUUGUUUUUUUUCAGAUUUUUAAUGUGUUCGAUAAAAUAUCAAAAUCUCAAAAACUUUUGUCUUUCAUUUUGGGGGGGAAAAACCCAUUGAGAUCCUUAUGUUUUUUCUUAUAUAAUCUGGCUUAAUAAUUUGCAAAGUCUAUUACUUAGCACCCAUGCAUGCUGCGUUCCAAUUUACAAAAUUGUACGUGAGUGCAUCCAGCUAAAAUUUGUAAAAAGAAAAUAGCAAUAACAUGUUAAAAAUGUGAUUAUUAUGAAGAAAUUUUAAUUUAGUUAAAUAGGUGACGAUGGAUAGGUAUAAAAUCUGAGAUCUUUUAUAAGGUUAAUAAAUAUGUUGAGUUUGGAUUAGUUCAAUUUUGAAAUAAUAAUAUUCAAAAUAUCUCUUAAAUCAUUAUAAACCUCAAAUCUAUUUUAAUUUUAUUUAAAAGAUAAAAGAAAAAUAGGUUAUGUUGGUGAUUUUUUAUUAUCUUUUUAAUAAAAAUGAAAUAAAUUGAUGUUUAUAAUUAUUUAAAGUAUUUUAAAGACUGCCAUUUUAUGAGAGAAAAAUAUUUCACUUUUUUUUAGUGUGAAAGGCCGAAAAAGGACAAAGCAAGUUUCCCUAGUUUUUAUUUAUUUGAAAUUGGUCAUCUCAUAUACUUCACCCUUCAACACUAUAAUUUUUUUGGUUAUAAUUUUAUUAUUUUUUCUCUUUUACACAUGCAUGUGAAUUACUUUUCUUUAAGCUCCUGAAUAUUUAAGAUAAAUCAUGGAAGAGAUGAGAGUAUAACAAGAUGACCAAAAUAUGUAACAAAAAAAUUUUAUAAGUGAAAAAUAUGUUAGAGACUUACAGUGGAAGUAAAACUCUGAGGUGAUGUUUGAUUUGAAGAAAAUGGAGGAAAUGAAAAGACUGGAAUGUAGAGGAAAAGAGAGAAAAGGAGAGGAGAGGAGAGUGAAAUUUUUUUCUAAUGUUUGGUUUGUCACAUAAUUAUACAAAGAAAGGAAAUCUCUAAUUUUUUAUUUAGACAAUUUUAACCUUAAUAAGUAUUAAGUUUUCAAUAUUUAUCAUGUGUAUAAUUAAAAAAAAAAGAAGUAAAUGGUAGAAAGCGGUUUCUGAUUCCGGCCACAUCGCCCGCAAUGGAAGGUACUUAUCAGAACAUCAAGAGCCAGCCAUCAUUCCCUAGCCAUCACUGCUGUCGGAACACUGCCGGAAAGCUGCCGAUUGAACCGCGAAAAGUCGUGGAAAUCGCUGCCUCAAAUCGGUGAGUUUCGCCCUUUUCUGGUCACGCCGUCGCCAUGGCUUUGUCCAUCAAGCCUGCCACUUCCAUUUUCAACCAUCCAUAGCCACUAUUAAUUGCCAAAUCACCGCCGAUCAGCGGGAUCUGUGGAAGUUAAAAAGUUUCUAAAUUUUUUUAACUGGAUUUGAACAACAUACGACCAUUUUUUUAUCUCGAUAACGACGUAGUAAUGUUGAUCGUUGGUCGGCAAGUCGUAUGGUAGUGGCAGUGAGUAACACGCGCCAAUCACAUCGGCGGCGGCGGCGGCACUAUCCGGCGACUGUUAAAAUAAUAUUUUAUAUUUUCAGAUUAAAUAAAUUUAUUUUAUUAAAAUUUUUAAAUCAUUAUUUAAAUUUAAUUAAUUUAAAAUUAUCUAUAAUGUUGAAUUGAUAAAAUAAAUUUAUAAAUAAUAAUUAUGUGAUUACAUUAAAUAAGUUAAAAAGUUGAAGGGUUAGUUUUGGAAGAUUUAGUUUCCAACACAAAGGGAAUUUGAAUUCUUCACUUCUUAGUGUGGAAUUCAAAUUCUAUAUUGUAAUAGAUAUUAAAUUUCAAUAAAAAUUAAAUUCUUAUAAGUUAUGUCAAACCAAACAACGAAAAUAAAAAAGAAAUUUAAAUUAUUUUUCUUUCCUCCACCCUCUCCUUCCAACUAAAUACAUCCUGAAAAUAGAGAUAUUGAUUAAUUUAGAAGAGAUUCAAGCAAAAAAUAUUCCAAAAAAAAAAGCAAUAUGUCCCUUUGGAGGGCAAACUUGUCAGUUUCAAAAAAGUACAUGCUUUGUAUUGAUAGUUGUAGGAUAUUUGUUUUGUCACUAUGUAUUAGUUGGAGAAGUCCAGCCUUGUGGAGAAUGUUAUGAAAGAGCAAAGGAUAUUCCUGAUAGCUGAUAGAGCUCUAUCUGAUUAUGUAUCCAGUGAAUGGAUGUGUUGUUGGAAGAUAUCUGAGUGCAUUAGUUCAUAUGUGUCUGUCAAUGUGCUUUUAAUGAUUUUUCCACCUGUUUGUUGUAAAAGAUUAUUGUAAAUUGAAAUGAACUUGAUGUUUUAAUAUUUUCUUCCGUAAAUUGAAAUGAACUUGAAUUAAAUCUCGUUGAAUUUAAUAUUAUCUCCUUAGUGGAAUUUCACCUAGUAUGUAUUCAGUUGUGUUGUCUAUAAUUUUGCAUUCGAGUAAGUUUCACCUAAAACAUUAGCAUGAGUAGUGGCCCUUGAACCUUUGGUCAAAAUUAUUGUUAUUAUUUCUGACUAGAUGUAAAUUUUGUAUUAAAUCUCGUUAACACAAUUCUUAAUUAAAAGUAUAGGUUAGUGUUGGUGCAAGAUUUGCCACACCAAAUUCUGCCUAGCUGUCAAAAGUGCAAAAUAAAUGAAGAGAAAGCACAAAUACACGACUUGAAUAAGGAUACAACGAAACUUAAAUUCAAGAGAAAAUGAUAGCUAUAUCCCAAGAUUUGAAAAAGUAGUCAUGUAGGUUUUUAAGAUUUCAAUAAGCGACUGAGAUUCAAAUAAUAUCCUUUAAUUCUAUUAAUAAAAAACAAAGACUCAAAUAUUUUAUGAUAAAUAAAAAUAUAAUAUUAAAAUAUAUGUGAUAAUAUACACAUUUUAAAUACUUUCAAUCCAAAAAAAUAGUUAUGUUUUACAAUCUAUUAGACAUAUUUUAUUAAAUUAAUAUAAAUUUUCUAUAAAAUAAGAAUAUAAUAUUAAAACAAAUUCACAGAAAUUUAAAGAAUUUUGAAUGUAAAAUAAUUUUAAUAUAUUAAUACGUGAGUUUUUUUAUUAAUAUAAAAAUUAUUUAACUUUAAGAUUUUUUAAAAUCUUUACAAUAAGUAUAACUAUAUUAUUUACAUUUAAAAAUAUUUAAAUAUUAUUAACCUACAAUUAUAUUUGCAUUUGUUAGAAAUUUUUAAAGUCAAAUAUUUUGCACUUCUAUAUUAUUAGAAUUAUUGCACACAAAGAAAGAAACAUAUACGUUUAGAAAUUGUUUUCUUUUAAAAUAGAGAUGAUGAUUAGUAUAAGGAUCAAAAAAAGGAUAAAGAAUAUUAAUGAUUAACGAAAACUCUAUACAAAUUGAUUUUAGUAGGAAAAGAGUGAGAUGAAUGAUUUCUUUUACAGUUAGAAAAAUAGAUGAUGAUUAUUAUAACGAAGAAGAAAAGAUAAAGAAUAUUAAUUAUUAAUGGAAUCUCUAUGCAAAUUGAUUUCAGUAGGAAAAAAAAUGAGUUAAAUGAUUUAGAGUGCGUUUGGAAUUGAGAUUGGACAGCCAUAGAUUUUAAGUUACAACACUGAAGUGUUUGGUAAAUACUAGCUGCUGCAGAUUGAAAGUUAUGUUGAUAUGAUUUUUCACAUGUAUCAUAGAAAAUAUAUUACAUCUUUAAUAAUUUUUUUAAAAUUUGUAUUUGCUAUAUAUUGUUUUUUUUAUAUAGUUAUAACUUUUUUUUUUUCCACAGCAGCUGUAGCUUAAAAGCUACAGCACCUCAAUCUCAAACAAGUCCUUAGACAUUCAUAGUGUGUUUAUUUUUUGGAUUGGUGAAUCAAAAUUAUUGACAACGCUAACUUCAUCUUCACCGUUCGCAAUCCAACAGCAGCAAUUGUCGCCAAUAAUGAUAUCGCCGAUGAUGAUGACAAUAAUAAUAAUAAUAAUAAUAAUAAUAAUAAUAAUAAUAAUAAUAAUAAUUAUUAUUAUUAUUAUUAAUAAUUAAUAUAUUAAUAUAUUAAUGUUAAUAUUAUUAUUAUUAAGAUUAACAAUAAUUAUUAGUAAUACAAUUUUUUGAAUAAAAAUAAUCACAAUAAUUAAAAUACAAAUUAACAAUUAUGACAAUAGUUAAUUAAUGUCUUUUUAGUAAUUUGUAAUAAUCUAACUCAUUUUAAUUCUGAUUAUUACAGUUUAAGUAAAUAAAUUAUUAUGAUUCCUAUUCUCCUUUUCUAUUUUAACUCACUUCGAUUCCAGUCUAUUCUGAUUUUUGUUUAAUAAACGCACCAUUAGUGCUAAAGUAAUAUUUCAUACAUAGAAAAGUAAAAACUACACCUAAGGUUAAGGGAAAGGACUUCAAAACUCUCUUUUGAUCAUAAUACAUUUUGUACUAAUUAACUUAAAGAUUUUGAAUCUAAUAUUUUAUAAUAAAUAAAAAUAUAUUCCUAAAAUAAAUAUAAUAUCAAUAUUUAAAAUAUGUUUUAAUAUUUUACACAUUUUAUUAUAUUAAAGUAGAUUUUAUAAUAAAUACAAACGUCCUAUUAAAAUGAAUAUAUAAAAAAUUUAGAAAAUUUAGAAUAUUAUAUAAAAUAAUUUUAAUAUAAUGCGUGAGAUAUAUUUUAUUAAUUUAAAAUGUUAUUUUACCUAAAAAAUAUGAUAAAUUAAUAAUUACAUAUUUGAAGUUAUUUCAAAUAUUAAAAAAAUUUAAUAUUAUUAGUCUUUUAGAUAGAUUAAAUUAUUUUUUUUAUAAGAGAUAGAUUAAAUUAUUUUAAAAUGCCUUAAUUAUUUUUACUUUUAACGUUACCGGCCUUUCUUUUAUUUUAUUGCAAAUUAAUGCUAACAAGAAAAAGCUAGAUCAUAUUCCACAAAAGCAAAAGUGACAAACACAACCAGCUGGAAUCUUUUAUAAAACUACAAAUUAAAAUGGAUUUUUUUUUUGAUAAAUUACACAUGAAAGUGGAUUCUUUUGAAUAUAAGUGGAGUAGGCUCUUUUAUUUUAUUUUUGAAUAUUGUAUAACGGGACUGUAGACUCUUUUAUUAAACUACAAAUUGUAUAGUCUUUUUAAAAUUGUUAUAAAUUAAUGGCCCCCACAAUCCUCAACAAUUGUACCGAUAUUCACAAGUUGGUGGCCCCUACAAUUCUGUUCCGAUAAUUUAACUGUGCAAGUGCUCAUUCACAAUCUUCCAGGUCAUGCUCUCAAUAAUUGUUUUUUUUUCCUGCAUUCCCUUUGGGAAAUUUACGAAAAUAAUCAUUAAUAUUUUAUUAUUUUUACAAUUAACCGUCUUAAUUUUUUUCUAUCAACAUUAGCCAAAUACAAGUCUUUCUUCCCAAAUUACCCUUCUUUACAGAACAAAACCAACAUUGUUUCUCCCAUAUCGCCAAACCAAAAGCAGCUUUUUAUUCUUAAAUCAUCAGCCAACGGCGACCGCAAAAGACAACGGUAAAAGUGAUAUCCGAUCAUAAUCUAUCCGGAUCCAACACAAAUCUACAUCACUCAGUGGUAUGAAUUAUUUUUUGAACUUACUGAACUCAGUCGGGUGAAUCUGAGUCUGGCGACAGGCUGCCUGUCGCAGUAAAACUUGGUGCGACAGGCAACCUGUCGUACCAAACCUUGGUGCGACGGGCACCCUUGGAGAUUUAUUAAAAAUGUAUUAUUUUAAUAGGACUCAAAUAAUUUUUUUUUAUAAUUUCAGGCUUAAUGGAUUCAGUUGUACUUGAAUUGUGUUACGAUGGUUGGUGGGAGACAUUAGAGAAUGGCUGUAUGGAGUACGUGAAUGGUAAAAAUCGAGCUUUUUUGGUUGGAAAAAAUUACUUGUUUGAUCAGUUAUUGGCAAGAGUAUACGAGGUAUUAAAAAUAAACCCUAAUGACUAUAGUAUCACAAUGAAGACAACUUUGAGGUCUAGUAACACAUUAUAUCGUAUAUGUGCAAUGCCCAUGGAUAUAUGUGAUGAUGAAAUGGUGAGGGUUGUGUUGCAUAUGGCAUCUGACGUAGCUAAUUUUGGAUGCAUUCCUAUAUUCGUGACCACAUCACCUCGACUUCCGAGCGAAGGUAUUGAGCCACAUGUCGAUAUAGAAACUUCGUUUAGAGCAAAUAUGUCUGGCCCCGAUAAUGAUGAAGAGGUGUUGCCAAGGACAAUAUCGCUGCAGCAAUAUUACUCUCCAAUCCACGACAAUUAUGAUAACAUUGAUGAUAAUAGCGUUACGUUACAGGAUGUUGGAGCAACGGUAUUUCCAAUAACAACGUCGUUGGAGCAACGAUAUUCUCCGUAUCACAACAAUGAUUUUCGGGACAAUGAUGAUUUUCAUAAUGAGACAGAGGAGGAUAAUGUUUGUGCAGAACCUUCUAAUAAUACGAGGCGGGGCACUCGUUUCAAUAAUGAUGGUGAUGAUGGAGGAGUCGGUCAUUCGAAUGUUCCGUCGUUUCAGCAUGAGGAUGAGUGUGAAGACAAUACUCCUGUGAAUAACAGAGGCAAUAGACCUAUUCCUUCUAUGGUUCGAUCGAGAAGGAGAAUUGACCCCCUUACAAGUCUUGCUCCAACUUUACCUUCGAACAUGGUUGCUCCAAGCUUUGUUAGCAGUUGUGACUCAGAUGAUAUCAGCGUGGGUAAGCUAUUUGUUGAGAAGAAUGAGCUUAUAUUACAACUACGCAAGGUGGCCUUUAGAGAUAAGUUUGAUUUCAAGAUUGCACGGUCUACUACGACACGUUUCGAGGCUCACUGUUGUUCAGAAUCAUGUAAAUGGCAUAUUCGAGCAACUAGAAGUUCGAACGAGCAAAAUGUUCCUUGGGUGGUGAAGAGAAUUGAUAAUGUACACACUUGUCAUAAUGAGGUAUUGAUUGAUGGACGUCAUCAAGUAAGGAGCCGGGUUGUCGGUCAUAUUAUCGCAGAAAAAUAUAUUCAAGAUAAGAGGAUUUAUACUCCCAAUGACAUAAGAGCAGAUAUGCAACAGGAAUACGGUGUUCAGUUAACAUACCAGCAGGCAUAUAGGGCGAGAGAAGUUGGUCUUGAAAUAGUUCACGGCAACCCUGCAGAGUCAUACAACUUGCUCCCUAAAUACUCUCACGUACUAACUACAACGAAUGAGGGUACAGUCACUCACCUCGAGCAGGAUGGAGAUGGUAAUUUCUUGUACUAUUUUGUAGCACUCGGAUAUUCCAUCAAGGGGUUUAUGCAGUACAUUCGGCCUGUCAUUGCUGUAGAUGGUACUCAUCUAAAGAGAUUAUAUCGUGGAAGCAUGUUCGUGGCAACAUGUCUUGAUGGUAACAAUCAAUUGUAUCCGUUAGCCAUUGGGAUCAUGGAUUCAGAAAAUAAUGAUGCUUGGGAAUGGUUUAUGAUGAAGUUACACGGAGUGAUUGGUGAUAGACCUGAGUUGGUAAUUAUCUCUGAUCGAUGCACUGCCAUAAGGAGAGCCGUUCUUAAAGUAUUUCACAAUGCAACUCAUGGCGUUUGUUUUUACCACGUCAAAGGUAACAUUAAGUCACAAUUUAGAAUGUCCAAAGCUCUUUGGGAUGAAUUUGAGCAUGCCUUUAUUAAUGCAGCAAAAGCAUAUGGCCACGAGGAAUUUAAGAGACAACUUGAAGGGUUGUGGAUGAUCCACUCGGGUGCGGCUGAUUACUUAGAAAAUAAUGUCGGCACGUGUAAUUGGGCAAGGUCUCAGUUUCAAGGUAGGAGGUACAACAUUCUUACCACCAACAUCGCGGAGAGUGUUAAUGCUUUCAUGAGGGAACCUCGAAAAUUUCCUGUUACUCAUCUUGUUGAUCACUUCAGGAAAACAUUGCAGCAAUUGUUUUAUGAUAGAAAAAUUGUGGCUGAAUCAAUGACUACUCGGCUAACAACAUGGGCGGAUGAAAUAGUCACUGAGAGGAGAACUAUAGCUGAAAGAAUGAUAGUUCGGCCGGUGUCUCCGCAUCGCUUUCAAGUUAUAGGCGGUGGGCUUAAGGAAGGGUUGGUUGACUUGCAAAAGAGAACUUGCUCCUGCAGAGUGUUUCAGCUUGAUCAGCAUGUGUGUGCUCAUGCAAUUGCGGCGUGUCUAACACACCGGGUGGAUUUUAUUAACCUUUGCUCGGACUUUUACACUACAGAAUCGUUGGCGAUGGCUUAUGCACAACCAGUGGAGCCAGUUGGUGAUGUGGCUGAUUGGGAAGUUCCAGAUGAAAUUCAGGAGAUGCAGGUAUACCCACCAGUUGAGGCACCACUACCUGGCCGUCGUAAAGAGCUCAGAAUACCCUCGACUGGCGAGGACGUUGACCGGCGGACUGUAAGAUGCGGCCGGUGUCAUGAACUAGGCCAUAAUCGUAAGCGAUGUAAGAAUCCUAUUGCGUCGACUCGAAGUUAGUUGUAUUUUGUGUGUUAUUCGUUGGUUAAAACUAUUAUUGUUUUUGUGUUACAUUGGUUAAAACUGUUAUUGUUUUUUGUAUUUCGUUGGUUAAAACUGUUAUUGUUUUUUGUGUAUUGUACACUUAUAUUCAUAAAACUUUAUUUUAUUUUAAAGUUCAAAAUGUGAGGCAUUAAAAUUAUAUAAACUUAAGUGCGGAAAUUAAAAAAAAUGCAAAUUUCAACAUUGAAAUUACUACAUAGGUCUACAAUAUAAUAUCGUCAUUAAAUAUAUCAACCGCAAUCUUCUUUCUAAAGUACUCGACAUGACUAGCGUUAAACUCCAAUCUAAGCCCGAACAUUAAAUACAUCGUAACCAUCAAUACAAAAACACUGCAAUCGCUAGUUCCGGGCUCUUGUUGUGGUGCGCUCUUAACUGCGAUAACUUUCCACGGGUCUUCACUCCGCAACUCAGGUCGGAUAUUGUAGAAGCCAACAUAUUCCAACCAUCGAGGGAAUAUAACUUCAAGUGGCUUGAAUUUCAACUUGUACUUUUUGUCGUCGCGAAAUGUGAGUAAUGAGUCAUAAAUCCAGACUUUAUUUUUCCGAAAGUCAACUCGUGCUAGUACCCAAUGCGCGCCGUCCAAGUUAACAGGGAUGAGUAACUGCAUAUAAAAAUUAAAAAAACAUGUUCGUUAUAUAUGAAAUUGAAAUACAACAAAGAAAAAGCAACAACUCGAAUAUUUUCAUUAUAGAGCAUGUGAAAUGUAAUAAAAUACACACCAUAUCGACAUCCGUCAUUAAUUUUGACAUUGUGUGCUGUCGCCCACAAAGAUAACUAUUCAAGCGGUCGUCGAAUACCAUUGAAUCAACUGCACAAUUCCUGUUAUUCCAUAACUGAUUCAAGAACACCUAGUACAUAGAUAACCAAGAAAUGCAUAAAUUAAUAAAACUUAAAGGCAAUAAUUAAACAAAUUAAAUAGUAUUUAUAAGUUUUGUCGGCACGUUACCCAAAAAAAUGUGUCAGUAUGUGUGACACGUUGGAGUAAGGCAUUUGGAUACUGCCGUUGUUUCUCGCUAAUCAAGCGGAGAUACUCGUGAAUAUGCUGUAGAGAAACAAAAAUAUUACGAUUUAAAAAAAAAUUAUACACAAAUCCACAACAGUAUACACCACGAGGAAAAUAUAAAUACCUCAUCGCCUAGCCAUCCCAUCGAAGCUGUCCCCAAAAUUAUUUGAAAGAAUGACCGCAGGUGCUGGACUCUCCGGCGGACUCUGCUAUCACCAGUGAACCAUCGAUCAAACUCAGCAAACAAACUAGAGUCCUCCAAUCCUCUCAGUGGAUUUACAUCCACACUCGUACUCAUGUCAAUCGCAUGCUCCAUCAUUUGGGGUCGAGGUAACCUCCGGACGUUCUGUCCACGCCUGACCGGAGGAAUCAUGUAAGGACUGUUAUAAACAUACGACGGUAUGUACGCGCGGCCGAACUUACUAACGCCCGGAGGCACCUCUGUGAACACCUGCAUGCUCUCCCCACUAACAUCCCCGUAUAAACUAUAAAAUGACGUGGGCGUAGACAAAUUUUCAUUGCCCACGUCAGUAUACACUCCAUAGUCAUCCGGGGCCUGUACAUUCGCCAAAAAGAACAUAUUAAAUAAUUAUCAAAUUAAAAGUUAAACGAACAUAAUUAUUUAAUUUAAAUUAGCUUACCGCAUACGAGCGUGCAGUGGGAGAAUCCUUAUUUGGAUGUUUAGAAAAUGUGUCGAUGAAGCCAACAACGGUUUCUUUAAAAUCUUUUAAUUCUGACUUUAUUUCAUACACAUUACGAUCAAUCUUAUCCAGCCGUCGUCGUACGUAAUCAUUAAACUGCUUUGUCCUCGACUAUUACAAAAGAAAAAAAUAAAACUUUAGAAUAACAAUAAAAAAAUAAUAAUUUAUAAAGGAAAAAUAUCGUAUAUUAUUUAUAACCUCAGAAUCCCGUGCGUCAUCAGAGUUGUCUGUUUGCUGCUGGUGGUCAUCAACAGCCACCUCAUCCUCAAAAGUGUCAAGACGCUGCUCUGGUAUUGGGUUUAGUAUGUCGUCAUGAUCAUCAUGCUCGUCCGAUUGUCUUGUAACCGACGGCAUCGCGUUGAUUGAGGGUUGGUGCUGUAUAAAGUAUCAUUUAAAAUUACUAAAUGAAAAGUCAAAAAUUUCGAUAAAAAAAUUUUUAGUACUUACAGUAUACCGACCUUAUGAAUCCAAUCUGGAAUGCUUGGCAAGUAAUCCUUCACAGAGAGUCAAUAUUUUCUGCUACUCUCUUUUGAAUUUGGCUCAAGAGUUUGUAAAAUGUCCGUCUGCCAUAAAUUCAAUUGAAAAAUUUAAGUAAGUAUACCCAACUUAAAUUUAGUAAAGUUAAAAAAUAAGUAAUACAUAUUACUUACAAGACGAGAUUCGUCGUUGAAGAACGAAUAAACCUCCGCAAAGUUGAUUCUCGAAGACGUCAUGGGCUUCCAUUGCAGAAUGCGGGGAAUCUUACUCUUCGUUUUGACGACCCAUGUUGAUGGCAACCCUCCGAUUGCUUCGUAAAUCCAAGCCUACAACAAACCAAAGUGAAAAAUCAAAUAAAACAACUAUCAAAUAUUUAAUACUAUAAAACUUAUUAAUAAACAAAAAAAAGCACCUGCACCCCAGACGUAAAGCCGUAAAGAUUAUAUUUUUCAAUAUUAUGAUCUGAAUUUUUCAACCGAGUCUUCUUAAAUUUCUCGUCUUUCUCGAACAGUGCAUUGUCAAGACUCUCGUAAAUCAUUUCCCACGACAAUAGACCCCAUGGCGCUUUCGGAAGUACUGUAUAUCAUCAACUUGGUCAAGCCAAUCGAAAUUAAUUUGACAGUGAUUUUUUCUUGCAUUUAGUACUCUGUCCGCAAAAUAAAACAGCGCAAUCUUUAAUGCGUCCAUAUCGUCCAUUUCCUCGAAAUUCAACUCCUUAAAUACUGCAUCAAAUUGCUUCACAUUAAUCUUACGAUGCACACCACCAAAAUACGUAUUCCGUAGCCUCUGCUCCAUUUCAUCAUUUUUUUCAUUGGUAUCAACACCAAAUGAAAGUCCAGUAACCAAGCACCAUUCGAUAAUUGACAAGCGAAUCAAAUGCUUACCAAUUUGAAACCAUAACUGAUCCUCACAGCUAUCUUCUUCAUGGGCCACUUGCCGCAGUAAACGAUUGUGCAAAAUUACCCCACUAAAUGGAAAACUUCGGCACUCCAAGAAAUGCCCAAAUAUAUCCUUUUUGAACAUACUCAACUGCCGCUUUGUUAAUUUUUCCUCGAUGGCUUUUACGACCGAAGAUAACAUACACAUGCUCGAAAUUCGACCAGGAAAGUGAUCAGCAUAACGAAAAUACAUCUUGCCUACUUCAAUAUCCGGUGAUUCUGAUUUCGCCAUGUAUCUGUAAUAUUUAUAAAAUUAUUACAUUACAUUUACAAAAUUAUUACCAAACUCUAAUUUUUUGGUGCGACAGGCGCCUGUCGCUCCAAAAAACUGCCUGUCGCACCACAGCUGGUGCUCCAAAAUCGAAAACAAUACUCCCAAACACUACCAACUACCACAAACAUCAUCACCACCACUAUUAAUCUCAAGCUAUAACUAUUAUUAUUCUAAAAUCUCAUUUUAAAUUAAUGAAAAUAAGAAAAAUGACUAACCUAGGUUUUGUUGAAGGUUGUAGAUCGUAGAUCGGAUGCCGGUGAGAGAUGGAGCCGCCGCCGACGAGGGUUGAUGUCGCCGCCGAUGAUGGGAGUUGGAUCGGUUUGGGAGAGAUGAGUGAAAAAGGGAGUGUUGGGGAAGAGAUGAGGGAUGGGUAUUUUGGUCUCAAAUGUUGUUUUAUGGCUAAUGUUGAUAGAAAUAUUUUUGGGGGGUUAAGAUGAAAAAAAACAAAUUUGUUUUGGUUAUUACUGUAAAUUUCCCAUUCCCUUUCAUGCUCUUAAUAAUUGAAGAGCAUACUUUUCAUUUUCAAAUGUGGAGCCGCAUCUAAUGUCGCUAAUUUAAUUUGGGAUUAAAUUAGGGGACCAUUAUAUUGCAGUGUGUACUAAUUUUUGUGUUUAUCUAAACUCCUUAAGUUUAAGACAUAUUAUGGCAUAAAUAAGAAUAUAACAAUAACAAAAGAGAUGCCGGAGCAGAUCAGCAGGGUUUGAAUAUGACCUUUGGCGGUUGCUUUUUUUUUGUGAUUUUUUUCAUUUUUUCCUUCCUGUCAUUUUAUCAUUUAUUUGGCUCUGUUUCUAUUGCGGGUGUUACUGCAUGCUUACUGUUGCUUGACAAAGUUUGCUAGCUUUUUGUUUGCAGUGCUGCUAUUCACCCCGAGUCAAGCUCCGAAAAUUUAUUAAACAACGCCGUUUCGAUAGUAACAAUUUUUUUCUUUUCCCUUUGUCUGUCUCUUUCAUCUGCUGUUUCUCUAUCACUUUUCAUUUUUUAUUUCCUUACUUCCCAGCUGCCCCUAAAUUGUUAUUCUAGCAAUAUACUUUCUCAUCUUUGAAUUUUCAUCCUUGAGUACUCCCACAGCCGUAAUUUCAUCAUUAUAGACUUCACUUGGAAUGCUGUAUUUUUUCGAUUCUUAAGCUACUUCAAUUACAUCUCCCAGUAUAGGAUCCUCAUCUUCCUUUAUUUCUUCAUCUUAUGAGGUAACAAAUGGAUUUCACAACUCAUCUACUUUUAAGCAAUUACAUAUUAUACCUUGAAUGAUUCAACUGUUCCGACAGUUAAAGAUUUUAUGCUCAACCUGCAGUGCUACGAACAUUGUCCAUGAAAGAUGAGUUUCAGCAUAUAAAAUGAAAUAUAGAUGUUUAAUCUAAAAUAACCCUUCACUGCCAAGAAACCUAGGUCACAAAAUUCACAGAUAAUGAUAAAGAGCUAAAAAAUUUGAAAAACUCUACAGAUCACACAUCAAGCAAGAUAUCAUGUUUUUUUCCCUCAUUCGGUGGUGAUUGAUUCGCUUUUUGAUGAUGGAUAUGGUAUAAAAGUUUUGACCCAAUUUCAAGCAAACACAAAUAGAAACACAAAUAGAAACACAAACACAAUCAGGACUAGAGUUGUGGGCGAUUAUCUUAGGUGUACAAGUGAAACGGUGGUGGCUGUCGAUGGUGGUAGUGGGGUGGUUGGGUAUGCGUGAUGGCUAGAUUUUAGGACAAUAAUGGUUGGAGUUGACCUCGAUCAACGAAGGAAAGUGACAACAAUUUUGACAUCAAACGGUGCAUUUUUUAGCUUAGUAAAAUGGAGCCGUUUCGAAUUUGGGGUUUAAUCCGGGGUUUGACUCGGCGCAAGUAUCAUUUUCCUUUUGUUUAUUAAAUUUUUUAUGGUCACAAAGUAUUACUCGUUCUAUUUGAGAGUGAUGUGAAUCAAUUUUUCAAUUUUAUAUUUUGUGGUCAAUGUGAAUUUAAUUUCAUUUGUCUCCUGCAAUUAUGAAAAAAUUGCAGUCAUAAUAUGGAAAAGUACACCGGCAAAAACUUUGUAAAAGCUUCGGAGUGAUACGGGGAAUUUACUUACUACUGAGGACAAUUGGUGGCAAAGCUAUUCCAUUCAUUUUAUGUCCAUCCAUCUAUUUAGCUAUUGAAGAUUAGUGGUCCAUUUGUAAAUUUCAGAUUGUCUCUCUCUCUCUCUCCCACUUGAAAUAACAAUAUUUAAUAUAUCUCUUAAAUUAUUAUAAAUUUUAAUUUACUCUCGAUUUAAAAUGGAGCAUGUCGAUAAAAAAUUUUUCUUCUUAAUAAAAUUGACGUAAGUUGUGUGUUACAGUAGUUUGAAGUUUGAAAUAUUUUAAAGAUUAUUAUUCUAUAAGGGAGUAAUAUGAAAUGAUAUUUACUUUUCAUGUGUGAAAUGAAAAAGGACGAAGCAAGUGUCCCUGCUUUUAUUUUAUUUCAAGGAGGAGUCAUCUCACAUACUUUAGCUCUUAACAUUACAUUUUUUCUGGUUACAUUUUUUAUUUAUUUAUUUUUUUUUUUUUACACAUGCGUGUGGGUUGCUUUUCUGUAAGCUCCUUAAUAUAUAUUUAAGACAAAUCAUGGAAGAGAUGGGAUUAUAUCAAGAUGAUCAAAGCAUGUAAAAAAAGAAAAAAGAAAAAAAAAAAUUAAGAAGUAAGACACUGAAAAUGGAGAAGAGAUGGAAGCAAAAGAUAUUCCAAAACAAAGCAAUCUAUCCCCUUUCGAGGGCAGACUUAUCAGGUUUAAAAAAGUACAUGCUUUGGAUUGGUAGUUGCAAUCAAGGGAAAAUAAAUAGGAUCCAAUGAAAUUUAAAUCUCGGAGAAAAUAAAUAAUCAUGCAGAUUUUCAAGAUUUUAAUAAGGGAUACUAAUAUCUUAUUUUGAUUAAUAACAUUCUUUUAUUGUGUUAACUCAAAAAAAAUAUUAUAAUGCUUUACAAUAAAUACAAAUGUCCUAUUAAAUGAAUAUAUAAAAAAUUUAGAAAAUUUAGAAUAUUAUAUAAAAUAAUUUUAAUAUAAUGCGUGAGAUAUAUUUUAUUAAUUUAAAAUGUCAUUUUACCUAAAAAAUAUGAUAAAUUAAUAAUUACAUAUUUGAAGUUAUUUCAAAUAUUACUUAAUUGUUUUUACUUUAAACAUUACCGGCCUUUCUUUUAUUUUAUUGCAAAUUAAUGCUAACAAGAAAAAGCUAGAUCAUAUUCCACAAAAGCAAAAGUGACAAACACAACCAGCUGGAAUCUUUUAUAAAACUACAAAUUAAAAUGGAGUUUUUUUAAAAAAAUUGUUAUAAAUUGGUGGCCCCUACAAUCCUCAAUAAUUGCACCGAUAUUCACAAGUUGGUGGCCCCUACAAUUCUGUUCCGAUAAUAAUUGUUUUUAUUUUUCUGCAUUCCCUUUCAUGCUCUUAAUAAUUGAAGAGCAUACUUUUCAAAUGUGGAGCCACAGCUAAUGUCGCUAAUUUAAUUUGGGAUUAAAUUAGGGGACCAUUAUAUUACAGUGUGCACUAAUUUUUGUGUUUAUCUAAACUCCUUAAAUUUAAGAUAUAUUAUGGCAUAAAUAAGAAUAUAACAAUAACAAAAGAGUAAAAAAGUGUAGAGAAGAUCUUGCAGAAAUAUAAAUAAUAUCUAUUUUAAAAUAAUUUUUAAUAUUUUAUGAUCCAUUAGAUAUAUUUAUUAUAUUAAAGUAAAUUUUAUAAUAAAUAAAAACAUACUAUUAAAAUGAAUAUAUAGAAAAUUUAGAGUAUUUUAAAUAUUAUAUAAAAAAUUUUUAAUAAAAUAUGUGAGAUAUUCAUAUUUUAUUAAUUUAAAAUACCAUUUAACCUAAAGAUUUAUUUAUGAUAAAUUAAUAAUUAUAUUUUUGAAAUUACUUCAAAUAUUAAAAAAUUAAUAUUACUAAUCUGUUAGAUAGAUUAAAUUAUAUAUAUUAUUUUCUAUUUAUUAAAAAAUUAAAAUUAUUUUUAAUUACUAUUCAAAAAAUAUAAUGAAAAAACAUAAUGAUAAAAAAAUCUUAACAUCUUUAUUAAAAAAUUAAAAACUUAUAUGAUAAAUUCUCUAAAUAUUUACGGUAUAUGUGAACCACGGUGGAUAAGCUUUAUUUAAUAUUAUUGAUUUAAAUAAUAUGUCAAUUAAAAAUGUACAGAGAAGAAAUUUCGGUGGGUAUUUUAGUCUUUUAAGCAAUUAUCAUGAUCAGAUCAGCCUUUAGCCUUCAAACGUCGGUCAGAAAAGUUUUAAAAUUAAUGCUAAAUUGUUUUUCACUUUUAACGUUGGUGGCCUUGAAAUUGCUUGUAUUUUAUUAAAAAUUAAUGCUAACAAGAAAAAGCUAGGUCAUAUUCCACAAAAUCAAAAGUGACAAAACAACCAGCUGGUUUCUUUUACUAAACUACAAAUUAAAAUAAAUUUUUUCGAUAAAUUACAAAUUAAAGUGGAUUCUUUUGAAUACAAAUGGGACAGACGAUUAGGCUCUUUUUAUUAGAGGCAAGUAAAAACUAGUCAAGAAUCGAACAGUCUUUUUCCAAUUCUUGUUUUAUUAUUUUUCAAAACUAGUUUUUGGUAAUUACAACCGGGUCAUUAAUCAUUAUUCAGAGUUACUGUUAUCUUCGGGGGCAGUGGGUAAAAGAUAAUUACUAACUGUUUUUCCUUCAAAAGUUAGCGGCUCAUGUUUGCAAGUGUGAAUGUGCGAUGCUCUUUUCUUAAAGGCCAUUACAGUGGGGCCCGAAUCAGACGUGCCUAAAUCUUUUUAAAAUUUUUGCCGUAUAACGAACAGAGGUCAUUACUAAAAUUUCUCUUCCACAGCCUACAGCAGCUUCAGUUUAUCAAACUCCAUCAAUUUUCUUUCUUAACAAAAUUCCAAAGAUGUGUAGCAUUUUUCAGAUCACAUGCGAUGGUGCUCUUUUCAAUCGUUGCUUGGAUUGCUUUCUUGGAAAAGCAGCAUACAUACGUAACCUCCAAGAUAAUCUUGUAGCCUUGGAGACUGAACUGGGAAGACUAAUCGCAGCAAAGAACGAUGUGAUGAUGAGGGUUGUCAAUGCUGAACGGCAACAAAUGAGAAGGCUGGACGGAGUGCAAGUGUGGGUUUCGAGGGUGGAUUCUGUUAAAACUGGAGCCGACGAACUUAUCACAGACGGCUCUGAAGAAAUUGGCAAAUUAUGUGUUGGAGGCUACUGUUCCAAGAACUGCAGGUCAAGCUACAAAUCGAAAACAAGUGGCUAGAAAGCUACGACAUGUGAAGACUUUAAUCGCCGAGGGAGUUUUUGAGGCGGUGGCCACUGAGGUGGUGCCCGAGAGAGCUCCGGAACCUGUAGCAGAUAAAAGACCCACUGAGCCAACAAUAGUAGGCUUGCAAUCACAGCUUGAACAAGUUUGGAGAUGUCUUGUAGAAGAAUCAGUGGGAAUCAUUGGCCUAUAUGGUAUGGGCGGUGUUGGUAAAACCACACUAUUGACCCAUAUCAACAAUAAAUUUCUUGAGAGUCCCACAAACUUUGAUUGUGUGAUUUGGGUCGUAGUUUCAAAAGACCUGCGACUUGAAAAAAUUCAAGAAGAUAUUGGGAAGAAGAUAGGUCUGUCUGAUGAUUCAUGGAAGAAUAAAAGUUUUGAAGAGAAAGCUGUGGACAUCCUGCCGAGAUUAGGAGAGAAGAGAUUUGUAUUGUUGUUAGAUGAUUUAUGGGAGCGGGUUGAUUUAACAGAAGUGGGCGUUCCACUUCCCAGCGCACAAAAUACUACCUCAAAAGUCGUAUUCACAACCCGUUCCAUUGGUGUUUGUGGCAGCAUGAGAGCUAGGCCGGUUAAAGUGGCAUGCCUAUCAGAAAAGCAAGCUUGGGAACUGUUCCGCGAAAAUGUUGGGGAAGAAACUCUUGAGAGUGAUCAUGAGAUCGUUGAGCUAGCCCAAACUGUGGCCAAAGAGUGUGAUGGUUUGCCACUCGCACUUAUUACUAUUGGUCGAGCUAUGGCCUACAGAAAGACAGCCGAGGAGUGGAGUCAUGCAAUUGAUGUGCUAAGAACAUCAGCUUCUGAGUUUGCAGGUUUGGGAGAGAAGGUGUAUCGUCUUUUAAAGUUUAGCUAUGAUAGUUUGCAGAAUGAUACGGUUAGAUCUUGUUUCUUGUACUGUUGUUUAUAUCCUGAAGAUUAUGGCAUUCUUAAAUGGGACUUGAUUGAUUGUUGGUUUGGCGAGGGAUUUUUUGGGGAAUCUGACAGGUCUGGUGCAGAAAACCAAGGAUAUGACAUUUUGGACACUCUUGUUCGUGCAUGUUUAUUAGAAGCGGUGGAAGAUGGUGAAGUAAAAAUGCAUGACGUUAUUCGUGAUAUGGCUAUAUGGAUAACUUGUGAAAUUGAGAAGGAGAAGAGAAACUUUUUGGUUCGUGCAGGUGCUGGAUUAAAAGAGGCACCGGAUGUUAAAGGAUGGGAAAAUGUGAGAAGAUUGUCAUUGAUGCAAAACCAAAUUGAAACUGUGUCAGAGGUUCCCACAUGCCCUCAUCUCCUCACUUUAUUUCUUGACUUUAAUCAGGAGUUGGAGAUGAUCGCGGAUGGCUUCUUCCAACUUAUGCCUUCUCUCAAAGUUUUGAAGAUGUCAAACUGUGGACAGAGGAGGUUGAAAUUACCUGUUGGGAUGUCAGUGUUGGGUUCAUCACUAGAACUUCUCGAUAUUUCAUGUACUGGCAUAACAGAGUUACCAGAGGAGUUAAAGAAGUUGGUAAAUCUGAAAUGUUUGAAUUUGAGGUGGACAGGUGCGUUAAUUAGAAUUCCACGGCAACUAAUAUCAAAAUUUUCAAGGUUACGUGUGUUGAGAAUGUUCGCUAUUGGCUAUGAUCGUUUUCAUGAAGCACCAGAAGACAGCGUUUUAUUUGGUGGGGGUGAAGUUUUGAUACAGGAAUUGCUCGGUUUGAAAUAUUUAGAGGUAUUGGAGUUGAGCUUGGGAAGUUAUCAUGCUCUCCAAAUUCUUUUGAGCUCAAAUAAGUUAAAAAGUUGUAUUCGAUCUCUUUGCCUCGAGUUCGCCGGAGAUACAGCGUCAAUUAUUGAUGCUACGGCUUUCGCAGAUCUAAACUACCUCAAUGAAUUAAAUAUUUAUAGUGGUUUUGAGUUGGAAGAGUUGAAGAUUGAUUAUACAGAGAUAGUACGAAAAAGGCGGGAACCUUUUGUUUUCCGCAACCUUCACCGUGUUACUAUACAUAGCUGCCAGAAGUUGAAAGAUUUGACAUUCCUCGUUUUUGCUCCAAACCUCAAGUCUGUUCAGCUACUCGAUUGCUAUGCUAUGGAAGAAAUAAUCAGCGUCGGAAAAUUUGCUGAGACUCCUGAGAUGAUGGGACAUAUAAGCCCUUUUGAAAAUCUCCAAAUGCUUGAUUUAGAAGAUUUGCCACAUUUGAAGAGCAUCUUCUGGAAGCCAUUGCCUUUCACUCAUCUGAAAGAAAUGGCGGUAAGUGGGUGUGAUCAGCUUGAAAAGCUUCCACUCGAUUCCAACAGUGCAAAGGAGCGUAAAUUUGUAAUUCGUGGAGAAGAAGACUGGUGGAACCGACUUCAAUGGGAGGAUGAAGCCACUCAAAUUGCUUUUCGUUCCUGUUUCCAACCUUAUUCCUGAGCGGUGGUCGCAAAUUUUGAUUCUCUGUUUUUAUUUCUGGUUAGUUUCUCUCUCUCUCUUUCUCUCUCGCUCUCUCUCUUUUUGUCUUCUGCAAAUCACAAUUAAAUGUUGAAUUAAUGGAAUUAAUGCUUCAUAAAUUUGCCGGCACAGCCACUACUUUUUUUUGGGGGGGGGGGGGGGGGGGGUCGAAUUGGUGCUCUGGUUUUUGACUUUUUGUUAGCGAUUUAAUUUCCUGUCAAAAGACGAGCGAGAAGAACAUAUAUAUGACGUAAACCAAUUGAUACUUUAUUUAUGUGCAUUGUAUGUAAUAAAUAUUAAGUAUACUUUAUUUUUGCCCUGUUCUCUGUUUUUAUUUCAGUCUCUCUCUCUCUCUCUCUGCUGUCUCCUGUCUCCUGCAAAUCACAAUUAAAUGUUGAAUUAUAUGGAAUUAAUCCUUCAUAAAUCUGCCUGCGCUGGCUUUUUUUUUUUUUUUGUGGGGGUCGAAUUGAUGCUCUGGUUUUCGACUACUUUUUGUUGUCAAAAUUUUCUCUGUUUUUUCAAAUUGAUGCUUUAUUGAUAUCUUCUUCGUGAAAAGUGAUUUAAUUUCCUGCCAAAAGACGAACGAGAAGAACAUUAGAGUCAAACUAAUGCUCACAUAAAUUUCCCGUAAGAAUAUAUAAUUAUUAAGAUAGAUCUGCUCUUUCAUUAAAUAUAUAUUCCUUUUUCACAUAUUAAUUGACCUUUAUUUAAUUUGUUUAAAAAGUUUAAUUAAUUGUUGUUUGCAGAGAAUCAUCUACGCCGCUCGCCGAUAAAAGUUGAGGUGUUCGAGCAGGUGCUUGCCUUUUUUUUUUUCUUUUUCUUUUUUCCCUGUUUUAAUAUUUCUUUAAAUUUUGAAAUUGUUUAAUUAUUCUUCUGGUUUGGAAUGUUGAUAAUAGUGUUGUGAAAUUAAUUUUUACAGGAUAAAAGGUUGUGGGACAUUUAUUAUCCAUGUCCUAUGUAUCUCAAGCUUAAAGGUCUCAGUGGUCCUCUAUUGGAAAAAGCAAGUUUAAUAUAUAUUAAUUGGAUAUCGUCGCCUGUAUAUAUAUGUAUAUACAUACAUACACAGCCACUCAUCGAUUAUAGACUUAAUUAUUUAAUUGAUUAUGUAAUCUCUCGUAGUUUCUUUGUGCAUUUUUAGUUAAUUUAAUGAAUAAACUCAAAUACAUUGUAAAUAAAACCAAAUUAAAUGUUCCCUAAAAUAUACGUAUAUGCCUCUCGAUGGCACACAAGGUUAAAUGUCAGCCCAUCGCGGGUAAUAUUAUUUCUAGCCGCCUUCAUUACGAGUUAAGAGUCAAUUAUUACUAAACUAAACUAGUCAAAACUCGUAAGUGCUAGAAAGUAGAAACGUUUGAUUCUAUAUAAAUGACUUCAAUUCAAUAUGUACCAAAGAGUAUCGAUAAUUGAACCCCAAAAAACUUUAAAAAAGAUUGACAAAAUUAAUUAUAUUAUUGUGUGUUUUUAGAAGAAAAAAUAAAAUAAUUAAUUAAUGUUAUAACACUAUGUUAGGUGAAAAGUCAGCUGUCUGGAAGAGAACAAACUUACUAAGAUAAGAGCCUUCUUCAGUAAUCAACCGAACGAAAAAGUCAUCUCUUUUCUUAUUUAUUUAGUAAAAAUAAGUAAAGGCCGAAAAUUUCCUAAAAUAUCUAAAUCCCUCUCUUUAAAAGAACACCAUAUGCUGCAUAACAUGCAAAUUAAUUUCCCAUAUGUGAUGCAAUUUUCUCCUCAACAUAUGCGCAAUUCUUUCCAUUCCGGCAUUUACACUCAAAUUUUCCUUCCUUUCUCUUUGUGGUUGAAUCUUACACCACAACUCAUGUGAUGCAAUCUCCUCUCGCUGCCUAAAUUGCACUCUCAGCAAAGCAGCAUAUGUAAGCAAGCUUGAAGAUAAUCUUGCUGCUCUGCGGAAGAACGGCAAAAGUUAAUCGAAGCAAGGACUGAUGUAUCAGAAAAAUUUUGGUGGAGAAUUCAGCACAAACAUAUUUCGGAUGAUCAGAAUCAAUAAAACAUGGUGGUUGCGCCAUAUAAACAUCUUCGGAAAGCUGGCCUUGAAGAAAGGCGUUUAUUGAUAUCCAAUUGACGAAGAGGCCAGCCAUGACUAACAUCAAUACUAAGAACAAGCCGUACUGUGGUGGGCUUAACAACUGGACUGAAAGUGUCAUAAUAGUCCACACCAGGCCGUUGAUUGAACCCUUUGGCAAUAAGACGAGCUUUGAACCUGUCAACAGAACCGUUGGAAUGUCUUUUAAUACAAAAAUCCAUUUGCAGCCAACAAUAUUGGAAAGGAUGGGAGGUGGAACAAGCUUCCAUGUCCCGUUAAGAACAAGAGCAUCAUACUCUUCUGACAUAGAUUGACGCCAGUGAGGAUUUUUGAUAGCUUGCGUCACAGUUGUAGGUUCACAAUCAGAAGGAGGGCUAAAAUGAGCACAGAGGUUAAGUUUUUGUAACGGCUUGUGAAUGUUAUUUUUAGCUCCGGUAGUCAUAUCAUGAUGAUUUGUGGGGCAACGAUCUAGUGGAGUUUGGGAAGAUGAUUGAACAGGAAGUGAAGAAGUGCUUUGUGUAGAGGUAGAAAUAGGUUGGGAGGAUUGCUGCGGAGAUGUUACCGGUAGAGAAGAAGGAGCAGUACACGGUGGCAACUCCAAAGGGCCCACAAUAGAUGGAGUAGGUGCCGACGAUGGAGUACUAGGAAAUGAAACAGUAAGAAUUGGUGGAACACUUGCGUAAUUAGGAGUUGUAGAUGAGCUUGUAAUGAUUUGUAUGGAAAAACAAACUCUACAAAUUUAACGUGACGUGAAAUAAAAAUUUGAAAGGUGGAUGGGUCAAAACAUAAAUAAGCACUUUGAGAUAAAGGAAUAUCCUAGAAAAACACAAGGCUUAGAGGGUGGUUCGAGUUUAUGUGAUGAAACACAAACAUUCAAAAUUUUUUAAGUUUAUAUUAAUUAGGAGUGGUACCAAAAAUUAAUUGGCUAUCGGGUUGUUGGAUGUGUUUUGGAUAUUUACAGCUAAGUUUGAGUAUCUCAACUUAAAAUUUGUAGCUUUCACUUGAAAAAAUUCAGUUAAAAUUUGCAAUGCAGACUGAUUGAUUUAUCAGUUUAACGUGUGCCAGGAAUGAAGAACUGGAAUAUCACCGUCAAGCAAGCACCCUGUGGAGCAAUACCAAACAAUGUACAAUCCGGCUUUGCUAGGUGACACUGGAGGCUUUUUGAAAAGUGCUUCACGCUCACUUGCACAGAUUGAGCAUCCCCUCUGGAUAUUGCCCUCUCUGAUCGAGUCUGAGCACUCAAAUUUUGGUCCUCAGAGGGAGCUACAGUUUUCUCUCCACUAACCAACAAUUUUCUAAACUCAGCACCUAGUGUGAUCUUGAGCCAUAUCUAAAGCAGUUUGAAGUUCAAGUACUUGAGCCCUUGACAAUGGUUUUAAAAUUGGAACAUCUUGGAUUACUGCAGACUUGUACCCCUUGGUUUCAAAGUAAGGAAAGGUAUUGCUUGAGUACAAUUUGGAGGCAGCUUCUUCACCAAUUUUAUUUGGAGGCGAUUGGCAGCGGAUCCAGCUGCACGAAGACUAAACAAGUCAGAUGCAGUUUAUUUGUCCAAGCACAAAUUGCAUUUUGUCCUCAACUUUAAUAUUUAUUGAUGAGAAUCAAUACAGGUCCCUCAUUUGUUAUAGAAAGCUUUAUUGUAGUCUCACCAGUUAAUUCACAGGUCUAUAAUCAUCUUGCAAAGUUAAGGGCAUUUCUUUCGAUCUAAAGUCUUUGCAUCACCACCUCAUCACACGCCAAGCCAAUAUUCCAUUUACCUCUGCAACAAAAAGUUUUAAGUAAACAAUCCUAAUGCACGCAGCCAAAUAAAAUGCAGUAAGAAUAUUCAACUUAAAAAUCUGAAAGCCAACUUGGUGAAUUGCCUCCUUAGGUGAAGUUCCAUGCUUUACUAUAGUUGACAGAACUCAGCAAAAGCUUCCAUACAACAGAUUUUGAAAAUGAUGAUGCCAAUAGAUACUCAUUCAAUCCAUUGAAAAUCCAAAGGUUCAUUGUUAAUAGAAGUUUACAGAGUUUUGGUCAUCAAAUAGCUCAGACCUAAUCCCAAACAAAAAACGAGUGAAAAUUAGAUCACGAGCAGCUAAUUGUAAAUUCUAACUUAACUCUUCAUCUCCUUUGUAAACAAGAAACAAAAUGGAGACACGCAAAAUGAAUAUGGAGAAAAUUUGAACUCAAAUGAAAUGAGGGCACGAAAGCAAACAAAUGGCAUGCACAAAAAAACCAAGCCUCAAUCAAAAACUAAUUAACCAUUAAGAAAAAAAUUGGUCAGAGAAUGAACUCCAAAUUCAGGAGUCAAGCAAGAAGCUUUCAUCAUUUCAGAAGCUCCUGUACAAAAAAACCAAGCCUCAAUCAAAAGCUUUCAUUAAUAAGUUAUGCUCUUUGGAAGCAAACCUAAAUUCCAAGAGAAACAGAAGCCAAAAAAUUUGCAAUUAUACGCAAAGGAAGUGAAGCACAGGAUUCUAUCACACAUAGGAAUUGUAUAACAAGAGAUCGAUAUAUCGAAUUAGAAAACUCAAUUCGAAUUUGUGUGAAAAAUCAAAAUUAGAAGAUUUCACAUUUCGAGAGGAACAAGCAACAGAUGACGUUCAAAAUUUCAGCCAUAACAUGCUAAAAAUGCUACACUUAACGGUUCAUUUUCAUGGAUUUUCUCGGGAAACAAACAGAAAAUUACGGUUCAGAGAGUUGACUGACCUUUUGGCUUUUGAAAUUGAGAAGAUCGCGCGCCAAAUUGGAAGAGGGAAAGUGAAAGUGCGAGUUUUAAUAUGGGUAGAUAAGGAAAUUUUAUUAGGUUGCGAGGGUAAAAAAGGAAAGAGAUAUCAUUAUUUUAUCAUCGAUAAUUAUUAAAUUUUUUUCCAAAAAAAAGAACAAGCAAGGAUAUUUUAUUGUCAUUACUAAGUUAAAAAAAAUUGUUUCAAAAUUACUUGAGUCAUAUCCAAUGGACCAACAAAGUAAUCGUUUUUAUUUUUAUUGAUUUUUGCAGGAAAUUAAUAACUUAAAAAUACUGAAAGCUAUUGUAAAAAUUUUUAUUAUCAACCUCAUAGUUUUUUUUUUUUGGGGGAAGAGAAUUCAAACAUUUUUUUUUUAAAUUUCCAAGAAUUCUUGACACCCGUCUUAAUUAAAAGCUAUAUUUUUAUUCAAGAGUCAUGCUAUUCAUUCACUCACAGACCAAAGGCUUUCCGCAGCAAUAUUAUUAUUUAAAUUACAACAAAGGGGAAAUCAAAUACGUCAUACAGAAGCUUAAAGCUGAAUCAACAAAAUCUAGAGCUCUCAACUACAAAAAUUACACUUGAUGAUCCUCUACAAGAUGAAGCUUGUUCAAUAUCUUAUCCAAAGCUUGUAAAGUAACCUUGUAACGAUCUUGAGAUUGCCUGCCUUCCUCGACGACCUGCACGAUGCGUUUGUACAAAUCAUCAUACCUGUGCACCGGAUUUUUAAUAUCAACGCCACUGCAGCUGUGAUUAAGAAAAUAAGAGCGUUUAACAUCUUUUCUCCAUCGAGAAAGAAUGUACUGAGAUGGGAUCUCCUGCACGCCACUCUGGUUUAGAACACAAAGAAUGUGUCUGCAUAAAUAUCCUCUGAAAUUGAACAACCCACAAACGCAAAGCACCUCCAAGUUGGAGGCAUUGUACAAAACAUCGAAAGCCCUUGAGUCUUUCUCAUUGCUACCAACCUCGAAUUCUUCCUUCACUAUGUAUGUUAUAGGUCCAUCAGCACUAACAUGUUUUGUGCUAUAGCAAGAGUACAUAGCCUCCACCUCCGUCUGAAACUUCCUUAACAUUUCAUUUGUGUACAGUUUUGAGAGUUGAAAUUCAUAGUAACAUCUUGGUUUCUGGAUACAACUUGAAUUUCUUGAAUCCAUAUCUGCCAAGGCUUCCAGUUGAUAAUUCGCCCGCAGUGCUUGAUCAUACUUGUCUAAGAAUUCUUUCAAAGGAGUAUUCUUAUCAAGAUAUCCUUCAAAGUAUGAAGUAGAAACCUCAUUCUGCGGGAACGAAAACACUCCUGAUAAAAAAGCUUCCUUCAAAUAAAUAGGAGCCCACCUUUUACGAUCUUCAUAUAAAGUUUGAAUCCAUCCGUGAUCCUUUAUUCCAUGACGUUGAAUCAUGUCUUUCCAAGCUGCUUCAAAUUUCUCAGGCCUGAGAGAGUGAUAAAUUGCUCUAUGUAAUGCAGCUUUAAUAGCUUCAUAUUCAAACAAUCCUUGGAGUUUCACUGGAAUUUUUUGCAUGAUGCAUGACAAUGAAAAGCAACGAUAAGCUCUUGGGAAAACAUCGCCAACAGCAAUUUGCAAGAUUCUACAUUGGUCAGUGAUGAUUGUUUGUGGAGAGCGCCCUAACAUACAUGUAAGCCACGCCCUAAACAACCAUGUAUAUGAUUCUAUGGUCUCACUGGCAAGUAAACCACAACCCAACAACACUGAUUGUCCAUAAUGAUUCACCCCAAUGAAUGAAACCAGUGGUACAUCAUAUCUUUCAAUCAAGCACGUAGUAUCAAUUAAGACUACAUCACCAAAGUACCUAUAUGCAACUCUUGACCUGGUAUCAGUCCAGAACAGGUUUCUCAAGCAUCCCUUUUCAUUUAGAUCCACUACAUUAAAAAAGUUUGGAUCUGUCAACUGCAAACGACAAAAGAAACUCUGGACAGCUUGUGCAUCACCUGGUUUAAGCUUCAAUUGAUUUGAGCUAUUAACAUUAUUUCCAAAUACUCCAUUAACAUCUACAUUACCAUUUCCCUAGGCAUCAAUGAUAAGAGUUCGAAACAGUUUAAUUUUUUGAACUUCUUCAGCACUAUCUAAAUGCAAUGUUCUUUUGGUUCCAAUACCUAUGUGCUUAUGUGACUUGCAAAACUUUCCACUUCUUGGGCUUAACAAGUGGUUAUGCUCAAGCUCGACUUCAAUGAUUCUCCACCUUUUGGUUUCCAUCAACCUAAACUUUAUCAUUGCUGGACAGCCAGCUCUUGUUUCUGGUCUUGGACGGUUUGCCUCACUUUUCUUCUUGAAGCUUGCACUACUACAGCUCAGCUUUCCUCUAUACUUUUCUCUACUCUUUCAGUACCAGGUAUUGCUAACUCUAACACCAAAACCCUGUUCCUUGGCAUAGCAAUUGUAAAAGUAAUAUACAUCAUCGUACAUCUCAAACUCCAUUCCAACAGCAGGAGGCAAGGGAUUUUGGAUUAUCCCAGUUUGUCCAACAUAUUCAGUCAUCGCACAAUCUCCUACGACCUCAAAAUCAUCAGUGUCAUCAUCACCUAUUGGUUCGGUGUUGAGAGAAACUUCAUCCAUCUACAAUGGAUGUUCAAUGAAGUGAGCUUUAAGGAGAAAAAGCAAAAUCAGUUCAAGGAAUCAUAGUAUAAUCAUACAGUUACUUUCACAAAGCUUCAUAUUUCAUCACUGCUUUACCAACAUGCAACUGCCAGAGAACAAACAGACAUGUCAUAGACGCUUGAAUUAAGUAUUGGUACAAAUGAGCACACAUCAUGUGGGACAAAAUUUCAGUCACUAAACCCAAUACCACUUUUUACAUCAUACCAAGGAACAGAUUAAACCCGACACCUUCUUUUAAACCAUACCAAGGAACAGAUUAAAUCAUCAAUGAAAAAUUAAUCACAUAAUAACUUAACCAGACAAAUGAAGAGCCUGAAACAGCACAAAACUUGAAUCUGAUUAUGAUAAUUGUUGAGUCCUUGUAUCUACAGCUUUCCUUCAAUGAUAAGACAAUGAACAUAAACGAGACACAAAAAAUUUAUUUUAAACUGACAGCCCAUGAUAUAAAUCAAACAAAAUCAACUCCUUUUUUUACACAUCACAUCUCAUAUUCAUUUACAUUGAAACACAAAAAGGAAGCGGGAGUGGGAAAAAAACAACAGCAGAGGAACUUAUUUCCAUAAGGUUUACGAAAUAAGGAAUCUAUUAAAACCCAAAACUUGAGGUCACCACAAAGAAUUUGGUUCUCAUUAUUUUUUUCUUCAUUUUUCACCAAUUGAUGAACUUAAAAUACAAUCAUAAAUGAUAAAACCCCAUCUCAAUCUUUUUGAACUAGAGCUAAAGCAAAGCAUUUUAAGAUGUUUCAUCAUUUUUUUUUUAAAAAAAACCUCAAUAGUACAAUGUUUUUACUCUAAUAAUCUCUUAAUUAAGGAAGAUUAAGCUUCAGUUGUAAGCUAAAACAAAUUUCUUAAAUCAAGCCCCAAUGCUUUAUGCUAUUCAACAAGGGCUCAUAAAUGAUAAAACUACUUCUACAAAGAUACCCAUUUUCUAAAUUAAUUUCAAAAACUGAAAUCAAACUCCUGAAACGUAACGAGCAUUAAUAUAAUCAAACCCGAACAAGAAUUGAAAAAUGACACAUAAACUCGUUUACACAUUUCGACAGACACUUUGCAAUCAAUGAGCAAAAAAUUAAUGGAGAAGAUAAAAUUCAAACGAAACAUGCCUUACAUUGAUCAAUUAGAAGGGCAAAAGAAAUUUUAGUACGAUAUGGGAUCAGGGUCUUGCCACGGUGAUGUUAUUUGUGAUGUUCGAGCGACUCAGCGGCCUUCGAGGUUGAAAAUUUGAUUGACCAAAAGCUUCCCGUUUGUUGAUUCUCUAAUAGCAGAAACGAGACUGGCAGUAAACACAACAACUUCGCUGAUUUUAAAUUCCGUUGUUUGAGAUGGAAAACUUUUUGAAAAAAUUAAUGUGUUCGAUGAAUAUCAAAAUCUAAAAAACUUUUUGUUUUUCAUUUUUUUGGAAAAAACCAUUGAGAUCCUUACUAUUUUUUCUUAUAUCAUCUUGCUUAAUAAUUUGCAAAGUCUAUCGCAUAGCACCCAUGCAUGAUGUAUGCUGCGUAACUGCGUUGUAAUUUACAAAAUUGUAAAUUUGUUAAAAGAAAAUAAUAAUAACAAGUUAAAACUUUAAAAUUUUUAUCAUUCGAAGAAAUUUUAAUUUAGUUAAGUAGGUGACAUGAUAAUAAAUAGAUACGUAUAAUGUCCGAGAUUUUUUAUAAGAUUAAUAAAUAUGAUAAAUUUGGAUUAGUUCAAUUUUGACGUAAUUCAGAAUAAACACAUCUUCCUAAUCUAAAAAUAAUUACAAACAAUUUAAUUUGUGUUGUUUCUCUAAAAGUUUGAGACACAAAUGUUAUUGCAAAUUGAAACGCCAUGCACUAGUAGAAGGUAAGAGAAACCAAGGUUGAAGUUACUGUUCAUUUAUUUUUAUUUAUGAUUUUUUGUAAAAUGUAAGAAAUAUGUAGAAAUGUUGCCAGCAAUGAUUUUGGAACUUUGCAUAAAAUUUUUAUCAUUAUUGUUUUUGGUAUUAAGAAAUCCGAGGCGGUGAUUAGUCGUAUGUUGCAACAAUUAAGAAAUUUCUUAUUGGAGAUAAUUUGGUAGGUUGCAACAAUUAGAGAAUAAUUUUCCUGUCAGUUAAUCAAUCAAUAAUAAAUUUCAAAUUGCAGAAAAUAAAAUAAUACUGUCGCACUUAGAAUCAUCUUUUCUAUUUCUUUCAAUUGUGACAAUCAUUUGUAACAAAUAAAUCAAUUUGAUGCACAUCAUUUCCCCAAUUCAAAGUUCAAGUCACUGCUCAAUUGCAGGGUAGUUAGUAGACAUGCAUGCAUGUUUAAUUAAGUACUGCAUUGUAAUAUAGAAAAUCAUAACAUCUCACCAAGCCCGGAAGCAUAGCUCUUUAUCUUGUAAAUGUUGAAAUCUUAUGCAAACUAUGGGAAACAUGAUCUCACUCUCAGUGCCACUUGAUUCCAUUUUCUUUGUUGGGAAUGCUACGAAGUCUAAGCUUGAAGAUAAUCUCGAUGCCUUGCGGACUGCAAUGGAAAAAUAAGCGGAAACGAGAAAUGAUGUGAUAAAUUGUGAGCCAACAAUAGUGGGCAUGGUGUCGACUUUUGAGAAAGCCUGGAGAUGCCUUGAAGAAGAAUCAGUUGGAAUUAUUGGCCUGUAUGUUAAUGGGGGAGUUGGAAAAUAUUUACUCAAAUCAACAACAAGUUCCUUGAUGGUCCAAAUAAUUUUGAUGUUGCGAUCUGGGUAGUGGUCUGCCAAGAUUUACAACCCCAGAAGUUUCGGGAAAAGAUUGGGAAAAAGAAAGGCUUGUUCGAUGAGUCAUGGAAGAACUGAAGUUUUGAAGAGAAAGCACUCGACAUAUUCAAGAAUUUAAGCAAGACGAAGUUUGUAUUACUGCUGGAUGAUAUAUGGGAGCAGGUUGAUUUAAUUAAAAUUGGUGUCCCUCUUCCAAGCACAAAAAUUACAUUCAAGAUAGUCUUCACAACUCGUUUUAUUGACAUUUGUGGCCUCAUGGAAGCUCACAACAAGAUUAAAGUGGAGUGUUUAAAUGACGAAGAAGCAUGGGAAUUAUUCUGCAAGAAGGUUGGAGAAGAUGUGGCGACUCUGUCCAAGUGCUAAGGAGAUCAGCCUCAGAAUUUCUAGGUAUGUAAAAAUGAGUAUAUAUAUCCACUUUUGAAAUUCAGUUAUGAUAAUUUACCUAGCGAUAAAAUUAGAUCGAGUCUGUUAUACUGUAGUUUGUUUCUGGAAGACUUUCCAAUUAGCAAAACGGAAUUGAUACAUUGUUGGAUAAGCGAGGGCCUUUUGGAUGAAACUAAUAGUUCUGAGAUAUGAAAUCAAGGAUACUACAUUAUUGGUGUUCUUGUUCCUUUAUGUUUAUUGGAAGAAGAGGCUCCACUAUAUGUAAAAGUGCAUGAUGUGAUACGCGAUAUGCUUCUGUGGAUCGCAUGUGAAGUUUUUUUUUUCUUUUUGAUAGGGAUAGCAUGUGAAGUUGAGAAGGAGAAAGAGAAUUUUUUGGUUCGUGCAGGUGCAAGGAUUAACUGAAGUGCCAGACAUUUGGAAAUGGGAAGGGUUGAGAAGGGUGUCUUUCAUGAGCAACAAAACUGAGAAGUUAUCAGAAAUUCCUUCAGAUCCCCAUCUACCGACUUUGUUGCUUCAACGUAAUUAUUUAGAGAUGAUCAAUAAUGACUUCUUCCAAUCUAUGAAUUCCCUUAGAGUUUUGAACUUAUCAUGUAAUCAUUCUCUAAUUGAUAAUUUCAAAGUUAGUUUCCCUACAACAUCUUAAUUUAUCAAUGACUAACAUACGAGAGUUGCCGAAUGAGUUAAAGUUUGUAGUGAAUCUAAAGUUUUUGAAUGUGGAGUAUGCACGGUUUCUUCAUUCAAUUCCAGGGCAAGUGAUAUCCAGUUUUACGAUGUUACACGGUUUGAAGAUGUUUGGUUGUGGGAGGUCAUCUUCUGAUCAUGAGCCACACUAGAAGAUAGAGUUUUAUUUGAAGGCUGUAAACUUUUGAUUGUGGAGUUGUUUGGUUUGAGAGACAUCUAGAUGUGUUGACCAUCAUCCUAACAAGUUCCCUUGCUCUGAAAAGAUUUUUGAGCUACAACAAACUUCAAAGUCGUACUCAAUCUCUCUAUCUUAAAUGCUUUGAUUCAAAUCUUCUUGUUUUUUCCAUAAAACAUUGCCAUGAUAUGGAGGAAAUACUCAGUGUCGGAAAAUUAGGUGAAGAGAUGAUGUCAAAUCUGGAACCUCUUACAAAACUCCAAGUUCGUUGCUUGAAGAAGCUACCAAAUUUGAAGAGCGUCUACUGGAAGGCCUUGCCCUUGCCCAAUGUAUGCAUAAUUUUUGUAUCUAAAUGCCCAGAACUUAAGAAGCUGCCGCUGGAUUUUGAAAGGGCGGGCGAAGGUAAAAUUCUUAUCAAGUGAAAGGAAAAUCGAUGGAAACGACUUCAAUGGGAGGAUCAAGCAACUCAGAAUGCAUUGCUUCUGUUUUUCAAAUCUAGUGAUUGAAGGGGGCAACAUCAACAUCAUCAGCCUGGAUGGGGAGAUUCUGGAGCAGAUCAGUAGGGUUUGAAUCUACAUCAUUAACAUCAUCAGGGUCUGUAUUUCUAUUGCUGGUCUUAAUGCUUGCUUACUGUUGCUUGACAAAGUGAGCCAGUUUUUUGUUUAUUAAAUUUUGUCUUGUAGAGACAGUCACAAAGUAUGGGUUGUUCUAUGUGAGAGUGAUGUGAAUCAAUUUUUCAAUUAUAUAUUCUGUGGUCAUUGUGAAUUUUGUUUAGAGAUGCAAACUUAGAAUAUGGAAAAGUUCAUCGGCAAACAUUUUGUAAAAGCUUCCAACUGAAGUUUUCAUAAUUAAAUAAUAAAAAAAUAGGAAGUGACGAAAAAAUUAUCCUAGGUGUUACGAAAAAACAUGAGCUCCGAAAAUAUUGGAAGUGACGAAAACUUAGGGCUAGGGUUUGAGAACUCUAACCCGCCACCACUGCAAGAGGACAGGACGACUAAGAAGGCCCGGUUUCGGGCUGAGGGAAUUGAUGCUGAUAAUCCUCAUAAACCCUCUUGGAGAGAUAAGGCUAUGGAGGCAGUCACGGUGAUGGCAGGUCAGACAGGAAGGAUUGGAGAGUUGGGUUACGGCAGUGUAUGCUAGCCCUAUUCCAACAGUCCUGCGUGAAUUAUGGUAUCACCUUGCAAGUAUUGCUUCUCAAAUGUUGGAUCCGUGGUUGGUGGGCGGAGAUUUCAAUGCUAUCUUAUACGCACAUGAGAAGAAAGGGGGCUCGAACCGAAUAAGUGGCACUUGCAAUUUAUUUAAUCAUUGGUUUCAUUCUUGCAGGAUGCUUGAUCUAAAGUUCUCCGGCCCUCGCUUCACUUGGUCUAGGGGAAACCUUUCUAAACGAUUGGAUAGAGCGGUUUGCAAUAAUGGAUGGCUAAUAAAACAUGCAAAUAGUAGUGUCAUGCAUCUUCCAAAAAUUGAUUCCGAUCAUCGGCCUAUUCUAGUCAAGUUCCAGAACAUGGAUUCCAAGCAUGGGGGCCCGAGGCCAUUUCGAUUUUUGGCUGCAUGGCUCACAGAUGAGAGAUUUGGGAGUUUUAUGAAUGAUAGCUGGAAUAAGGGAGAGAAUUUUCUUGAGGCAGUGGCUGAUUUUACUCAACAAACUAGGUGGUGGAAUAAGGAAAUUUUUGAAAAUAUUAUUUAUCGGAAGCGGAAAUUGUUGGCUAGAAUAGGUGGGAUCCAAUGAAUUUUGGAAGCCAAGCCUAACCAUAGCCUUACUAGACUUGAAGUUAAGCUUCAGAAGGAGCUCGAAGAGGUUCUCACUCAGGAAGAAUUAUUGUGGCUUCAGAAAUCCAGGAGAGAUUGGACUUUGUAUGGUGACCGCAACACUGCUUAUUUCCAUAAAAAAAUGCUAACCAGGCAUCGCCAGAAUCGGAUUACUGCAAUUCAAAAUGAUACUGGGCAGUGGAUACACGACGUCGAGAUCAUUAAGCAACGUGCAGUCAAUUUCUUUUUGGAAUUAUACACGCCUGAACAAGGGGUGCAUAGAACAUAUAAUGUCAGGGGGUGUUUCCCUGAGACGUCAGAUGAUAUUUGUUUAAGUUUGAUGUCUGCGGUAACAGAUGAGGAAAUCAGACAUACUAUUUUCAGUAUGAGUCCUUUUAAAGCUCCUGGAGUUGAUGGCUUUCAUGCUAGUUUUUACCAAGCGCAAUGGAAUACAGUUGGUAUGUCUUUGAGCUCUUUAAUCAAAAAUAUUUUUAAUUCUAAUCAUAUCCCUGCAGAGAUCAACAGAACCUUGCUGGUGCUCAUUCCUAAAGUGUAUCAUCCAACAAGCCUCAAGAUGUUUCGGCCGAUCAGCCUUUGCACAAUUCCGUAUAAAACGGUGACGAAAAUUAUUGCAAAUAGGUUACAGGUUUUUCUUCCAGAUCUCAUUGGACCCCAACAAACCAGUUUUGUACCGGGUCGGCAUAUUACAGAGAAUAUUGUUAUUGCUCAAGAGGUAAUCCAUACAAUGAAGAAAAAUGUGGGGGGUAAAAGAAUGAUGGCGGUUAAAGUGGACUUGGAAAAGGCUUAUAACCGGUUGAGUUGGCGAUUUGUUCAGGAAACUUUACAGGAAGUUGGGCUACCGGAGCGAUUUAUUCACCUCAUAAUGGAGUGUUUGUCCACAGCCCAAAUGAAUGUUUUGUGGAAUGGAGAAAUGACUGAAGAUUUUCGGCCAGGGAGAGAAAUUCGACAAGGAGACCCUCUUUCGCCUUAUAUUUUUGUGCUUUGUAUUGAAAGAUUAAGUCAUGGGAUUAUCCAGGCGGUUAAUCAAGGUAGAUGGAAACACAUUUGACUGACUCGAACUGGCACUCCUCUAAGUCAUUUAUUUUUUGCGGAUGAUCUGCUUCUCUUUUUGGAAGCAAGUUACGGCCAAGUUGAUGUAUUGAAUGAUGUGGUGGAGAAUUUCUGUAGGAGCUCGGGCGCUAGAGUUAGUAAUCAAAAGACCCAAGUCUUCUUCUCCAAAAAUGUCCCGGUCACUUUAGCCAAUGGAAUUGGCAAGGCUUUAGGCUUCUCGGUUACAAAUAAUUUGGGAAGAUAUCUUGGCAUGCCUCUUCUUCACGAUCGGGUUUCUAAGAAAACGUAUCAGAGUAUCAUUGACAAAAUUGAUCAGCGGCUAUCAGGAUGGGCAGCAAAGCAAUUGUCUCUGGCAGGGAGAGUUACUCUCACUCAAUCGGUGCUUCAGGCAAUCCCGAUUUACGCUAUGCAAACCACGUACCUCCCAUCUAGUGUCAGAGUUAAAAUUGAUCAAUUAUGUAGAAGAUUCAUUUGGAGUGGGGCUGGUUCUCAACGCAAGUUAAGUUUGGUUAGCUGGGACAACAUUUGUAGGCCUAAGAGCAAUGGAGGGCUCGGUUUCAAGGACAUGGAACUUAUGAACAAAGCCUUACUAAUGAAAGUGGCUUGGGAUUUAUUCAUAAAUCCUAGCAAGCUGUGCUCCCAGGUUUUAAUUUCUAAUUAUGUUGCGCCUUGUGAUAUGAUUACUACUGAUGCUUCAUUUAAAAAUGGUUCCUAUUUAUGGCGCUCUAUGGGUAAGAUUUGGAAAGACUUCCAGAAGGGUUUGCGUUGGAGUAUUGGAAAUGGCCAACGGGUGAAGUUUUGGGAUGAUAUUUGGGCUACAAAUGGUGAUCCCUUAAUCAACUAUACGGUGGCUUCAAUUCCGGAUAGCAUGCGAAAUAUGUUGGUGGCGGAUUGUGUGGAUCAAAAUGGGAAUUGGUUGUGGAACAUAUUCAACUCUUUUUUGAAUAACCAUGCUGUUUUAAGGAUUGCUUCCAUGGCUCCUCCGUCGUCAAUGAGAGGCGAGGAUAGGAUGUAUUGAGGUGCAUCAAAUACUGGCAAUUUUACAGUCCAAUCAGCUUACCAAGUGCUUACGAAUUUUUGCCCCGCUGAAGACUGUCAAGACUGGCAACAUUUGUGGAAAUGGAAGAGGCCUCAAAGCGUAAGAAUUUUUCUAUGGUUAUUAUGCCAUGAUCAAUUGAAGACGGGAUGUGAGCUUGCUAGAAGGCAUCUGGACGUCGAGGCUUUAUGUGGGAGGUGCCAUGCAGACGUUUAGAAUUCUUUGCAUGCAAUUCGAGAUUGUGAUUAUUCGAGAGGUGUUUGGCGGAAGCUUGUUCCCGCGCUUAGACAACAUGACUUUUUUAGUUAUCCUCUUUGGCAAUGGAUCAUGACAAAUCUUAGGAGAAGAGUCUGUGAUAUGGGGAGCUUAUUUUGGCCGAUUAUGUUUGGUAUUGCGGCUUGGAGAAUUUGGUAUUGGAGGAACCAGGUGAUGUUCAACAACAAGAGCUGGAAUGGUGAUUUGAUCGUUCGAGAUAUUAAGGCAAGGACUGAGAGUAUUUGUUCUACUCUUUCAAGCAUAGGCUAUCGAAGAAAUGAAAGGAUUCAGAAAUGGAUUCGUUGGGCUCCUCCACCAUGGCCUUUCUUGUGCUUAAAUACGGAUGGUGCAAGGAAAGGAAAUGGAGAGGCGAGUGCAGGUGGGCUGCUGCGGGACUGUCAUGGUAAUUUUAUUCAUGGUUUCAGCGCACAUCUCGGAGUUUGUUCAGUUCUAAAGGCUGAACUUUGGGGUGUCUUGCAUGGGUUAAGAAUGGCAUGGGAUCUUGGCUAUAGACGUAUCCAAGUUGGAGUAGACAACUGUAGUGUGGUGCAAAUUAUAAGGGAAAAUAAUGCUCAUGUCAACGAAAUUUCGAAUAUAAUCGAGAUGAUUAGAGAACUCAUGAGGAGGGAUUGGAGGAUUCAAAUUGAUCACAUCUACCGCGAAGCAAACUCGGCAGCUGAUUUCCUUUCUACGCAUGCUUUGAGUUUACUUGUUGGAGUACAUUUUCUUCAUUCUGCACCUUUAGGUUUGAGAUCUAUUUUAUAUUUGGAUAUGUAUGGGGUGGCACACUCCCGGUUUGUGCCCCUUUAGCUCUUCUCUUUUAGAGCCUUUUGUUUAUCAAAAAAAAAAAAAAAGCUUCCAACUGAAAUAGGGAAUGCACUUACUACUAAGGACAGUUGGUGGCCACCUAAUGCAUUCAUUUUAUAUCAAUUCAUCAUUUUAAUUAUUGAAAACAAGUGGCUCAUCGCUUUUACUUUAGGUAAAAUUCGGAUAAUCUCUAUUAUGAAAUGAUAAUAUUCUCUUAAAUUAUUAUAAACCUCAGCCAAUCUUAAUUUUAUUUAAAAGAUAAAAGAAAAAUAGGUUAUGUUGGUGACUUUUUUCUUAUCUUUUUAAUAAAAAUAAAAUAAAUUGAUGUUUAUAAUUGUUUAAAAUACUUUAAAGAUUGUUAUUUUAUGAGAGAGUAAUAUUUUACUUUUUUAUUGUGAAAUGCUAAAAAGGACAAAGCAAGUGUCCCUGGUUUUUAUUUUAUUUGAAAUUGGUCAUCUCAUAUACUUUACGUUUCAACACUACAAUUUUUUUGGUUAUAUUUUUAUUAUUUUUUUCUUUCUUACACAUGCACGUAAAUUUUCUUUCUUUAAGCUCCUGAAUAUUUAAGACAAAUCAUGGAAGAGAUGAAAGUAUAACAAGAUGAUCAAAAUACGUAACAAAAAAUUUACAAGUGAAACAUACGUUAGAGUCGAAGUAAAACUCUGAAAAUAGAGAUAUUGAUUAAUUUAGAAGAGAUGCAAGCAAAAGAUUUUCUUAAAAAAAAGAAAAGCAAUUUGUCCCUUUCCAGGGCAAACUUGUUAGUCUCAAAAAGGUACAUUCUUUGAAUUGAUAGUUGCAGGAUUUUUGUCUUGUUUUUGUUGUUGUGCAUUAGUUGGAGAAGUCAAGCCUAGUGAAAAAUGUUAUGAAAGAGCAAAGGAUAUUUCUGACAGCUUUAUUUAAUUAUGUAUUCAUUUAAUGGAUGUAUUGUUAGAAGAUAUUUAAGUGCAUUAGUUCAUCCGUGUCUGUUGAUGUGCUUUUAGUGAUUUUUCCAGCUGUUUGUUGUAAAAGAUGAUUGUAAAUUGAAAUGAACUUGAUGUUGUAAUAUUUUCUCUUUUGUGGAAUCUCAGUUGUGUUGUCUAUAAUUUUAGUCAAAAUUAUUGUUAUUAUUUCUUACUAGAGGUAAAUUUUUUAUUAAACCUCAUUAACACAAUUCUUAAUUAAAAGUAUAGGUUAGUGUCGGUGCAGGAUUUGCAGCACCAGAUCCUGCCUAGCUACGUGUCAAAAAUACAAAAUAAAUGAAGAGAAAGCACAAAUACAUGACUUGGAUUAGGAUAGAAGGAAACUUAAAUCUUAAAGAAAAUGAUAGCUAUAUCCCACUAUUUGAAAAAAUGGUCAUGUAGAUUUUUAAGAUUUAAAUAAGGGACGGAGAUCUUCUUUUGACAAAUAAUAUCUUUUAGCUCUCUCAAGUAAAAAAAAAAUUAAAUAUUUUAUAAUAAAUAAAAAUAUAAUAUUAAAAUAUACGUGAUAAUAUAUACAUUUUAAAUAAUUUCAAUCCAAAAAAAUAGUUAUGUUUUAUCGAAUCUACCUAUGUUACAAUAGUAGUAUGGUACCACAAUAUUUGUUCUUAUCCAAUGUAAUCAUUGGAUGAUUUAGAGCUUAAUCUAACGGCUUAAAUUAUUUUUCUGAAUAUUUGAAGCAACAACUUGCAACCGUUGGAGCCGGUUGCAUAUUAAUUUAAUAUCAUUUGGGGAAGCGUACGGUCAGGAAGUUUCUUAGUAUGCCACCAAUGGAAUUUGAUUUCAUCUCAAAUCGAUCUGCAGGCAGCAAUUGGGAAAUUACACUCACGGUCUUCCUCUUCUUCACUUCCUCUCUACUCUUCACUUUUCUCACUCUCGCGAUGUUUACAGCAUGAUAAGUACAAUUACAAACCAGGAAAUGCCAUUAACAAUUUUCAUUUGUCUUAGUCGUUUUUUUUUUUUUUAGUAGAAAGCCAAAAAAGAAAACGGGUGGGAGGUUGGGGCGUCGUGAUGAAAUGGUUUUGAGUUUUUGACGGAAUGUUUGUUUUUGUGAUUCAUUUAGGGUUUGAAUUCAGGCUUGUACGAACUCGGAUCUAUUCGAGAUCCGUAUUGGCGCUGAAAUCAGAUCCUUUGAAGCCUUGGUUUGAAUUCAACCUUGAGAACUCCAAGCUUGUUAGAAUCUUCAUUGAUCUCUCCAGAAAUUACACGGAUCUUAUUACUAAACCCUACAUAUAGGGCUGCAAUGGAGUCCGAUUCUCUCACAAUUGAUGAAUCAAUAUUGAGACAGUUCGAAAAGGAAGUAAAAAAGAGAAUCAACUUGACUGGCUAAAUAAUUGCGGAGGCCAAAGAGUCUUUUGAUAAUCAAUUGAAGAUUUAGAAGUUAAAAGACACUAUUUUUACUAUGAACGAACAAUUGACUAAGGCGAAAAAGCAAGGAGCUUUUUUGAGUUUGAUUGCUGCGAAAUCGAUGCCUUAGAGUUUGCAUUGUUUGGCCAUGAGGUUGAUGAAAGAGCGAGUUGUUCAUCCGGAGAACUAUAAUGAAGAAGGGAAGCCCACACAUGCAGAAUUCGAGGAUCCCAAACUUUAUCAUAAUGCUAUUUUUUCUGGGUAAUAUGCUUGCAGCUUCGGUGGUGGUGAUUGGUGAAUUUAGCUGUUAAGAACUCGAAGGAGCCUUGGAAACAUGUGUUUCAUGUUGUGAUGGAUCAAAUGUUUAAAUUGAAGGAUUAUAAUGGAGCACAUUUAGGCACGAAGGCUGUUGAGGAUUAUAAGUUUUUGAAUUCUCACAUGUCCCUGUGUUAAGGCAGCCGGGGUUUGCUAAUUUGCAAAGGUUUUACUUCGGGAAGUAGCUUGAGAAUGCUACGAAAGAUGCUACUAACAUGAAGUUUAGGAAUCCCAAUUACUUGUUGAUACUGUAUCAUUUGAGGUUCUGGAUAAGAUUUCAAUGAUGGCCGCUUAAAACAAAUAAUAAAAAAAAAGAACUUGUACUGUAUUUGGAUCUUUACUUAUUUGAUAUAGUUUUCUGCAAUCUCUCCAUGCAACCGGUUACUUUAAUUAUCCACUAACUCAUCUCAACCGUUUGAUGGACUCACUUUAUAUCCAACGGCAGUUUUAAAUGAAGACAAAAAGUGUGGUAUGUUGCAAUUGUUGCAACAUAUGUGAGUCUUGUUUUACAAUCUAUUUAACAUAUUUUAUUAAAUUAAUAUAUUUCUAUGAUAUAGGAACAUAAUAUUAAAAUAAAUUUACAAAAAUUUAAAGAAUUUUGAAUGUAAAACAAUUUCAAUAUAUUAAUAAUGAGAUUUUUUUAUUAUUAUAAAAAUUAUUUAACCCAUAGAUUUUUUUAAAUCUUUACAAUAAGUAUAAAUAUAUUAUCUUCACUUAAAAAUAUUUAAAUAUUAUUAACCUAUAAUUAGGUUUGCAUUUAUUAGAAAAUUUUAAAGUCAAAUAUAUUGCACUUUUGCAUUAUUAGAAUCAUCACAGAGAAAGGAGCAUAUAUACUUUAUAACUUUAAAAAUUGGUUUCUUCUGGAAACAGAGAUGAUGAUUAUUAUAAGGAUGAAAAAAAAAAGAUAAAGAAUAUUAAUGAUUAACGAAAUCUCUAUGCAAAUUGAUUUUAGUAGGGAAAGAGUGAGAUGAAUAACUUCUUUUACAGCUAAAAACAGAGAUGAUGAUUAUUAUAAGGUUGAAAAAAAAAGAUAAAGAAUAUUAAUUAUUAAUGGAAUCUCUAUGCAAAUUGAUUUUAUAGGAAAAAAGCGAGCUAAAUGAUUUAGACAUUCAUAGUGUAUUUAUUUUUGAAUUGGUGAAUAAGAAUUAUUGACAACGCUAACUUCAUCUUCACCGUUGGCUAUCCAAUAGCGGCAAUUGUCGCCGAUUAUGAUAUCUCCAAUGAUGAUGACGGUUUUUUUAUUAUUAUUAUUGGUGACCCCUUGGAAAGUUAACUGCAACUGCCAAUCAGAGAAAAGUCGUCAUGCACAAUCCUCAAUCGAACCAAUCAUCUACGUUACAGAAUCUGAAACGUACACACUGUUAACAUAUAUGUUUCCAUAAUGUUGAUUUUGAUGAUAACAAACAAGAUUAAGAAUGAUUAAUCUUUUAAGCUCAAAUUAUUUUUAUGCAUUUUAAAUAAAUCAUUAUUUUUACAUUAUAAAGGUUCUAUAUUUAAUGGAAAAAUGAUUUUAUGAAAUUGAUUGUUUUUUAUUCUUUUUAAAUAAAUCAUUAUUUUCACAUUAUAAAUGUUUCAUAUUCAAUGGAAAAAUGAUUUUAUGAAAUUGGUUGUUUUUCAAAGUUUAUGGUUUAAUUGAAAGAAUUUUGAAAACUUUGAAAUAAACAAGUAUUGCUUGAAAUUUCAGAUUUGGACUUAUUUGAAACUAUUUAAAUGUUUUUAGGCUAUUCUAUAAUUUCACAAAGUUUGGGCGAAAUUAUAAUUUCAGAACGUUGUGGGAUUGACAAAGUAUUAUUCUAAAAUUCUGAAAUUGGACUUAUUUGUAAAUUUUCAUAACGUUUUGGGUUAUAGUAUAGUUUUAUAAAGUUUUGGGGUCAAAUUAUAAUUUCAGAAAAUAGUGCACUGUGCAGGUUACUGUGGCAUCCGGCUUACCGGAUAUAAAAAUCGGAAAACCGGAUACGGGGCAGAAUGUAUCCAGAAUGUAAACGGCUUACCGGAUUUCGUAACCAGCAAGCCGGAUAGGCAAAAUUCAAAUUUUUGCCUUAACGGUAACAUAAAUCCAGCUUAUCGGAUUCCAUAAAUGGCAAACCGGAUACGCCCAGAAUGUGAGUAACGGCUAGUUUUUGAGUUCAAACUAUAUAAACUCAAAACCAAUUCAUUUUUGGUAAUCCAAGCAAGAAAGAACAAGUGCACAUAACAUAUAUUGAGCUUCAAUUUCGUAACUCAUCAUUUAUUAAAUCAUCUUUGUUUUUCAAUUUGUAUAUCCACUCUUAAAGAGAGAUUCAUUGUUGUAUUUUUCAUUUCUCAUCAAAUUGUGAGUGUACAAGUGUGAGAAACACUUGGGGUGAAGAGAUUGGAGAGAUAAUCUCUUGUUGUAAAGGUUCAUUAACACAUUGAAGUCAAUUGUAAACGUUUGAAGCCUUGGAAAUGCUUGGAUAGUGAAAUCCUCAAGCCCGGUGUGCUUGGAAGCGUGGACGUAGGCGGAGAUUACCGAACCACGUAAAAAUCCUUGAGUUUGCUUUCUCUUCCCUUACUCUUUAAUUAUUGUGCUUUGAUUGAACUUAUUGCUUUCAAUUUUUAUUAAGACAUUAGAUUAAAUUGUUGUGUGGUUUGCCUAGGAUAAUUUUUAAAAUCUCAAUUCACCCCCCUCUUGAGUUGCCUAGUUAGUAUUUCACACACCCAAUGGGAAGCAGCACACGUGUUCUGAGGAGAGAGAGAAAAAACCGUGCAAAUGCAAGCAAUAGGUAUUGGCUACAGUUGGAUCUGUAAGUUACAGAAUCUGUAACUUAGCCAACUCCCUCAAUGAUCAAUAUUGUUUCCGAUAUUUAUAAAUUGGUGGCCCCUUGGAAAUUUAACUGGAAGUUUGCAAGUGUCAAUCAGAAAAAAAUCGUCAUCCAUUGUUUUUUUUUUUCUGCAUUCCCUUUCAUGUUCUUAAUAAUUGAGGACAGGUUGUUCAUAACAUUUAUACUUUUCAAAUGUGGAGCUGCAUUUAAUGUCGCUAUUUUAAUUUGGGAUUAAAUUAGGGGAACACUAACUUUUAUAUUUAUCUAAACUCCUUAAAUUUAAGACAGAUUAUGGCGUAAAUAAGAAUAUAAUAAUAACAAAGGAAUUAAAAAGUAUAAUGACGAUCUUGCAGAAAUAUAAAUAUUAGCGUUGAAUUAAAUAACAUAGAACACAUGAAUUGAAUAGUGAUUAUCAAGACGGUGUUACUUGCACUCCUAUUUAUAAAAAAUCUUGGUUCUGUUCCAUUAGAUUUUUUAUCUUCAAAAUCUUGCAAAGUUUUGACAACCCAAAGGCUCAGUUUGGUUGUUCUAUAUUUGUAUGAUAUGAAUUCAAAUUUUUGUGUUCUGUUUUUCUUAAUUCUGAACACGGAUUCUUCUCUUCUCGUGCAAACCAGAAAGAAAUGUUGUCUUACAAAAAAAAAAGGGGAAUAACUUCAUGAGAACAAAAAUUCAGAAAAAUAAUAUAAAGUUUAUAUUUAGACUUUUGUGGUAUAUUUUAAUUUUCAACAAUGAGUUAAAGAAAAUAAUAAAUAAAGUAAAUAAAAGUUUAGAGAUUCAAAUUUUUAGUAUUGGAUUCUUUAAUUCAAAUACCUCUCAUUAAUUAACACUUAAAAGAGAGUUCACUAUUAUAAUUUUAAGUUUUUUGAUUUAUUAUUGAUAUAUAAAUUAGGAGUUUAAGCUUACUUUUUUAUUUUUCCAUUUUUUUUCAAAUUUGAAAUUAUUAUUUAAAUUUAUAAUUUUUUUUAAAAAAAUAGAGGGCUUGAGCCUGGCUUGGGUAUUGUUUCCUAAACCCUUAUCCGGCCCUGGCUUUUUUGCCAGCCCCAAUGAUGAUGAUGAUGAUUAUUUUAUUAUUAUUAUUAAUGAUGAAAAGUAUUAUAAUUAAUUAAUAUAUUAUUGUAUUGUUAUUAAGAUUAACAAUAAUUAUUAAUGAUAACAAUUUUUUGAAUAAAAAUAAUCACAAUAAUUAAAAUAUAAAUUAAUAAUUAUAACAAUAGUUAAUUAAUGUAUUUUUAACAAUUUGUAAUAAUUUAACUCAUUCUAAUUUCGAUUAUUAUAGUUAAGUAAACAACUUAUUAUAAUUUUCAUUCUCCAUUUUAAUUUCAGCUCAUUUCGAUUUCAGUCUAUUCCAAUUUUCAUUUAAUAAACGUUCCAUUAAUGCUAUAGUAAUAUUUCAUAUAGAAAAAAAUAAAAGCUACAACUAAGGUUAAGGGAAAGGACUUCAAAACUCUCUUUUUGUCAUAAUACAUUUUUUCCUAAUUAACUUAAAGAGUUUGAAUCUAAUAUUUUAUAAUAAAUAAAAAUAUAUUCCAAAAGUAAAUAUAAUAUAUCUAUUUUAAACUAAUCUCAAUAUUUAAAAUAUAUUUAAUAUUUUACAAUCUAUUAGACAUAUUUUAUUAUAUUAAAAUAAAUUUUAUAAUAAAUAUGAACAUACUGUUAAAAUGAAUAUAUAAAAAACUUAGAGUAUUUUGAAUAUUAUAUAAAAUAAUUUUAGUAGAAUACGUGAGAUAUAUUUUAUUAAUGUAAAAUGCUAUUUAAUCUAAAGAUUCAUUUAUGAUAAAUUAAUAAUUAUAUUUUUAAAAUUAUUUUAAAAAUUAAAUUUUUUUAAUAUUAUUAAUCUAUUAGACAGAUAAAAUUAUUUAUAUUAUUUUGUAUUUAUUAAAAAAAUUUAAAGUCAAUUUUUUUAAUUACUAUUCAAAGGAUAUAAUAAUUAAAAAAAUCUUAGCGUUUUCAUUAAAAAUUUAAAAAUUUACAUGACUAUUUCUGUAAAUAUUUAAGGUAUAUAUGAACUACGGUAGAGAAGCUUCAUUUAAUAUUAUUGAUUUAAAUAAUAUCUCAAUUAAAAAUGUACAGAGAAUAUAUUUCGGUGGGUAUUUUAAUCUUUUUAGCAAUUAUCAUGGUUAGCCCUUGGCCUUGAAACGUCUGUCAGAAAGGUUUUCAAAUGCUUUAAUUGUUCUUAUUAAAAAAAAAAUCUUUAAUUGUUUUUUCACUUUUAACGUCAGCGGCCUUGAAAGUGCUUUUACUUUAUAACAAAUUAAUUAAUGCUGACGAGAAAAUAUCUCUUCCACAGCCCACAGCAGCUUCUGUUAAUCAAACUCAACCAAUUUUCUCUCUUAACAAAAUUCCAAAGAUGGGUAGCAUUUUUCAGAUCACAUGCGACGGCGCUUUUUUCAAUCGUUGCUUUGGAUUGCUUUCUUGGAAAAGCAGCAUACAUAAGCAACAUCCAAGAUAAUCUUGUAGCCUUGGAGACUGAACUGGGAAGACUAAUCGCAGCAAAGAACGAUGUGAUGAUGAGGGUUGUCAAUGCUGAACGACAACAAAUGAAAAGGCUGGGCCAAGUGGAAUGGUGCGUUUCGAGGGUGGAUGCUGUUAAAAUUGAAGCUGAUGAACUUAUCAGAGACGGCUCUCAAGAAAUUGACAAAUUAUGUGUUGGAGGCUACUGUUCUAAGAACUGCACGUCAAGCUACAAGUUCGGGAAACAAGUGGCUAAAAAGCUACGAGAUGUGGAGACUUUAAUCGCCGAAGGAGUUUUUGAGGCGGUGGCUACCGAGGUGGUGCCUGAGAGAGCUCCAGAGCCUGUAGCAGAUGAAAGACCUACCGAGCGAACAGUAGUAGGCUUGCAAUCACAACUUGAACAAGUCUGGAGAUGUCUUGCAGAAGAAUCAGUGGGAAUCAUUGGCCUAUAUGGUAUGGGCGGUGUUGGUAAAACUACAUUACUGACCCAUAUCAACAAUAAAUUUCUCGAGAGUCCAACCAACUUUGAUUGUGUGAUUUGGGUAGUAGUUUCAAAAGACCUGCGACUUGAAAAAAUUCAAGAAGAUAUUGGAAAAAAGAUAGGUUUGGUUGGUGAUUCGUGGAAGAGUAAAAGUGUAGAGGAGAAAGCUGUCGACAUCUUCCGGAGUUUAAGAGAGAAGAGAUUUGUAUUGUUGUUAGAUGAUAUAUGGGAGCGGGUUGAUUUAACAAAGGUGGGCGUUCCACUUCCCGGACCAAAAAAUACUACCUCAAAAGUUGUAUUCACAACCCGUUUCAUCGAUGUUUGUGGUAGCAUGGAAGCUGACAGGAAGUUCCAAGUGGCGUGCUUAUCAGAAAAGGAUGCUUGGGAACUGUUUCGAGAAAAAGUUGGGGAAGAAACUCUUCAGAGUCAUCAUGAUAUCGUUGAGCUAGCCCAAAUUGUGGCCAAAGAGUGUGGUGGUUUGCCACUCGCACUUAUUACUAUUGGUCGAGCUAUGGCCUGCAAAAGGACAGCCGAGGAGUGGAGACAAGCAGUUGAAGUGCUAAGAAGAUCAGCUUCUGAGUUUGCAGGUUUGGGAAAAGAGGUGUAUCCUCUUUUAAAGUUUAGCUAUGAUAGUUUGCAGAAUGAGACGAUUAGAUCUUGUUUCUUAUAUUGUUGUUUAUAUCCCGAAGAUUAUGGAAUUCUUAAAUGGGACUUGAUUGAUUGUUGGAUUGGUGAGGGAUUCUUAGAGGAAUCUGACAGGUUUAGUGCAGAAAACCAAGGAUACUACAUUGUGGGCACUCUUGUUCAAGCAUGUUUAUUAGAAGAGUUAGAAGAUGAUAAAGUAAAAAUGCAUGACGUUAUUCGUGAUAUGGCUCUAUGGAUAACCAUUGAAAUUGAGAAGCAGAAGAGAAACUUUUUGGUUCGUGCAGGUGCUGGAUUAAAAGAGGCACCGGCUGUUAAAGAAUGGGAAAAUGUGAGAAGAUUGUCAUUGAUGCAAAACCAAAUUAAAACUCUGUCAGAGGUUCCUUCAUGCCCUCAUCUCCAUACUCUAUUUCUUGCCUCUAAUGAUAAUUUGAGGAUGAUCACGGAUGGCUUCUUUCAAUUUAUGCCUUCUCUCAAAGUUUUGAAGAUGUCAAACUGUGUGGAUUGGCCAGUUUCGAAAUUACCUUUGGCGAUGUCAAAGUUGGGUUCACUACAACUUCUUGAUAUUUCACAUACCGGCAUAGAANNNNNNNNNNNNNNNNNNNNNNNNNNNNNNNNNNNNNNNNNNNNNNNNNNNNNNNNNNNNNNNNNNNNNNNNNNNNNNNNNNNNNNNNNNNNNNNNNNNNGAAGAGUUGAAGUUGUUGGUAAAUCUGAAAUGUUUGAAUUUGAGGUGGACAUUUGAGUUAAAUAAAAUUCCAUGGCAACUAAUAUCAAAAUUUUCAAGGUUACGUGUGUUGAGAAUGUUCGCUACUGGCUUUGCACGUUUUGAUGAAGCAUCAGAAGACAGCGUUUUAUUUGGUGGGGGUGAAGUUUUAGUACAGGAAUUGGUCGGUCUGAAAUAUUUAGAGGUAUUGGAGUUGACCUUGGGAUGUCAUCAUGCUCUCCAAAUUUUUUUGAGCUCAAAUAAGUUAAAAAGUUGUAUUCGAUCUCUUCUCCUCCAGUUGGCCGGAGAUACAACGUCGAUUAUUGAUGCUACGGCUUUCGCAGAUCUAAACCACCUCAAUGAAUUAUGCAUUGAUAGGGCUAAGGAGUUGGAAGAAUUGAAGAUUGAUUGUAAAGAAAUAGUACAAAAAAGGCGGGAACCUUUUGUUUUCCGCAGCCCUCACCGUGUUACUAUACAUAGCUGCCAGAAGUUGAAAGAUUUGACAUUCCUCGUUUUUGCUCCAAACCUCAAGUCUCUCGAUCUAGACCGUUGCGAUGCUAUGGAAGAAAUAAUCAGCGUCGGAAAAUUUGCUGAGACUCCUGAGAUGAUGGGACAUAUAAGCCCUUUUGAAAAUCUCCAAAUGCUUGAUUUAGAAGAUUUGCCUCAUUUGAAGAGCAUCUUCUGGAAGCCAUUGCCUUUCACUCAUCUGAAAGAAAUAUCUGUGGGUUAUUGCCGUAAUCUUAAAAUGCUUCCACUCGAUUCCAACAGUGCAAAGGAGCGUAAAUUUAUUAUUCGUGGAGAAGAAGACUGGUGGAACCGACUUCAAUGGGAGGAUGAAGCCACUCAAAUUGCUUUUCGUUCCUGUUUCCAAUCUCUUUUUGAUUAACUCUUAUACAUUUUCUCGUCGUUUGCUUCAUGCAAAAGACUACGUCUUUUGUUCUCUGUUUUUAUUUCAGUUUCGUUUUGUCUCCUGCAAAUCACAAUUAAAUGUUGAAUUAUAUGGAAGUAAUGCUUUAUAAAUUUGCCGGCACUGCCAUUUAUUUUUCCUCUUUUUUUUUUUGGGUCGAAUUGAUGCUCUGGCUUUUUUAUUUUUUGUCAUCGAAUUUUGCUCUGUUUUUCAAAUUGAUGCUUGAAUAUGUGAAUUCAAUUAAUGCUCACAUAAUUUUGUUUAGUUGCCGUAAAAGAAUAUAAUUAGACUGAAAUUCGCACUCCCAGAAUGAAUAGAAUCACAACAGAGAAAAUAUUAAGUAUGCUAGCCCUCUUUACAGAAAAUCAAAUGAAAAUAAAAUUUUUUGGAUAUUUGAUUUUCUAUGGUCUACUAUAUACACUUUAUAAAUUCUUCUGUUCUAAGGAUAACCAAGUAGGGGAUUGAUGAAGGCUCCUUUUUGGGAUUCUUCUUUUUCUAGGCUGCAAUUAGGAUAUGUACAUGAUAGACAAUCUUUUGUUGGUUUAGCAUAUCUUCGCUGAUUUUGUCUUUUAUUCCCCAAUUUUAUAAUUACACACCAUGAAUGUUGGGUGAUUGUAUAGAAAAUUUGUGUUAUAACAAAAACAUUGUGAAGGAGUUUCCGUGCUAAUAGUUAGUGGCUUCUGUUUUAUUGGUAUUGAUUGGGUAGAUUUCGUGUUACAGUGAUUCAAUUUGUGUUCCAAACUUUGCUUUAAUUUUCUGUUUUCCCCAACUAUUUAUGUCAAAUUUAAAUCCAGAAGCAUGUACUGAUUUUUUCUUUUUGUAUUAAUCUGUGAAGUUUACUUGGAAUGGAAGUAACUGGGUCGGGUCUAAUGGAUUAAAUUAUGACAUUGAGGGGAAGGCACUAAAAGGGUUUGCUUGACACAUUUGGUUCUGUAUUUACUCUGCAAGAAAUAGCUUUUGCUUAUUGCAAUGCAGGGGGAAAUCCCGAUUUGGCUGGUGAAUUUCUCUGCAACAAACAGGCAAACGCCUCAACCUCUUCUGUCCAUACUUCUGCUGGGGAGGCAAGGGGUAAAGAGUCUUCAAAAUCAUCAAAUAGUAACAUCUCUGAGAAUUCAUUUUAUGGAAAUGGAAAAUCUAGAGCUUCUAAUACAAAAUGGCAUCUGGUAUCAGGACGUACCGUUUCAAGUUUUCUUGGUAAAGAUUAUGUUAAACCUGCACAGCCAGCUAAUGGCACUGUUCUGGCAUCAAAGCCAUUGAAGUUGGAUCCAAGGGAGUUUCGCAUUUCUGCACUUUCAGAGUAGAAACUAAACCAAAACAAUCAAAGGAUGACCAUUUGCAGAAGGAUAUGGAAGAUUUUCUGUUUAAAUUGCUAGGAGAAGGGUUCCAGCUGUACAGGGAUGUGAUUCAGGAGGUUCAUGGAAACGUCUUAAAUAUAUUGAUGCCAAUUUAAUACAUAUUGUCCUUUUCAAUGUUCUUUCUUUCUUUCUCCUCUUUUUAUUCUUCUUCUUCUUCUUUUUUCUUUUCGUGUGCAUGUGAUCACUAAUUUGGUAUUAUUCUUAACUUGCAGAUAGUUGUGGAUAUGAUAUGCAAAAUAUCUUCUUGAUGCUGGCAGAUUCACUUGAUUCUUAUUAGUUUGUUUAGUGGCAAGGCAUAUAACCUGUAUUUCAAAGCCAAGUUGUGCUAUUGAUUAUGUUAACUUUAUUGUUAACAUAAAGUGAUAUGGAGGACAUAAUCAAUGUAGGAAAAUUAGGUGAAGAGAUGAUGUCAAAUCUUGAACCUCUUACAAAGCUCCAAGUUCUUUACUUGAAGAAGCUGCCAAAUUUGAAGAGCGUCUACUGGAAGGCAUUUCCAUUCCCAGAUGUAUGCAGAAUUUUUGUAUUAAUGCCCAGUUCUUAAGAAGCUGCCACUGGAUUUUCAAAGGGCGGGCCAAGGUGAAAUUCUUAUCAAGGGAAAGGAAGAUUGGUGGAAAGAACUUCAAUGGGAGGAUCAAGCAACUCAGAAUGCAUUGCUUCCAUUUUUCAAAUCAACUGACAAGUGAUUGAAGGGGGCAUCAUCAACAGAGAUGGAGAGAUUCUGGAGCAGAUCAACAGGGUUUGUAUAUGAUCUUUGGUGGUUGCUUUCUUUUGUGAUUUUUUUUUCUCAUUUUUUUUCCUUCCUGUCAUUUUAUCAUUUCUUUGUCUCUUUUUCUAUUGCUGAUGUUAGUGUAUGCUUACUGUUGCUUGACAAAGUUUGCUUGCUUCUUGUUUAUUAAAUUUUUUAUGGUCACAAAAUAUUACUUGUUCUAUUUGAGAGUGAUGUGAAUCAAUUUUCAAUUAUAUAUUUUGUGGUCAAUGUGAAUUCAAUUUCAUUUGUCUCCUGCAAUUAUGAAAAAAAUGCAGAGUCAUAAUAUGGAAAAGUCGACCGGCAAAAACUUUGUGAAAGCUUCGGAGUGAAACAGGGAAUUCACUUACUACUAAGGACAAUUGGUGGCGAGCUAUUCCAUUCAUUUUAUGUCCAUACAUCUAUUUAAUUAUUGAAGAUAAGUGGUCCAUUUGUAAAUUUCAGAUUGUCCCUCUCUCUUGAAAUAACGAUAUUUAAAAUAUUUCUUAAAUUAUUAUAAAUUUUAAUUUACUCUGGAUUUAAAAUGGAACAUGAUGAAAAUUUUUUUUUCUUCUUAAUAAAAUUGAAAUAAAUUGUGUUUGCAGUAGUUUGAAAUAUUUUAAAGAUUAUUAUUUUAUAAGGGAGUAAUAUGAAAUGAAAUUUACUUUUCAUGCGUGAAAUGUUGAAAAAGGACAAAGCAAGUGUCCCUGUUUUUAUUUUAUUUCAAAGUGGAGUCAUCUCACGUACUUUAGCUCUUAACAUUAUAAUUUUUCUGGUUACAUUUUUAUUAUUAUUUUUUUUUUUUACACAUGCAUGUGGGUUACUUUUCCGUAAGCUCCUUAAUAUAUAUUUAACACAAAUCAUGGAAGAGAUGGGAGUAUAUCAAGAUGAUCAAAGCAUGAAACAAAAAUAUUUAAGAAGUAAAACACUGAAAAUGGAGAAGAGAUGCAAGCAAAAGAUAUUCCAAAGAAAAGCAAUCUAUCCCCCUUUCGAGGGCAAACUUAUCAGGUUUAAGAAAAGUACAUGCUUUGGAUUGGUAGUUGCAGCCUUGCAGGAUAAUUGUUUUUGCCACUAUAUUAGUUGGAGGAGUUGAACCCAGCGAAGAAUGUUAUGGAAGAGCAAAGGAUUAUGUAGCCUGAAUGGAUGUCUUGUUGAAAGAUAUCUCAGUGCAUUAGUUCAUCCUUGUCUGUCAAUGUGUUUUUAAUGGUUUUUCCAAUUGUUUAUUAUUAUAGAUUGAUUGUAAAUUGAUAUGAAUUUAAUGUUGAAAUAUUUUCUCUUUAGUGGAAUGAAUUUAAAAGUGCAAAAGCUUAUUGCACACAGAGAAAUAAACAUAUAUGCUUUAUAGUAUAACUUUAGCAAUCGAUUCUUUUACAGCUGGAAACAGAGAUGGUGAUUAUCAUAGGGGUGAAGAAAAGGACAAAAAAUGUUAAUGAUUAACGAAAUUUCUAUGCAAAUUGAUUUUAGCAGGAAAAAAAGUGAGCUAAAUGAUCUUAAUGUUCCACAAAAGCAAAUCGUAAUAUUCCACAAGAAAAAGCAAGAUCUUAAUGUUCCACAAAAGCGUUAUUUUUUUUUUGGUGAGCCACGUGGAGCUCAAUUAUCAUUGUCUUUACUUUAAAAACGUUAUUUUAUUUUAUUUUAUUACAAAUUAAUGCUAAACAAGAAAAAGCAAGAUAUAAUAUUCCACAAAAGCAAAUCGUAAUAUUCCACAGAGGAAUAAGAUCCACAAAAGCAAACAACUAGCUGGAUUCUUUUACUGAAUUACAAAUUAAAGUGGAAUCUUUUAUUAAACAAUAAAUUAAAGUUCGAAUAUUUAAGUAGUAGUGCGUUAGAUGAUUAGGCUCUCUUAUUAAAGGCAAGUAUAAGGUAGUCCAGAAUCGAACAUCUCUAUUGUCUAGUCAUUUUUUUCAAUUCUUCUUUUAUUAUUUUUCAGAAUAGGUUUUGGUGAUUACUAUUGGGUUAUUAGUCAGAGUUAUUCUUAUCUUCCGGGGCAGUUUCUGUUCAUCGGAAUUGUUAAUUAAAAGAGUAAUGAUAUAGUCACAAACUCUUGUAUAAACUUAUUUUGUACAAACUGAUGUGGCAUGAUAAGAUUAGUUGAAUUAAAUAUCACUUAGGCCACAUGAUUUAUUUUUAUUAUUUUAUAUUUUCAUUCAACCAAUGAAUUAAUGCCACGUCAGUUUGUACAAGAGUUUGUGGCUGUAUCAUUACUCUAAUUAAAAUUUUAGAACUCUUGUGGGAAGAAUGUUUUUCUGUUAUCUUUUUUACAUUCUAAUUUCAACAAUAAGAAGGAGUCAUUUUAGAAUUCGGGUCUUGAAUCGAAUUUCAAUGCAUGAAUUAAUAUUUUAAAAAAAAAUUACUACACGCAGUUUAGGUUACAAACUAUUUUUUGCAAAGUUGACUAUGAAAUUGGAGAAAUUAAGUAAUUUAUAAUGUUUGCAAAGGAAGAGACUAACAUACUUCCAAUUACACUAUAUCUCUAUUAUCAUAAUGUUAAGACUAAACUAACUUAAAAUAAAUUUUAUUUGAAAAGUUAUAUCAAACACAGUCUAAUUUUAUUAACUUGAAGAGAUAAUAGUUAUAGAAAUGAUUGUUCUAACUUAAUUAGUACAAGUGGUAUAAAGGUUAAGUGUGCACUAAAUUUGUUUAAAUUUUUUCCAGAAUAACUAACAGAGGUCAUUAUUAGAAUUAUAAUUACUAGUCUAUUAGAUAGAAAAAAUUAUAUAUAUUGUUUUAUAUUUAUUAAAAAAAUUUAAAGUCAAUCUUUUUAAUUAUUAUUUAAAGGAUAUUAUAAUUUAAAAAAAUUUAAUGUCUUUAUUAAAAAUUUAAAAAUUUACAUGACCGUUCUAUAAAUAUUUAAAGUGUAACUGUCAUUUUCUCAUGUAUAUAUAUAUAAACCACGGUGGUGAAGCUUUAUUUAAUAUUAUUGAUUUAAAUAACAAUAUCGCAAUUAAAAAUGUAGAGAGAAGAAAUUUUGGUGGGUAUAUUAGUCUUUUACAAUUAUCAUGAUUAGCCCUUCCUCUUGUAACGUUGGUCAGAAAAGUUUUAAAAUGCCUUGAUUUCUUUUACUUUUAACGUUAGCGGCCUUCCUUAUAUUUUAUUACAAAUUAGUCCUAACAAGAAAAAGCGAGAUCAUAUUCCAAAAAAGCAAAAGUGACAAAAAAACCAGCUGUAUUCUUUUAUUAAACUACAAUUUAAAAUGAUUUUAAAGUGGAUUCUUUUGAAUACAGGUGGGGUAGUCGAAUAGUCUUUUUCAAAUUCUUGUUUUAUUAUUUUUCAAAACUAGUUUUUGGUAAUUACAAUCGGGUCAUUCAUUAGUCAUUAUUCAGAGUUAUUGUUAUCUUCGGGGGCAGUGGGUAAAAGGCUAAAUGAUAAUUACUAAGUGUUUUUCCUUCAAAAGUUAGUGGCUCGUGUUUUGCAAGUGUGUACGUGCGAUGCUCUUUGUCUAAAGGCAAUUACAGUGGGUCCCGAAUCGGACGUGCCUAAUAAAUCUUUUAAAAUUUUUUCUAAUAAAUAUUCCUAAAAUUUCUCUUCCACAGGCAAUUACAGCAGCUUCAGUUAAUCAAACUCAAUCAAUUUUCUUUCUUAACAAAAUUCCAAAGAUGUUUGGCUGUUUUCAGAUCACAUGCGAUGGUGCUCUUUUCAAUCGUUGCUUGGAUUGCUUUCUGGGAAAAACAGUAUACAUACGUAACCUCCCAGAUAAUCUUGUUGCCUUGGAGACUGAAUUGGGAAAUCUAAUCGCAGCAAAGAACGAUGUGACGAGGAGGGUUGACAAUGCUGAACGGCAACAAAUGAGAAGGCUGGACCGAGUGCAACGAUGGAUUUCGAGAGUGGAAGUUGUUGAAACUGAAGCCGAUGAAUUGAUAAGACAUGGCUCUCGAGAAAUUGAAAAAUUAUGUGUUGGAGGCUACUGUUCCAAGAACUGCAUGUCAAGCUACAAGUUCGGAAAACAAGUGGCUAAAAAGCUACGGGAUGUGCGGACUUUAAUCAGUGAAGGAGUUUUUGAGGUGGUGGCUGACAGAGCUCCAGAGCCUGUAGCAGAUGAAAGACCUACUGAGCCAACAAUAGUAGGCUUGCAAUCACAACUUGAACAAGUUUGGAGAUGUCUUGUAGUAGAAGAAUCAGUGGGAAUCAUUGGCCUAUAUGGUAUGGGCGGUGUUGGUAAAACCACACUAUUGACCCAUAUCAACAAUAAAUUUCUUGAGAAUCCAAUCAACUUUGAUUGUGUGAUUUGGGUUGUAGUUUCAAAAGACCUGCGACUUGAAAAAAUUCAAGAAGAUAUUGGGAAAAAGAUAGGUCUGUUUGAUGAUUCAUGGAAGAGUAAAAGUGUAGAGGAGAAAGCUGUCGACAUCUUCCGGAGUUUAAGAGAGAAGAGAUUUGUAUUGUUGUUAGAUGAUAUAUGGGAGCGGGUUGAUUUAACAAAGGUGGGCGUUCCACUUCCCGGACCACAAAAUACUACCUCAAAAGUCGUAUUCACAACCCGUUCCAUCGAUGUUUGUGGCAGCAUGGAAAGUCACAGGAAGUUCCCAGUAGCAUGCUUAUCAGAAGAGGAUGCUUGGGAGCUGUUUCGAGAAAAAGUAGGGCAAGAAACUCUUGAGAGUCAUCAUGAUAUCGUUGAGCUAGCCCAAACUGUGGCCAGAGAGUGUGAUGGUUUGCCACUCGCACUUCUUACUAUUGGUCGAGCUAUGGCCUGCAAAAGGACAGCAGAGGAGUGGAGACACGCAGUUGAAGUGCUAAGAAGAUCAGCUUCUGAGUUUGCAGGUUUGGGAGAAAAGGUGUACUCUCUUUUAAAAUUCAGCUAUGAUAGUUUGCAGAAUGAGACGAUUAAAUCUUGUUUCUUAUAUUGUUGUUUAUAUCCCGAAGAUUAUGGAAUUCUUAAAUGGGACUUGAUUGAUUGUUGGAUUGGUGAGGGAUUCUUAGAGCAAUCUGACAGGCUUAGUGCAGAAUACCAAGGAUACUACAUUGUGGGCACUCUUGUUCAAGCAUGUUUAUUAGAAGAGUUAGAAGAUGAUAAAGUAAAAAUGCAUGACGUUAUUCGUGAUAUGGCUCUAUGGAUAACCAGUGAAAUUGAGAAGGAGAAGAGAAACUUUUUGGUUCGUGCAGGUGCUGGAUUAAAAGAGGCACCGGCUGUUAAAGGAUGGGAAAAUGUGAGAAGAUUGUCACUGAUGCAAAACCAAAUUGAAACUCUGUCAGAGGUUCCUACAUGCCCUCAUCUCCUCACUUUAUUUCUUGACUUUAAUCAGGAGUUGGAGAUGAUCGCGGAUGGUUUCUUCCAAUUUAUGCCUUCUCUCAAAGUUUUGAAGAUAUCAAACUGUGGAAACAUUUUUCAAUUACCUGUUGGGAUGUCAAAGUUGGGUUCACUAGAACUUCUUGAUAUUUCACAUACCUUCAUAAAAGAGUUACCAGAAGAGUUAAAGAAGUUGGUAAAUCUGAAAUGUUUGAAUUUGAGGUGGACAAGGGAGUUAAAUAAAAUUCCACGGCAACUAAUAUCAAAUUCUUCAAGGUUACGUGUGUUGAGAAUGUUCGCUACUGGCUACAUACGAUUCGAUGAUGCACCAGAAGACGGCGUUUUAUUUGGUGGGGGUGAAGUUUUGAUACAGGAAUUGCUCGGUUUGAAAUAUUUAGAGGUAUUGGAGUUGACCUUGGGAAGUUAUCAUGCUCUCCAAAUUCUUUUGAGCUCAAAUAAGUUAAAAAGUUGUAUUCGAUCUCUUUACCUCGAGUUGACCGGAGAUACAACGUCAAUUAUUGAUGCUACGGCUUUCGCAGAUCUAAACCACCUCAAUGAAUUAUAUAUUAAUAAUGGUAUUGAGUUGGAAGAAUUGAAGAUUGAUUAUACGCAGAUAGUACGAAAAAGGCGGGAACCUUUUGUUUUCCGCAGCCUUCACCGUGUUACUGUUAUGGAUUGCCAUAAAUUGAAAGAUGUGACAUUCCUCGUUUUUGCUCCAAAC